rnacentral:lncRNA from 1 species
UGAUACUGAUUAACAAACAUUGUAGCCAUUUUAGUUGAACAAAUGCAAAGAUAUAUUUGCACAUUAAAAUUAAAAAAAAAGUAAAUGUUGGUGUAAAGUCAAUCCUGAAAAUGCAAACUCCAUAUCGCUGAAGCUUUGACCAAAUGUUUCAGCAGUGUGUUGGUUUUGCCCAGUACCCUAUGUGUUGCCACUUGUAAUAUUCACACCCCCCUUCCUCCUCUGUGUGUGACAGAUACUGGUGGUGUCUGUGCACCUCAACUAUUUCAUCGACUUAUCGGACACCUAACACCUCUCACAUACUGAAUAAUUGUGUCCACCAAGACUUCCACACAUGGAAGAAAUCACAAAACCCCGAUUUCAUAUGAUUAUCACCCAUUUUAUUGAUAGCUAGACACUGCUGGAUGAUAUCUAGAAUACUUUAGAAUGUGCACCUUAGUUCAGCUGUAACUGCAAGGCUCUGAUAUCAACCACAUCAAAAUUCUGCCUGACCCUUCAUAAAUGAGUUUAAUCUCCCAAUAGAGUAAGUGAAGUGGCUUGGAGCCUUGGAAUCAGAGUAGAGUAUACAGUAACAUUCACUCUGCCCCCUCUUCUGUAAGUGUGUGUGUGAGAGAGAGAACGGUGGUGGACGUGCAUCUCAACUAUUUCAUCAAUCAUCAGACACCUACCACCUGUCCACUAUCACAUAUAUGAGUAACUAUGUCCACCAAGACUUGGACAAUGCACAACUAUUUCAUCAAAUCAUCAGACACCUACCACCUCAUACAUGAAUAACAAUGUCCAAGACUGUGGACAAAUGGAAAUAAACUGUUGAUCUCUUUUGUUUCUACAGGAUUCCGAACCUCAUUUUCGCAUAAUUUUCACCGAUUGCCAGGAUGUUAGCUAGAUAUUGAUCCAAAAAAAUGCAGUACUUUUGGAGGAUCCGAAAUGCACGUGCCAUCAUUGUUGCAGGCUUGUAGAUAUUGGUUUCUUGAAAUACAUCUGAAGAACUGUUCUCUAACAGCUUGUUUGAUAAGGAGACAAAUACUAUUUCUUAGUUCUUGUAUAUUCAAAUAGAAUCAAAUAUACAUUACACUGAUUUUUUUUCCCAUCUCCAAACAGAAAGCUAUGGAAAGUAAUGAGUGAUUAUCCCACAUUGACAACUAAUAGAGAAGUGGAGCGAAAGCUGUAGUAUUUGUAAUGGGCUGAGCUAACUGGGCAACAUACUUACCUGGAUGUGGUCAAUGGGUGAUUAGUAAGACCCAUGGUCUGGGCUUGUGGCCUUUAUUGCACUUUGGAGGGGUGCCUACCUAAGGUUAGCUCAAGUGGUUGAGCCUAUGUCAUAAUUUGUGGUAGAGAGGGCCUGUGUUUGUGUGCCCCCUGCCAAUUCAAAGUAAAAUUUUAUAGCUAUGUGAGUUCAAAUGUGUACUUGGCCCAAUUGAAUCAAAUAUGGUCUUUUUUUUUAUAUAUUGAUAUUGUGUGAUAAAUAUUCUCUUUAUAUUUUUAAAUUAGUGUACUUGUCUGUGCGGUUUUAAACAAAUUAAAAUAUGAUUGAAGAUAUAGUAAUUUAGUACCAUAAUAUUAUGUACAAAUUAUUUGAUAAAAAGAAUUGUGAGAAACAUUCUAGUUGAAUAGGAAACACCAAUUUGAACGUUUGUAAGUGAAUUUGAAAAAGAAAAUAAAAAACAAAUUUAAUGAAGAAAAAAGUUAUGUUAUAAGUAUUAAGUAUCUAAUCCCAUAUAUAUGAUGGAGAAAAAUUAAAGAAUGUUUCAUCAAAUAUAAAUAAAUGUUAAAGAAUAAAAAAUGUAUCAUGAUUAACAAUUAAGUCACUAAUCUUGAAAGAUCGUUUUAAUCUUCUAUUUAGCUUUCACCGAAAAAAGUCGCUCUGCUGCCUCCAUAUUCCCUCACUUCCACUAUCGAUAAAAACUUUAAUAUAGAAUUUUUUUUUACUAAAUAGCCUUAUUAAUAAUAGUUUUGAACUCUGAAUUUGAAUAUUACUACAUUACGAAGUCAUUUAAUAUUAAGAGCAGAAAGAGAAAAAUAUAUAAUAAAAUUCUCUUGAUUUCAUAAAUUGAACAAGUAAACUGAAAUAACUAUUUUUAGUAUAAGUGCCGAGUAAAUAAAAUGGAGGGAGUAUAUUUAUAUAUUUGUAUUGAAUGAUAAUUAAUUUUAAACAACUAUGUUUAGUAUAAGUGUUGAAUAAAAUAAGACGGAGAGAGUAUAUAUAUAUAUAUAUAUAUAUAUAUAUAUUUUGUACUGGAUGAAAAUUAACUUUAAACAAUAUUGAUGUAUUCAUCAUGAAAUGCAAUAAAUAGGAGAAGGUUGAAAAAGACAUUUUGAAGAGUUACAACUUUUCAUUUUCCAUUUUAGUGAGUAAUUGAAUCUCAUAAUUAAGAGAGGUAAAAGAGAAUGACUUUAAUUUUUUAAGCUUCUUGAAAUGAUAUUUCCAUUAAUGAACUACUUCAUUUUAAUAUAUUUUUGUUUUUUAAUUAAAAAUGAAAGGAUGAAUUAGUAAAUAUUUAGAUUUUAUAAUAAAAAUAGAAAUAAGUGAAAUGGUAAAUUUGAGGCAUUUAAAUUCUUACAUAAAGAACAAAAAUAAAUGAAGACAGCAAUAAUUGAUACAUCUACUUUUAUAUAAUAAUAAAUAAAAUAAAAUAUUAAGAAAAUUGUCAUAAAGAUGAGCAAAAAGAACCUGGUAUCAUGAAUUAGCACCCUACGAGGGUGUGUUUAUAAAAAAAUAAUGUGUGGAUAUAUGUACACCAAUCAUGAGUGUGUUUAAUAUUUCAAUUAAGAAAUCUUGAGUUUGCAAUAAACCCAGGGUGUCCAUCCAUCAUGGUUGGGCCAAGUUUUUUUUUUUUUUUUUAAAAGAUAAAUAAAAUCCCUAGCUAAAGAGAAGUGCCACAUCACUUCUCUAAUUUUAUACUAUAUAGAAUGUAGUUUUACAUUCUAUAAUUAUAACCUAACUUAUUAUUAGUUAUCACAAAUUACAACGGUUAUAAUUGUAAACAUAAAUUUUCAUUAACAGAAUUAUCAUAAGUUACAACGGUCACAAAAUCUUUGACUUACUUGCAAGUGUUAAAUUGGUAUAAUUUAAUUAGUUAGUAGAUAAUGAUGUUAUAUAUUAUUUAGUGAAAUGACGGAAAACAUUCAAAAAUAAAUAAAAUGAUCUUUUAGGCCAUAAAGAGGUGUACGUCAUCUUAUAUAUAUAGGUGUUUUUAUAGAUGUUCAUAAGUAUUAACUUUAUGUCUUAGUACUUUCAUAACUUUCAUUGACCUUCUUUAAAAUCAUUAAAAAAAGAUUUUAAAAAGAAACAAAAAAAAUACAAAAUUGAACUCGUUUGCCGCAAAUUCAUAAAAUCAAAUGGAAUGAACUUUUUUUUUCUUUUAUCUUAAAUACGUGAUGAUAGAAAAUUAUUAUUGAGGGGAUUACUACAAUAUGAGAGGAUUAUUACAAUGACCAUAAAAAAUUAUUAUUAAGAAGAUUAACAAAGAGAAGAGUAAAGAAUUGAGUGUAAUUAAGAGGAUUAACAAAGUGGUCCUUUGAAUUUGUGGCAUAACACAAAAUAAAUAGAAUAAAAUUUCACAAGAUCAAAAUUUUUAAAAGUAAUAAAAGAGGAAAAAAGUGAAAAAAUAUAAAAUUUUGAUCAAUUAACUGCACAUUGCCCUCUAAUAGAUCACAAUUAUAUUCAAAUAGAGAUAGCAUAUUUAAAAAGUAAUACUUAUAUAAUAUAAAUAUGUUUUAUAUUAGCAAUAAAAUAAUCUGUGUAUAGAAAGUGCAACAUUUUGUAAUAAAAUCUUGUUCUUGAAAAGUACAUAGAUAUAUUCGAAGAAAUAACUAAUUGACAAUACUAAAAUAAACAACAAUAAGUGCGUGUGUGUAUAUAUAUAUAUAUAUAUAUUAUUUACAAAUCAUUCAAAAAAAAAUUACAUUUCAAAACUAAUUUGAUCAUUUCUCUCGAUGAAUUAAACUUUCUUCUUCAUCAUGACAAUGAAUUGAUAUGAUACUAAUUUGACGAUCUCUCUUUUGAUGAAUCUUAUAUCAUCAUCAAACUUCCUUCUCAGUAUUGAUAAACUUUUGUUUGGCUAGAAAAUUAUUUGAUCAAGUAUUUGUAAGCGAUGCUUUCUCGUGAAGCUCCAUGAUUUUCGGUUACUUACAAAGUGAGCAACCUGAUUUAGUUCUUGAGUUUUUUUGUGACAUAUUAGUUGUUGGCGUAAAAUCAAAUGACAUAGAAAGUUGAUAUUGAUAUGGAUACGGCUUGGUGGUUAAGGAAUCCAUCCCACUGGCCACACACAAAAAUGGAAUUUCCUCGAUUUAAAGGAGGAGAUCCUCGUGGUUGGAUAUUGAAGGCUGAAAUUUUUUUUCGAUACUAUCAAACACAUAAUGAUUUAAAGGUGGAUAUUGAAGCCAUGUAUUUAGAGGGUGAUGCGCUUGAUCUCUUUGCAUGUAUUAAUAGUGAGCGUACACUAUUAUAUAGGGAGGACCUUGUUAAAGCUUUACAAGAGAACUAUGGUCCUACAGAAUUUCAGAAUCCAGAUAAACAUUUAUGUAGUAUUCGACAAUUGGGCACAGUCCAGGAAUAUCGCCAGGAAUUUGCUAAACGAUCUGCCCGAGUCAAGAAUUAGCCAGAACAUUGUCUUUUGGGAGUGUUUCUUACUGGACUUAAAGAAGAACUCAAAGUAGAUGUGACAAUUCACAAGCCCAGAACAAUGUAUGAAGCUAUGAGCCUUGUUGUGGACUUUGAGAAAAAAAUGGGUUCCAAUGGUGGGAAUAAAGGUUCGCAAUGGACAAAUAUGUCAUGAUCCAAUACAAGACAAAUGGGUUCUGCGCGUAACACUCUCCACCAAUCAGCAGGCAACCAACUUAUGUCAUGAACAAAUCCAAAUUCUGCACAAAUAUCUUCUCGUCCUUCUCAGAAUCGUGCUUGGGAUAUAGAGAAAUAGAAUCGCAUAGCCAUCAUUGCAAGACAACAUCUCUCACUCUUAUGGAGACAAAAGACAACAUUGAAGGGGGUGAAUUAGUGGAACAAAUGGCAAGUGACGUUAUUGACAGGAAUGCAAGUACAAAUGACCUUGCUGAAAUUUCAUUCCAUGUCUUUCUAGGUAACACAAAAGGCACAACAAUGAAACUUCAAGGGACUUUAAAUGGACGCAAGGUACUACUUUUGGCUGAUAGUGGAUCAUCCCACAGUUUUAUCUCUAAGAAAAUUGUUCAAGAAUUACAGUUGCUGGUUCACAUUGUGCCCUAUUUUGGAGUCCAGAUCGGCAAUGGAGAAAUCAUAUGUUGCAACCGUCUAUGCCAAAAUCUGGUUGUGAAAUUCCCUAGAUUAACUAUUGACCAAGAUUUCUAUCCUUUCUCUGUUGGACGGGCUGAUUUGGUGCUUGGAAUUAAGUGGCUUGCGUCUUUAAAUACAGUCCAAGCUAACUGGAAUGAAAUGUUUUUGAUAUUUAAUUUAAAUGGGAGUCGAUAAGAAUCAAGUGCACUAGUUGCUUUCCAAUUUUUCUCCAAAGAGGAGGAUACUACAGGUAAGUCUCUACCUGUCGAUAUUCAAAGUUUGCUCCACAACCAAUGAUCUACCACCUUUUUCGCCAACACACCCACUCUAUCCCUUUGACUCCUAACUCAAAACCUCCCAAAAUCCGCCCUUACCGCUAUUCUUACUUUCAAAAAUCAGAAAUUGAAAAUCUAAGUGUUUGAAUUAAUUCAGAAAGGAUUUAUAAGUCCAAGUUCCAGUCCAUUUGCUAGCCCCGUCCUUCUCGUUAAGAAAAAGGACAAUACAUGGCGUAUCUGUAUUGAUUAUAGAGGUAUCAAUCAAAUCACGAUUCCAGAUAAGUAUCCAAUCCUUAAUAUUGAUGAGCUUCUUGAUGAAUUACACGGAGCAACUAUUUUCUCAAAGAUUGAUUUGCGUUCUGGUUACCACCAAAUACGUGUCAAUCCUGCAGAUAUUCAUAAAACUGCUUUCCGUAUGCACUCUGUCCAUUAUAAAUUCACCGUUAUGCCCUUUGGUCUCACUAAUGCCCCUUCUACAUCCCAGUGCACUAUGAAUGAUCUGUUCAGACUACUCAAAAAUUACCUUACUGCCAACGUAUAUUUUACUGGCGAAUCAUACAAAACUCGAACUUAUUAUAAACAUAUUUUAGUACAAACCUUCAGUGCAACCUUUGAUCACAGCUCCCUCGGAGAAACUACCCGUGGAGUUCAUGGAUACUCCAAAAUGGUAAUUAAAAAACUUAUUCCUAUUGAAGAAUGGGGAAUUUCGUCAAUAACUCAAAGAUCUAUGCCAAUGGGACCAAUGGCCCAAACACUUGCCAAUUUCACUUACUGGGAUUAUAUUAAAGCCUUUUCUCAAGUAUUAUAUUAUAAUAAUUAUAAGCACAAACACACUUGGUUCAUAAUAAAAUGCAAAUGAUAGAAGAAUAUUUAUCAGAGGUCCGAGAUAAAUUACUUCAAACUGUUGAGCAAAAUUCAGACANNNNNNNNNNNNNNNNNNNNNNNNNNNNNNNNNNNNNNNNNNNNNNNNNNNNNNNNNNNNNNNNNNNNNNNNNNNNNNNNNNNNNNNNNNNNNNNNNNNNNNNNNNNNNNNNNNNNNNNNNNNNNNNNNNNNNNNNNNNNNNNNNNNNNNNNNNNNNNNNNNNNNNNNNNNNNNNNNNNNNNNNNNNNNNNNNNNNNNNNNNNNNNNNNNNNNNNNNNNNNNNNNNNNNNNNNNNNNNNNNNNNNNNNNNNNNNNNNNNNNNNNNNNNNNNNNNNNNNNNNNNNNNNNNNNNNNNNNNNNNNNNNNNNNNNNNNNNNNNNNNNNNNNNNNNNNNNNNNNNNNNNNNNNNNNNNNNNNNNNNNNNNNNNNNNNNNNNNNNNNNNNNNNNNNNNNNNNNNNNNNNNNNNNNNNNNNNNNNNNNNNNNNNNNNNNNNNNNNNNNNNNNNNNNNNNNNNNNNNNNNNNNNNNNNNNNNNNNNNNNNNNNNNNNNNNNNNNNNNNNNNNNNNNNNNNNNNNNNNNNNNNNNNNNNNNNNNNNNNNNNNNNNNNNNNNNNNNNNNNNNNNNNNNNNNNNNNNNNNNNNNNNNNNNNNNNNNNNNNNNNNNNNNNNNNNNNNNNNNNNNNNNNNNNNNNNNNNNNNNNNNNNNNNNNNNNNNNNNNNNNNNNNNNNNNNNNNNNNNNNNNNNNNNNNNNNNNNNNNNNNNNNNNNNNNNNNNNNNNNNNNNNNNNNNNNNNNNNNNNNNNNNNNNNNNNNNNNNNNNNNNNNNNNNNNNNNNNNNNNNNNNNNNNNNNNNNNNNNNNNNNNNNNNNNNNNNNNNNNNNNNNNNNNNNNNNNNNNNNNNNNNNNNNNNNNNNNNNNNNNNNNNNNNNNNNNNNNNNNNNNNNNNNNNNNNNNNNNNNNNNNNNNNNNNNNNNNNNNNNNNNNNNNNNNNNNNNNNNNNNNNNNNNNNNNNNNNNNNNNNNNNNNNNNNNNNNNNNNNNNNNNNNNNNNNNNNNNNNNNNNNNNNNNNNNNNNNNNNNNNNNNNNNNNNNNNNNNNNNNNNNNNNNNNNNNNNNNNNNNNNNNNNNNNNNNNNNNNNNNNNNNNNNNNNNNNNNNNNNNNNNNNNNNNNNNNNNNNNNNNNNNNNNNNNNNNNNNNNNNNNNNNNNNNNNNNNNNNNNNNNNNNNNNNNNNNNNNNNNNNNNNNNNNNNNNNNNNNNNNNNNNNNNNNNNNNNNNNNNNNNNNNNNNNNNNNNNNNNNNNNNNNNNNNNNNNNNNNNNNNNNNNNNNNNNNNNNNNNNNNNNNNNNNNNNNNNNNNNNNNNNNNNNNNNNNNNNNNNNNNNNNNNNNNNNNNNNNNNNNNNNNNNNNNNNNNNNNNNNNNNNNNNNNNNNNNNNNNNNNNNNNNNNNNNNNNNNNNNNNNNNNNNNNNNNNNNNNNNNNNNNNNNNNNNNNNNNNNNNNNNNNNNNNNNNNNNNNNNNNNNNNNNNNNNNNNNNNNNNNNNNNNNNNNNNNNNNNNNNNNNNNNNNNNNNNNNNNNNNNNNNNNNNNNNNNNNNNNNNNNNNNNNNNNNNNNNNNNUUUUUCAUCAGUAACUUCUUUUAGUAAUUCGAGAACAUUUUCAGCAGUAAGAGUUUGAAAUUUUAAAUCAAGAUCUUUGAAUUGCGCUUGAAGUUUAUACAUCAUUUCAUCAUAAUUGCAAACAUCAUUAUCACAAUCAUUACAUUUAUUAACCUAACUGAGCUCACUAUCAGAAUUAGGUAAUUCAAAAUCAUCUUCAGAAGUAGAAUCAGAUUCGGAAUCAGAGGUAUACAAUAAAUUAUAAACUUGGUCAUGAACUUCUUCAGAAAGUCCUAAGGACUUGAGUUUUUGUAAUUUGCAGUUUGGAGCUAUAUGANNNNNNNNNNNNNNNNNNNNNNNNNNNNNNNNNNNNNNNNNNNNNNNNNNNNNNNNNNNNNNNNNNNNNNNNNNNNNNNNNNNNNNNNNNNNNNNNNNNNNNNNNNNNNNNNNNNNNNNNNNNNNNNNNNNNNNNNNNNNNNNNNNNNNNNNNNNNNNNNNNNNNNNNNNNNNNNNNNNNNNNNNNNNNNNNNNNNNNUGCUCACAAAAGUCUCCUAAUUGGGAUUUUUCUCUGAGUUUAUCAAGCUUAAUUUGUCUAGCUAAUUUCAACUCGUUGCAAAGGGCUAAGCCUUCUUGAGUACAAGCUACAAUAAGCUGACCAUAAGUUUUUUCUGAAUACUGGACUUCUCCAUAAGAUCCUCUAAGAGAUUUUCUAACUCUUUCAGCAAAUAAAGGUGGAAGGCCAUCAAUGAAUUUAGCUUUCCAAUGGUCAUACUUACUUUCGGGUAAAUCCAUAACCCUACUAAGAAAGGUAUCUUUAUACCAUCUAAAUUCGCCUAAGUGUUUACAUAAAGGUAUCUUUAUACCAUCUAAAUUCCCCUAAGUGUUUAAAUUUUAAACCAUUAAGAAGGGUCCUAAUGUUUUCAUACUGAUUAGUAAAUCUUCCUCCAAAAUAUUCAAUAAUUGUAAGCAUAAGGGUAUAGACAGCAUCUGAACGUCCUGCCCGAAGAGGUCGUCCUAGAUUAUCUUUCCCGGGUUUAUCAUUGGUGGCAUUAAAAAUAGCCUCGCGUUUAUCAUCGUCCAAGAAAUUAUCCCACCAGCCUCGAAGUUGGCCAGUAAAUCUUGCAACAAUCAUUUUACAAAUUGUUGGUUCGGUGGAUUGGCCCAAUUUUCUGGCGAAGCAGUGGCUGUGGCAAUAGUAGCAUACAUGGACAUACGAUGGAUAAGAAUAGAGAGUUGUCGGUCAGAUAAUCCGUCAAUAUUCCAUUCAUAAAUGGCUUCUCCACUAUAAGAAGUAUUUGUAUGAUUCCAUUCCCUUUCCUCUAUCAGAACAUCUUGAGGAGUUGGGCGUGGAUAAUAUGCAGUAGACAUACGGGGAAUAUCAACGUAUUUCUUUUCCGGUUGUUUCUUAAUCAUACCUUUCAGCUUAUUUAGCUUGGAAGAGAUUACAUCUCCAGUAUUUUGAGUAGACUCAAUAUUAUCAGCAAAAUUAGACUCAAGAUUUUGUACAAAAUCAUAAGAAAUAUUAAGAGGUUGAAUGUUUAAACGAGAGAAUUUUUUAUCUAAGAGUUUUUCUAAUUGGUCUAACUGAGAAACUUUUUCAAAUCCUUCUAUUUCAGGAGGUCUUUGAAUACAAGGUUUUGAUAAAAUAUAUCCUUCUUCAUCAGUGAUUUUGGAAGUAGAAGGAAUGUUAGAGGAAUUCAUCUGGGUGCUAAGUUUGUUAACUAACUCAAUUAAUUCGUCAAGUUUUUUAUCAAGAGAGGAAAUGUGUUCUCCUAAAACCUUAACAUAAAGACUCAAAUAAUUAUUUUGGGCGAUAAGGUUAUUUAUUUCAGAAACAGUAAUUUUUCCCACAUCUUCACUGACAAACUUUUGAAAAGCAGAAAAAGUCAUGCCAGUAUUAUUGGGCAAUAUAAAGGAAGACUAGGAGGAUAGAGUGCUUGAGUAAUUGUGCCAUCAGAAUGUUGAUAAGAUCUUUCGAUUAUUUUGACAUAUGACGGUAAAUAUGCAGACAUGAACCAUGGUACAAAGAAAAUAAUUUUAUUAUGUAAAGCACAAAUUUCAUAGAAUUCUUCUGAAAUAUUUCGUAAUUCAUCAGGAGUAUAAGUUUCAAAAAAUCAUGUCCGAAAGGUUUUCCAUUUUUCAGAAUAAAAUUCUUUCUGAAUAUAUUUUCUUGCCUGAGAACCAGGACUAAAACCAAUAAGUUGUAUGAUCAUGGUUAAACAGAAUUGAUGUCAAAAUCCAUUUCAGAUGGGGUAGGAUUUUCAUUAUCAAAAUCUUGAACUAUAUUAGUUUAGACAUGAACCAUGGUACAAAGAAAAUAAUUUUAUUAUGUAAAGCACAAAUUUCAUAGAAUUCUUCCGAAAUAUUUCGUAAUUCAUCAGGAGUAUAAGUUUCAAAAUACCAUGUCCUAAAGGUUUUCCAUUUUUCAGAAAAAAAUUCUUUAUGAAUAUAUUUUCUUGCCUGAGAACCAGGACUAAAAUCAAUAAGUUGCGUCAUCAUGGUUAAACAGAAUUGAUGUCAAAAUCCAUUUCAGAUGGGGUAGGAUUUUCAUUAUCAAAAUCUUGAACUAUAUUAGUUUUUGAGUUGAUUUUUAUCUUUUCUACACCUUUAGGUGUACUAUGCGAAUUUGCAGAAUUAAUAGUAUGCAANNNNNNNNNNNNNNNNNNNNNNNNNNNNNNNNNNNNNNNNNNNNNNNNNNNNNNNNNNNNNNNNNNNNNNNNNNNNNNNNNNNNNNNNNNNNNNNNNNNNNNNNNNNNNNNNNNNNNNNNNNNNNNNNNNNNNNNNNNNNNNNNNNNNNNNNNNNNNNNNNNNNNNNNNNNNNAACUUACAUCGAGGAUUUAGAGUUGAUAAUAAUCGAUAGUAUAUGCGGUAAGAUAAUCCUAUUAGAUCAGAUCCAGGGGCAUAAUCAUAUCCAUGAGUUUUCACAUUUAUGGUUAAAGCAUGAAGAAUAUUUACAUCAGUUAGAGAUAAUUGUAAAUUUGGCUGAGUAUUAAAAUAUACAGGACCAUAAGCAAGAGUAGAUUCAAUAGACCCUAUUAAGGAUUUUCGAAAAUUUAGAUAUCUAGCAUCACGAAAAACAGCUAAAAAUGUUUCAGGGAGACCCUUUAGGGUUAAAGGUCGAAAGGCAAUUUGUACUAAGCCAAUAUGCAUAUAAUUAUAAUUACGUUUAAAAAUAUCAAUAUCAUGCUUAUUUAGGAGUUGAAUAGUCUGUUCAUCAGCAUUUAAAGCAAGAGAUUGUUCAGUUGUUUUAAUAAUUUGUUUAUGUUUUAUUUUAUCAAAAAAUCCAUAUUCAUAUAUGGUUUUUAAUUCAACUUUUGGAAUUGUCCUUUUAUUCAGUAGAUCCAUAUCUUGAGGUAAAUCUACCUCUUCGAUUUUUGUACUUUUAGUACUAACUUCUUCCAUAUCCAUAGUUAUAUAAUACAAUACAAUAUAAUAUAAUAUAAGUUUUAUAUUAGCAAUAAAAUAAUCUUAAUAUAAAAAGUUCAACAUUUUAUAAUAAAAUCUUAUUCUUGAAAAGUACAUAUAUAUGUUAUAUUUGAAGAAAUAACUAAUUGACAAUACUAAAAUAAACAACAAUAAGUGUAUAUACAUUAUUUACAAAUCAUUCAAAAAAAAUACAUUUUAAAACUGAUUUAACCAUCUCUCUCGAUGAAUUAAACUUUCUUCUUCAUCAUGACAAUGAAUUGAUAUGAUACUAAUUUGACGAUCUCUCUUUUGAUGAAUCUUAUAUCAUCAUCAAACUUCCUUCUCAGUAUUGAUAAACUUUUGUUUGGCUAGAAAAUUAUUUGAUCAAGUAUUUGUAAGCGAUGCUUUCUCGUGAAGCUCCAUGAUUUUCGGUUACUUACAAAGUGAGCAACCUGAUUUAGUUCUUGAGUUUUUUUGUGACAUAUUAGUUGUUGGCGUAAAAUCAAAUGACAUAGAAAGUUGAUAUUGAUAUGGAUACGGCUUGGUGGUUAAGGAAUCCAUCCCACUGGCCACACACAAAAAUGGAAUUUCCUCGAUUUAAAGGAGGAGAUCCUCGUGGUUGGAUAUUGAAGGCUGAAAUUUUUUUUCGAUACUAUCAAACACAUAAUGAUUUAAAGGUGGAUAUUGAAGCCAUGUAUUUAGAGGGUGAUGCGCUUGAUCUCUUUGCAUGUAUUAAUAGUGAGCGUACACUAUUAUAUAGGGAGGACCUUGUUAAAGCUUUACAAGAGAACUAUGGUCCUACAGAAUUUCAGAAUCCAGAUAAACAUUUAUGUAGUAUUCGACAAUUGGGCACAGUCCAGGAAUAUCGCCAGGAAUUUGCUAAACGAUCUGCCCGAGUCAAGAAUUAGCCAGAACAUUGUCUUUUGGGAGUGUUUCUUACUGGACUUAAAGAAGAACUCAAAGUAGAUGUGACAAUUCACAAGCCCAGAACAAUGUAUGAAGCUAUGAGCCUUGUUGUGGACUUUGAGAAAAAAAUGGGUUCCAAUGGUGGGAAUAAAGGUUCGCAAUGGACAAAUAUGUCAUGAUCCAAUACAAGACAAAUGGGUUCUGCGCGUAACACUCUCCACCAAUCAGCAGGCAACCAACUUAUGUCAUGAACAAAUCCAAAUUCUGCACAAAUAUCUUCUCGUCCUUCUCAGAAUCGUGCUUGGGAUAUAGAGAAAUAGAAUCGCAUAGCCAUCAUUGCAAGACAACAUCUCUCACUCUUAUGGAGACAGACGACAACAUUGAAGGGGGUGAAUUAGUGGAACAAAUGGCAAGUGACGUUAUUGACAGGAAUGCAAGUACAAAUGACCUUGCUGAAAUUUCAUUCCAUGUCUUUCUAGGUAACACAAAAGGCACAACAAUGAAACUUCAAGGGACUUUAAAUGGACGCAAGGUACUACUUUUGGCUGAUAGUGGAUCAUCCCACAGUUUUAUCUCUAAGAAAAUUGUUCAAGAAUUACAGUUGCUGGUUCACAUUGUGCCCUAUUUUGGAGUCCAGAUCGGCAAUGGAGAAAUCAUAUGUUGCAACCGUCUAUGCCAAAAUCUGGUUGUGAAAUUCCCUAGAUUAACUAUUGACCAAGAUUUCUAUCCUUUCUCUGUUGGAGGGGCUAAUUCGGUGCUUGUAAUUUGUUAGGACCGAAAUAAUUAGGUGUCAUGUGGAAGCUAGCAAAGCAAAUCUCGAAAGAUGCCACGUAAGAAGAUAAAUGAGAAAUACAUCAAACGAGACACAAUAAUUUAACGUGGUUCGGUCAAUCAACCUACAUCCGCAAAAGGAGAUGAGCAAUCUACGAUAUAAAAGAGAGUACAAACUGUCAAGAGAGACAACCUCACAUAAUUCACUUAGAAUAAAAAGAGGUUUACACAAGUGAUAUUGCAACACUUAUCUCACAAAGUCUCCCCCCAAACGAAACUCUCAAACCCCUAGGACUACAUUGUGGAUGCUAAUAAACUAGAAGAAAAGAGCCUCUAUUUAUAGAGUCUAUAACCUUUUCCUAUAAGAAUAAGGAUUAGCCAAAUAUGGAGAAUUUAGGUUUUCUUUAUCCUAAAGGGAAACUCAAUUAUGGUACCUAAAGGAAAACCUAAUUAUGGUAAGAAAGUCAGGACAAACACUGAUAAUUCUCCACCUUCUUCACGUAGUCUUCAUGAAAUUCAAUCUCCAUCUCCAAAAUCUCCUCCAUUAAAUUUUUGUCUCUACACAGAGUAACACUCAAACCAGAAUCUUCAUUAUCGUCAAAUAGGUUGCGACUAAAACUGAAUCAGCCAAGAUGAACACCCGAUUUAACCUCACUUUGAUACCACUUGUUAGGACCGAAAUAAUUAGGUUUCAUGCGGAAGCUAGCAAAGGAAACCUCGAAAGAUGCCACGUAAGAAGAUAAACAAGAAAUACACCAAAAGAGACAAUAGUUUAACGUGGUUCGGUCAAUCGACCUGCAUCCAAAAAGGGAGAUGAGCAAUCCACUAUAUAAAAGAGAGUACAAACUGUCAAGAGAGACAACCUCACACAAAUCACUUAGAAUAAAAAGAGGUUCACACCACGUGAUACUGCAACACUUGUGUCUCACAAAGUCUCCCCCCAAAAGAAACUCUCAAACCCCUAGGACUACAUUGUGGAUGCUAAUAAACUAGAAGAAAGGAGCCUCUAUUUAUAGAGUCUAUAACCUAUUUCUAUAAGAAUAAGGAUUAGCCAAAUAUGGAGAAUCUAGGUUUUCCUUUUCCUAAAGAGAAACUCAAUUAUGGUACCUAAAGGAAAACCCAAUUAUGGUAAGAAAGUCAGGACAAAUACCAACAAAAUUAAGUGGCUUGCGUCUUUAAAUACAGUCCAAGCUAACUGGAAUGAAAUGUUUUUUAUUUUUAAUUUAAAUGGGAAGCGGUAUAAGCUUCAGGGGGUUCCACCUGAAUCAAAUGCACCAGUUGCUUUCCAGCUUUUCUCCAAAGAGGAUGACACUACAGGUAAGUAUCUACCCAUCGAUAUUCAAAGUUUGCUUCACAAGUUUGAAUCAAUUUUUGAAGAACCUAAUGAUCUACCACUUUUUCACCAACACACCCAAUCUAUCCCUUUGAUUCCUAACUCAAAACCUCCCAACAUUCGCCCUUAUCGCUAUCCUUACUUUCAAAAAUUAGAAAUUGAAAAACAAGUGUUUGAAUUACUCCAGAAAAGAUUUAUAAGGCCAAGUACCAGUCCAUUUGCUAUCCUCAUCCUUCUCAUCAAGAAAAAGGACAAUACAUGGUGUAUGUGUAUUAAUUAUAGAGGUCUCAAUCAAAUCAUAAUUCCAGAUAAGUAUCCAAUCCCUAAUAUUGGUGAUCUUCUUGAUGAAUUACACGGAGCAACUAUUUUCUCAAAGAUUGAUUUGCAUCCUGGUUACCACCAAAUACAUAUCAAUCCUGCAGAUAUUCAUAAAACUGCUUUCCGUAUGCACUCUGUCCAUUAUAAAUUCACCGUUAUGCCCUUUGGUCUCACUAAUGCCCCUUCUACAUCCCAGUGCACUAUGAAUGAUCUGUUCAGACCACAUUUGCACAAAUUUAUUCUCGUAUUUUCUGAUGACAUCUUGAUCUAUAGUCAGAGCAUUGAGCAACAUAUCAAUCACUUGCAACUUGCUCUCCAACUUCUGAGGGACAAUCAUUUUUAGGCCAAAACUUCUAAAUACUUAUUUGGACAGCUUCACAUUUCUUUUUUGGGUCAUGUGAUUUUAGAAAAUGGGGUUAGUGUUGAUCACGAUAAUAUUCAAGCAGUCAUGUAGUGGCCAGUGCCAACUAAUGUGAAGGAAUUAGGUGGAUUUCUUGGGUUAACAGGUUAUUAUCGCAGAUUUGUGAAGGGUUAUAGGAUGAUGGCUCGACCACUCAUUGAACUUACCAAGAAAAAUGCUUUUCAAUGGUCGAUCUCCAUUGAAUAUACUUACCAACUUCUCAAGCAAGCUUUAAGAACUAUUCCGGUACUAUGACUUCCAGAUUCCACUCAACUACUUGUGGUGGAAUGUGAUGCUUCAUCAGAAGGAAUAGGGGCUAUUCUUCUUCAGGAUGACCAUCCGAUUGUGUAUUUUAGUAAGGGACUUUCUUUUUCUAGUCGUUUAAAGUCUACCUAUGACCGGAAAUUGCUUGCUCUUGUUUUAGCUUUGCAGAAAUGGAAACAUUACCUCUUGGGCCAUCAUUUUUAUGUCAGAACAGAUUGUUGACGCCCAAAUUUGGCUCUUCGUGCCUAAAAUUAAUGCUUUCAGGCUUUCUGAUCGUUAAAGGGCACAAAAUGUAAUUUUUUUUACAUAUUUUUAGAUUUUUUAACAAAUUAUUGAUAAUCGUCAUUAUUUUAUAAUUUUUUCAUCAAUUUUUUUCAUAUUUUUAAUUUUACAUAAUUUAUUAAUAAUUAUCUUUAAUUUCAUAAAUUUUAGGAUUUUUAUCAGUUUAUUAUCAUUUUAAUAUUUUUGCAUAGUCAUCUGCAUACGCACACAACAUAGCAUUGUAUAUCGUUAUCGUACAGUAUAAUUUUAAUUAUUUUAUAGCAUAACAUUUUUUUCAAGAUAAUUAUAUUUUUUAUUUAUUAUAUAUAUAUUUUUUGUAAUUAUAUAUCGGUAUUCAUUAUUUUAUAUGUUUUUUAAUACGACCUGCAAAAGCUGAGUCGGAUCAAUUAUUUCAACACACAGUACAAUAAUAAUUUGGUGUCUUUAUCACAUUAAUACAAAUAAUAUUAAACACAUUAAUACAAAUAAUAUUAAAGUAAUUUUCUUUUUUAAAUACACAACACAAUAAAUACACAAAAUAAGCACAUACACGACAUAACAUCAAAUUUUUUAUAAUAUUUUUAAUUAAUUAUAUUUUUUCAAUAUUUUCAACAUUAUUUAUAUUUUUUCGUAAUUUCAAAUUAAUUUUUUUUAUAUUUUUACGAUUCACAAACACUGAAUCGGAUUAAUUAUUUUUACACAAUAUAAUAUAAAAUAAAAAAAGGGGAGAGAAACAACACAAAAUAAGGGAAGCCACAAGACAUAUUGAGACUUUUUUCUUUAAAUAUACACUCCACACAAUUACACACACUAUACACACACAUAAUCCACACCCCAAAAUAUUUGAUCUCCUUCUCUCUCUCAACCUCCCGCCCCUCUCUCUCUACUCCCUCUCUCACUUAUUCUUUUUAAAAAACUUAAACCUCAUCACCACCGGUGGACCACCGUGAAGCUUUCCCUUCCCAUACUUCCCACACCCCUUAUAUCUCUGCCACCACAGCUCCAGCCGGCAAAAAUCCGACGCCUCAAGCUGCCAGCCACCAGUCCAACCACCAUCCCCUUUCUUUUCUCCCCCCAAUUUUCCUCUCUCCGACGCCUCACUGUCGACCGCCGGAUUUAAUUGUCAGACGACUGGCGACCACAAAUCGCUACUGCUCCUUGCCGCCUCUUUCUCUUUCCCCUUUUUCUCCAUUACUGGAGGAAAUUGUCUCGUCAGAGAAAUGGCUAGAUCUAGCCCGAUUAGUGCUUCUCCAGCGUUGCUUCGGUGAAGCCCGUUGAAGCAACGUCGGCAUUAUAAUUGUUCAAAUUUUUUCUUUCUUUAAUCUUCGAUUAUUAUGUUGAUUAACUAUUAUUUCUCUCAGCAUUUCUCCAUUAUAUGUUCAUGGAUUUUGUUGUACUGUUUUUUUUGAAUUGUUGUUGACAUUUGGUUGGCUCCGUGAAUUCCGGUGAACCUUUGACAUUGUUGUCAUACCAUUAUUGUAAGUUUUUUGUAGUUGUUGUUGUGGUCUGGCUCUCUGAUUUUUUACUGAUUCUGCAUUUUUUUGGUGACUAACAUUUUUCCGUUUGAUACUACAUUGAUAACGAACAAGAAAGACUAACACUUGGCCAAUGAAAUUAUCUCUCCGUCUGGAUAUUUGAGGCCACCCCAUUACAAAAGGCGGACUUUAUUUUUUAAAUUUAUUAUUUUAUAUUAAGGGCCGAUACUUGGCCGAUGAAGAAAUUUUUGGUCGAUUUUUGAGGCCUUCAAAAAUAAAAAGACGGAUAUUACGUUUCUAAAUACGUACUAAAAUAAAUAAAUUUGGCCGAUGACGAAAUUUUUAUUACAACGCAAAAGAUUUUAGGACUCGUAUCUUGGCAAGACGAUUUAGGACGGUCAAUAAAUUGACCAACCACUUCGUAGCCAUGGCGUAGCUAAAAUUUAAUUCGAGCCCAUCUUUUAGCAAAAAAUAUAUUUUUAAAUACAUGUAUGCACACUUACCUUUUAAAUUUAUUUUGAUAAUUAUUUAUUUGUUACUAAUAUUUUUAUUACAUGUGCUUGUACAAGUUCUCGAGAAUACUCGUCGGGAAUGAUCUCCAGAGAAGAGCUUGAAUUUUUUUUUUUCGUAUUUGUAUUCUCUUUUAUUCUUAUCAUUGUACAAAUAUUAAUUAUAGUGAAAUCUUUAUUUUUGGGGCGCUGGGCGGGGAUGUUCUUUAUUUAUACAAUCCUUACUACGCGUUAGGCAAAUUUAGGCUGUUAAUAUUUAUAGUAAAAUUAAUUUAGAUAUUUUAUUAAAUAAUUCACACUUUUUACACUAAAAAGAAUUAUGUAAUUUUUUAUUUAAAAACAAAAUCUUUUACUAUUCAAUCUUUGCCUUUCUUUUUUAUAUAUCCUUACAUACGUUUGUUUAUACAUCUUUACGCGCGUUUAUAUAUAUAUAUUUUGCAAUAACAUAUGUGUUAUAUUAUUUUUGUAUUUGCAAACAUUGAUUUUUCUUUUUCUUUUUUAAUAAUAAACCUAAGUUUGGUCGGGAACCACAGUUGUGGAUUCUGAAAGAUGCCUAGCCCAAUACCUUCGAAAUAAUUUGAACCCUUACCUUGAAUUUAAAUUGGUUUCGUAGAUUAGAAUAAAGUCAUACUUGUUAGAUAAAUAAAUAGGUUUCCUAUUUUUCCUUAAAAUUAGGUGGAGACUCUAUCCAAAAUUUAUUCUUUUAGAGUCCAUUAUAUCGUGCUCGUUUUGACCCUAGAUAAAAAUCGGGUAUGACAGUUUGGCGACUCUGUUGGGAAUUCAAGGUUCUAACCAUUACAGUCUUAGGUAACUAUUUAUGUUUUUUAUACACUGUUAUUUACUUUUACUUAAUUGUUUUGAUUUAUCUUGUUUAUGUGGCAUAAGUUAUUUUUUUUAAAUUAUUUGUAUAGAUUAUUUAUUUAUUUAUUUAUCGCUUUAUAUAAAUUGACAUUCUGUUCAUAUUCCCUCCAUUUUGGAAUACUGACACGCACACACAUUGUCCAUGCGGAUUGUACACUGUACUUUCCCAAAAAAUUUUCAAAGCACCUUAUUUUUUAGAGUCGGCGCAUGCAUGGGGUGAGCGGGAGUUUUAUUUCCGUGGGACUACGUGCCUUCUGAUAUAGGAAAUUCAAGUCCGUGUCUGCCCACUUUUAGUCAAUAUAGGUUAUAGCUAAAAUACCACCUUUUAGGUGCAUGCAUCAUUAGACAGCUCUAUGUUCAAAGGGUUCCCAACCCAAGUGACAUAUUAUUAUAAUUUUUGUACAUAUUUGAAGGAUUAUUGUGUCUGUACAUAUUUAUUUGCUCUAAAUUUGUUAUACGGAUUAGUUAAAAGAUGCACCUUAGCAACAUCGCCACUAGCUGCGUAUGUUUGAACUAUGUUUUGACCUGAUUCUUGUACUGACAAGAUACGUAGGCAACCCUGCAUUAGAGUUUGGUCUCUUCACUAUUUUAGAAUAAUUUCUCCGGUGUUCAAAACUGGGGCAAUAUUCUGAAAUAGUUCAAAAUGCUCUCCAGAUUCUUCAGGAGCACAACCAAUAACUCCCAAAUCCAAACCUUAAUUACAUUAGUGCCUAGCCAGCCUACUUUUAGAUACUCACCUAAUUUUUGUGCUAGAAUACCUAGCCUUUUCUUUUGAACUCCGUAACUCAUUAAAUUUAUGGCGUAUCAAUCCUCACUUUCAAAAGCAAUGGUUCAAUAUUUUUUCAGUUAUAAUAAUCCUGCUAAAUGCGGAGAAAUAAUGUCAUAAUUUCUUCAAUGUCUGACUUUUUUUAAUCUUGUCAGCAUACUGCAGUUGUGUCAAAGCUCUUCCCAGCUUUACAUCCAUUUUUUCGAUCAUUUGAUCAGAAUAAUUUUGAUGCUAAAAGUUGUUCUUUCUUGAUCGUCUUUCACAUUAUUUUUAUGAAUGACCAUCAAUUUUUUUUGCACAUACAUAUUUGUAAAUUUUCCUAAACUACGCAGACCUGAUUCUUGUUUUCACAAGAUACGCAGGCAACCUUCAUUUGGGUUCGGUCCCAUUCUUUUUUAAAAAAUAAAAUAAAAUUGACUUAGUUGGUACCAAUACAGUUAGGAGUAUGGAUGAGAAAGAACAAAUUGGUAUGAUGAAAAGGGCUGACUUCAUGGUAAACCAUAGAUUCUUUUGGUACCUUUUAUCACACCUGAGUACCACUUGAAAAAUUCUCUUGCAUAAAUAUAAGACAAGAACGAAAUCAACCUCAUCGUUUUAUGCGCAUUGUGUGGUGAGCUUUAGUUUAAUUUGUUGCAUUGCAUUGUUGAUCUAGAACUUGACCUAAAUGUUCACUGAGGCAAAAUUCUGAGUUACGCUUGGUUUAGGAAAGGAUUGUAGGCUUUCUUUGACCCGAUUGAGCAUUUUACAGCCCACCAAAUGACAUUUAUCCCUAGCACUCCCUUAUUUUGAGCUUAAAACCUUUUCUUCGGAUAACUGCAUAUGAACCUAUUCUUUUUUGAGUGCUUACAUGCACUAUCCCUCUCUUGGCCCUACCUCCUUGAGUGCACUAAAUACGUGUAAUUUGUGGAAAUAGAUUCAAGAUCAAAGACACAAAAUGCAAAAGAUAUAUUGUCCUAGAUGAACAAAAAUGAAAAACGACUUCAAAAGGAGCAAAGCCCCACAAAAAGAAAAGAAAAGGAAUAAAUAAAUAAAAAAUAUAUAGUUUCUUGGAAAAAUAGGAGAAAACUCCAACAUAAGAUUCAAAAGAAGUCAAAGAAAAUACAAAAACAAGGGACAACGAGGCACAAUAAAAAAGAUCAAGCGUCAAAGCACAACAAUAUUGAAAGCACAAAUACUGUGUAACACUCAUUGAGGAAUUAGUCACUUCCAUCCCUAAUAUUAUCCUACCUGUCCCCAAGCCUACAUUACAAGCCAAUAGCAAGUCCUACAGGAUCCUAUUCCAAGGGUUCUCACAUUUGUGGAUACUUAUAUGAAGGCCAAGCCUAUGGUAUCAUAAUUGCAUGCACUGAAUUUCUUUCUAAGUGUGAGUGUAUUUCUCUAGACGUCCCCAAAUUCAAAAAGAAAUUACUUAAAUAUGUGAGAAAUAGGACUUUCUUUCCGGAGAGGGCACUUGAAACAUGAGAAUAAGCAUAGCUCAAAAUCUUUGUUUGAAGUAAGACGAUCAAAUCUUGUCGGUACUUAGGUAUGUCUGAGGUAUCACUUGAAACUGUAGGAGUUACCCUGAAGUCGAUCUCGGUUAGUCGGGAAAGAAAUGGAGAAUUCUUAUACACUACUAAUUAUUGGUAUCAACCGAAGUCAAGACAAAAAUGUGCAUUCUUAUCUCUCAGCACUUUUUAUCAAGAAAGUAUAUAUAUAAAAAAUUCUUUCUUUUUUUUCAAGACAUCCAUAUGGACAUUUUUCACCUUUAGUUUAAGGAACCCACUUUCACAUGCAUGCAUUUUUUUUAAUUUUUAUUUAAGGCUUUUAAUUUUCAAAUACGAAUGUUUUGCCUUUUUCUUUCAAGCACAUACCUUUAAAUACCAAUAUUUUAUUUUUCAGCCAGACGCUCAUUUUUGAGUAUUUUAUAUUUUUUAUAGCUCCGUCAGUCGAGAGGCUAUUACAUUUUUUCUCCCAAGUCAAGAGUUUUUUGUACAUCAAUAGCCUCACUAGUUGAGAGGGCUAUUAGAUUUCAGUCAACUCACUAGUUGAUGGCCUCAGUCUUCGUAAAUAAUUGGAGACGACAAUCAACAUAGUCAUCGUAGACAAUCGAAGACAACAUUCAUAACAUAGUCUUUGUAGACAAUCAGAGACAUCAUUUUAUCAUCAAGUCUCCGUAGACAAUCGGAGAUAUCAUACACAGUCUUCGUUUAUAAUCGAAGACAACACUCAUGACAUAGUCUUCGUAGACAAUCGGAUACAUCAUUCAUUACAUAGUCUUUAUAGACAAUCAGAGACGUCAUUUUAUCACUACUCUCUAUAAACAAUUAGAGAUAUCAACAUAGUCUUUGUAGACAAUCGGAGACAUCAUUUAUUACAUAGUCUCUAUAGACAAUCAGAGACGCCAUUUUAUCAUCACUCUCCAUAUACAAUUGGAGAUAUUAACAUAGUCUUCAUAGACAAUCGAAGACAACAUUCAUUACAUAGUCUCUGUACACAAUCAGAGAAGUUAUUUUAUCAUCAAGUCUUCGAAGACAAUCAGAGAUAUCAUACAUAGUCUUCGUAUACAAUCGAAGACAACAUUCAUGACAUAGUCUUCAUAGACAAUCAAUGACAUCAUAAAUGACACUGUCUCUAUUGACAAUCGGAGGUAUCAUUCAACAUUAAUGUCCGUAGACAAUUGGAGAUAUCAUACAUCAGUCUUCAUAGACAAUUGAAGAUAACAAUCAUUGUCAGUCUUUGUAAGCAAUCGGAGAGGACAAAUCAACAUCAAUCUCUAUAGACAAUUAGAGAUGUCAUCCAUCAGUCUCCAUAGACAAUUGGAGCCAUUAUCCGUCAGUCUUCGUAGAUAAUCGAAGACAAAAAUCAAUAUUAGCCUAUAUAGAUAAUUGGAGAUGUCAUCAAGUCUUUGUAUACAAUCGAAGACAUCACCAUUCAACAUUAGUCUCCAUUGACAAUUGGAGAUGUCAUCCUUAAGUCUUCAUAGACAAUUGAAGACAACAAUCAGCGUCAGUCUUCGUAGACAAUCGGAGAUGAAAAUCAAUAUCAGUCUCCAUAGACAAUUAGAGAUGUCAUCCAUUAGUCUUCAUAGACAACCGAAGAGGAUAAUCAACAUCAGUCUUCGUAGAUAAUCUAAGACACCCUUCAUCAACAUUAGUCUUCACAAUCGAAGAAGCCAAUAAGUAUUAGUUUCCAUAGACAACCGAAGACAUCGUUUAUGACACAGUCUCUGUAAACAAUCGGAGGCGUCAUUUAUCAUCAAGUCUCCGUAAAUAAUCGGAUGUAUCAUACAAAGUCUUCAUAGACAAUCGGAAGUGAAAAUUAUCCAUAAGUUUUCAUAGACAAUUGAAUACGACAAUUAACAUCAAUCUCCAUAGACAAUUGGAGAUAUCAUACAUCCAUCCCCAUAGACAAUUAGAUACGUCAUCAAGUCUUUAUAUACAAUCGAAGCUAUCAUCAUUCAACAUCAAUUUUCAUAGACAAAUGAAGACGACAAUUAACAUCCAUCUCCAUGGACAAUUGGAGAUAUCAUCAAGUCUCCGUAUAUAAUCAGAGGCAUUUUUUAUUCAUUACAUAAUCUUCAUAGACAAUCGAAGAUAAUUUUAAUUCAUCACAUAGUCCGUACCUAAUCAGAGACAUCUUUCAUUCAUAAGUCCCCGUAGACAAUCGGAGACGUCAUUCAUCUUCAAGUCCCCAUAGACAAUGGGAGACGUCAUACAUCCUUUCAGUCAAAAUACAAUACACAAUAAUAAGAUAUUUUUUUCCUUACUCAGAAGACAGUAUCAGCCAUAAAUCAUACACUGGGACAAAUUUUGAGAGUUGCCUCAAAAUUUAUCCUAUCUUUUCAUUUUGAACUACAAUGACCUGAUUCUCGUGACACUCGAGAUAUGUAGGAAGCUCUGUACAGAAUUCAGUCGUCACAACCAUAAUCAUUCUUUCUUCUCAAGAAGUACACAAUCUUGCAUCCCCAAUAUCUUACAGCUCGAUACUGAGGCAAUUUUGAAUGAAGAAUCGGGAAUAGAUGAACACUCCUCUUCCCAAAUAGUCCUUCUUUUUAUAAUCAUCGUCACAUGGUCUCUCACUCUUAAAAACAGGGCGAUUCGCCUAAUCUUUUGAACUACACCCGACAUGAACCUCAUAUAAUUCGAGGUGUGUAGGCAACUCUAAACUAGGGUUUGAUCAAUUUUUUUAGGAAAAAUAAUUUUUUUAUCGAGCAAAAUUGUCUAUACAUCAACGUUUUCGUCUGAAGACUUCUACAUCGUCUUCAAACGAAAAGGGAUUGUUGUUGACACCCAAUUUUGGCUCUCCAUGCCUAAAAUUAAUGUUUUUAGGCUUUCUAAACUUUAAAGAGCAAAAAAUAUAAUUUUUUUUACAUAUUUUUAGAUUUUUUUAACAAAUUAUUGAUAAUUGUCAUUAUUUUAUAAUUUCUUCAUCAAUUUUUGUCAUAUUUUUAUUUUACAUAAUUUAUUAAUAAUUAUCUUUAAUUUUUAUAAAUUUUAGGAUUUUUACCAGCUUAUUAUCUUUUUAAUAUUUUUGCACAGUCAUCUGCAUACGCACACAUCAUAGCAUUGCAAUUCAUUAUUGUACAAUAUAAUUUUAAUUAUUUUAUAGCAUAAUAUAUUUUUUCAAGAUAAUUAUAUUUUUUAUUUAUUAUUUAUAAUUUUUUUUGUUUUUAUAUAUCGGCAUUCAUUAUUUUAUAUGUUAUUUAAUACGACCCACAAAAGCUGAGUUUAAUAUAUUAUUUCAAUACACAGUACGAUAAUAAUUCGGUGUCUUUAUCACAUUAAAAUAAACAAUAUUAAUGUAAUUUUUUUUUUCCUAUUUUCUCCACUUUUUUGAUUUUCCCACAUCUUCUUUCCAUCAACUUUCCCUAAUUUAAGGGAUAUGUUGGAAGAAAAAAAUAUAUUUGAUAAAUUUUUUUAAAUACACAACACAAUAAAUACACAAAAUACGUAUAUACACGACAUAACAUCAUAUUUUUUAUAACUUUUUUAAUUAAUUACAUUUUUUCAAUAUUUUCAACGUUCUUUAUAUUAUUUCAUAAUUACAAUUUUUUUUUGUAUUUUUAUGAUUCACAAACACUGAAUCGGAUUAAUUAUUUUUACACAAUAUAAUACAAAAUAAAAAAGGGGAGACAAACACUACAAAAUAAGGGCAGCCACAAGAUAUAUUGACACCUUUUUCUUUAAAUAUACACCCCACACAAUUACACACACAAACACACGCAUAAUCUACACCCCAAAAAUUUGAUCUCCCCCUCUCUCUCAAUUUCAUGCCCCUCUCUCUCUACUCCCUCUCUCUCUUCUUCUCUCUAAAAAACCAUAGCCUCACCACCGGCGAACUGCCGCCGGUGGACCACCAUGAAGCUUUCUUCUUCCCUUACUUCCCAUACCUCUCACAUCUCCACCGCCGCCGUUCCAGCCGGCAAAACUCUAACGCCUUAAGCUGCCAGCCACCAGUCCAACCCCCACCCCCUUCCUUUUCUCCCCCCAAUUUUUCUCUCUCCGAUGCCUCACUGCCGACCACCGGAUUCAAUUGCCGGACGGCCGAUAUCACAAAUCGCUANNNNNNNNNNNNNNNNNNNNNNNNNCUUUUCCCACCAUUAAUGGAGGAAACUACCUCGUCAGAGAAAUGGCCAGAUCUGGCCGGGCUCGUGUUUCUCCGGCGUUGCUCCGGUGAAGCCCGUUGAAGCAACGCCGGUAUUAUCGCUAUUUAAAAUUUUUCUUUCAUUAAAAUUCGAUUAUUAUGUUGGUUAACUGUUAUUUCUCUAACCAUUGCUCCGUUAUAUGUUCAUGGAUUUUAUUGUACUAUUUUGUUUGAAUUGUUGUUGACAUUUUGGUUAGCUCCAUGAAUUCCGGUGAACCUUUGACAUUGUUGUCAUACAAUUAUUGUAAGUUAGUUGUAGUUGUUGUUGUGGUUUGGCUCUAUGAUUUUUUACCGAUUCUGUAUUUUUUUUCGUGACUAACAUUUUGCCGUUUGAUACUACAAUGAUAACGAACAAGAAAGGCCAACACUUGGUUAAUAAAAUUAUCUCUCCGUCUAGAUAUUUGAGGCCACCCCAUUACAAAAAAACAAACUUUAUUUUCUCAAAUUUAUUAUUUUAUAUUAAGGGACGACACUUGACCGAUGAAGAAAUUAUUCAUCGAUUUUCGAAGCCUUCACAAAUAAAAAGAUGGAUAUUACAUAUAUAAAUACGUAAUAAAAUAAAUAAAUUUGGACGAUGACAAAAUUUUUAUUACAACUCAAAAGAUUUUAGGACUCGUAUCUUGGCAAGGCGAUUUAGGAAGGCCAACAAAUUGAGCAACCACUUCGUAGCCAUGGCGUAUCUAAAAUUUAAUCCGAGCCCAUCUUUUAGCAAGAAUUAUAUUUUUAAGUACAUAUAUGCACACUUACCUUUUAAAUUUAUUUUGAUAAUUAUUUAUUUGUUACCAAUAUUUUUAUUACAAGUGUUUGUACAGGUUCUCGGGAAUACUCAUCGGGAAUGAUAUUCAGAGAAGAGCUUGAAUUUUUUUUUUCGUAUUUGUAUUCUCUUUUAUUCUUAUCAUUGUACAAAUAUUAAUUAUAGUGAAAUCUUUAUUUUUGGGGCGCUGGGCAGGGAUGUUCUUUAUUUAUACAAUCCUUACACGUGUUAGGCAAAUUUAGGCCGUUAAUAUCUAUAUUAAAAUUAAUUUAGAUAUUUGAUUAAAUAAUUAACACUUUUUACACUAAAAAACAUUGUGUAAUUUUUUCAUUAAAAACAAUAUCUUUUUUUUAUUUAAUCUCUGCCUUUCUUUUUUAUAUAUCCUUAUAUACGUUUGUUUAUACAUCUUUACGUGCGUUUAUAUAUAUAUAUUGCAAUAACAUAUGUAUUAUAUUAUUUUUGUAUUUGCAAAUAUUGAUUUUUCUUUUUAUUUUUUAAUAAUAAACCUAAGUCUGGUCGGGAACUACAGUUGUGGAUUCUGAAGGAUGCCUAACCCAUUCCCUUCGAAAUAAUUUGAACCCUUACCUAGAACUUAAAUUGGUUUGGUAGAUUAGAAUAAAAUCAUACUUGUUAGAUAAAUAAAUAGGUUUCCUAUUUUUCUUUAAAAUUAGGUGGUGAAUUUAUACAAAAUUUAUUCUUUUAGAGUCCACUAUGUCAUGCUCGUUUUGACCUUAGGUAAAAAUCGAGUAUGACACAGAUCAUUAUAGCCUUAAGUAGCUCCUUUCCCAGCGUAUUACAACUGAUGAGCAACAAAGAUUAUUGAUGAAAUUGCUUCCCUUCGACUUCACAAUUAUCUAUAGAGCAGGGAAAGACAAGUUGGGGGUUGAUUCUCUUUCAAGGAGGCCAUUGAAUGUUGAAUCUUGUUGUUCCUGUACCAUUGGAUUUUUCAAACUGGCAAGAUUCUCUCCAAGAAGAUACAUAUACUCGUGAGAUUAUUCAAGCAAUCUACCAAGACCCUUUCUUGCAACCAGAUUUUCACAUGGUGGAUCAGAAACUUUAUUUCAAGGAAAGAUUGGUUAUUCCAGAUCAUUCUUCUGUCUGACAAAAACUUAUCUCAGAAUCACAUGAUACACCUUUUGCUGGACAUGGAGGAUAUUUUAAAACCUUGAAACGCCUUUUAUCUAACUUUUUCUGGCCAAGGAUGAAGUAGGAUGUUAAACUCUUUGUGUAGAACUGUAUGGUUUGUCAACAGGUCAAAUACCAAGCUUUGGCCCCUGCUGGACUUCUGCAACCAUUGCCUUUACCUGAUAGAAUAUGGGAUGAUAUCUCACUUGAUUUUAUUAUAGGACUUCCCAAAUCUGGUGGUUAUGACACAAUUUUGGUUGUCGUAGAUCGUCUUAGCAAGUAUUCUCAUUUCAUCCCACUUUCUCACCCAUAUAUUGCUAAGACUAUUGCUAAUAUUUUUUGCAAGGAAAUUAUACGUCUCCACAGCAUUCCUCGGUCCAUCUUAUCUAAUCGAGGUGCUAUCUUUCUCAGUGCUUUCUGUCAAGAGCUUUUUUGACUUAGCCAAACAAGAUUAAGAAUGGGUACGUCUUAACAUCCACAAUAUGAUGGACAGACCGAGGUGGUUAAUAGAUGCUUGGAAUCUUAUUUGCCAUGCUUUGUUAUGGAGCAACCUCAUACAUGGAGUCAGUACUUACCAUGGGCAAAAUUUUCUGUCAACACAGGUUACCACUCAUCCAUAGAGACUAUUCCAUUCAAGAUUGUUUAUGGUAGAGAUCCUCCUUUUAUUUCUCCUUUUGUUCAUGGAGAAACACGCAUUCCUGAACUUGAAAAACACCUUUGAAUCAUGAUGCCAUGUUGAAAAUUAUUAAGGAUAACCUUUUAAAGGCUCAAACUCGAAUGAAACAACAAGCUGAUUCUCAUAGGCGAGAUGUUGCCUUUCAAGUUGGAUAUUCUGUCUUUCUAUGUGUUUAGCCUUACUGACAAUGAUUUUUGGCUAAUCGCAGGCAUGAAAAAUUGUCACCUUGGUUUUUCGGACCAUAUAAAAUCUAACGUUGUGUUGGAUCUGUAGCAUAUGAACUGGAGCUAUUGUCUUCUUCCAAAGUCCAUCCAAUUUUCCAUGUAUCCUUGCUCCAUCCAGCUCAUGGUCAGCAAGUUGUUACGCUGCCAGCCCCUCUUCCUCUUAUCGAAAACUGGGAACUCGACUUAUCUCCUGCCAAAAUACUUGCACAUCGAUGGAUCAAAGAAGAUGGUGCAUUUUCUUUGGAAUUGCUAGUUCAAUGGGUUGACCGUCUCCUUGAAAAAGUUAGUUAGGAGAUCUAUGAUCUCAAUGCAAAUCAAUUCCCUUAUUUUUGCCUUAAGGACGAGGAGACUUUUCAUGGGGGAUGCACUGAUAUGACUGCUCCUUUACGGACUUAUUCUAGAAGAAAAUCCAGACAAACAAGUGGAGAUAAUCUGUCUUAGUUAGUUUCAGAUAAGAUAAGUUAUAUAAGUAGUUAUUUAUAGAAGUUAUCAUCAGUUAAGUACAGCAGCAACUGUCUGCCUAUGUCCUAUGUUUAUGUCUUAGUCAGCAACAUCUGUCUAUAUACAUCCUAUCUUUAUGUUUUAGUAUAAAUAUUGUAUCUGGAGAAUUCUAAAACAGAUCAGCAGUAUUAUUGUAUUUCUAUCUGGAGUUUUGUCUACUCCAUACGGACUUAGUUAUUGGUUACUGUAGUGUUUAAGAUUCUUGCGCUUUAUUUAACCAGCAAUAUUUUCAUUUCAUUCUCUUCUUCAACUUAGUUUCUAUCAGCCUGGCGCACCCCACCAAUUCUAGUUCAAUGUUUGAGCAGUGUGUAACUUUGGCCCAGUGCUUUACCAAUAAGUUUGAGUUACUUCAUACUAUUUACUGAUACUGAUUUAACAAACAGUGUAGCCAUUUUACUUGAACAGUAAAUGCAAAGAAAUUUUGCACACUAGAAUUAAAAAAAAAAGUAAAUAUGGGUGCAAUGUCAAUCCUGAUAAUGCAAAUUCCAUACUGCUGAAGCUUUGACCAAAUUUAGUUCAAUGUUUCAGCAGGGUGUUGGUUUUUCCUAGUACUAUAUGUGUUACCACUUGUAAUAUUCAUGCCUCCCUUCCUCCUCCGUGUGUGAGAGAUACCGGUGGUGUCCGUACACCUUAACUAUUAUAUCAAAUUAUUGGAUACCUACCACAUUUCACGUACUGAAUAAUUGUCCACCAAGACUUCUAACACAUGGAAAGAAAUCACAGAACCUUGGUUUCACAUAAUUGUCACUCAUUUCAUUGAUCACUAGACACCUCACGUACUAAAUACUUGUGUCCACCAAUACUUUAGCACAUGAAAGAAAUCACAAAACCCUGGGUUCACAUGAUUUUCACUUAUUCCAUUGAUAGCUAGACACUGCUGGAUGCUACUAGAAGACUAUUUUAGAAUGUGCAUCUUAGUUCAGCUGUAAUUGCAAGGCUCUGAUAUCAACCACAUCAACAAUUCUACCUAACACUUCAUUGUCCGUUCUUGGAAAAAUUGUCCAUUAAAGAGAGAGGUUGGGAAGAAGGGUUAUGUAUUGAGUUUAUAUUAUGUCUGGAUGGAUUUAGAUAUCCUCUUUGCUAAAAAUAUAUAUUGUGUAAAAUGAGCAACUUUGGAUCCGUAACGUGAAAUAAGCAAAUAUAUCAAAGACUUUUUGAAUAUUGAAUCUAACAUCUAGCAUUGGUCCCAGCGAAGACCUCUCUCUUUUAUUAGAGCAAAGGGUGCCUAACCUGAAAGAGGAAAUAGUAAUUUUCCUCGAUGAGAAAGAGUUAUAUCAGUAGUUUAUCUGGUAUGAAUUCCUAAUUACCAGUCUUAGUAAUGAUAAUGAAUUAUGCCAAGGGAAGCUCGUGCCAACCAGUGUCUCAAGCUGUCGGAGAAAGGACCAGUCAAUCCAAUGUAGUGAAGCUGUAAAAGGGGUAUAAAAGUUGUUUAUAUAAAUGUAGAGAAUGAAGAUGAAGUUAUUUGAUUUCAUUGAUAUGUAUGUGUAUAUAUACAAGAGAACCCAAACUAAUUAAGGAAAGAAUCAACUAAUAAAGAAUUGUGAUCUUCUCCCAAAUGGAAACUAAAUCUCUAUGAGAUACUAAAUCAAUUAUGAGAUACUAAAUCAACUAUGAGAUAUCUUAACAUGUGGUACAUACUCUAUUAUGCCCCCUAUAGUUAGGUAUGAUGAGACAACACCUAACUCGGGUAGCAUCUGCUGGAAGGCUGGCUUAGACAAUGGUUUGGUGAGUGGAUCUGCAACUUGAUCAGUGGAGUGGAUGUGUGAUACUUGGACUAGGCCAUUACGAACUUGAUUGCGAACAAAGUAAAGAUCGACCUUGAGGUACUUUAUUUUUGUAUAAUGUACCGGGUUUUCCGCAAUGUAAGUGACCCCAAGGUUAUCACAAAGUAAUGUAGGUGUAAUAGAGAGUAGCACAUGAAUAACCCUGAGAAAGUGAGUGAUCCAGUUUGUUUUAGAAAAGGCAGAGGCAACUGCCCUAUACUUAGCCUCAGUGGAGGAAUGAGAGACAGUGGGUUGCUUGCUAGAACACCAGGAAAUAGGAGUCGUACCUAGAAAAACAAUGUAGCCAGAGAUUGAGCGACAAUUAUUAAUAUCACCCACCCAAUCAAUGUCAGCAUAGGCAUAAAGAUCAGUGGACUGGUGUGGAGAAAUAUGAAUAACAUUUUGAGAUUUUUCUUUGAGAUACCGAAGGAUUCGUUUAACAGCCUUUCAAUGAACCACUGAGGGGAAGUUGUUAAACUGAGUAAGCUUUUUUACUGAAUAUGUGAUAUCCGGUCUGGUAAAAGAAAGGUAUUAAAGUUUACCAAGUACAGUCCUAUACUCUUUACUAUCAGUUUUAGGGGCUCCGUCAUCUACCUGUAGUGCCUCAAAUGUACUCAUUGGGGACUGAACGCCUUUGCAGUCUUGGAUUUGAGUGUCAUGCAAUACCUCCUGAAUAUACUUAGAUUGACUAAGAAACAGACCGUUGGCAUCUCUGUGUACCUCAAUGCUCAAGAUAUAGUGCACUAAUCCAAGAUACUUAAGAGAAAAUCUUUUGGAAAGAGAAGUAAUGACUUCUUGAAGAAGUGUUUCAUUACUGCCAGUGAGUAUGAUGUAGUCCACAUAAAUUAGUAUAUAAAUAGUUACACCUAAGUUAUGCAAAACAAACAAAGAAUUAUCAGAUUUAGAUAUACGAAAUCCCAUUCUGAUUAGAGAAUCAGUGAGUGCAUCCUACCAGGCUUUAGGAGUUUUUCGUAGUCCGUAGAUAGCCUUUUUGAGAUGACAGGCAUAGUCAGGAUGUGCUGAACUUUCAUACCCGGGUGGUUGGGUCAUAUAGACAUCUUUACGAAGCUUUCCUUACAGAAAAGCAUUAUUGAUAUCUAUUUGAUGUAAGGGCCAACUUUUUUGUAGAGCAACAGUAAGGAUGGUCCGAAUUGUGGUUGGUUUAACCACUGGACUGUAUGUUCUUAUAAAAAUCAACCCCAGGCAUUUGUGUGAGCCCUUUUGCAACCAAACAAUCUUUGCACCUAUCAAUGGAUCCAUCAGGCUUGGUUUUGAUUCAAAACAACCAUUUACAAGGAACAAUAUUUCUGGUGUAAGGAAGAAUUACAAUAAGUAAACUUAUCUUUUGAAGAAUAUGAAAGACAAGAACUAUUUAAAAUGGAAAGAAAAACUCGAGAGUGGUCUUCGAUGCCAUAGAUGUAAGAAAGGUUCAGCAAUGGCAAUGUUGAUGUUUGGUUGAGUCAGGGAUGGCCAUUCAUAGAGACCUGCUUUAUUCGGGCCACGCAGAAAAGGUGCUCCCAUAGUCAGAUCCUUCAUAAGAAAAGUAAAAGGAAAAGAUUCUAAGGAGGUUAGAUUUUCUUCACAAAAUAGAUGAACUAAAAUGAUUUUGUGUUAGAUAGCUGGAGCACACAAAAUACUAAGUUUGAAGACAGUAUUUGAUGCAGUUAAGUGAGUAUUACCAGUUUGAGUAAUCGAAAUCACAUUACCACUGCCCAUUGUUACUGCGUCCAGACCUUUGAAUUCUUGAACACUGUGGAGUGAGUUGGUAUCCAAGAUGAUGUGGUGAGAUGCAUCCAAAUCUAGAAUCCAGGAGUCAAUUGGUGUUAUGUGCGCAACAAAAUUUGCUUUUGCUUCAAGGUGGUUAUGGGACCGAGAGCGACAAACAUUUACUGUAUGCCCAAAUUUGUCAUAAAGUUGACAGCGUACUCAUGAUGAUUGGUGUGGGUAGUUACGCCAUUGAGAAUUAUCCAUUGGAUUGCGCCACUGGGAAUUAUCCAUUGGAUACUGAGAAUGAGUGCUUUGAUUAGGCUGCCUGUAUUGUGGACGCUAGUUAUUAUUGUUGGAUGAGCGUCUAUUGUUGUGUGGGGCUGAUGGAGCUGAUGGAGGAUUUGGCACUCAUUGAGGAACAACUGCUGUGAUCUGGGCUGAAGUUUUCUUGAGGUCCUCAUGUUUGAGGAAAAGUUCUUGAUUAAGAAGCUUGUCAAAAAGUUCUUUAUCGCUAAUAGGAGAGUCCCUUUCCCGUAUGGCUGUAGAGAUCUCACGGAAUUCUAACUCGAGUCCACUCAGUAUUUCAUCACUAGUUCUUCAUUAUUGAUGGGUGAAAUUAUUGUGGCGAGUUCAUCAGAGAGAGAAUCUCUAGCAUAUAUUCGGAAAUGGAUUUGUUGUCCUUACUGAGUCGUUUGAGAUGGUGACGAAGGCUGAAGACGCGGGUUUGUGAUUUGUUUGCAAAUAAAGUGUGAAGUUGAUCCCACACAACUUUGGAGUUGAUUGCAGAAGCUACCGUGGAUGGAUUGUGGCAUCUACAAAGGCCAUGAGAGCAUUUUGGAUCAAUUUAUCCUAAAGAAACCAAUCCUUGUAUGCAGGGUUGGCUGUCUCAAGGCCGUUAGUUAUGAUUGUUUUAGCAGGAAACAAUAUGGUGCCAUCAAGAUGACCAUAAAGGUCAUGGACAUGAAGCAACAUGGCAAUGUGGGCUUUCCAGAUGGUGAAAUUAGUGCUGCCAGUUAGUUAAUGGGCAGCUGGGAUGAUGGAUUGAAUUGAAUCAAGUGUUUGAGGACAGGGUCUGCGUUAGCAUUAACGACGGGGGCAGAAGUGGCCAUCGCUCUAAAGAGAAGAAGAAGAAGAAAUGGAUCUUGGACUCUGUUGAGAGUAUUUUGGAAUUUAUACCCUAUAAAUGUAGAGAAUGAAGAUGAAGUUGUUUGAUUUCAUUGAUAUGUAUGUGUAUAUAUACAAGAGAACACAAACUAAAUAAGGAAAGAAUCAACUAAUAAAGAAUUGUGAUCUUCUCCUAAAUGGAAACUAAAUGACUAUGAGAUACUAAAUCAAUCAUGAAAAAUCUUAACAUGUGGUACAUGCUCUAUUAGUUUCGAGUCACACACUCAAAUCUUAACCGCGAAAUUUUAGUAUUUUCAUGAAUCCUCUUAUAUAAAUUUUUGGCUCCAACACUGAUUAUUCCUAUUGGUUUAUUACAAACUAUAUUCAAAAUGAACCAAUUUACAAAAUAUUUAUUAAAUUAAAGACUAUUUGGGAGGACUAUAUUUUUGCCUUUGCUCCUUUUGUUAUGUUCACCAAUUCCACAUCAGAGGAAGAUUGGAAGUAGACAAUAGAAAGUUGCUCCUUUUUUCGGCCUUUUGGAUAAAGAUCAAGUGUAGCAUCUGUUCUUAUCAGUUUAAUAUCAUAUAUGUGUACCAUUGGUCCGCACUAUAUUAACUCUAUUUUUUUAAGGGGAAGGUCCAUUAGGUAGCUUGCUAUGUAAUGACCCUUCAGGUCAUUUUUCAUAUUUAUGCUUAUCUUCACCGUUUGAGAUUCUCCAUAGCUACCGCAAGUCAUUUAUGACUUUCUGGAACUGACGGUUUGGUUACCGGGCAGUUCGUUUGGAUUUUAGAAGUAAUUCCCUGUUUAGAAGUCUUCACUAGUUCCAAAUGGCCACUGAGUGAAAACUUCAGUGAAACGAUCUCGGAUACAAAUUUUGACUAUGCCAGCAGAUCUGGAAUAUCAAUGUAAGUUUGGGUAGACCUUUGGUUCAGGUUAAAUGCACCCAAGCUCAUUUCGAGCUAUUGACCGGAAUUUAUGAAAAAUGAAACUAUAGGUGUGGCCCCACUUUUUCCCAAAAUGAUCUCUAAUGAAAUUUUUGAUGAUUCCAAUAAAUUUAAAAUGUGGUUUACACUCAAAUUUCACUAUUGGAUCAUAUAUUUUGGUUUUCGAAUGAGUUUCGAGGGUUAAAAAUAAGUUUUUGACUUUGCUGGUGGCCCAGACAGCGACUGCGGAUCUCCAAAGCUGGUAGGGGUAUUUAAGCACCCUAUAGACCGCGUUUUUCACCAUUUUUCACUCAUUUUUGAGAGCCUGAAAUCCUAAAUGGUUAUGAUAACUCAAAAUUGAGUCUUUUGGGUGUCUAGGAAACUUGGUAAAUAUCUUUUAUAAGAUUUUAUCACUUUAUUGGUGAAUUUCUUAGUUCUUGACCCAAAACUCCAAUUUAGCUUAGGUCUUGAUUUAGCCCUAAAUUUGGUUUGUUUUCACCAAUUCAUUGAGGGUUAUGAUUCCUUGGUGAUGUAUGAGCAUUGGGUUGACCUCGAAAAUGCGAUUUCCGUACGUGGGACCCACUUGGAGUUUUUGGUGUCAUUUUUGGAUCCGAAGCAUAAUAGUGUAAUAUGGGUAUCGUUAGACUCGUAUUGAUGAGUAGAUUAUAUUAUUGAUAGUGUGAUGGAAUUUUAGGGAUUGUGAAGUGAAGACGAGCAUGUGGUGUUUGAAGUGUGAUUUUGUGGUUUAGCCUCGAGGUAGGCUUCUGUCUAUUCUUCUUCACGGAUGAUUUAUGAUAUAUAUUGUGUGUCAAUGUGAAUGUAAAGAUUGAUAUUGGAUAGAAUGACUUAGUAUUUAUUAUACAUAUAAGUUUGGGAAUUAGAUGGGGGUUUUGACCCGUAGGUUGAAAUACUUAAUAUCCUUGUAGAAUCCUAUUGCCUUCUCCUUAAUUUGGGUAAAUUUGUAGCGUGGAUAUAAUAUAAUGCUAUGCUUGGAAUAUCGUUUUAGCAUUUGAAGCAUGAUUUGUAUAUUUAGCAUUAUUAGGCUAGUGUGAUAGUUUUGAAACUGUAAGUUUGGUAGAGUUGACUUGAGUACCCUUGUUUCUAGUCGAAGUUACUAUCUUAGGCUUUAAUAUGGCUUGCUUGAUAUCUAAAAGAUGAACUAGAUACCUUAGCCUAGUUUGGGGCAUAGUAUGCUUAAUUAUGAAAAUUAUGGAUUAAAGUGGGAUCAUUCGACCCUCUUAGGCCUAAGCUUAUGUUAAGUCUUGUGGACUUAGUUACGGAUGUUAGACCUAUACGAGCUAGUAAACCUUAGAAUAAGGUUACUUCAUAACUGGGUGACUUGUAUUGAUGUUUCAGGAUUGUGGCUAUUUAGUUAUGGUUAUGAUACUACUUGUGGAAGUGAUAUUGGGCAUUUAGAGAUAUUCCUCCUAGAUACAUUAUGUGGCCUAUAGAGAUGCUAUUUCCUCUUAGACAUGAUGAUUGGACUAUAGAGAUGCUAUUUCCUCUGAGACUAGAUGAUUUACCUAUAGAGAUGCUAUUUUCUCUUAGACUUGAUGAUUGGCCUAUACAAAUGCUAUUUCCUCUUAGACUUGAUGAUUGGCCUAUAGAGAUGAUAUCUCCUCUUAGACUUGAUAUUUGGUCUAUAAUUUGCUAUUUCCUUUAGUUAUGAUUGUUGGACCUAUAGAGAUGAUGGUUCUUUUGGAUAUGUAAAUUGUCCUAGAGAAGCAAUAUUUCUCGUCGUCUUGACGUAUGACCUAUUGAUAUAUGAUAUCCUAUAGUCAAUUACAUGUUUAUCUAUAUUAUGCCUCCAAGAUGUGAGAUAUCUCUAGUGUAAGAGAUGAUAUCAUAUUUAUUUAUUAUGCCUCCUAUAUGUGAGAUGCCUUCUAUAUGUGAGAUGAUUAGAGUUAUGCUACGGCUUAUACGUGUGAUUAUUGAUAUGAGUUCCGGAUAUGUAUAUGGGCCUAAGGCCAUGAUUAUGAUUUUGUGAUUAUUCCGAACAAAUUAAUGGGCCAAGGGCCGUGUUAUAGUACUGAUUAAAUAUCCAAGAAGUGUUUAUUGUUAUAAAUGAUGUGAUUGGGAUUUAUGAAUAUGAAUAUGUAUAUGUUUGUAUACACAUCUCUCCGGUAUGGGACGGAGGAAGAUGCAUUAUGAUGCUUACUAUUCCACUACCUGAAUACUGGUGAUUGCAUGCAUAGGUUUGGUAUGUUAGUGAUUAUUUAUCAUUAUAAAUGAAGUGAUUAUAGCUGAAAUAUGAUCUUAUGAUUGUUCUUCUUGUUAGGCGGUUAAGCUAUAUGGUAACUAGUUGUCUAUUAGCUGAAUAUUACACUUGAUGGCUAGGAAGCUAAUGUAUUAGUUAAUGAAUCUUGCUUAGUUGGAACAUGGUAGCUAAUGAUGGUUAGUUAAUGAAUGAUGUCAUUUAAUAAAAGAUGGUUAGGCGAUAAGUAGAAUGUGUUGUCUAGUAAUGAUUAACAAAAAUAGGAUGAAUAGUUGAUAAUAAUGAAUGGUGGAUACAUGACGGUUUUGGUAUAGUGAUGAACCUAGACUAGAUGUUAGAUGUUGACUAUUAAAUGAAUAGUGGUUAUUUGUUAUCCCAUGAACAAGGAUUACGUGAAGGAUAAUGUUUAGGCUAUUAACUAGAGGUUAUGUGAUGACUAGUGAACUAGUGGUUUAAUAAUAUUAAGUGUUGGUUAGCUAAUAAUGAGUACUUGGGAUGUAUUGAUAAGAUAGACAUCUUUACAAUUAUGAGUACAUCAGCUUGUGUCUGUGCACCUAUUAUAUGCCUAUAUUUAUGUGUCAAGAGUUAUGAUGAUACAUUGGUACCCGGCAAGGACAGAGGACAUUGCGAUGACAUACUGAUACUUGGCAAGGCCGGAGGAUAUUAUGAUGAUAUUGAUACCCGAUUUGAGUCCGGAGGAUAGCAUUGAGAUGAUAUUAAUUCUCGACAAGGCCAGAGGAUAUUAUAAUGAUAUUGAUACUCGGUUCGAGUCCAGAGGAUACUAUUGAGAUGAUAUUGAUUCCCGGCAAGGCCAGGGAAUAUUAUGAUGAUAUGGAUACCCGAUUUGAGUUUGGAGGAUACUAUUGAGAUGAUAUUGAUUCUUGGCAAAGCUAGAGGUUUAUUACGAUGAUGAUGGUCCUGAUGAGUACAAUUAUGAGUUGUAAUAUUGAUGGUAUACUUUUCAUUCAUUCCUGCAUGUGCAUUGCCUAUCACCACUAUGCACCUAUGUCUAUCAGCCGGUAUGGGACGGUUACAUAGAUAUAGGUGAAGAAUAUGCCUUGUGUUAUUAUAUGUUGAUUGAACCUUCCGAGUCUGGGGCGGUGGGGGUAUGCAUAGGCUCCGCUAGGUAUUUGGUUGUCCGGUGUAACCUGUUAUUUACAAUGUUGUUGAUAUUGUUAUUAUCAUUGUUUUGAUCAUUAUUAUGGCUAGCCUAUGACAGAUUGGUCAUGGAUCCAGUAUUGGGAUUUAUUUAUGUCUUUGGCCUUUGCUAUCUUAUGAUUACAUUACUAUACACGAUUAUUCUAUGUCUAGCCAUAUGGAUUAGAAAUCCUGAGUAUGUUGGUAUUAAAUCUUGAUAGUAUUAUAAUGAGGUCUUAAAAUGAGAACAUGAUGAUCUAGGUUAUGUUUGAGAUGGCCUCCUAUUUAUAUGUAUUAUAUAUAUAUAUAUAUAUAUAUAUCUAGCUAUAUGAAGUCAUGGUACUAUCGGAUAUUCCUUUCUUCGUUGUUCAUAUUGUAUAGUAGUUCCUUUACCUUGUAUAUAACAAUAUAUCUUUCUUUCACUCUUUAUUUGUAUAUUGACCUGGGAUAUAUGGUAUAGCUUUGGCAUAUAUUGAAUGGCUGGAAUAGGAUAGUUCACCUUGAUACUUCCUUAGUCUUAUUAUGUUAGACUCUUAGACAUGAAUAUGUAGUUGUCCCUUGUUAUUCUCAUUGACUUAUUACAUGAUUUAUGGACUCUUGGUUGUAGUUUCUAUUUUGUUUAUAUGUUGUAUAUAUCUACUUUAUCUUUGGAGCUCAGUUGGCAGUUGCCUACUGAUUACCAUUCAUUUGGAACUCAUACUACACUUCCGCAGCCUGCAGAUCAUAGUACGAGUUAUCGCCAUUGAUGUGUGCAUCGUGUUGAGUAGCCCUGAUUCGGAGACUUAGAGUGAGCUCCUGACAUUUGGAGUAUUGCUUAUCUCUUUCCUAUGUAUUAGACUAGCCUCUAAGUUGUAUUCUGAAGUAAGUUGAAUCAGUGUAUUUCUCCUUGAUGUAUCACUUUUGUACUCUUAUUAUAUUUAGUAGCUCUUGUACUGAUACCACUAGGUUUUGGGUUUUGCCUAUGUAUUGAUCUUUAUCUCAUAUAUUCCGUAUUUUUUUCUUAUGUUAUUAAGUAGUCCGUUACUAGCUGUUUUGAUCUAUAGGUUGUCUUGCCGGUUGGUGGGUUACGGUAGUCUCCAUCAUAACCUGAAAAGUUAGGUCAUGACAAAUUGGUAUUAGAGCCAGGUUUCUUCGGUGUAUUAGUACAUGAGCUAAGUGUUUGUAGAGUCUUGCGGAUCGGUGCGGAGAUGUCCGUAACCUAUCUUAUGGAGGCUACAGUAAUAUUUUAGGAAAUUCACUUUAUGACUCUUUAUCGUGUGUCCGCAUUCCUAUGAACCUUGAACAUAUUCUUUGAAUUUAUGUUAUCCAUGAAGGAUGAUGCGAUAUUGUUAACAUAUGCGGAUAAGACUUCAGUACGGGUUUCCAGAAUUUCAGCAUGGUAUGGUUCUUUGGGCCAUGGUGACCAUUCUGAAUUAUGAGGGGUAGUAUCUUGAAGUAUUCUAGAUUCUUGGUUUGGUUGUGUUGUGAUGAGACACUUGUUCUAAGAAUGCCCUUGGUAUGAGAUAAGUGAUCAAAUAGAGUUAGCAAUUAUUCCCCGCCAGCCUAGAGUUCCUAAAAUAGGCUGUGAUAUAGAAAGUUUGGACAUAAAUUUGCGGAUUUCUCCCAGCGUCAGUUGACCAUCCAUUUGGGCUUAGUUUGUGUUCUCUCAAUAUUAAUGCUUCAGGAAAUGCUAUGACUAUAGAGAGACCAACUACUAGUCUAGGGAGUAUCCCUAACAUGAAUAACAAUUAUUCAGCUCAUUUAGAUCAGCUCGUGAUGUUGUGGCAUCUUCAGUUAUAGAUGGUGUGUUUGGCGCCUCAGUUGUUGAUUCAGUCAGUCGAUCCGAUUUAGACCCGUUCAAAUUUAUUUUUCCUAUGCCCGUUAGUCACGUGACUGCAAAUGUUACCAAGAUUGGUGUGUUUUUACUUCUCACAUUUAUCUCUUAUUAUGUGUAUUUAGGUUUUCAUAUCCAUUGAUAAUCAUAUGUAUUGAUGAAUUUAUAUCGGUCAUUAUGUGCCUUAUUGUUGAAUUCAUGAUUAUAUUACUACUCCAUGGUUUAUUUCUUUUAGUAGUGGAUGGAGUAGAUCUAUAUUGAUGUUUUUUCCUUAUGGGUGUGGUUUUGGGUUUGAGUCCCAUUUAUCUUGACAUAUUAGCCCUGUUGUGGCCCUUGAGUAGUACAUGAUAUUGAUGUUCAUUUUGGUAUCGCCUAUUCAGAAUGUUGAUCUUGAUAUUGUUAUUGCUAUUGCUACCACUGUGUGAAAUUAUUGAUAUUACUUGAUAUUAUUACUUGAUGUUGUUACAUGAUGAAUUUGAUUCUCGCUGGUUAGCUGUAUAGACUAAUGUUAUCUAGUUAGAGUUUUAUUUUCUUGUGAUACUAAUUGGUGGCUAGAGUAGAUAUAGCCUGAUUUGGUAUUUUCUUUCCCCUAGCCUGGUGAGGUUGACUGUGUUCCCUCUUGGUUAGCUAUAUUAGAUUUGUUUGGGAACAUGUUGUGGUAUCAAAGGUAAGUUGACCUUCCAUGAUUUUUGUGGAUUUGAAUCGGCAAUUUAGUUAUGUUGCCCGUUUUUGAAUUUGAGAUUCUUAGACUUGUCUCCUGAUUUGUGAAGGAUUUUGUUUUGGCUAUCCCUUCCAAUAUAGCCCGUGUGAGAUGGACCAGUUUAAGAUCCAAUCUUUAUUUGUGGCUAUUUCUUCGCCCGAUAGUGGUUUUGACAUCGAUAUUGAGGUGUCAUGGAUUCGUCUCUUAGAUUUGACGGGUUCGUUCCUUUGUGAUGGAUUGCCUUGUUGUUAGUGUAAAGAUUGGAUACUCUUUUGUCGUUGCGAUAUGGUUUUGUCUAGAGGAGUUGGAAGAUAGAGACAGGUGGCCUUUCCUGUGACCACUUCUAAAGUUGGAAAAUUAGAAAUUCUUUAGCUUGAGUUGUUGGUACUCUGGUAGUUGUCUCGACUUUGACCUUGGCCUUGAGAUUGGUAUUUCUUCUUUGAUGAUGUGGUUCUUGGGUGGAUUCAGGAAAUCCCUAUUUCAACAUCUAGUGAGGCUUGGUGGAGUAAUUCUGCUCGAUGAUAUAUGUUUAUGGCUAUUUCUUUGCCUAGAUGGGGUAUUGUAUUGGUUAGUUUUUGUCUUAAAUUGCAUUUCUUCGACUUGCUAAUGUGUUUGCCUUCACUGGUGUGGUUUUAGGUCUUGAGAAGUUUGAGUAUGUUUUGAUAGCUCAUGCCCUCUAGCAAAUAUGGGGUGUGUUAUUUGCAUUUUCAGUCGACGAUUUACCCUUUAACAUGAUUUCUAAAUUGUGGCUAGGUAUGAUUUAUCUCGGAUAUGUUAGACUUAGAUACUAAAGUCGAUUUGAAUGGUUGGUAAUGAUAUAGGUUUAUUGGUUCAGUUUUGACUUGACGCUUUGGAAUGACGAUUGAGAAGUAUGAUAAAUUUGGAUCAUUAGUGCCUACCCAUUCUUAGUUUUUGUUUAAGAUAUUUGAGACCGAGCAAUUCAGCCUUGGUAUUGAGAUUUCAGCAAGGUGUUGUAGAGCUUGCGUGCAACUUUUGUUUUUGACUUGUCUUCAUUCAAAUUUCAUUUAUAAGAUGGUUGAACCUACUCUGUGGUUCUCUAUUCAGUCUUCUUGACGUCAGUUGGAUUAUAGUUGAUAAGUGUUCAGAUGAUAACCCAUGGGCCCCGUAUUGAUUAUUUCAGUUUUGACAUCGAGUUUCAGUUUUCUUUGGGAAUUUUGGAUAAUUUACUCAGUGAGAGUAAUAUACUCGAGUUAGAUUUAGGAUGCCUUAUUCUCAAUUGAUGGGACAUCCCGAGUGAAGUAUUCAGUCAUAAGUAGUUAUACCUUGGAUUUUGAAUUUCAGUUUGAUUUUCAUUCAGACUGGUUGUAGCAUUGACACGGAUUGCAUUUCUUGAUUAUCUCCAUUUGCAUGCCCAGAUAAUGCCUUAUGAGCUUAUUUCCAUGUUUGCCUUAUGGACUUUCAGCGGAUCAACUUUAGUUCUUUGAUUUCUCCAUGAUGAGAUGGAGUCGAUGAGACUUAGGUGAUUUUCCUCCUGGUUUGGAGUUAAGAGCAUGUAUGUGUAAAAGUGUUAACUAUGACUUAUGUCUUGGUUUGCUUUUGGUUUGGAUGAGCCUUUGUUGAUUUAUAUGAAUAUAGAGAUGGUAUCAGCAUGAUGUCAUUCAGAUGUGCGUGCACCGGCCUUUCAAGUUCAGUUGGAGGCCAGUUAGCGGUUAAGUUGAGUUGGCUAUUUUGGAAGUAGAAUGAGAGUGCUUGUUGAAAAAGGGAUACUUGUGUCAAAAUCUCUUAGAAGUGUUUUCUCUCUUGAGGUUACCUGAGAAGUCAUGCUUGGAGCAUGUGGGCCUAAUACCUUAUCCGUUCGAGCUUUUGAGAUUCUUUCUAUCCGUUGACUUUAGGGGACAAAGUCCUUUUAGUAAUGGAUGUUGUAAUGACCCUUAAGGUCAUUUUCCAUAUUUAUGCUUAUCUUCACUGUUUGAGCUUCUCCAUAGCUGCCCCAAGUCAUUUAUGACUUGCUGGGACCUAAGGUUCGGUUACCGAGCAGUUCGUUUGGUUUUUAGAAAUAAUUCCUGUUUAGAAGUCUUCACUAGUUUCAAAUGACCACCGAGUGAAAUCUUCAGCAAAAUGAUCUCGGAUGCAAAUUUUGACUACGCCAGCAGAUUCGGAAUAUCGAUUUAAGUUUCGGUAGACCUUUUAUUUGGGUUUCAAUGCACCCGAGCUCAUUUUGAGCUAUUGAGCGGAAUUUAUGAAAAACGAAACUAUAGGUGUGGGCUCCACUUUUUUCCAAAACGAUCUCGGAUUAAAGUUUUGAUGAUUCCAAUUUAUUUGAAAUGUGGUUUACACUCAAAUUUCACUAUUGGAUCAUAUAUUUUGGUUUCUGAAUGAGUUUCGAGGGUCAAAAAUAAGUUUUUGAUUUUGCUGGUGGCCCAGACAACGACUGCGGAUCUCCAAAGCUGGUAGGGGUAUUUAAGCACCCUAUAGGCCGCGUUUUUCACCAUUUUUCACUCAUUUUUGAGAGCCUAAAAUCCUAAAUGGGUGUGAUAACUCAAAAUUGAAUCUUGUGGGUGUCUAGGAAGCUUGGUAAACAUCUUUUAACAUGAUUAUCAUCCGGAUUAAGGUAAAUUUUAUCACUUUAUAUGUGAAUUUCUUAGUUCUUGACGCAAAACCCUAAUUUAGCUUAGGACUUGAUUUAGCCCUACAUUUGAUUUGUUUUCACCAAUUCAUUGAGGGUUAUGAUUUUUUGGUGAUGUAUGAACAUUGGGUUGACCUCGAAAAUGCGAUUUCCGUACGUGAGACCCACUUGGGGUUUUUGGUGUCAUUUUUGGAUCCGAAGCAUAAUAGUGCAAUAUGGGUAUCGUUAGACUCGUAUUGAUGAGUAGAUUAUAUUUUUGAUAGUGUGAUGACAUUUUAGGGAUUGUGAAGUGAAGACGAGCAUGUGGUGCUUGAAGUGUGAUUUUACGGUUUAGCCUCGAGGUAGGCUUCUGUCUAUUCUUCUUCAUGGAUGAUUUAUGAUAUAUAUUGUGUGUCAAUGUGAAUGUAAAGAUUGAUAUUGGAUAGAAUGACUUAGUAUUUAUUAUACAUAUAAGUUUGGGAAUUAGAUGGGGGUUUUGACCCGUAGGUUGAAAUACUUAAUAUCCUUGUAGAAUCCUAUUGCCUUCUCCUUAGUUUGGGUAAAUUUGUAGCGUGGAUAUAAUAUAAUGCUAUGCUUGGAAUAUCGUUUUAGCAUUUGAAGCAUGAUUUGUAUAUUUAGCAUUAUUAGGCUAGUGUGAUAGUUUUGAAACUGUAAGUUUGGUAGAGUUGACUUGAGUACCCUUGUUUCUAGUCGAAGUUACUAUCUUAGGCUUUAAUAUGGCUUGCUUGAUAUCUAAAAGAUGAACUAGAUACCUUAGCCUAGUUUGGGGCAUAGUAUGCUUAAUUAUGAAAAUUAUGGAUUAAAGUGGGAUCAUUCGACCCUCUUAGGCCUAAGCUUAUGUUAAGUCUUGUGGACUUAGUUACGGAUGUUAGACCUAUACGAGCUAGUAAACCUUAGAAUAAGGUUACUUCAUAACUGGGUGACUUGUAUUGAUGUUUCAGGAUUGUGGCUAUUUAGUUAUGGUUAUGAUACUACUUGUGGAAGUGAUAUUGGGCAUUUAGAGAUAUUCCUCCUAGAUACAUUAUGUGGCCUAUAGAGAUGCUAUUUCCUCUUAGACAUGAUGAUUGGACUAUAGAGAUGCUAUUUCUUCUUAGACUUGAUGAUUGGCCUAUAGAGAUGCUAUUUCCUCUUAGACAUGAUGAUUGGCUUAUAGAGAUGUUAUCUCCUCUUAGACUUGAUAUUUGGCCUAUAAAGUUUCUACUUUCUUUAGUCAUGAAUGUUGGACCUAUAGAGAUGAUAGUCCUUUUGGAUAUGUAAAUUGUCCUAGAGAAGCAAUAUUUCUCGUCUUCUUGACGUAUGACCUAUUGAUAUAUGAUAUCCUAUAGACAAUUACACGUCUAUCCAUAUUAUGCCUCCUAGAUGUGAGAUGUCUCUAGUGUUAGAGAUGAUAACAUAUUUAUUUAUGAUGCCUCCUAUAUGUGAGAUGCCUUCUAUAUGUGAGAUGAUUAGAGGUAUGCUAUGACUUAUGCAUAUGAUUAUUGAUAUGAGUUCUAAAAAUAUAUAUGGGCCUAAGGCCAUGAUUAUGAUGUUGUGAUUAUUCCAAACAAAUUAAUGGGCCAAGGGCCGUGUUACAGUACAUAUUAAAUAUCCAAGAAGUGUUUAUAGUUGUGAAUGAUGUGAUUGGGAUUUAUGAAUAUGAAUAUGUAUAUGUUUGUAUACACAUCUCUCCGGUAUGGGAAGGACGAAGAUGCAUAGGUUUGGUACGUUCAUGAUUAUUUAUCAUUAUAAAUAAAUGAUGUGAUUAUAGUUGAAAUGUGAUCAUAUGGUUGUUCUUCUUGUUAGACGGUUAAGCUAUGUGGUAACUAGUUGUCUAUUAGCUGAAUAUUACACUUGAUGGCUAGGAAGCUAAUGUAUUAGUUAAUGAAUCUUGCUUAGUUGGAACAUGGUAGCUAAUGAUGGUCAGUUAAUGAAUGAUGUCAUUUAAUAAAAGAUGGCUAGGCGACAAGUAGUAUGUGUUGUCUAGUAAUGAUUAACAAAAAUAGGAUGAAUAGUUGAUAAUAAUGAAUAGUGGAUAAAUGACGGUUUUGGUCUAAUGAUGAACCUAGACUAGAUGUUAGAUAUUGACUAUUAAAUGAAUAGUGGUUAGUUGUUAUCCCGUGAACAAGGAUUAUGUGAAGGAUAAUGUUUAGGCUAAUAACUAGAGGUUAUGUGAUGACUAGUGAACUAGCAGUUUAAUAAUAUUAAGUGUUGGUUAGCUAAUAACGAGUAGUUGGGAUAUAUUGAUAAGAUAGACAUCUUUACGGUUAUGAGUACAUCAGCUUGUGUCUAUGCACCUAUUAUAUGCCUAUAUUUAUGUGUCGAGAGUUCUGAUGAUACAUUGGUACCCGGCAAGGCCGGAGGAUAUUGCAAUGACAUACUGAUAUCCGACAAGGCCGGAGGAUAUUAUGAUGAUAUUGAUACCCGGUUCGAGUCCGAAGGAUACUAUUGAGAUAAUAUUGAUUUCUGACAAGGCCGGAGGAUAUUAUGAUGAUAUUGAUACCCGGUUCAAGUUCGGAGGAUACUAUGGAGAUGAUAUUGAUUCCCGAUAAGGUCGGAGGAUACUAUGAUGAUAUGGAUACCCGGUUCGAGUUCGGAGGAUACUAUUGAGAUGAUAUUGAUUCCCAGCAAGGACGGAGGUUGAUUACGAUUAUGAUGGUCCUGAUGAGGACAGUUAUUAUGAGUUGUGAUAUUAAUGGUAUACUUUGCAUUUAUUUCUGCAUCUGCAUCGCCUAUCACAGUAUGCACCUAUGUCUAUCAGCCGGUAUGGGGCGGUUGCAUAGAUAUGGGUGAAGAAUAUGCCUUGUGUUUUUAUAUGUUGAUUGAACCUUUCGAGUCUAAGGCGGUGGGGGUACGCAUAGGCUCAGCUAGAUAUUUGGUUGUCCAGAGUAGACGAUUAUUUACGAUGUUAUUGAUAUUGUUAUUAUCAUUGUUAUGAUCAUAAUUAUGGCUAGCCUAUGACAGAUUGGUCAUGGAUCCAGAAUUGGGAUUGAGGUAUGUCUUCGGCCUUUGGUAUCUUAUGAUUACAUUACUAUACACGAUUAUUCUAUGUCUAGCCAUACGGAUUAGAAAUCCUGAGUAUGUUGGUAUUUAAUCCUGAUAGUAUUAUAAUGAGGUCUUAAAAUGAGAACAUGUCGAUCUAGGUUAUGUUUGAGAUGACCUCCUGUUUAUAUGUAUUAUAUAUAUAUAUAUAUAUAUAGCUAUAUGAAGUCAUGGUACUAUUGGAUAUUCCUUUCUUCGUUGUUCAUAUUGUAUAGUUGUUCCUUUACCUUGUAUAUUACAAUAUAUCUUUCUUUCACUCUUUAUUUGUAUAUUGACCUGGGAUAUACGGUAUAGCUUUGGCAUAUAUUGAAUGUAGCUAGAAUAGGAUAGUUCACCUUGAUACUUCCUUAGUCUAAUUAUGUUAGACUCUUGGACAUGAAUAGGAUAGUUGUCCCUAGUUAUUCUCAUUGACUUAUUACAUGAUUUAUGGACUCUUGGUUGUAGUUUUCAUUCUGUUUAUAUGUUGUAUAUAUCUACUUUAUCUUUGGAGCUCAGUUGGCAGUUUCCUACUGAGUACCAUUCGUUUAGUACUCAUACUGCACCUCUUCAGCCUGCAGAUCAUAGUACGAAUUAUCGCCGUUGAUGUGUGCAUCGUGUGGGGUAGCCCUGAUUCAGAGACUUAGAGUGAGCUCCUAACAUUCGGACUAUUACUUAUCUCUUUCCUAUGUAUUAGAAUAGCCUCUAAGUUGUAUUCAGAGGUAAGUUGAAUAAGUGUAUUUCUCCUUGAUAUAUCACUUUUGUACUCUUAUUAUGUUUAGAAGCUCUUGUACUAAUACCACCAAGUUUUGGGUUUCGUCUAUGUAUUGAUCUUUAUCUCAUAUAUUCCGUAUUCUUUUUCUUAUGUUAUUGAGUAGUCCGUUACUAGCCAUUCCGAACUACAGGUUGGCUUGCCUACUGGUGGGUUAUGGUAGACGCCAUCAUGACCUGGAAAGUUGGGUCGUGACAUGUUACCUGGGCCUUCGUGCGUUGCUAAGUGUUGCACUACUGCUUUGGUCUGGCGCGCCCCACCAAAUCUAGUUUAAUCAUUUAGCAGUUUAUGAUAGGUGGUGCCGUGCAUCUCAACAAUUUCAUCGAAUCAUCACACACACCUACCACCUCUUAUGUAUUGAGUAACUGUGUCCACCAAGACUUAACAAUGCACAACUAAUCAAAUCAUCAGACACUUACCACCUCAUACAUAAAUAACUGUGUCCAAGACUUUGGACAAAUGGAGAGAAACUGUUGAUCCCUUUUGUUUCUACAGGAUUUCGAACCUCAGUCUCACAUAAUUUUCACCCAUUUCAUCGAUCGCUAGGCAAAUCUUGAUGUUAACUGGAAGACUACCUAAGAUUGUGCACCUUAGCCCAGAACGUGUGAUUGCAUAAUAAAGGUCUCAAAUGUUUUUCUGAUAGAAACUUCUUCAGGUUGUUUUCAGUAUCUAUCUGCUUGAGCUGUGUUUCUCAAGUGGUGAAAGUUAGUUCAGUUGUAAUUGAAAGGCGAUCAUACCAACCAACUCGCUAAUCCUCUUAUAUAAACUUUUGGCUCCGACACUGAUUAUCUUCUGUUAGUUUGUUCCUAACUUUAUGUUGGGAGAACUAUGUUUUUGCCUUUGCUCCUUUUGUUAUGUUCACCAGUUCCACAUCAGAGGAAGAUUGGAAAUAGACAAUAGAGAGUUGAUAUAAAAGCAAAGGCCCAUUGCAUUUCAAAAGCAUACCUUUCUCGGCCUUUUGGCUAAGAUCAAGUGUAGUAUCUGUUCUUAUCAGUUUAAUAUCUGAUAUGUGGGCCAUAGGUCCAUACGAUAUUAACUCUAUUUUUUGAGGUGGAAGGCUCAUCAAGGUAGCUUGCUGCCUGGGCCUUCAAGCGUCGCCUAAGCGUUGCACUACAGCUUUGUCCUGGCGCACCCACCAAUACUAUUCAACGUUUUUGUAGUCUGUUGUCUCAGCCCAAGUUACUGUAAUAAUAAAGUUUUAUAGUACUUUAAUGUCAUGCAGCGGGAGUUGUUGGAGAAUGACUCAACUUAUAAGGUCCUUGUUGAGUAAACUCUACUUUUCGUACUCUUUCGCAAUCUUAAUUAUGCAGUUUUUGUUGUGCUAUGGAUCAGAUGAUAUCUUCCUUAGACAUGUAACAUGAUCUCUUCUGUAGCCUGUAUUACUUUCUGUAGUUUGCAUAGUGUAUAUUGUUGUUGUAGUUAGUAUCUCUUCUUGAUGCCUUUUUUGUUACAACCACUCACGUCAACUUAAAAAGAAAAUCUUUCCUAGAUUAUGUAAAAGUAGGUAUUUGUUGAGUGCACUUUGUUCGAACUUAGCAUGAGAAUGUAUGCCUUAGCUUAGACCGUGUGAUUGUUUAAUAAAGGUCUCACAUGGUGUGGUGAAAGACAGUAUCUAUCUGCUUGUAUGAUCUUCUUGAGUGAUGAAAGAUAGUUCAUCUGAAGGCAAGACUGAUUCAAUCACAUCAACCAUCUUUGUCUUAUCUUCAUAGCCUGUGCUUGAAAUAGUCUUCUAUAGAGGGUGGAAAGAAGGGUUAUUUGUUAGUUUAUGAUACUCUUUCCUUUCUUCCUGUCUUAUUCACUGAAUUGUUAGUAUCGAGGCAAGUUCGAAAUGUUGGCUGCGCGUAGACUAGUUUGUUCAGUCAGUCACAGGCUUGCUAAAGCUAAAAACGGAACUUAGCUUCUCACUAACUAUACUAGAAGCAAAGACUUCAACAAAUAAUACAAAAGAAUAGGGUUUGAAUGCGCUUCUGUCCUUAAAGGGAGUUCGUUGAUGUUAAGAAUGAGAAUCAAAUCGAUUGAAUCACAAAGUUCCAUUCAGUUAUAUAGAUAGAAGAAGAUUCGAAAAAAGAAGGGGAUAUUUCAUAUACUUAUGAAGUGCUAAGAAAGUCAUACAGACCAGUAGUUUCUAAUGGCAAUCAAGCUGUUUAGAUUUGCAGGCACAAGAGGAAAGCAAAAUCAAUAGACUUUAACCUUUUCUAGAGUAUCAAAAAGCAAAAUAAAUAUAGAAAAAUGAAUUGCUGUACAAAAUAUUUAUUGAAUUAAAGACUAUUUGGUAGGACUAUAUUUUUGCCUUUGCUUCUUUUGUUAUGUUUACGAGUCCCACAUCAAAGGAAGAUUUGAAGUAGACAAUAGAGAGUUGAUAUAAAAACGAAGGCCCCAUUGCCAAGCAAAAGCAUACCUUUCUCGGCCUUUUGGCUAAGAUCAAGUGUAGUAUCUGUUCUUAUCAGUUUAAUAUCUGAUAUGUGGGCCACUGGUCCACACGAUAUUAACUCUAUUUUUUGAGGGUGAAGACUCAUCAAGGUAGCUUGCUGCCUGGGACUUCAAGUGUCGCCCAAGUGUUGCACUAUUGCUUUGGCCUGGCGCACCCCACCAAUACUAGUUCAAUGUUUGAGCAGUAUGUUGUCUUAGUCAGUCUAGUAAUCGGCGGAAAUUUCUCACUGUACUUAUUUUAUUUCUGGCUUCCUCUCUGUUUGUUUUUGAUUUUAGAGAUCAGGUUCAAACUACUAAAGCUCGUAGGGAAGAGUCAAAGCGAAUUGUACUUUCCCAUAUUCGUAGAGGUAGCUCAGCUCCCGGCCUCUUUCCUGUCUAUUUGCGUCACUAAGCUGACACAGGUCUUUGUUUAGUACCCAUUUUCAGGAGCGGGAAUCUUUAAUUGAAAACCCACAGGUUUUUGUUUAAUACCCAUUUUCAGGAGCGGGAAUCUUUAAUUGAAAACCCUUUCUUCUGCCCUCGCCACUUCUUUCGCUGACCCGAUCCACCUCCUUUGUGGAAUACCAGAAAAAGAGAUGAAUUAGCGGAUCAUAGGGGCUAAGUCGAAGCACGCCUGAACCUUCUUCGGCGGAGAUGGAGUUAAUAUACAAUCCCACUUUGGAGACUAGGGAGUUGUUAGAGAAUGUACUUGGCCUAGUGGUCAAUGAAGUUGGUUGAGCAUCAUGACGUCUAGGUUUAAUUUUCAACUAGACAAAAACAGAAAAUAUGCAUAAUCAUGCUUAACUGAAUUUUGCUUGAGUUCAUAGCAAAGAGUUCUGAUGUCCUAUCUGGUAGAGGAAGUUGUAUCAUCGGUUUUGCAGAGUUAAUUAUGCAGUUUUUGUUGUGCUAUGGAUAAGAGGGCAUCUUCCCUAGACAUGUAAUACGAUCUCUUUUAUAGCUAUUACUUUCAUUUACAUCUUCUUGAUACUUACAACUACAUCUAUGAGAGGAAAAAUCAUUCCUAAACAUGUAAAAGUAGGUAGUUGUUGAAUACACUUAGUUCGAACUUAGUAUGAGAAUUUUUCAGGGCAACUCUCUCCCUACACUUGUGUGUUUAUUUAGGAUCACCACUGAUUUUUUCUGGGCGGCUCUCUUCAUUCCCUUGUAUUUUUCCAAGAGUAAGCAAAAGUUUAGACAAAUUUUGGCAUCAAUUAUUAUCUUUCACUGUUGUAAUCACUGUUUGUUGUGUCAGCCACAAUCUAUAGAGCAGGGAAAGACAAGUUGGGGGCUGAUUCUCUUUCAAGGAGGCCAUUGAAUGCUGAAUUUUUGGCUCUUGUUAUUCCUGUACCAUUGGAUUUUUCCAACUGGCAAGAUUCUCUCCAAGAAGAUACAUAUACCCGUGAGAUUAUUCAAGCAAUCUACCAAGACCCUUUCUUGCAGCCAGAUUUUCACCUGGUGGAUCAGAAACUUUAUUUCAAGGAAAGAUCGGUUAUUCCAGAUCAUUCUUCUAUCCGACAAAAGCUUAUCUCAGAAUCACAUGAUACACCUUUCGCUGGACAUGGAGGACAUUUUAAAACCUUGAAACGCCUUUUCUCUAACUUUUUCUGGCCAAGGAUGAAGCAGGAUGUUAAACUCUUUGUGUAGAACUGUAUGGUUUGUCAACAGGCGAAAUACCAAGCUUUGGCCCCUGCUGGACUUCUGCAACCAUUGCCUAUACCUGAUAGAAUAUGGGAUGAUAUCUCACUUGAUUUUAUUAAAGGACUUCCCAAAUCUGGUGGUUAUGACACAAUUUUGGUUGUCGUAGAUUGUCUCAGCAAGUAUUCUCAUUUCAUCCCACUUUCUCACCCAUAUAUUGCUAAGACUAUUGCUAAUAUUUUUUGCAAGGAAAUUAUACGUCUCCACAGCAUUCCUCGGUCCAUCUUAUCUAAUCGAGAUGCUAUCUUUCUCAGUGCUUUCUGUCAAGAGCUUUUUUGACUUAGCCAAACAAGAUUAAGAAUGGGUACGCCUUAACAUCCACAAUAUGAUGGACAUAACGAGGUGGUUAAUAGAUGCUUGGAAUCUUAUUUGCGAUGCUUUGUUAUGGAGCAACCUCGUACAUGGAGUCAGUACUUACCAUGGGCAGAAUUUUCUGUCAACACAGGUUACCACUCAUCCAUAGAGACUAUUCCAUUCAAGAUUGUUUAUGGUAGAGAUCCUCCUUUUAUUUCUCCUUUUGUUCAUGGAGAAACACGCAUUCCUGAACUUGAAAAACACCUUUGAAUCAUGAUGCCAUGUUGAAAAUUAUUAAGGAUAGCCUUUUAAAGGCUCAAACUCGAAUGAAACAACAAGCUAAUUCUCAUAGGCGAGAUGUUGCCUUUCAAGUUGGAGAUUCUGUCUUUCUAUGUGUUUAGCCUUACUGACAAUGAUUUUUGGCUAAUCGCAGGUAUGAAAAAUUGUCACCUUGGUUUUUUGGACCAUAUAAAAUCAAACGUUGUGUUGGACCUGUAGCAUAUGAACUGGAGCUACUGUCUUCUUCCAAAGUCCAUCCAAUUUUCCAUGUAUCCUUGCUCCAUCCAGCUCAUGGUCAGCAAGUUGUUAUGCUGCCAGCCCCUCUUCCUCUUAUCGAAGACUGGGAACUCGACAUAUCUCCUGCCAAAAUACUUGCAAAUCGAUGGAUCAAAGAAGCUGGUGCAUUUUCUUUGGAAUUGCUAGUUCAAUGGGUUGACCGUCUCCUUGAAGAAGCUAGUUAGGAGAUCUAUGAUCUCAAUGCAAAUCAAUUCCCUUAUUUUUGCCUUGAGGACAAGGAUACUUUUCAUGGGGGAUGCACUGAUAUGACUGCUCCUUUACAACUUAUUCUAGAAGAAAAUCCAGACAAACAAGUGGAGAUAAUCUUAGUUAGUUUCAGAUAAAAUAAGUUAUAUAAGUAGUUAUUUAUAGAAGUUAUCAGUUAAGUACAGCAGCAACUGUCUGCCUAUGUCCUAUCUUUAUGUCUUAGUCAGCAACAUCUGUCUAUAUACAUCCUAUCUUUAUGUUUUAGUAUAAAUAUUGUAUCUGGAGAAUUCUAAAACAGAUCAGCAGUAUUAUUGUAUUUCUAUCUAGAGUUUUGUCCAUUCCACACGGACUUAGUUAUUGGUUAAUGUAGUGUUGAAGAUUCUUGCACUUUAUUUAACCAGCAACAUUUUCAUUUCAUUCUCUUCUUCAACUUAGUUUCUAUCAGCCUGGCGCACCCCACCAAUUCUAGUUCAAUGUUUGAGCAGUUUGUAACUUAGGUGCUUUACCAAUAAGUUUGAGUUACUUCAUACUAUUUACUGAUACUGAUUUAACAAACAGUGUAGCCAUUUUACUUGAACAGUAAAUGCAAAGAAAUUUUGCACACUAGAAUUAAAAAAAAAAAGUAAAUAUGGGUGCAAUGCCAAUCCUGAUAAUGCAAAUUCCAUACUGCUGAAGCUUUGACCAAAUUUAGUUCAAUGUUUCAGCAGUGUUUGGUUUUUCCUAGUACUAUAUGUGUUACCACUUGUAAUAUUCAUGCCUCCCUUCCUCCUCCGUGUGUGAGAGAUACCGGUGGUGUCUGUACACCUCAACUAUUAUAUCGAAUUAUUGGACACCUACCACAUUUCACGUACUGAAUAAUUGUCCACCAAGACUAUGGCACAUGGAAAGAAAUCACAGAACCCCAGUUUCACAUGAUUGUCACUCAUUUUAUUGAUUACUAGUCACCUCACGUACUAAAUACUUUUGUCUUCCAAGACUUCAGCACAUGGAAAGAAAUCACAGAACCUUGGUUUCACAUGAUUGUCACUCAUUUCAUUGAUCACUAGACACCUCACGUACUAAAUACUUGUGUCCACCAAUACUUUAGCACAUGGAAAGAAAUCACAAAACCCCGGGUUCACAUGAUUUUCACUUAUUCCAUUGAUCGCUAGACACUGCUGGAUGCUAGCUAGAAGACUAUUUUACAAUGUGCACCUUAGUUCAGCUGUGAUUGCAAGGCUCUAAUAUCAACCACAUCAACAAUUCGACCUAACACUUCAUUGUCCGUGCUUGGAAAAAUUGUCCAGUAAAGAGAGAGGUUGGGAAGAAGGGUUAUGUAUUGAGUUUAUAUUAUGUCUGGAUGGAGUUAGAUAUCCUCUUUGCUAGAAAUAUAUAUUGUGCAAAAUGAGCAAUUUUGGAUCCAUAACGUGAAAUAAGCAACUAUAUUAAAGACUUUUUGAAUAUUGAAUCUAACAUCUAGCAUUGGUCCCAGCGAAGACCUCUCUCUUUUAUUAGAGCAAAGGGUGCCUAACCUGAAAAAGGAAAUAGUAAUUUUCCUCCAUGAGAAAGAGUUAUAUCAGUAGUUUAUCUGGGAUGAAUUCCUAAUUACUAGUCUUAGUAAUGAUAACGAAUUCUGCCAAAGGAAGCUCGUGCCAACCAGUGUCUCAAGCUGUCGGAGAAAGGACCAGUCAAUCCAAUGUAGUGAAGCUGUAAAAGGGGUAUAAAAGUUGUUUAUAUAAAUGUAGAGAAUGAAGAUGAAGUUAUUUGAUUUCAUUGAUAUGUAUGUGUAUAUAUACAAGAGAACACAAACUAAUUAAGGAAAGAAUCAACUAAUAAAGAAGUGUGAUCUUCUCUCAAAUGGAAACUAAAUCACUAUGAGAUACUAAAUCAAUUAUGAGAUACUAAAUCAACUAUGAGAUAUCUUAACAUGUGGUACAUGCUCUAUUAUGCCCCCCUAUAGUUAGGUAUGACGAGACAACACCUAACUCGGGUAGCAUCUGCUGGAAGGCUGGCUUAGACAAUGGUUUGGUGAGUGGAUCUGCAACUUGAUCAGUGGAGUGGAUGUGUGAUACUUGGACUAGGCCAUUGCGAACUUGAUUGCGAACAAAGUGAAGAUCGACCUUGAGGUGCUUUAUUUUUGUAUGAUGUACCGGGUUUUCCGCAAUGUAAGUGACCCUAAGGUUAUCACAAAGUAAUGUAGGUGCAAUAGAGAGUAGCACAUGAAUAACCCUGAGCAAGUGAGUGAUCCAGUUUGUUUCAGAAAAGGCAGAGGCAAUUGCCCUAUACUCAGCCUCACUGCCUCACUGGAGGAAUGGGAGACAGUGGGUUGCUUGCUAGAACACCAGGAAAUAGGAGUCCUUCCUAGAAAAAUAAUGUAGCCAGAGAUUGAGCGACAAUUAUAAAUAUCACCAGCCGAAUCAAUGUCAGCAUAGGCAUAAAGAUCAGUGGACUGGUGUGGAGAAAUAUGAAUAACAUUUUGAGAGUUUUCUGUGAGGUACCGAAGGAUGCGUUUAAUAGCCUUCCAAUGAACCACUGAGGGAGAGUUGUUAAACUGAGUAAGCUUGUUUACCGAAUAUGUGAUAUCCAGUCUAGUAAAAGAAAGGUACUAAAGUUUACCAAGUACACUCCUAUACUCUUUACCAUCAGUUUUAGGGGUCCGUCAUCUACCUGUAGUGCCUCAAAUGUACUCAUUGGGGACUGAACGCCUUUGCAGUCUUGGAGCUGAGUGUCAUGCAACACCUCCUGAAUAUACUUAGAUUGACUAAGAAACAGACCGUUGGCAUCCCUAUGUACCUCAAUGCCCAAGAAAUAGUGCAGUAAUCCAAGAUACUUAAGAGAAUCUUUUGGAAAGAGAAGUAAUGACUUCUUGAAGAAGUGUUUCAUUACGGCCCGUGAGUAUGAUGUCGUCCACAUAAAUUAGUAUAUAAAUAGUUACACCUAAGUUAUGCAGAACAAACAAAGAAUUAUCAGAUUCAGAUAUACGAAAUCCCAUUCUGAUUAGAGAAUCAGUGAGUGCAUCAUACCAGGCUUUAGGAGUUUGUCGCAGUCUGUAGAUAUCCUUUUUGAGAUGACAGACAUAGUCAGGAUGUGCUGAACUUUCAUACCCGGGUGGUUGGGUCAUAUAGACAUCUUUACGAAGCUUCCCUUAAAGAAAAGCAUUAUUGAUAUCUAUUUGAUGUAAGGGCCAACUAUUUUGUACAGCAACGGUGAGGACAGUCCAAAUUGUGGUUGGUUUAACCACUGGACUAUAUGUUUUAUAAAAAUCAACCCCAAGCAUUUGUGUUAGCCCUUUUGCAACCAAACAAGCUUUGCACCUAUCAAUGGAUCCAUCAGGCUUGGUUUUAAUUCAAAACAACCAUUUACAAGGAACAAUAUUUCCGGUGUAAGGAAGAAUUACAAUAAGUAAACUUAUAUUUUGAAGAAUAUGAAUGACGGGAACUAUUUAAAAUGGAAAGCAAAACUCGAGUGUGGUCUUCGAUGCCAUAGAUGUAAGGAAGGUUCAGCAAAGGCAAUGUUGAUGUUUGGUCGAGUCAGGGAUGGCCAUUCAUAGAGACCUGCUUUAUUCGGGCCGCGCAGAAAAGGUGCUCCCAUAGUCAGAUCUUUCACAAGAAAAGUAGAAGGAAAAAAUUCUAUGAAGGUUAGAUUUUCUUUGUAAAAUAGAUGAACUGAAAUGAUUUUGCGUUUGAUAGCUGGAGCGCACAAAAUACUAGAGUUUGAAGGCAGUAUUUGAUGCAGUUAAGUGAGUAUUACCAGUUUGAGUAAUCGAAAUCACAUUACCACUGCCCAUUAUCACUGCGUCCAGACCUUUGAAUUCUUGAACAUUGUGGAGUGAGUUGGUAUCCAAGAUGAUGUGGUGAGAUGCACCCAAAUCAAGAAUCCAGGAGUUACUCAAUGUUGUGUGCACAACAAAAUUUGCUUUUGCUUCAAGGUGGUUAUGCGACCGAGAGAGGCAAACAUUUAUUGUAUGCCCAAAUUUGUCAUAAAGUUGACAACGUACUCAUGAUGAUUGGUGUGGGUAGUUACGCCAAUGAGAAUUAUCCAUUGGAUUGCACCACUGGGAAUUAUCCAUUGGAUACUGAGAAUGAGUGCUUUGAUUAGGAUGCCUGUAUUGUGGACGUCAUUUAUUGUUGUUGGAUGGGCGUCUAUUGUUGUGUGGGGCUGAUGAAGCUGAUGGAGGAUUUGGCACUCGUUGAGGAACAGCUGUUGUGAUCUGGGCUGAAGUUUUCUUAAGGUCCUCAUGUUUGAGGAAAAGUUCAUGAUCAAGAAGCUUGUCAAAAAGUUCUUUAUCACUAAUAGGAGGGUCCCUUGCCCGUAUAGCUGUAGAGAUCUCACGGAAUUCUGACUCGAGUCCAAUAUGAGUUCAUCAGAAAGAGAGAGAAUCUCCCGCAUAUAUUCAGAAAUAGAUUUGUUGUCCUUACUGAGUCGUUUGAGAUGGUGACAAAAGCUGAAGACGCGGGUUUGUGAUUUGUUUGAAAAUAAAGUGUGAAGUUGAUCCCAUACAGCUUUGGAGUUAAUAGCAGAAGCUACCAUGGAUGCAAUUGUGGCAUCUACAGAGGCCAUGAGAGCAUUUUGAAUCAAUUUAUCCUGGCGAAACCAAUCCUUGUACGCAGGGUUGGCUGUCUCAAGGCCGUUAGUUAUGAUUGUUUCAGCAGGGGACAAUAUGGUGCCAUCAAGAUGACCAUAAAGGUCAUUCCAUGCAGUAACAUGGCAAUGUGGGCUUUCCAGAUGGUGAAAUUAGUGUUACCAGUUAGUUUAAUGGGUAGAUGGGAUGAUGGAUUGAAUUGAAUCAAGUGUUUGAGGAUAGGGUCCGUGUCAACAUUAACGACGGGGAAGAAGUGGCCAUCACUCUAAAGAGAAGAAGAAGAAAAAAUGGAUCUUGGACUCUGUUGAGAGUAUUUUGGAAUUGAUACCAUAUAAAUGUAGAGAAUGAAGAUGAAGUUGUUUGAUUUCAUUGAUAUGUAUGUGUAUAUAUACAAGAGAACACAAACUAAAUAAGGAAAGAAUCAACUAAUAAAGAAUUGUGAUCUUCUCCUAAAUGGAAACUAAAUGACUAUGAGAUACUAAUUCAAUCAUGAGAUAUCUUAACAUGUGGUACAUGCUCUAUUAGUUUCAAGUCACAAACUCAAAUUUUAACCGUGAAAUUUUAGUAUUUUCAUGAAUCCUCUUAUAUAAAUUUUUGGCUCCAACACUGAUUAUUCCUAUUGUUUUGUUACAAACUGUAUUCAAAAUGAACCACUUUACAAAAUAUUUAUUGAAUUAAAGACUAUUUGGGAGGACUAUAUUUUUGCCUUUGCUCCUUUUGUUAUGUUCACCAAUUCCACAUCAGAGGAAGAUUGGAAGUAGACAAUAGAAAGUUUCUCCUUUUCUCAACCUUUUGGCUAAAGAUCAAGUGUAGUAUCUGUUCUUAUCAGUUUAAUAUAUGAUAUGUGGACCAUUGGUCCGCACUAUAUUAACUCUAUUUUUUGAGGGGAAGGUCCAUUAAGGUAGCUUGCUAUGUAAUGACCCUUCAGGUCAUUUUUCAUAUUUAUGUUUAUCUUCACCGUUUGAGAUUCUCCAUAGCUACCCCAAGUCAUUUAUGACUUGCCGGGACUGACGGUUCGGUUACCGGGCAGUUCGUUUGGAUUUUAGAAGUAAUUCCCUGUUUAGAAGUCUUCACUGGUUCCAAAUGGCCACAACUUCAGCGAAACGAUCUCGGAUACAAAUUCUAAAUAUGCCAGCAGAUCCAAAAUAUCAAUGUAAGUUUGGGUAGACCUUUGGUUUGGGUUACAAUGCACCCAAGCUCAUUUCGAGCUAUUGAGCGGAAUUUAUGAAAAAUGAAACUAUAGGUAUGGACCCCACUUUUUGCCAAAACGAUCUCGAAUGAAAGUUUUGAUGAUUCCAAUGAAUUUAAAAUGUGGUUUACACUUAAAUUUCAUUAUUGAAUCAUAUAUUUUGGUUUUCGAAUGAGUUUCGAGGGUCAAAAAUAAGUUUUUGACUUUGCUGGUGGCCCAGACAGCGACUGCGGAUCUCCAAAGCUGGUAGGGGUAUUUAAGCAACCUAUAGGCCGCGUUUUUCACCAUUUUUCACUUAUUUUUGAGAGCCUAAAAUCCUAUAUAGGUAUGAUAACUCAAAAUUGAGUCUUGUGGGUGUCUAGGGAGCUUGGUAAACAUCUUUUAUCAUGAUUAUCAUCCGGAUUAAGGUAAGAUUUUAUCACUUUAUUGGUGAAUUUCUUAGUUCUUGACCCAAAACUCCAAUUUAGCUUAGGGAUUGAUUAAGCCCUAAAUUUGGUUUGCUUUCACCAAUUCAUUGAGCGUUAUGAUUCCUUGGUGAUGUAUGAGCAUUGGGUUGACCUCAAAAAUGCGAUUUCCGUACGUGGGACCCACUUGGGGUUUUUGGUGUCAUUUUCGGAUUCGAAGCAUAAUAGUGCAAUAUGGGUAUUGUUAGACUAGUAUUGAUGAGUAGAUUAUAUUAUUGAUAGUGUGAUGGCAUUUUAGGGAUUGUGAAGUGAAGACAAGCAUGUGGAGUUUGAAGUGUGAUUUUGUGGUUUAGCCUCGAGGUAGGCUUCUGUCUAUUCUUCUUCAUGGAUGAUGUAUGAUAUAUAUUGCGUGUGAAUGUGAAUGUUAAGAUUAAUAUUGGAUAGAAUGACUUAGUAUUGAUUAUACUUAUAAGUUGGGGAUUAGAUGGGGGUUUUGACCCGUAAGUUGAAUUACUUAAUACCUUUGUAGAAUCCUAUUGCCUUCUCCCUAGUUUGAGUAAAUUUGUAGCAUGGAUAUGAUAUAAUGCUAUGCUUGGAAUAUGGUUUUAGNNNNNNNNNNNNNNNNNNNNNNNNNNNNNNNNNNNNNNNNNNNNNNNNNNNNNNNNNNNNNNNNNNNNNNNNNNNNNNNNNNNNNNNNNNNNNNNNNNNNNNNNNNNNNNNNNNNNNNNNNNNNNNNNNUUCCUGUAUCUAGAAAAAGAACUAAAUACCUUAGCCUAGUUUGGGUAGUAUCCGUAGUUAUGGAAAUUAUGGAUUAAAAGUGGGAUCAUUCAGCCCACUUAGGCGUAAGCUUAUGUUAAGUCUUGUGGACUUAGUUGCGGAUGUUAGACCUAUAUGAGCUAGUAAACAUUAGAAUAGGGUUACUUCAUAACUGGGUGACUUGUAUUGAUAUUUCAAGAUUGUGCCUAUUUAGUUAUGGUUAUGAUAUUACUUGUUGAAGUGGUAUUGGGCAUUUAGAGAUAUUCCUCCUAGAUACAUUAUGUGGCCUAUAGAGAUGCUAUUUCCUCUUAGACUAGAUGAUUGGCCUAUAGAGAUGCUAUUAUCUCUUAGACUUGAUGAUUGCCUAUAGAGAUAUUAUUUCCUCUUAGACUUGAUGAUUGGCCUAUAGAGAUGUUAUCUCCUCUUAGACUUGAUAUUUGGUCUAUAAAGUUGCUAUUUCCUUUAGUUAUGAUUGUUGGACCUAUAGAGAUGAUGGUCCUCCUAGAUGUGAGAUAUCUCUAGUGUAAGAGAUGAUAACAUAUUUAUUUACUAUCCCUCCUAUAUGUGAGAUGCCUUCUAUAUGUGAGAUGCCUUCUAUAUGUGAGAUGAUUAGAGUUAUGCUACAUCUUAUACAUAUGAUUAUUGAUAUGAGUUCUGGAUAUGUAUAUGGGCCUAAGGCAAUAAUUAUGAUGUUGUGAUUAUUCCGAACAAAAUAAUGGGCCAAUGGCCAUGUUAUAGUACUGAUUAAAUAUCCAAGAAGUGUUUAUAGUUAUGAAUGAUGUGAUUGGGAUUUAUGAAUAUGAAUAUGUAUAUGUUUGUAUACACAUCUCUCCGAUAUGGGACAGAGGAAGAUGCAUUAUGAUGCUUACUAUUCCACUAACUGAAUACUGGUGAUUGUAUGCAUAGGUUUGGUAUGUUAAUGAUUAUUUAUCAUUAUAAAUGAUGUGAUUAUAGCUGAAAUGUGAUCUUAUGGUUGUUCUUCUAGUUAGACGGUUAAGCUAUGUGGUAACUAGUUGUCUAUUAGCUGAAUAUUACACUUGAUGGCUAGGAAGCUAAUCUAUUAGUUAAUGAAUCUUGCUUAGUUGGAACAUGGUAGAUAAUGUUGGUUAGUUAAUGAAUGAUGUCAUUUAAUAAAAGAUGGUUAGGCGACAAGUAGUUUGUGUUAUCUAGUAAUGAUUAACAAAAAUAGGAUGAAUAGUUAAUAAUAAUGAAUGGUGGAUACAUGACGGUGUUGGUAUAAUGAUGAACCUAGACUAGAUGUUAGAUGUUGACUAUUAAAUGAAUAGUGGUUAGUUGUUAUCCCAUGAACAAGUAUUACGUGAAGGAUUAUGUUUAGGCUAAUAACUAGAGGUUAUGUGAUGACUAGCGAACAAGCGGUUUAAUAAUAUUAAGUGUUGGUUAGCUAAUAAUAAGUAGUUGGGAUGUAUUGAUAAUUUAGACAUCUUUACGAUUAUGAGUACAUGGGCUUGUGUCUGUGCACCUAUUAUAUGCCUAUAUUUAUGUGUCAAGAGUUAUGAUGAUACAUUGGUACCCGACAAAGCCAGAGGAUAUUGUGAUGACAUACUGAUACUUGGAAAGGCUAGAGGAUAUUAUGAUGAUAUUAAUACCCGAUUUGAGUCUGGAGGAUAGUAUUGAGAUGAUAUUGAUUCCCGAUAAAGCCAGAGGAUAUUAUGAUGAUAUUGAUACUCAGUUCGAGUUCGAAGGGUACUAUUGAGAUGAUAUUGAUCCCGGCAAGGCCAGAGAAUAUUAUGAUGAUAUGGAUACCCGAUUUGAGUUUGGAGGAUACUAUUGAGAUGAUAUUGAAUCUCGGCACGGCCGAAGGUUUAUUAUGAUGAUGAUGGUCCUGAUGAGGACAAUUAUUAUGAGUUGUGAUAUUGAUGGUAUACUUUUCAUUCAUUCCUAUAUGUGCAUCACCUAUCACCAUUAUGCACCUAUGUCUAUCAGCCGGUAUGGGACGGUUUCAUAGAUAUGGGUGAAGAAUAUGCCUUGUGUUGUUAUAUGUUAAUUGAACCUUUCGAGUCUGGGGUGGUGGGGGUACGCGUAGGCUCCGCUAGGUAUUUGGUUGUCCGGAGUAGCCGAUUAUUUACAAUGUUAUUGAUAUUGUUAUUAUCAUUAUUAUGAUCUUUAUUAUGGCUAGCCUAUGACAUAUUGGUCAUGGAUCCGGCAUUGGGAUUGAUUUAUGUCUUCGGCCUUUGCUAUCUUAUGAUUACAUUACUCUGCACGAUUAUUCUAUGUCUAGCCAUAUGUAUUAGAAAUCCUGAGUAUGUUGGUAUUAAAUCUUGAUAGUAUUAUAAUGAGGUCUUAAAAUGAGAACAUGAUGAUCUAGGUUAUGUUUGAGAUGACCUCCUAUUUAUAUGUAUUAUAUAUAUAUAUAUAUNNNNNNNNNNNNNNNNNNNNNNNNNNNNNNNNNNNNNNNNNNNNNNNNNNNNNNNNNNNNNNNNNNNNNNNNNNNNNNNNNNNNNNNNNNNNNNNNNNNNNNNNNNNNNNNNNNNNNNNNNNNNNNNNNNNNNNNNNNNNNNNNNNNNNNNNNNNNNNNNNNNNNNNNNNNNNNNNNNNNNNNNCUUAGUCUUAUUAUGUUAGACUCUUGGACAUGAACAGGAUAGUUGUCCCAUGUUAUUCUCAUUGACUUAUUACAUGAUUUAUGGACUCUUGGUUGUAGUUUCUAUUCUAUUUAUAUAUUGUAUAUAUCUACUUUAUCUUUGGAGCUCAGUUGGCAGUUGCCUACUGAGUACCAUUCAUUUGGAACCCAUACUGCACCUCUGCAACCUGCAGAUCAUAGUACGAGUUAUCGCCAUUGAUGUGUGUAUCGUAUGGAGUAGCCCUGAUUCGGAGACAUAGAGUGAGCUCCUGACAUUCAGAGUAUUACUUAUCUCUUUCCUAUGUAUUAGACUAGCCUCUAAGUUGUAUUCAGAGGUAAGUUGAAUCAGUGUAUUUCUCCUUGAUAUAUCACUUUUGUACUCUUAUUAUAUUUAGAAGCUCUUGUACUGAUACCACCAGGCUUUGGGUUUCGUCUAUGUAUUGAUCUUUAUCUCAUAUAUUCUGUAUUCUUUUUAUUAUGUUAUUGAGUAGUCCGUUACUAUCCAUUUCGAACUAUAGGUUGGCUUGUCUAUUUGUGGGUUGUGGUAGUCGCCAUCAUAACUUGAAAAGUUAGGUCGUGACAAAUUGGUAUCAGAGCCAGGUUUCUUCGGUGUAUUAGUACAUAAGCUAAGUGUUUGUAGAGUCUUGCGGAUUGGUGCGGAGAUGUCCGUAACCUAUCUUAUGGAGGCUACAGUGACAUUUUAGGAAAUUCACUUCAUGACUCUUUAUCGUGUGUCCGCAUUCUUAUGAACCUUGAACAUAUUCUUUGACUUUAUGUUAUCCAUGAAGGACGAUGCGAUAUUGUCAAUAGAUGCGGAUAAGACUUCAAUACGGGUUUCUAGAAUUUUAGCGCAGCAUCGGACUAGAGAGUCAGAGAUGGAUAUUGAAGAUCUUCUGCAGUAGUUAAAAAGUAUUUGGGCCGAGUCCCCAUUAGACUUGCGGAGUGUGGUAUGGUUCUUCAGGCCAUGAUGACCAUUCUGAAUUAUGAGGGGUAGUAUCUUGAAGUAUUUUUGAUUCUUGGUUUGGUUGUGUUGUGAUGAGACACUUAUUCUAAGAAUGCCCCUGGUAUGAGAUAAGUGAUCAAAUAGAGUUAGCAAUUAUUCCCCGCCAGCCUAGAGUUCCUAAAAUAGGCUGUGAUAUAGAAAGUUUGGACAUAAAUUUGCGGAUUUCUCCCAGCGUCAGUUGACCAUCCAUUUGGGCUUAGUUUGUGUUCUCUCAAUAUUAAUGCUUCAGGAAAUGCUAUGACUAUAGAGAGACCAACUACUAGUCUAGGGAGUAUCCCUAACAUGAAUAACAAUUAUUCAGCUCAUUUAGAUCAGCUCGUGAUGUUGUGGCAUCUUCAGUUAUAGAUGGUGCGUUUGGUGCGUCAGUUGAUGAUUCAGUUAGUCGAUCCGAUUUAGACCCGUUCAAAUUUAUUUUUCCUAUGCCCAUUAGUCACGUGACUGUAAAUGUUUCCAAGAUUGGUGUGUUUUUACUUCUCACAUUUAUCUCUUAUUAUGUGUAUUUAGGUUUUCAUAUCCAUUGAUAAUCAUAUGUCUUGAUGAAUUUAUAUCGGUCAUUAUGUGCCUUAUUGUUAAAUUCAUGAUUAUAUUACUACUCCAUAGUUUAUUUCUUUUAGUAGUGGGUAGAGUAGAUCAAUAUUGAUGUUUUCCCCCUAUGGGUGUGGUUUUGGGUUUGAGUCCUAUUUAUCUUGACACAUUAGCCCUGUUGUGGCCCUUGAGUAGUACAUGAUAUUGAUGUUCAUUUUGGUAUCGCCUAUUCAGAAUGUUGAUCUUGAUAUUGCUAUUGCUACCACUAUGUGAAAUUAUUGAUAUUACUUGAUAUUAUUACUUGAUGUUGUUACAUGAUGAAUUUGAUUCUCGCUGGUUAGCUGUGUAGACUAAUGUUAUCUAGUUAGAGUUUCAUUUUCUUGUGAUACUAAUUGGUGGCUAGAGUAGAUAUAGCCUGAUUUGGUAUUUUCUUUCCCCUAGCCUGGUGAGGUUGACUGUGUUUCCUCUUGGUUAGCUAUAUUAAUUUGUUCGGGAACAUGUUGUGGUAUUAAAGGUAAGUUGACCUUCCAUGAUUUUUGUGGAUUUGAGUCGGCAAUUUAGUUAUGUUGCCCGUUUUUGAAUUUGAGAUUCUUAGACUUGUCUCCUGGUUUGUGAAGGAUUUUGUUUUGGCUAUCCCUUCCAAUAUAGCCCGUUUGUGAGAUGGACCAGUUUAAGAUCCAAUCUUUAUUUGUGGCUAUUUCUUCGCCCCAUAGUGGUUUUGACAUCGAUAUUGAGGUGUCAUGGAUUCGUCUCUUAGAUUUGAUGGAGGAUUCCAUAUAGCAUAUGUAAUUUCAGAAUUUUAGGGUAUACCACCUAGUGCAGAAGUAAAACGAAGAGUGUCACAGAGUUCAGAUGAUUUUACAAAGUCUUUUGAAAAUGCCCAUGAGAUUUCUUACUAUAUGAUAUGUUUAUGAACUGUUUUAAAUUGAUCUUAUAUGUGUUGUAUAUUUACUAUUAUUUUGGAUCUGCUCUGCGUACCAGUACAUCUAUAUUGACCCCUUACCUCCCAGGUUUGGAGGCUUAGUCCAAGAGUUCGAUUAAUAAAUAGAGUAUUCUAGAGAGAAGUGAUCCGUGCAAUGGUGAGCCUACUUUGUUCCAAAAGGCCUAUUAUUUUAGAUUAUGUUAUUCCAUUGUUUUGGUCUACUGUGGACCUUGUCCCAGUUUUCAGAACAGUUUUGAGAUGUAGUAGAGAUUUUGCAAACAGAUUUAGAUCUUAUUCAGAUGUUUUAAAUUGUAACUUUUAUUCUCAUGUCUUGAAACUCAGAGUUAAUGACCAUGUUUCCGUAUCAGAUUGUAUUUCUGGAUCUUCUCUUAUUAUAUAAAUGUUGUGCAUGACUACUGGAUAGAUUAGGACGUUCGGUUCUUCAUGGUUCAGGAUGUCUGUCAUGGUCAGUCCCUAGUUCAGGUCGUGACAAACUUGGUAUCAGAACAUGGUUCAUGGUCCUAGGGUGUCUGUGAAAUCGCGUAGGGUAGAAUCUUAUUUAUGAGUAUGUAGUGUGCCACACUUAAAAGCAGGAGGCUACAAGGCAUUUAGUAAUGUUUUUUUUUCUUUGUGGUUUAGUUCUUGUUUCAAAGUCUAAGUUGUCCCCUAGUCAGUGGUCUCUUGUGUUUUAGAAAAACAAUCAUGCCUCCCCAUCGUACUAUCGAUCAAAAUGCACAGACAGAUGAGGUCCGUCCUACUCAUGGGAUGAGGACCCGAAAUAGAUCUCAGACUCUAGAGAUUGAUGCUACUCUGGGAGUCUGACCUAUUCAGACUAGCCCACCUAGGGCACCCAAAGCUCCCCAUACAGGGACUAACCGCACCCAGCCUCGCGAGAGAGGUAUCUAAUACAGAAUUCAGGCAGUCUAUUCACAUGCUUGCAUAAUUGGUAGCCAUAUAGACUCAACAGUCGGAAGAUAUUAGGUCUGCAUUUAUUACGUCUGAGGCUACAAGAGUGGGCCAGUUUAUGAGAAUAAACCUGCCCAAGUUUACUGGUACCAAGGUAGAAGAGGAUCCACAGGAGUUUGUGGACGAGAUAGAGAAGAUCUUUAAGGUGAUGUAUGUAGAUAAGGUAGAGAGGGUUGAGUUAGCAGCUUACUAGCUUAAGGAUGUAGCGAACCAAUGGUAUAACGAGUGGGAAGAUUCAAAGGGUGAGAGUGCUGAGCCCACAGUUUGGGCCAAGUUCGUGGAAGCCUUCCUCGAUUGGUUCUUUCCUCUCGAGCUGAGAGAGGCCAGAGCUUAAGAGUUUAUGAAUCUAAAGCAGGGAAAGAUGAGUGUCUAGGAGUACACUCUGAGGUUCAACCAACUAGCCCGUUAUGCUCCAGAGAUAACUAGUAACAUUAGAACCCGAAUGAGGAAAUUUGCAUCCGUCCUUUCGUAUGACUUAGUGCUUGAAUGUCAGGUAGCAAUAUUGAACCGGGACAUGGAUUUUGCCAAACUAUCAGUCCACAUGCAGCAAGUUGAGGAAAAGAAAAAGAAAAUCGCUGAAUCUAGAGAGAAGGACAGGCAGGCAAAGAGAGCCCAGUAUUCCAGAUCCACAGUCAGCAGCAGAGUGGAAAUUGGGGUAACAAAUGGCAGAAGAAGAAGUUUUGGGGUAAUGCACAGUCUGCAGCCAGUGCUUCGGUGUCCACAACUCCAGCCGAACAAUGCCCUAAGAUUUUCAGUCUAGGCAGGGUCCGAGAAUGUAGGGUUUGCAAUCUCAAGGAAGUGUAGCUCAGACCUCUUAGACAUACCCGCGCUGUGAGAGAUGUUGGAGGAAUCAUCCAGGGAGAUGUCAGUUUGGCGCUAUGGUAUGUUAUUCGUGCAGCUAGCCAGGACAUAUCCAGAGAGACUGUCUGGCAGCAAAGGGUAAUGUUUUUGGAGCCAAGUCACAUGCUAAUUCUUCUUCACCACCACCGCCUCAGAUGGGUACCACUUCAGCCUCCAAAAAUGGACACAAACAGUUGUACGCCUUGACCAACCGCCAGGAGGUAGAGGCCUCACCAAAUGUAGUUACUGGUACGUCACAAAUCUUUUCUCAUGAUGUAUAUGUUUUACUUGGUCUCGGGUCUACCCUGUCUUACGUGACACUUUUUAUGGCUGUUAGUUUUGGGUUUGAGCCCGAUGUGAUUGGCGAACCUUUUUCUAUUUCUACUCCGAUGGGAGAUUUUGUUGUGGCUAGAAGGGUGUAUAGAAAUUAUGUGGUGACUGUUUGUGGGUGGGGUACUGUGGAAGACCUUGUAGAUUUAGACAUAGUUGAUUUCGAUGCUAUCCUAGGGAUGGACUGGAUUCAUUUGUGCUAUGCCAUACUAAAUUGUAGAACUCGAAAGAUUACUUUUUCCUUCUCGAAUGAACAAGUAAUAGAAUGGGAGGGACAUUCCUUAGCACCUAGAGGGCACUUUAUAUCUUACCUCAGAGCCCGUAAACUCAUUUCUAAGGGUUGCUUGUAUCAUCUUAUCGGGUUAAAGAUUCGAAUACCAAAAGCCUUUCUCUUCAGUUUAUCCCUGUGGUAUUCACCCUAGUGUUUCUCCCAAGGGUGCACCUGUACUCUUUAUGCGAAAGAAAGAUGGUUCCCUCCGUAUGUGUAUAGAUUCGCCAGUUGAACAAGGUCAUUGUUAAAAAUAAAUAUUUUCUUCCUACAAUUGAUGAUCUUUUUUACCAGCUUCAAGGUGCUAGAUCUUUUCAAAGAUAGACCUUCAUUUAGGAUACCAUCAGUUGAAAGUUAGAGAGCCAGACAUUCCCAAAAUAGCCUUUCAAACCAGAUAGUCUUUAUGAAUUCUUAGUCAUGUCCUUCGAGUUGACUAACGUCCUUGCAGCCUUCAUGGACUUUAUGAACAGGGUGUUUCGUCAGUUUCUGGAUUUGUUUGUCAUAGUUUUUAUUGAUGAUAUCUUGAUUUAAUCUAAGAGUGAGGAGGAUCAUGCCAAUCACCUCCGAAUCAUCCUUCAAACUCUCAAAGAUCAUAGGUUGUAUGCAAUGUUUUCUAAGUGUGAAUUCUAGCUUAAUGCUAUUGCUUUCUUGGGGCAUAUAAUGUCUAGUGAUGGGAUUAAGGUUGAUCCCCAAAAGGUUGAGGCAGUGAGAAAAUGGCCCAGAACCACGACUCCAACCGACAUUCGAAUCUUCUAGGGUUUGGCAGGGUAUUACAGAAGGUUUGUAGAGAGUUUUUCUUCCAUAGCUACACCACUCACUAAGUUGAUGCAUAAAAAGGUAAAGUUUGUAUGGUCUGACUCCUGUGAGAAUAGUUUUGAGAAAUUAAAAGACAAGUUGACCACUACACCUAUUUUGACUCUUUCGGAAGGUACAAAGGGUUUUGUUGUGUACUAUGCUACAUCCCGUGUGGGACUUAGGUGUGUACUUAUGCAGCAUGAUAAAGUGGUGGCUUAUGCAUCUAGGCAGUUAAAAGUGCAUGAGCGAAAUUACCCCACCCAUGACUUAGAGUUAGCGGCUGUGGUGUUUGUGAUUAAAAUCUGGUGGCAUUAUCUUUAUGGGGUACAUGUUGAUAUAUUUACUAACCAUAAGAGUUUGCAGUAUGUUUUCUUGCAGAAACAAUAGAUUUUAAAGGAUUAUGACAUGAGCCUGCACUACUAUCCGGGCAAGGCAAAUGUGGUAGUCGACUCCUUAGAAAAUUAUCUAUGGGUAGCCUUUCGUAUGUUGAAAAGGGGAAAAGGGAGAUGGUAAAGGAUAUUCAUCGACUUGAAAAUCUAGGAGUGCGACUCUUGGAUUCUGAAGAUGGGGGAGUGGUUGUUCAAGAGGUAGCUAAAUAUUCCCUUUGUGCUAAAGCUAAAGAGAAGCAGAUUGAAGAUCCCAUCUUGAUGUAGAUCAAGAAGGAUUUGGGUCAACAGAAGGUGAUGUCUUUUGAAAUUGGUGGUGAUGGGAUUUUAAGAUAUCAAGGUAGACUAUGUGUGCCAGAUAUAGAUGGGUUAUGAAAGAAGAUCCUUGAUGAAGCUCACACUUCGAGGUAUAUUGUUCACCUAGGCUCUACUAAGAUGUAUCAUGAUCUGAAAACCAUAUACUGGUGGAAUAAUAUGAAGCGUGAUGUGGCUAACUUUGUUACCAAGUGUUUAAAUUGUCAACAAGUAAAAGUAGAGCAUAUCAGGCCAGGUGGUACCUCUCAAGAGAUAGCUUUUCCCUUGUGGAAAUGGGAGAUGGUUAAUAUGGACUUUAUCAGGGGACUUCCGAGGUCCCAAAACCAGUAUGAUUCUAUUUAGGUAAUUGUAGACUGGCUGACCAAGUCAACCCACUUUCUACCAGUGAGACCCAACUAUUCGGGAGAUAACUAUGCCAAGUUAUACAUCAAUGAGAUAGUCCGUUUGCAUAGAGCACCUUAUCCAUCAUAUCUGACCGAGGUAUUCAAUUCUCUUCAUAGUUCUGGAGAUCUUUUCAAAAGGGUUUGGUACCCAAGUGAACCUGAGUACAGCUUUUCACCCUUAGACAGAUGGGCAAGCCGAACGUACUAUUCAGACCCUUGAAGAUAUGUUGAGAGCUUGUGUGAUUGACUUCAAAGGUAGUUGGGUAGAUCACUUGCCAUUGAUAGAGUUCGCUUAUAAUAACAGCUACCAUGCCAAUAUUAAGAUGGCUCCAUUUAAAGUUUUGUAUGGGAGAACAUAUAGAUCACCGAUAGGGUGGUAUGAAGUGGAUCAGACUUAGUUGUUUGGGCUUGAACUUGUUCAUCAGGCGAUGGAGGAUGUGAAAAUUAUUAGAGAAUUACUUAAAACAGCCCAGAGUAGACAGAAAUCCUAUACGGAUGUUUGGAGAAUGGAGCUAGAAUUUGAAGUUGGUGAUUAGGUAUUUCUCAACGUCUUCCCUAUGAAGAGAGUUAUGCAAUUCAGGAAGAAAGGUAAGCUGAGUCCUCGCUAUAUAAGGCUAUACAAGGUUUUGAGAAGGAUAGGUGGGGUUGCAUAUGAGUUAGAGUUGCCUGCAAGUUUAGGUUCUGUUUAUCCCAUAUUUCACAUAUCAAUGUUGAAGAAAUGUAUUCGAGACCAUUCAUUAGUGUUGCCUGUAGAGGAGGUCAAAGUGACAGACUUCUUAUCCUAUGAAGAGGAACCUAUUGCAAUAUUAUAUCGUCAAGUUAGAAAGUUGAGGAGCAAGGAGAUAACUUCGAUUAAAGUGUUGUGGAAAAAUUAGAAAGUUGAGGAAGCAACUUGGGAAUCAGAAGAUGUCAUGAGAGAUAGAUACCCAGAAUUAUUUGAUCCGGUGAAUGACAAAAUAAAAGGUACAAUCCUUGUAUUAUUCUUUUAUGGCCUUAGUAUGUUUGAAAUCGUGCUUGUCUGUGUUCUGCGUCAUCAUUCGGAGAUGAAUGAUCCUAAGGGGGGAUAAUGUAACACCCCGCAUCUUCCAUGAGUUAGCUUGUGGUAAUAUUCUCUUAGAGUUAAAGACUAGAAAAUUAAUUUUUCCUAAUUUUGACUUUUCAUCAUAUGGGAAAUUUGAUAAGUUUUCCGCCGAUUUAAGAUUCGCCAAAAUCCGAUACCCGGGCAAGAAAUUAUGGCUAAUUUAAGUCCUAGUUGAAAACACCGUCAUUUUUGUGCUUGGCACAUCGUGGAGGAGGUCUAUUUAACAAUUGUCAAAUUUCAGUAGCCUAGCGCGAUUGUGGCGCAUCGCACUGAAAUUCCAGUAAGCCACCGCGAUUGUGGCGCAUUAUGGUGGCCCAUAAAAUUGGGCUCCAAAUUAUAUUUUAUUCUAUCUCAUUAAGGGUAUAUUAGGUAUUUUCCACCCCCUUAUCAGCUUAAACACGGGAUUAUACUCCCAACUGACCACAUUAUUCAUAUUCUCUUCAAAAAUUCACAAGAACACUCUCUAGGGUUUCAAAUUAAAAACCCAAUUACAUCAAGAUUCAACCAUGGGUUUUCGAAACUGAGUGAAGAUUUGAAAUUCCCAAACUUUAGGCUUCAAAAAUCAUCCAUCAAAUUUCUAAAUUGAGGUAUGUGGGAUUUAUCCUAAAACUACAUGGGCUUGUUGAAAACACCCAAUUAUGAUUUAAAAAUCAUCAAGCAUGAAUUUGUUAAAGGGGUUUUGAGAUCCAUGAUUUUAUUAUGCUUUAUGCAUGUUUAAUGAUAUUGUUGUUUUGGCCUUUAGGCCUUCCCCCCUUAAAUUGAUUUAAACCUAUAUGAAUAUGUAUGAUGUUGAAGAUUUGAUAGAGAACAUUAUUAUUGAAAUCCCUCUCUUUGAUGAUUUAGAGUUGAUGAACUUGUUGGGAAUGAUUUAAGAUGCUUGUUUAAUGAUUUGAAGGGGAUCUUUUCAAUGUUUAAGUAUUUAACAUGAUUUUGUUGAUGAUGAGAGGGAGUUUCUUGGUACGAUUUUGUUCUUAUCUUAAAAAGAAAGAAUUUCAUGUGAUUGACAUUUUUGACAUGACCACCUUGUGUAUUUGAAUGUUGAAAAAGAGAGGUUCUUGCAUAUGUUUACAUGAGCUUUAAGAAAGAGUUUCUUGAAAUGACUUAUUGAUAUGGUGGUCCCAGAUUUACGUUUUGAAAUAGAGAUUAUUAUAUGCUAAUAAUGGCUCAUAGAUGUGACUUUCAAGUUAAUGGUAUGACAAUACUAUAUAAAUUUAUGCCAUAACAGAGUUAGAAUUUUCAGAGUAUGUUUUCAGAGAAUUCAUGUCUUAAAGAGUUAAAAAUAGGCAUAAAGAGAGUUAGGUGGUUGCCUGAAGAGGGCUAGAGUUCAAGUAACUCUUAGCCUAAAAUCGUGAUUUGCCGAUUCGUGUAUAUUAUUUUUAUGCUGGCGAUGGCCGUGUGGCGUAGCAGAGUUAAAGACUCCAACCCUUGCGGUACACUUGGGUUGGAGGAUUUCCCACUGAGUCAAUGGCGGAUUCCAUAUAGCCCAUGGAAUUUCGGAGUUGUAGGGUAUACCACUUAGCGCAAAAGUAAAACGAAGAGUGUCACAGAGUUCAAAUGAUUUUACAGAGUCUUUCAAAAAUAACCAUGAGAUUUAUUACUAUAUGAUAUGUUUAUGAUCUAUUUUAAAUUGCUCUUAUAUAUGUUAUAUGUUUACUAUUAUUUUGGAUCUUCUCUGCGUACCAGUACAUCUGUAUUGACCCCUUACCUCCCAGGUUUGGAGUCUCAGUCCAAGGCUCUGGCAAAUCAAUAGAGUAUUCCAGAGAGAAGUGAUCCGUGCAGUGGUGAGCCUUCUUUGUUCCAGAAGGCCUGUUAUUUCAGAUUAUAUUAUUCCAUUGUUUUGGUCUACUGGGGGCUUUGUCUCAGUUUUCAGAACAGUUUUGAGAUGUAGUAGAGAUUUCUCAAACUGAGUCAGAUCUUAUUCAGAUGUUUUAAUUGGUAACUCAUGUCUUGAAACUCAGAGUUAAUGACCAUGUUUUCGUAUAAGAUUGUAUUUCCGCAUAUUCUCUUAUGAUAUGAAUGUUGUGCAUGACUACUAGAUAGAGUAGGACGUUUGUUGCUUCAUGGUUUGGAAUGUCCGUCAUGGCCAGGCCCUAGUUCGGGUUGUGACAGCUAGACACUGUUGGAUGCUAGCUAGAAGACUACUUUAGAAUGUGCACUUUAUUUUAGCUCUAAUUGUAAGGCUCUGAUAUGAACCACAUCAACAAUUCUGCCCAACACUUCAUUGUCUGUGCUAGAAAAAAUUGUCCUGUGAAGAGAGAGGUUGGGAAGAAGGGUUAUGUAUUGAGUUUAUAUUAUGUCCGGAUGUAGCUAGAUAUCCUCUUUGAUAGAAUUAUAUAUUAUGCAAAAUGAGCAACUUUGGAUCCCUAACGUGAAACAAGAAAAUAUAUUAAAGACUUUUUGAAUAUUGAAUCUAAUAUCUAGCAUGGGUCCCGACGAAGACCUCUCACUUUUGUUAGAGCGAAGGGUGCCUAACCUGGAAGUGGAAAUAGGAAUUUUCCUCGAUGCGAUAGAACUAUAACAGUAGUUUAUCUGGGAUGAAUUCCUACUUACUUGUCUUAGUAAUGAUAACGAAGUAUGCCAAGGGAAGCUCGUGCCAACCUGCCGGAGAACAGACUAGUCAAUCCAUUGUAGUGAAGCCAUAAAAGUGGUAUAAAAGUUGUUUCAAGUCAAAACUCAAAUCUUAACUGUGAAAGUUCAGUCUUUUCAUGAAUCCUCUUAUACAAAUUUUUGGCUCCGACAGUGAUUAUUUCUAUUGGUUUGUUCCGAUCUGUAUUUAAAAUGAAUGGCUUUACAAAAUAUUUAUUGAAUUAUAGACUAUUUGGGAGGACCAUAUUUUGGCCUUUGCCCCUUUUGUUAUGUUCUCCAGAGUUCCACAUCAGAGGAAGAUUGGAAGCAGACAGUAGAGAGUUGAUAUAAAAACAAAGGACCAUUGCCUUUCAAAUACAUACCUUUCUCUGCCUUUUUGCUAAGAUCAAGUGUAGUAUCUGUUUUUAUCAGUUUAAUAUCUGAUAUGUGGGCCAUUGGCCCACACGAUAUUAAUUCUAUUUUUUGAGGGGAAAGGCUCAUCAAGGUAGCUUGCUGCCUAGGCCUUCAAGCGACGCCUGAGCAUUGCACUACUGCUUAGGUCUGGCACGGCCCGCCAAUACUAUGUUCAAUGUUUUGGUAGUCUGUUGUCAUGGCCCAAGUUAGUCUAGUAAUCAACAACUUGAGUUAGUCUUAUGGAAGUCCAUGACUGCAGUAGAGUUAAUAAGAAGUAAAUGAUAAGGGACAUGAUAAUAAACACAAACCAGCAAAGAACAACAAAGUAAAUGAUAAGGGACAACACAAACCAGCCAAGAAUAACAAGAGAAAACCAAGAACAAGAUACAAAACAAGCACGGGAGCAACACAAAGAAUCUGAGAAUAAGAAGAUAAGACACAAACACAUAAAUGCAAUAAGAUAAAUGAUAGAUAAGAUGACACAAGAAGUUAGAGAGAAUGGUCAAAUACCCCUCCAACCUUUACCCCAAAUUCCAACUACACAACUAUACUUUAAAGAGGCCCUAUGACCCCCCCCCGAACUAUUUAAAAAUGGAAUAUAUACCCCCAAAACGCUGACGUGACAAGAAUGUGCGUUUCACUUUCUUUAAAGAGAGUGAAAACCGAUUUUUUUAUUAAAAAUUUAAUUUUAAUAUUUCUUUAAAUAAAUAUAUAUAAUUUUAAUUAUUAUUUUUCUUUAUUUAUUUUCUUUCUCUUCUUCUUCAAUUCAUUUUCUUUCUUAUUCCUCAAUUCUUCUUCUUCUUUAAAUAAAUAUAUAUAAUUUUAAUUAUUAUUCUUCACAAACAAUGACAUCAAUGACAUCCAAGAACUUAUCAAUGGCAUUUUUCUUUCUUCUUCUCUUUAAUUCUUCUUCUUCACAAACAAUGGCACCAAGAACUCAUCAAUGAAAUUUCUUCUUCUUCUUCUUCAUUUUAUUUCUUCUCUUCAACAAAACACAAAACACCAUGGCUGCUCCCCACACACACACCGAAUUCUGAAAUUCCAUAAAAAAUAAAUAACUAAUUCCAUUCCAUUUCAAGAACACACACCCCAAAUGGGUCUAUCUUCAAUUCCAUCAAAAUUACAAAAUUAACAAUAAUUUCAAAAAUUGGUGCAAUAGAUAAAAUAAAAUUUGGUGGUGGUGUUACGUCGAUUGGUGGUGGAAAGUGGCGGCGCCGCCUUCACCGGAGUUCGUCAGUGGUGGGGCUAUUCUCAAAUAUGAUUUCAUGGCGAUUGGAGUAUCAGUUUUGGAUGAUUUUUAUUGAGGUGUGCUCGCAUUAAGGUGGCGCACCUGUUGGGAGUGGUCCGCGAUGCCAAAAGUCACCGAAGCUCCAGCGAUGACAGCAGGUAGUGGUGUAUUCGCGAUUUGACGGCGGCGACGAUGCCAACUUAGUUGAUUCAAGCUGAGUUGCUCACAUGAAUUUUUGGAAAUCUGAACAUAUUCAUGAAUCAAAAUCUGGUCCUUUUCCUCAAUUAAUUCGGAUUCCUGUGCUUCCAAAAAUACUUCCAAAAGGAAAGAAAAAUGGGAAAUAGAAAGGGAAAUUCAAAGAAGAGAAUAUAUAUNNNNNNNNNNNNNNNNNNNNNNNNNNNNNNNNNNNNNNNNNNNNNNNNNNNNNNNNAUAUAUAUAUAUAUAUAUAUAUAUAAAAGAAUAAUAAUUAAUUUUUAUAUAAAAAAUAAUAUUAUGUGGAAAUUAGGUGGCAUUACAUGGCAGGUGUGUAUUGCUCACUUUCCAUUACGUAUCUGGGCGUCAGUGUUUGGUGGUAUAUAUUCCAUUUUUAAAUAGUUCAGAGGGGUCAUAGGACCUCUUCAAAUUAUAGUUGUGUAGUUGGGAUUUGGGAUAAAGGUUGGAGGGGUAUUUGACCAUUUUCUCUAAGAAGUUACAAAGAAAGAAGAACCAAACCAUGUAUUAAAUGAUAAAACCCUUAAACUCGCAACAACAAACACCAAUCUUCUUACGGUGACCGCUAAGGAAAUCAACUCCACCUUACAACAACCAUUUCUAAGCAAAGAUCAAUAAUGGCUUUCCCAAGCCCUACACUAAUAGAUUUUCCAAGCCCUACACUAAGGGUGUUAUACUCUAAAAUAGAGAAAAGUAUUUCACAUAUUCAGCAUUCAAAAAACUAAAGAGAAAAGACCUAAAAGAGACUAUAUAUAGCCUUAUUACAUAAUGGGGGACAAAAUGACUCCAAUACCCCUAAUGAGGUGGGGUGGCCAUGGAGUGUUACUUGGAUAAGGCUAAGUGACCAAAAUGACCUUAAUGAAUUGGUCAAAACCGUGAGUCCUCAAUCUUCAAUGCUCCAAGCAAUCUUCCACAUGCGGGAUUGCUAUUUGGUGUACUCAAAUCUACCCCUCCAUGUAGGAUCACAUGUCCUCAAUGCGACCAAAGCUUGAUGCCCCACGUAUUGACUUCGAAUAAUUUCAUCGAAAGCUGAGGCGGCCAUUUAACCCGUAUCAUCCUCCCCUUCUUGAAAAGUAUUUGACCUCAAAUCCAAACCUUGAAAAGUAGAAGAAAGGACAAACGAAUAUAAACUCCUCAUGGAAUGAGGGUUCGGAUUAGCACGAUAAAUCAUCUCAACAUGCCAAGGUUGCACAUAUUUAAAAUAUAAUGAAGGAUCCUUUGAACUAAAUAUUAAAUACUCAAUGAAAAAUGUACAAAGGAUUUGGUUACGGGAAUCACCAAGAGAUAAGAAAGCUACAAGGGUCUUAAUCGAAUCACUCGGUCCAAAAGGUAGAAUUAGGAUCUUAUGAGCCGCAAGACACAAUUGACUUUUUAUCUCAUCAAGAGACCACACCAAGGGUGGUGAUUCAAUUGGUUCUAAAGUCCACGAGAUCCAUAUAACACUAUUACUCACACAAGUGGACUUACCAACAAAUUUCCUACCUCUACAUAAAACAAAUCCAAAACUAGUAUGGAUGUCAUCAUAGGCAAAGAGGUAGUAUAGAAAGGAAUCAAGUAUAGAGAUAUACAUGGAUGAAGACAAUCCAAUUAAGCACAUACACUUUCCUUCUUGCAAAUAAAUAAUAACUCGGCAUCCAUUGAUAUUCAUGUAACUCAAACACAAGUGUAUCAAGCAAAGAUGCGCAUUUAGAAACAUUACCCCAAGGAGUCAAUGGCACCUUUGCCCUUGGGUUUUCAAGAAGGACUACACAUUCCUUACCCUUAAGAGUACUCUUAUCUUUCAAAAAGAAAUUUUCAUCUUUAGGAGGAAUGUUGUCAUACCAUAGUGGAUUAGCAUAUCGGCUAAAGCCAAUCUAUACCAUUAUUUCUCCACUAGGUUCCCUAGGAGUAUGUAUAUCAUCUUCAAACAAGACAUUAUACCUAAAGAGAGCAUGAUCUAUCUCACGAGUAGAUUUUGAAUAAGAAAGUUCUUCACUCUUUAACAGAUCAAUAUCAAGUUUCAAAGAGGUUUUAAGUACAAGAUUAUCCCAAGAAUAGCUCUCGGGUUCACUCCUAUUUUGUUGACCAACAUUUUCAAGUAUUUCACUCACUUGAGUUCUAUUAAUCAAAUCACACACAUAUUCAAGUGGUGGACUAUUUUCACAAAUAAGUUGAUCAACACCAAUUACACAAGAUGAUGUACUUCUAUUAAACAUAUAGGCUUCAACACUAGGUGGACAUAAAUUGAUCUUAUAAGUAAAGGCUCUCAAAACAACCCCAAGUAGUCAACCAUGGAUGGAAGGAUAUAGUUUCUAUAGUACCUAUCAUUUAACACAAUGAGGUAGCUCGGUAUCCCACAAAUGGUCAACUUUCCAGCACUCUUUCUCGGAUAAACAUUGUAAGGCACAUGAUUACCCGUUGGUUUUGGUGAUGCAUAUCCUCUUCUUCUCGUGGGACAACCUCUACUAUAGCUAGGAUAACCAUUCACACCAUUUCGAUUUUGAUAAAAAGUACUACUAGGUAAAGAAAAUGAAUUUUCACACUCCACAUAUACUCUCAUCAAAGCUCUCAUAAGCUUUGCGAAUGAAAGGGUUAUAACUAACAUCAAAUUUAGGUUCGGUGUGGGAAGUGUAAGAAUCCUCAUAUACCUCAAUUUCAUCACAAGAACCAUCACAAGGUCUUACAUCAUCCCUAUAUUCCCCACAAGCGCUAGGCACUUCAUUCUCCUUAUUUUUUCCCUAAUACCGUGACCCUCAAAUCUGCCCAGGUUUUGAUCAUGGCUAUUUUCAUAGCCCCGACAAUCUCCCUCAACUUCGUAUCUAUAAAAUCCUUCACUACAAUCAUAGUCUCCCAUGUUGUAGUCACAAUAAUCCUCGGCUAUCGAAGACAUGUUUCCCUUAUAUCACCUUUAAAACCUACAAAAAAAAAAAAUUAGUAGUUAAAGCUCCUCUCCAACACUCGUAUACACUCACCUUUGUGAUUCUCACAAUCGGAGCGGUGAAUAUUGAAAGUUGCUUAUACUCUGGUAGUCAAUAAGGUGUCAAUCACUACUUAGAGGUAGGAAUAUAUUCUUGUUCGAUCGACUCAAGACACAAAAUAAAAAAUUCUACUUACGAACUUGAAACAAAGAAGUUCAACGAAUCAAAACGAGAAAAGCACACAAAGAACAAAAGUACGAAAAAAAAAAAGCAGACUCAAACAACUAAUUCACAAUCUAGUAGGUGAUUAAUAGUUGCUAAUUAGUAUUAGAAUCAAGAAAUGAAACUAAGGAUACAAAAAAAAAAAGAAACUUAGAAAUCUGAAAUUUUGAGCCUAAGUUUGUUUUUAGGGGGUGAUGAUGUGGCACUUUGGUGACGUGGUCGUUUGCAAUUUGGAUUGGUCAAAUUUUAAUUUGAAAUGGUGAAAAUCAGCUUUGGGAGAGAAACAACAAGACUUGGAUCUUUUUUUUUUUUUUUUAAUUUCAAAAAGGGUUGACUUUCUUGCACCCUUUUGGAAAGACACCUUUUUGAAAGGUUGUUGGCUCUUUCCUCUUUUGUUAGUCUUGGAAUAAGCUUUUACUCCCUUUUGGUAAACAAGACUUUUGAAAGCCCUUUUGUCCCCUUUUCUUUUUGGAUGUCUUGGAAUUGUGUCUUUCAAGACAAACACAAAACCACACUCCAUUCUUUACCCUUUUAGAUCAAACCACUUCCUUUUGAAUGUUCUUGGUCAGCAAUACAUGAAGAACAACAAGAACAUUCAAGAAUGGAAACCAACCCAAAUGAGCUCCAAAUUGAAUGAUUUUUGUUUCUUUUGGCUCACGUUGAACUCUACAACAACAAAAACACGUUUCAAGCCCACAUCCUCAACAACAAACAUCAACAACACACUUUUAAGCCAUCAAUCCUCAAAAAGCAGCAACCAUCAAAGUUUAAGAACAACUCGAAAAUGACUCAAAAUUCGGAUCUUGACUCUUUAGUGUUAGUAAAGAAGGGGCUAAUACUAGAAAAAAACAAAACAUAAAAAUCUCCUAAAUAUAAGAUACAAAUUUCGGCCUAGACACCAAAAAUGGAACAGAAUGUUUUUUUUGGAUUUUCGGUUUUUCAACAUUUUUUUGUGAUUUUCUAGUUAACAAGUCCAAGAUUGAUUCCGUAGGAACCAAAUCAAUCCUUUCUCUGAUACCAAAUGAUAAGGGACACGAUAAUAAAAACAAACCAGCCAAGAACAACAUGAGAAAACUAAGGACAAGAUAUAAAACAAGCAUGGGCAGCAACACAAAGAAUCUGAGAAUAAGAAGAUAAGACACAAACACACAAAUGCAAUAAGAUAAAGGGAUAGAUAAGAUGACAUAAGAAAUUAUGAAGAAAGAAGAACCAAACCGUGUAUUAAAAGAUAAGACCCUUAAACUCGCAACAACAAACACCAAUCUUCUUACGAUGACCGCUAAGAGAAUCAACUCCACCUUACAACCACUGUUUCUAAGCAAAGAUCAAUAAUGGCUUUUCCAAGACAUUCACUAAUGGCUUUUCCAAGCCCUACACUAAAGGUGUUAUACUCUCAAAGAGAGAAGAAGUCUUUCACAUAUUCAUCAUUCAAAAAAUUAAAUAGAAAAGACCUAAAAGAGACUAUAUAUAGCCUUAUUACAUAAUGGGAGACAAAAUGACUCCAAUACCCUUAAUGAGGUGAGGCGGCCAUGGAGUAUUACUUGAACAAGGCUAAAUGAACAAAAUGCCCUUAAUGAAGGGCCCGAAACCAUGAGUCUUCAAUCUUCAAUGCUCCAAGCAAUCUUCCACAGGCGGAAUUGCUCUUUGGUGUACUCAAAUCGGCCCCUCCAUAUAGGAUUCCUUGUCCUCAAUGCAACCAAAGUUUGAUGCCCCAUGUACUUACUUCGAAUGAUGUCAUCGAAAUCUAAGGUGACCAUUUGACCCGUAUCAGUAAAAAAAUACAAAAGUUCACUAUUUGCUUAGGUGUUGUAACUAAAUAUCAUGUAUACUCAGAGAUUAGUAUGUCCUAUUUUUUGUUCAGUUCCCUGAGUUACAGAUAAAACUAUCAUAUGAAAGGAAAGGUUUAUAUUACUUUUAUAUUUGUUGAGUACACUCUACUUUUAGUACUUUUUUAUUUUGUGCAUCCAAGGGUGUGGCCUAGUGGUCAAUGCAUUAGGUUGAGCACCAUGAUUAAUUUUUAGCAAGACAAAAACAGAUAUGCAUAGUCAUGCUUAACUGAAUUUUUCUUUACUUCAUAAUGAAAGAGUUUUGAUGUCUAGACACCAUUGGAUGCUAGAUAAAAGACUACCUUAGUAUGUGUACCUUAGCUCAGAACAUGUAAUUCCUUAAUAAAGGUCUUACUUGUGAAAGUAUAACCUCACACAGUGUGGUGAUAGAAACUUCUUCAUAUUUUUUUUAGUAUCUACCUGCUUGUUUGGUGUCAUCAUGUGGUGAAAGUUCAGUUGUAAUUGCAAGGCAAUCAUAUCAACCAUCUUACCUAAUCCUUCAUAGUCUGUACUUAGGACAUAGUCCACUAUAGAGGAAGGUUAGGAACUAUUGGUCAAUUCUGACCUUUAUUCAAUAUAAGUUGCUUUGCAAAUAUUUAUUGAAUUGUAUACUAUUUGGGAGGGCUAUAUCUUGCCUGGGCCUUUGUAACACCCCGUAUUUCGGGCUAGAACAAAAAUCGUCACUUCUAUGCGUAGAUGAUCCAAAAGCCUUAAAUCUUAUGUAAAUUUGGUAUGUUAAUCAAUUAUGGAGUGUGGGAACCUAUUUGAGCAUGAAUUGAGAUCGUAGAGGUCCCCUAACUCAAGGACGAGUUGAAAGCUUUCCUAUCGUUCGAGUUGAGUAGCGUCGAAACUUGGGUCAACUUCAAUCAACCAUAACUCUUUGUAUAUAAUGAAUUAAAGAACCUACUAUAUAUCAAAUGAAAUAUCUUCUAAUUAUCUUUACAAAAAUACCAACUUUUCCAAAAUACGAUACCUGAAUGAAAAGUUACAGCCAUUUUCAUGAGAGGCAGUAAGCUGGGGCGAUAAUCGAGGCGGCGCCCUGCCUAUUCCUGCCAGUGUAAUUUCCUGCAGUCAAGCUUCGUGUCCAAUAGGGAUAUUUGGGUCAUUUACCACCCUUAAAUAGCCCCAAUAACAUGAGAUUCAGCCUCUAAUAACCAAAUUAUACCCUCAUUCUCUCAAAUUCUCUCAAGAAUACUUCUUACGGUUUCAACCCAAAGAUCAAAAUAUCUUAAGAUUUCACCAUGGGUUUUUAAUAAUUCUUUGAGAUUCGGAAUCCCCAUUGUGAGGGCUACAAGAAGCACCCAUCAAUUGUUUGAAUAGCAUCCCUAAAGCACGAGUUCAUUCAAGAGUCAUAAAUUAAGGUACGUGGGGUUUUCCUAAAAAUCUCAUGGGCAUAGAAAUCAUGAUUUUAACGAAAAGGGUUUUAGAUUUAUGAUUUAUAGUCAUGUUUUAGAAGUCUCGAUGGCAUUGUUUUGGUCUUUAGGCCUUUCCCCAAAUUGAUUUAAAAUUCUACAUCUAUGUAUACAUAUUUUUAAGGUUGAAUAUUCAAUUGAGAGCAUGAAUUGUAAUGAAUCCCUCUCUUGUUAUGGUUUUUCCAUCUUUCAUAUGAUAUGAAUUGUUUUGAAAUGCAUCUUGAAAAGCAUGGUAUGAAAUGUCUUGAUUAUUGCUAUGACUUGAAUAUGAUUUUUGAAUUCAAAAGAGAGGGUUGUUUGUAUUGAUAAAUAUUGAAUAUGAAUAUCUAAGGGAAAGAGUUGCAUGGUACAAAGAUUUCAGAAUCACCACAUCGUUAUUGAAAGAAUGAUAACCUUUGAAUAGUUUUGACUUGUGCUUUCGAAACAUGAAAUCUCUUAUACUAUUUGCAUGUUUGGGUGGUCUGAAUUGAGUUUUGAUGAAAGAAUCAUGCAUGAUGAAUUAUGGCUCAGAAAUAGGACUUGCAAGUCUUGGUGUGACGAUACCAACUUAGAUAAUGUCAUGUUAAUUCAUAACAUAAUAGAAUGUAUGUUUGAAAUCAAAUUUUUAGAUUUUGAAACUAGAAUGAUGCAUGUUUCAGAAAAGACUAAAAUUGGACAUAAAAAGAGCUUAGGUGGUUCACCAAAGAACGCACGAUUUCAGACAACUCAUUUCCCAAAACCGUGAUUUGCCGAUCCGAGUAUAUUAUUAUACGCUGGCCUAGUGCCUUAUGGCAUAUCAGACUCAGACACUCCAACCCUUGCAGCACACUUGGGUUGGGGGCUUCCCCGCCGAGCCAAUGGCGGAUUCCAUAUAGCCUGUGGAAUAUCAAACUUGUAGAGGAGUGCCACCUAACUAGAAGUAAUACAAAGAUCAUGAAUUGCAGUGAUAGAAAGUUUUUUUAUGAUUUUAUCAAUAAUGCCCAUGUGUUUCGAACUUAUAUCUUAUAAGAUUUUUUAUGAAUAGCUCUCAAUUAUUUUAUUUAUAUAAAAGCUUUAUUUUAGAUUGCUCUGCGUACCAGUACAUCUGUAUUGACCCCCUACCUUCCAAGUUCCGAGGCACAAUCUAGGGGCAUUGAUAAGCAGUAGAUUUCUUCAGACAGAAUUGCAGAGUCCAGUUGGUGAGCCUUCUAUAUUUCAGAAGCCCUAUUUAUUUUCACAUAUUUAUCAUUAGUCAGGGUUUUGGCCUACUGGGGGCCUUGUCCCAGUCUUUAGACAGUUGCUAUUAGUUAUGUAGUAGAGAUUUCGCAAACAAUUUUCAGAUGUUAUUAGAUGGUUUUGGAUUUUAUUUUCCAUUUUUGAAUUUAUGUCAGACUUAUGACCAUGAUUUUGUUUUGUUAUAUAUUUCCUGAUACAAGAACGAACACACAACACAGAUUCAAGAGAUCUACAAGAUAAAAAACAAUAGAGAAUCAAAGGCCCCACUCAACUUCUCUAUGUUUUCAAGACAACAACAACAAUAUUCAACAAAGUAGAUGGAGAAUACAAGAUUACAAGGACUAUAGUGAAUCGAAGAGUCCCCACAAGGCUUCACUAUGUCAAAACAUAAACAACAAGAUUACAAUAACAAGAAGGCUACAUGUACAUUAACAACAACAAGGAACCACGGAUUCAACAAGAUACAAGAUAAAUAGUUAGACCAAAAGAAGGGACAAUCUUAAGAACCCAAGAAUUGUUACACUCUUAGACCCUUAAACACUAUCCGAGACACAAACCUAACUCUACGUUGACACAAGAGGGACUUUACCUCCUCUAAACACCAACUUUUCAAGCCAAUAUGCAAACACAAGUGAAUCUUCACUUGUCUAGCCCUAGUUUCGAUUGGAGCUCUUAAGAGAGAACUAAAGUGUUGCAAAUGUUACAAGUAUCAAAAUAUGAUCAACUAAGUGAAUAAAACCCUAAGUGGUUCUAUUUAUAUUACAUUCCCCAAAAGACUUAAAAUAACAAAGGUGCCCUUUUAAUGAAUAAGGCUUCAAGGCCACCCCUUUAGUGCACACACAAGAUUGGUUUUUGUCUUCUCCCACACUUAAGCUCGGGCCUUCUCUCAGUUUCCUUUGACAUACACAAAAAGGGUCCAUCUACGAGAUCACACUUGUAUCAUUCUCUCCAUCUUGAGAGGAUUUUGACCUCAAACUCAAGCAAUCUUCACCCGCAAGCUAUCCUCUUCAAAUAAUCUUUUCUCGGCUCCUCCCAAGGUUAGGAUAUUCAACCAAGGGUGUCAUGAGAUCAUCAAGCUUGCUCCUUGGGCUUGGAUGUCCUUCAACCUGUACAUAAGAAGAAUGGAUGCUAGGCAAAGUGCUAGCAUCUCGGUUAGUAAGCAUCAAAGUGUCUUUGUGGGUAAAUCCCACUUCUUGAAAUCUCGGCUCCUCCUCUUCUUCAUCAUCCUCACCCUCGAUUUCCUCUUCUAAAACAUCACUAAGCAUGAUUCUCCUUGCCAUAAACAAGGGUACUACACACUCUCCAUCAACCGGCCAAAUAUCUUCCACACCUUCAUCUAUUUCUACCUCGGCUUCUUGCUCUCCAUCUUGAGCGUUUUCAUCAAACUCAUUCAUUGCAAACCCCACCUCCUCACCAAGGUAAUACAAUUUUCCUUCCCUAAGGAUUAUAUUUCUCUAGUUUGGGCACUCAUUAGCUUUGUUCCUCCACCCUUGACAUUUAAAAUAUUGAAAUCCUUUAGGACAAGAAGUAGAAUUUGGUUUACCAUCAUUUGUCGAAAGAUACCUUUGGGAAACCUUGGUCUCAUCUUGGAUCAGCUUGGCCUCAGGUUUCUCCUCAUUGGAUGAGUCAAUCUUGUCCUUGUGCCAAUCCGAGGGUGAUUUCCCCUUGAACUUACUGCCCACCCUUCUCCGUAUCUCUCUCUCAAUCUCUAAGGUGGCUUGGAAAAUAGCAUCAAUUGUGUUAAACUUGUGUAAGGUAAAUUGUGAAAUAAUAUCUCUAUUCAACCCCACCUUGAAUCGUAUGAUGUCAUGACUCACUUGUUCCCAUCUAUGAUCAAGUUUCAAGAUGAGUUGUUGGAAUUCAUCGUAGUAAGCCAUGAAGUUUUUGUUUCCUAGCUGGAAGACUACCUAAGAUUGUGCACCUUAGCUCAGAACGUGUGAUUGCUUAAUAAAGGUAUCACAUGUUGUGUUGGUAGAAACUUCUUCAGGUUGUUUUCAGUAUCUAUCUGCUUGAGCAGUGUUUCUCAAGUAGUGAAAGUUAGUUCAGUUGUCAUUGAAAGGCGAUCAUACCAACCAUCUCGCCUAAUGUAAGGGCUAACUUUUUUGUACAACGACGGUGAGGAUGGUCCGAAUUGUGGUUGGUUUAACCACUGGACUGUAUGUUUUAUGAAAAUCAAUCCCAGGUAUUUGGGUGAACCCUUUUGCAACCAAAUGUGCUUUGUACCUAUCAAUGGAGCCAUCAACCUUUGUUUUGAUUUGAAACAACCAUUUGCAUGGAACAAUAUUUCUGGUGUGGUCCAGUGGAACCAACUCCCAAGUAUGGUUUUCUAUUAGUGCAUCAUACUCAGCGUACAUAGCAUCUCUCCGAUAUGAUAAUUUUUGUGCUUAUUUGUGGGUUACAGGUAAAAUGGUAGGUACAGACUGGGUUAUUUGGCCAAUGUAGUCAAAAAAUUUUGCCGCUUGACAAUGUUAUUUUGUGACCUUGUUACUACACAAUUUUGCUCUAUUUGUGGAACUUGAACUAUGGGUUCAGUGGGUGGAGGCAAGUUAAGAGAGCAACUGCUCACACCUCUAUUAGCAUGGAGGGAUAGUGAUAGCUUUGGGCGACGCUGAUAAACAUGAGUAACUGGUGGUUGGCGAUGUAGAGAGCAAGGAUACACAGAGAAGGUAGGGGGUGGGCUUUGAAAUAUGAAGUGGGAUGGUUGGGUAUCAAUAACAGGGGAUAGGGAAGUAGUUUGAGGAUUACCUCAUCCCGGAGUGGUGACCCUGGGUUAUUUCCCUGUGCGGUGCGAACUGAGCAGGUAUCUUGGUGUGCAACUGGCCUGUUCGGAAUAGUGGGACAAAGCAAGGUGAGACAGGAUUAAUAGCGGUGGAACCAAUUUCCACAUCUGGAUUUUGAUGUUUUAAAGUGUUUUCCCAAUUUAAAUAUGAAAAGCUUUGUUUCACCUGAGAAAAAAUAUUAUCAAAUGGGAAAAUUUCUUCUAAAAAUUUUACAUCCCGUGAGAGAAAAAGUUUAGAGCUGGUGGGGUCAAAACACUGAUGGCAAUGAUGAGUGACGGAGAAACCGAGAUAAACACAAGGUUUGGAAUAUGGUUCUAAUUUAUUUUGGGUAUAUGGUCAUAACCAUGGGUAGCAUAGACAUCCAAAUGUACAGAGAGAUUCAUAAGCAGGUGUUUUGUUGAAAAGAACUUCAAAUGGGGACUUGUUAUUAAGAGUGGCAGUAGGCAGGCGAUUAAUGAGAAAGGCAGCAUGAUGGCAGGAAAAUGUCCAAAAAUUGAAGGGCAAACUUGCUUGAUGAAGCAACAUUUUAACAGUCCCAAUAAGGUAUCGAUGACGUCUUUCAGCCAAGGCAACCCAUUGAGGAGUAUGGGGAGGGGGAGAGACAAGGUGUUGUAUGCCAUUAGAACUAAUGUAUGGUUCCAUGACUUUAUAUUCUCUGCUUCCAUCAGUGUAAAGUAAGAGGAUUUUGUGACCAAAAUAUUUUCAAGCAUAGGAUGUAAGCUUUGAAAGUGUUUUUGCACUUCAUGUUUGUUUUUCAUUGUGUACAACCAAAUGUAUUUGGUGUACUGAUCAACAAAUAGACAAUAGUAGCAAUUUUUAUCAAUAGAGAGAACAGGGGAUGGACCUCAUAAAUCACUGUAAAUUAUUUCUAAUGGAUGUUUGCUAGACAAAGUGUUUGACUAAAAGGGAAAUCUAUGAGCUUUAUUGCAGUAACAAGAAUUACAAUAAGUAAACUUGUCUUUUGAAGAAUAUGAAAGACGGGAGCUGUUUAAAAUGGAAAGUAACCCUCGAGAGUGGGGAUGGCCCAAUCUUCGAUGCCAGAGAUGUAAGGAAGGUCCAUCAAUGGCAAUGUUGAUGUUUGGUCGAGUCAGGGAUGGCCAUUCAUAGAGACCUGCUUUAUUCGGGCCAUGCAGAAGAGGUGCUCCCAUAGUCAGAUCCUUCAUAAGAAAAGUAAAAGAAAAAAAUUCUAUGGAGGUUAGAUUUUCUUUGCAAAAUUGAUGAACUGAAAUGAGUUAGCGUUUGAUAGCUGGAGCACACAAAAUACUAGAAAGUUUGAAGGCAAUAUUUGAUGCAGUUAAGUGAGUAUUACCAUUUUGAGUAAUCGGAAUCACAUUACCAUUUCCCAUUGUCACUGCAUCCAUACCUUUGAAUUCUUGGACAUUAUGGAGUGAGUUGGUAUCCGAGGUGAUGUGGUGAAAAGCACCUGAGUCAAUAAUCCAAGGGUUACUCGGCGUUGAGUGCGCGGCAAAAUUUGCUUUUGCUUCAAAGUGGUUAUGGGAUCGAAAGCGGCAAACAUUUGUUGUAUGUCCAAAUUUGUCACAAAGUUGACAAUGUACUCGUGAUGAAUGGUGUGGGAAGUUACGCCACUAAGAAUUAUCCAUCGGAUUACACCACUGGGAAUUAUCCGUUGGAUACUGAGAAUGAGUGCUUUGAUUAGGCUGCCUGUCUUGGGGACGCCAGUUACUAUUGUUGGAUGGGCGUCUAUUGUUGCGUGGGCUGAUGGAGCUGAGGAAAAGUUCAUGAUCAAGAAUCUUGUCAAAAAGUUCUUCAUAGCUAAUAGGAGAGUCCCUUGCCCGUAUGGCUGCAGAGAUUUCGCGAAAUUCUGACCCGAGUCCACUUAGUAUUUUCACCACUAGUUCUUCAUUAUUGACGGGUGAACCUGCUAUGGUGAGUUCAUCAGAGAGAGCGAAUCUCUCGCAUAUAUUCGGCAAUGGAUUUAUUGUCCUUAUUGACUCGAUUGAGAUGGUGACAAAGGCUGAAGACAUGGGUUUGCGAUUUCUUUGCAAAGGAAGUGUGAAGUUGAUCCCACGCAGCUUUGGAGUUGAUAGCAGAAGGUACCGUGGGUGCGAUUAUGGCAUCUACAGAUGCCAUGAGAGCAUUUUGGAGCAAUUUAUCCUGAAGAAACCAAUCCUUCUACGCCGUGUUGGCUGUCUCAAGGCCGUUAGUUGUUAUUGUUUGAGCAGGGGACAAUAUGGUGCCAUCAAGAUGACCAUAGAGGUCAUGGCCAUGAAGCAACAUGGCAAUCUGGGCUUUCCAUAUGGUAAAAUUAGUGUUGCCAGUUAGUUUAAUGGGCAGCUGGGAUGAUGGAUUAAAUUGAAUCAAGUGUUUGAGGACAGGGGCAACGUCAGCAUUAAUGACGGGGUUAGAAGAGGCCAUUGCUGCAAAGAGAAGAAGAAGAAGAAGAAAAAAUGGAUCUUGGACUCUGUUAAGAGUAUUUUGGCUUUGAUACCAUAUAAAUGUAGAGAAUGAAGAUGAAGUUGUUUUGAUUUCAUUGAUAUGUAUGUGUAUAUAUACAAGAUAACACAAAACAAAUAAGGAAAGAAUCAACUAAUAAAGAAUUGUGAUCUUCUCCUAAACAGAAACUAAAUCACUAAACUGAUCUUCCAUAUCUCAGUUAUCAAUCAGGAAUACAUACUCCAUUAGAUAGCAAGAACACUUGUGAACUCGGAUAACCUUAUGGCAUGCUGCCAAAUCUACUCUACUCUACACUAUCAUCUUUCUUCUUUUUGAUUAAAACAUGACAAAUAUUUAUUCAACUGCGGCUACACUUACACCAAGAACUCCUAUUGCUUCAAGUGCUGAUUCAAUUGCAACAUUUACUGUGACAAGACGAGCGUUGAAAUAAAGGAAGAUUACACUGAAGCCGCAAAAGAGGUUUAUAAGUUGUUUCAAAUCACAGAGUUUAAAUCUUAACUGGGACAUUUUAGUAUUUUCUUAAAUCCUCUUAUAUAAAUCUUUUGGCUCCGACCCUGUUAUCUUCUAUUAGUUCAUUCCUAACUUUAUGCAGAAUGAUUUUUACAAAAUAUUUAUUGAAUUAUAGACACUAUUUAGGAGGACUAUAUUUUUUCCUUUGCUCCUUUUGUUAUGUUCUUUAGUUUUAUGGUGUUCACUUUUCCCACACCAGAAGAAACAAGUUGCUACAAAAACAAAGGCCCAUUUACAUGAAAACUCUUAACUUUCUCGGCCUUUUGGCUAAGAUCAAGUGUAGUAUCUGUUCUUAUCAGUUUAAUAUCUGAUAAUGUGGAUCAUUGGUUCAGACGAUAUUAACUCUAUUUUAUGAUGUGGAAGGUUCAUAAAGGUAGCUUGCUGCCUGGGCCUUCAUGUGUCGCCUAAACGUUGCACUACUGCUUUGGCCUGGUGCACCCCACCAAAUCUAGUUCAAUGUUUCUGCAAUAUGUUGUUUUUGAGUCCUUUAUACUUGUUUUUUAUUGGAAUUAUUAAUUGUGGUGUCUGUGCACCUCAACUAUUUCAUUGAAUCAUCGGAUGCCUACCACCUCUAAAGUACUCACCCGUUUCAUUGAUCUCUAGAGGCCUUUGGAUGCUAGCUAGAAUACUACUUUAGAAUGUCGGAGCCAAAAAUUUAUAGACUGAUUCUCUCACCCACAAAACUGCUGCUCUCGAUCCCACCCAUUCUUAAGUUGGCUGAUGCACUUAAUCAGAAAGUGAAGUCUGUGAGGUACACUCGUGGUAGUUUCAUCUUUCUUGGGGCUCAACCAUAUCCACAUCACCAUCUCUCUGAAGAUGUGGGCAUGCUUGACAGCUAUUUCGGUAAAGUUUGGUGCAGGCAGCAAUGCAUAUUUGAUGGAUAGUGCUGUUACACAACAGAACUGGCAUGUGUAUUCUUCUUCAGCUGAAUCUGCCGAUGCCAAUUAUGUGAAUCCAGUUUAUACACUGGAAAUGUUAGUACUCAAUCUAGCACUGCUGCUGAGAUGACUGAAGUUUCAGGCAUUUGUAGGAUUCUUCCAGAACCUAAUAUAUGUUAUUUCGACUUUGACAGCAAUCUCCACAAUUAACAUAACACCCGUGGAUGGAUUCAGCUAUGCAAGUUUUGAAGCAGUGUUAUGAUUUCAGAGAGGUCAACUUGACUGCAAUGAUUGAGAGGGUGUUGUCCGAUGAUUACGCUGUGACACUCCUGAGAAGCAACUUUAUACUGAGUCUGGCCUGGACAUUAUCGGAUCUGGAGAAAAGACUACUGAAGUACUUGGUAAGGGAGGAUCAGUUACAUACCUCACAUUUAGUAGCGGUGACAGCUGCGGAUCCCCCAGAUCAAUCCUUAAUAUCUAGGCGUGCAAAUAAUGUUUCUUUGUGGAUUCAUGAGGUCUAGUAGUAGCAUUAGUGUUUGGUAUUUAAAUUCUGUGGUAAGUCCGGGAUGAAAUGAACUGUCUCUACUAAGUUAAUGAACCUCGUUGUUAGAGUGCGUACCCUACUGAUUUUAGUGUUUUACUCUAAUAGUUGUCUAUCAGUGGAACAAGUGAGCUAACGUGGUUCACGUAAGUAAAGUAUGAAGACAAUAUUUUUACGUGGAAAACACCCGGCUCAAGAAAUGUAAAAACCCACGGGCCUGUACCUCUACAGGAUUUAACCCCAACUUCACUAAAACUUUGAGCCUCAAAAAUCUACAAAUUACAAGACUUCUUGUAAACUAGGAAUUAAACUUCUAACUCCUAUUUCUACAAUAACACAAAUCUUUCCAAGAUAAGUGUUCUCAAGUCUUUGAGUUCCCUAACUUGAAGACACAGCUCCUAACUCAGUUUAUAUUUCACUGAGACUAGAACUAAGACUCAGUACAACUCAAAGAACCAACCUAUUACACAAAGUCUACGACUUGCUAAGUAAAGGACCAGGUUCUUCUUUAAGCUAGUGAACUGAUUUGCUGAUUGAUGCUUUUCUUAUCAGUGCAUGAGUGAAGCACUUGAAUGUUGUUUCUUGUAUUUAAGCCAACUCCUGAUUUAAGUCGUUUAGAUGAUGUGCUUUUCUUUCUUUAAUAGGACUCUAAUAGGACUCUAUUAGGUAGUUUCACUCCUUGUUCCAUUAUAUCUCGUUGAUCCUUGAUCGAGUAGGACUCUGAUAUUUGCUCAAUCUUCAAGUGUUUGUGUUUAUCCACCUUUCAACUUCUUUGCUGCAUGUGAUAAGCGUUGAGAGCAUAUCUGAAUUUCCUUGCUUAUCCACUCCUGUCUUUACGCAUUGUCAGCCUUGCAUCUAUUUCGAUGUGCUUCACAUGUGAGGAGCAGUAUGACUAACAUGUUUCACACACAUAUGUCAAUCAUCAAAACUCCUUUGCUCUAACACUUGUAGCAUUAUACUAACGUUUUUGUGGGAGACUAUAUAAAAUAUCAUCAUUUGUGAAUAUGUUUGUACUCCAUGUUCUUCUGAAUGUGUUUUACGCUUUGAACAUUCACCUGUUUUAAAAAAUAUUAUUGAAUUGCAGACUAUUUGGGAGGACUAUAUAUUUCUUUUGCUCAACAAAUCUUAUAUUGCUUUUGCUCAACAAAUCUUAGUUUUUGUUGUUCAAUAUUUCCCACAUCAGAAAAAAGUAAGAAAGAGACACCAGAAAGUUGCUAUAGAAACAAAGGCCCAUUGACUUGAAAACUAAUACCUUUCUCGGCCUUUUGGCUAAGAGCAAGUGUAGUAUCUGUUCUUAUCAGUUUGAUAUCUGAUAUGUGGGCCAUUGGUCCACAUGAUAUUAACUCUAUUUUUUUAGGGGGAAGGCUCAUCAAGGUAGCUUGCUGCCUGGGCUUUCUCACGUUGCCUAAGUGUUGCACUGUUGCUUGGCCUGGCGCACCCCACCAAAUCUAGUUUAAUUGUUUAGCAGUUUAUUUGCCCUUGUCUUUAUUGGUUACUUCUUUUUAUAUUUGCAAGGAGGUGAUUCAGUUUUGAUUGAACAUUUUAUACUUAAUUGAUUUAUUAAACUGUGUUGGUGUUGUUACAUAAACAUUAGGUUAUUCAAAUGCAAUAGGCCUUUCAGAUUUUUCUUUUGAUGAUCGGUCAGUGAAGAAACCUUCAGCAGUUAGGUCCCGAAGCGGUGAACCUUCUAUCAAUCCGACAAUUUUUGGCAUCAGUUAUUUCAUCUUUCACUGUUCCAUUGCUGUGUCAACAACAUUGGCCCGUAAAUGAGCUUAAUCUCCCAAUUGGGAAAGUAAAGUGGCUUGGUGACUUGGAGUCAAAGUUGAGUAGACAGUAACAUUCUCUCUGCCCUCUCUCCUGCGUGUGUGUGAGAGAGAGAUAACGGUGGUGGCCGUGCAUCUCAACUAUUAUUUUUUGAGAAGGUAACAUUUUUUGUAUAACUAUUUGUUGCAUAAAAAAUACAGUCAUUCAUACUUACAAGGAAGAUGCACUAAGCUAUAACCUACUUACAGAGAUCCUAUAACAUCAACAAAAGAUUCUACAUCUUCCAUAUAUUCAUGUUUACACCAAAAAUAGAAAAGGGUGCAUCUCAACUAUUUCAUCGAAUCAUCAGACACCUACCACCUCUCUUGUAUUGAGUAACUGUGUCCACCAAGACUUGGACAAUGCACGACUAUUUCAUCAAAUCAUCAGACACCUACCACCUCAUACAUGAAAAACUGUGUCCAAGACUCUGGACAAAUGGAAAGAAACUGUUAUAAAAGACGAAUUUAGCAGCAUAACAACAACAGAAGAAGAACAAAAUUAAGAGAAAGAUACAAAUAGGAAUUUAAUGUUAAAAUUAGCAAUAUGUAAUAUGUGUUAUAUAGAUGAAUAUACUUGCGCAUUUAAAGAAUAUUAUUAUAAAGGAACAUAUAAUACAGAAGAAAGUAAGAAAUUAAGAAAAUUAUAUUUUAGUAAAUUACCUGAACCAUUUAGUUCAAAAAUAAUAAAAAGUUGGGAUGAAGCAAAAAUAGUAGAUACUUUAGGAGCAAGAAUAAAAAUUUUACAACAAUGGUAUAGAAACCUAUGUGAAAAAUAUAGAGAAGAAAUAAAAAUGGAAAAAACAUUAAUAAGAAAUUUAGCAUGUUGCAAAGACAAAAUAACACCUCAAUUUGGAUGCAAAGAAAGAUAUUAUAAGAAAAGAAAAAGACAUAAGAAAUANNNNNNNNNNNNNNNNNNNNNNNNNNNNNNNNNUAGGACAUUUAGCUAGAGAUUGUAAAUUACCUAAAAACCCAAAAAAUAAACAAAUAUCAGAAAUAAAAAUAGAAAAUACAGAAUAUAUGUAGAUAGAUUAUAUAGAUUAAGAAUUAAAAAGUGAAGAUAGUAUAUAUGAAAUUUCAGAGAAUGAAACAGACAAUGAAAUAGCUAGUGAAUUAGAUGAAUUAAAUGACUGAAGAAGAUAUAACAAUAAACCAUAUAACUGAAGAAGAUAUAAAAAUAAUAACAAAGGAAGAAUAUUUAAAUGAAGAAGGAACAGAUCAAAAAUUAAUAUUUGAUAAUCAUAUAUUUGAUGAAACAAAAGGAAAAGAAUUAGAUUUAAGUGUAGAAAAAUAUUUAAAAUUCCAACAAUAAAAAAUAUAUUUAGUAGAAGAAAAGAAUAAUACUAUGUAGUAAGUCAAAAAGAACAUGUAAUAGAUUGUAGAUAUGUAAAAGGAAGANNNNNNNNNNNNNNNNNNNNNNNNNNNNNNNNNNNNNNNNNNNNNNNNNNNNNNNNNNNNNNNNNNNNNNNNNNNNNNNNNNNNNNNNNNNNNNNNNNNNNNAUGUUUUAGAGAAGGAAUAGAUACACUAAUAGAAUUAUACCUAGCAGAUGAUAGAAUUAUAAAACCUAUAGAAAAAAGUAUAAUAACUGCCAUAAAAGGAAAUUUAAUAUACGAAAAAUUUAAAUUUAUAAUAAUUGCGAAUUAUUGAAUAGCAAUAACAGAUAAAAAUAUAAAUAAAUCAUUAGUAUUAUAUUGGAAAAUAUCAGGAAUAGAACUAACCCAGGAAGUAAAAUAUUUACAGCAAGAUGUAAAAAUCUAUUUGUAUUAACAAUAAAACUUAAAAUAACGGGAAAAAAUAAAAUAACAAAAUACAAAUAGAAAGGCCUUUUGAACAAUUUGUAAAAACAACUGAUAAUAAUGAUUACAGUUAUAGAGACAUAGAUAUAGAAGAAAAUUUAGAAAUAAUAAAUNNNNNNNNNNNNNNNNNNNNNNNNNNNNNNNNNNNNNNNNNNNNNNNNNNNNNNNNNNNNNNNNNNNNNNNNNNNNNNNNNNNNNNNNNNNNNNAAUAUUUAAUACUCUUAAAUACAGGACAAGAAGAAAAUUAUUUAGCAAGAUAUCUAGUAAAAAAUGAGGAAAUAAAAUCUGACAAUAAUAUAUGUCGAGAUCUACCAAGAAGUUUAAUAAACACUAAAAAUAUAGUAGAAAAAGAAAUAAAAAUAGGAGUUAGAAAAAUAAAAAUAGAAUUUGAAAUAAAGGAAGAAAUGCAAAAAGCUGACAUAACAUUAGGAAUAAAAUGGUUAGAACAAGUAAAAUCACAUAAUAUAGAGCAUACACAAUUAUCUAUAACAUAUAACAGAGAGAAAUUAUUCUUAAAAAGAGCUUUAACAUGAUAUGAAAAUAUAUAUAUUAAUGAAGAUAGUAGUAGAACGGUAUUACAGUAGAUAUUAUACGCCUAUGAUAGAUACAGGAGCAAAAGCUAAUUUAUGUAGAUUUAAUUGUAUACCAGAAAGUAAAUGGGAUAAAUUAAAAACACCAAUAAUAGUUAAGAACUAGUCGUAUUUUCAAUAAAUAAAAAGGAAAUAACUAUAUUUUCAAUAAAUAAGAUAGAAAUAAUUAAGAAAAAAUUAGAACAAUUAUAUAGUGAAGAUCCAUUAAAAGGAUGGAAAAAACAUAAAACUACUAUAAAAAUUGAAUUAAUAGAUAAAAAUAGCAUAAUAACCCANNNNNNNNNNNNNNNNNNNNNNNNNNNNNNNNNNNNNNNNNNNNNNNNNNNNNNNNNNNNNNNNNNNNNNNNNNNNNNNNNNNNNNNNNNNNNNNNNNNNNNNNNNNNNNNNNNNNNNNNNNNNNNNNNNNNNNNNNNNNNNNNNNNNNNNNNNNNNNNNNNNNNNNNNNNNNNNNNNNNNNNNNNNNNNNNNNNNNNNNNNNNNNNNNNNNNNNNNNNNNNNNNNNNNNNNNNNNNNNNNNNNNNNNNNNNNNNNNNNNNNNNNNNNNNNNNNNNNNNNNNNNNNNNNNNNNNNNNNNNNNNNNNNNNNNNNNNNNNNNNNNNNNNNNNNNNNNNNNNNNNNNNNNNNNNNNNNNNNNNNNNNNNNNNNNNNNNNNNNNNNNNNNNNNNNNNNNNNNNNNNNNNNNNNNNNNNNNNNNNNNNNNNNNNNNNNNNNNNNNNNNNNNNNNNNNNNNNNNNNNNNNNNNNNNNNNNNNNNNNNNNNNNNNNNNNNNNNNNNNNNNNNNNNNNNNNNNNNNNNNNNNNNNNNNNNNNNNNNNNNNNNNNNNNNNNNNNNNNNNNNNNNNNNNNNNNNNNNNNNNNNNNNNNNNNNNNNNNNNNNNNNNNNNNNNNNNNNNNNNNNNNNNNNNNNNNNNNNNNNNNNNNNNNNNNNNNNNNNNNNNNNNNNNNNNNNNNNNNNNNNNNNNNNNNNNNNNNNNNNNNNNNNNNNNNNNNNNNNNNNNNNNNNNNNNNNNNNNNNNNNNNNNNNNNNNNNNNNNNNNNNNNNNNNNNNNNNNNNNNNNNNNNNNNNNNNNNNNNNNNNNNNNNNNNNNNNNNNNNNNNNNNNNNNNNNNNNNNNNNNNNNNNNNNNNNNNNNNNNNNNNNNNNNNNNNNNNNNNNNNNNNNNNNNNNNNNNNNNNNNNNNNNNNNNNNNNNNNNNNNNNNNNNNNNNNNNNNNNNNNNNNNNNNNNNNNNNNNNNNNNNNNNNNNNNNNNNNNNNNNNNNNNNNNNNNNNNNNNNNNNNNNNNNNNNNNNNNNNNNNNNNNNNNNNNNNNNNNNNNNNNNNNNNNNNNNNNNNNNNNNNNNNNNNNNNNNNNNNNNNNNNNNNNNNNNNNNNNNNNNNNNNNNNNNNNNNNNNNNNNNNNNNNNNNNNNNNNNNNNNNNNNNNNNNNNNNNNNNNNNNNNNNNNNNNNNNNNNNNNNNNNNNNNNNNNNNNNNNNNNNNNNNNNNNNNNNNNNNNNNNNNNNNNNNNNNNNNNNNNNNNNNNNNNNNNNNNNNNNNNNNNNNNNNNNNNNNNNNNNNNNNNNNNNNNNNNNNNNNNNNNNNNNNNNNNNNNNNNNNNNNNNNNNNNNNNNNNNNNNNNNNNNNNNNNNNNNNNNNNNNNNNNNNNNNNNNNNNNNNNNNNNNNNNNNNNNNNNNNNNNNNNNNNNNNNNNNNNNNNNNNNNNNNNNNNNNNNNNNNNNNNNNNNNNNNNNNNNNNNNNNNNNNNNNNNNNNNNNNNNNNNNNNNNNNNNNNNNNNNNNNNNNNNNNNNNNNNNNNNNNNNNNNNNNNNNNNNNNNNNNNNNNNNNNNNNNNNNNNNNNNNNNNNNNNNNNNNNNNNNNNNNNNNNNNNNNNNNNNNNNNNNNNNNNNNNNNNNNNNNNNNNNNNNNNNNNNNNNNNNNNNNNNNNNNNNNAUUUGAAAAACCAUUUACACCAAAAAUACAAAAAGAUCUCUUGAACAUACCCCCACAAAUUACCACAUAUCGAGAUUGUCUGAACCAAGAUAAAAAAGUUUAUAACUACACAGUCCAAAAAUACAUAGAAAAUAUCUAUUGAGUACAAACUUUCUAAACCUUAACCCCAGAGCUACAGAUAUCAAAGAACCCAACACAAAUUAUAUAACUCAAAGAUUACAAGGUCACAACAAGCUAAUUGAACUACCUAAAACCAACCCAAGCUUAAUAAAAACUUGUUUUGAUUAUGGAUUAUUAAAUACCAUAUACACCCAAGAUGGAGACGAACUAUCAGCUAUGGAAGAAUUACAAAAAAUAUUCAACACCUAUAAAAGAGUAACCAAAGGAAAUAUAUUUUAUAUAAAGUGUUAUACUGCACCAGCACGAUGAAAUAAAAUCAGUUAUACAAGUUGUAAAAAUAGGAUUAACCAGAGAUAUGAUUAUACCAGAAGAUAUUGUGCAGCAGCCAAAGAUACCCAAAAUCCAGAUACCUAAUUUUUAUGCAAACAAACAACUUAUUGGACUAGCUACAGUUAUUCAAGAACUAGCAAACAAUUAUACCUAUGGAAACCGAAUAUGAAGCUAUUAUUCAAAAGACCAUCAGAUGAUUUAUUCAAAUUCAAAAGAACUACGACAAGUAGAUAUGGAAGAUGUUAGACAAUGGAUAAUGACAUUACUUAAUCCAGAAAAAUAAUCUACUGCAAAAGCAAUUAGGAGAGGAUUUAUUUCAGACGGAUUAUUGACAAGAUAUUGCAAGAUAAUUGGACACAAAUAUCCAGAUCAUCAAUGUUUGAGAUGUAAUGGAGAAGAUAAUAUUGUCCCAGAUGUACAGCUAGAAUGAAGAUAAGCAUGCCAGCUGAAAAGAAGAUAAAAAAACAGCAGAUACAAUAGAGAAAAGAAGACAAAAGUUAUCAAAGUCAUAAAAGAUAUGAAAAUGACAUAUGACUUAUAGUUUUCAAGAUGUGAAUUAUUAUAGCUUUUGAUUUCUUUUACGUAAAAGACAUUGUAUAGUUAGUCUUUACUAGGUUAGGUAGAUACCAUUAUUAGCCUACUAUAGACUUUUUGACUUUUUUAAGUUUAUAAGACUUUAUGUAAAAGAUUAGUCUUUUCUAGGAAUAUAGUAUGUAGAUACGUGUAAAGUUUUUAGGAACGUGUAAAACAUUAGUACGUAAAACUAUGUAAAGCAUCCAUUAUAAAUGAAGGCAUCGAAGGCAGAAAGAAGCAAGCCUUCAUGCGUUGAAGCAAAAAAAUCUCUCUUGUCUACAACAAAUAAUUUGAUUAUUAAAAAACAGGUAUAUUUCAAUGGAAAAAUCUAUGGAGGAACAAACCUUAGAAUUAUUAAACCUACCAGAACAGGUAUAUUCAUUUACUAUUAUGAAUAGCUAAAUUCAUAAGUUCCUAACAAUCAUAAUAUGAUAAAAUAAGUUCNNNNNNNNNNNNNNNNNNNNNNNNNNNNNNNNNNNNNNNNNNNNNNNNNNNNNNNNNNNNNNNNNNNNNNNNNNNNNNNNNNNNNNNNNNNNNNNNNNNNNNNNNNNNNNNNNNNNNNNNNNNNNNNNNNNNNNNNNNNNNNNNNNNNNNNNNNNNNNNNNNNNNNNNNNNNNNNNNNNNNNNNNNNNNNNNNNNNNNNNNNNNNNNNNNNNNNNNNNNNNNNNNNNNNNNNNNNNNNNNNNNNNNNNNNNNNNNNNNNNNNNNNNNNNNNNNNNNNNNNNNNNNNNNNNNNNNNNNNNNNNNNNNNNNNNNNNNNNNNNNNNNNNNNNNNNNNNNNNNNNNNNNNNNNNNNNNNNNNNNNNNNNNNNNNNNNNNNNNNNNNNNNNNNNNNNNNNNNNNNNNNNNNNNNNNNNNNNNNNNNNNNNNNNNNNNNNNNNNNNNNNNNNNNNNNNNNNNNNNNNNNNNNNNNNNNNNNNNNNNNNNNNNNNNNNNNNNNNNNNNNNNNNNNNNNNNNNNNNNNNNNNNNNNNNNNNNNNNNNNNNNNNNNNNNNNNNNNNNNNNNNNNNNNNNNNNNNNNNNNNNNNNNNNNNNNNNNNNNNNNNNNNNNNNNNNNNNNNNNNNNNNNNNNNNNNNNNNNNNNNNNNNNNNNNNNNNNNNNNNNNNNNNNNNNNNNNNNNNNNNNNNNNNNNNNNNNNNNNNNNNNNNNNNNNNNNNNNNNNNNNNNNNNNNNNNNNNNNNNNNNNNNNNNNNNNNNNNNNNNNNNNNNNNNNNNNNNNNNNNNNNNNNNNNNNNNNNNNNNNNNNNNNNNNNNNNNNNNNNNNNNNNNNNNNNNNNNNNNNNNNNNNNNNNNNNNNNNNNNNNNNNNNNNNNNNNNNNNNNNNNNNNNNNNNNNNNNNNNNNNNNNNNNNNNNNNNNNNNNNNNNNNNNNNNNNNNNNNNNNNNNNNNNNNNNNNNNNNNNNNNNNNNNNNNNNNNNNNNNNNNNNNNNNNNNNNNNNNNNNNNNNNNNNNNNNNNNNNNNNNNNNNNNNNNNNNNNNNNNNNNNNNNNNNNNNNNNNNNNNNNNNNNNNNNNNNNNNNNAGAAAAAAAAUAAAGAAUACUAUAGUAAAACAUUUAAUCAAUUACUAUAUAAUCACCCCCCAAGAUAUGAAUAUCGAUAAAACUAACAUAAAUAAACUCAAAAUAAAAAUAAAAAUAUUUAGAAAAGUUAAGAAAUAUCCACGCACAAAUAAAAAUAGAUCCAUUGAAGUUAUAAUAGAUCUAUUUUAUCAUACAAGUUAUCCGCACCCCCCUACAAUUGCCCCUACAAUUGGAAAGUGACUAUAUAUAGCCUUAUUACAUAAUGGGAGACAAAACGACUCCAAUACCCUUAAUGAGGUGAGGCGGCCAUGGAGUGUUACUUGAACAAGGCUAAGUGACCAAAAUGCCCUUAAUGAAGGGCCCAAAACCUUGAGUCCUCAAUCUUCAAUGCUCCAAGCAAUCUUCCACAUGCGGGAUUGCUCUUUGGUGUACUCAAAUCGGCCCCUCCAUGUAGGAUCCCGUGUCUUCAAUGCGACCAAAGUUUAAUGCCCGACGUACUAACUUCAAAUGAUGUCAUUGAAAGUUAAGGCGACCAUUUGACUCGUAUCAGUAAAAAAAAUGCAAAAAUUCACUAUUUGCUUAGGUGCUGUAACAGUUUUAAGUCGAGGGUCUAUCGAAAACAACCUCUCUACUUCACCUGAGGUAGUGGUAUGGUCUGCGUACACUCAACCCUCCCCAGACCCCACUAGAUGGGAAUACACUGGGUAUGUUGUUGUUGUUGCUUAGGUGCUGUAACUAAAUAUCUUGUAUUCUCAGAGGUUAGUAUGUCUUAUUUUUGGUUCAUUUCCCUGAGUUACAGAUAAAACUAUCAUAUGAAAGGAAAAGGAUUAUAGUGAUUUUAUAUUUGUUGAGUAAACUCUACUUUUAGUACUUUUUUCUUUUGUGCAUCCAAGGGUGUGGCCUAGUGGUCAAUCAGUAGGUUGAGCACCAUGAUUAAUUUUCAGCGAGACAAAAAGAGACAUGCAUGGUCACGCUUAACUGAAUUUUGCUCUACUUCAUAAUGUAAGAGUUGUGAUGUCUAUACACCAUUGGAUGCUAGCUAAAAUACUACCUUAGUAUGUACACCUCAGCUUAGAACAUGUAAUUCCUUAAUAAAGGUCUUACUUGUGUAAGUAUAACCUCACACAAUGUGGUGAUAGAAACUUCUUCAGAUUGUUUUUAGUAUCUAUCUGCUUGUUUGGUGUCGUCAAGUGGUGAAAGUUCAGCUAUAAUUUCAAGGCAAUCACAUCAACCAUCUUACCUAAUCCUUCAUAGUCUGUACUUAGGACAUAGUCCACUGUAAAGGAAGGUUAGGAAGAAGGCUCUGACACUGAUUAUCUCUAUUGGCUCAUUCUGAACUUUAUUCAAUAUGAGUUGCUUUACAAAUAUUUAUUGAAUUGUAUACUAUUUGGGAGGACUAUUUUUUGCCUGGUCCUUCACGCGUCGUCUAAGUGUUGCACUACUGAUGUGGCCUGACGCACCCACCAAAACAACAAUGUAUCAUUUUUUAUCAAUACAUUGUGAGGGAUAAGAGAUAACUAAUCUAUGAAAAACUUUUAAAAAAAGGUUUUUAACUAAAAUUUUGUGAAUAUGGAAGUGCCACAAACUUUUCAGAUUUUUUUAUGAUAUUAGUGUUAGAAUAUGAGACUCUUCUUGAUGGUCUUUUGUUUAAUAGUUUCUUUUAAAUAUUAUGUUUAGUUUUAUUUUAAAAGAUAAAUGGUAGUCUUUAUUUUGGAGAAGUGUGUCUUGUAAGAUAGUGUGUCUUGUAAGACUUAUGAAGUGUGUCUUGUAAGACUCAUGUAGCUUAUAAGUAUAGUCUUUGUAAAAUGCUGACUAUGAAUGAAUGUUGAAUGUAUGAAUGAAAACUCAUGCUGAACCUUUUUUCUUCUCUUAAGCUCUAAAUUGUAACAGUGGUAUCAAGAGCCAACCUUCUUGAGGGAUCUGUGAAGGCCUAAAGAUAAGUUUUUUUCAGAUCUUCUAAAAAAAGAAACCUGAAAAGUAGUAACAUGGCAUCCAAUAGCUUCUUGGGUGCAAGUCCUCCUAUGUUUACAGGAGAAAAUUAUCACAUAUGGGUGAUAAAGGUGAAGUCUUAUCUCAAAGAUCUUAGUCUAUGGGAAACAGUUGAAAGUGAAAAUGAUCCCCCUCCAUUGGGACCAAAUCCAACUGUUGCACAAAUGAAGAAUUAUGAAGAUGCAAAGUCCAAUAAACCAAAGGCACUCGCGUGUCUUCAUUCAGCACUUUCAGAUGUGAUUUUCACAAGAAUAAUGGCUUGUGAAACACCUAAAGAAGUAUGGGAGAAGCUAAAAGAGGAGUUUGAUGGAAGUGACAAAGUGAAAACUGUCAAACUCUUAACUCUCAAAAGAGAAUUUGAGAUGUUAAGGAUAAAAGAAGGAGAUACAGUGAAGGAGUACUUUGCCAAACUUCUGAAAAUUGUAAACAAAAUAAGAUUAUUUUGGUGAAAUUUUUACAGAUUCAAAGGUGGUGGAAAAGAUGAUGAUAAGCUUACCAGUAAGGUUCGAGUCCAAGAUUUCAGCAAUCGAGGAAUCUUGUGAUUUGAAGACUUUGUCCGUUGCAGAGCUGAUUAGCAAGUUGCAAGCCCAAGAACAAAGAACAAGUAUAAGAGAUGAAGAAGUAGAAGAAGUGGAAAACUAACCAAGGUACAAAGCUUAUACAUGAUGUGUUGUAUGUUCCUUCUUUAGCAUGUAACCUGUUGAGUGUUAGUCAAAUGAUGUCUAAAGGUUACUCCUUACUUUCUAAGGGAAAGCAUUGUUUGAUUUUUUAUGCUGAUGAUACUUUGAUUGACAAAGUAGAAAUGGUGGAUAAGAUCUUUCCAGUAGAUGGAAAGUUUGAUAGUGCCAAUUAGGGGUGUACAAACCGAACAAUUAAGUCAAACCGAACCGAUGAAUCAAACCAAACCGAGGAAAAAAAUUGACUUAUGGUUUGGUUUGAUUGGUUUGGUGUUAAAAAAAAAACCAAUCAUUCUUGGUUUCGUUUGGUAUUAGCAAAAAUAAAAUCAAACCGAACCUAAACUGAACCACAUAAUACAUAUAUAAUUUAAUUUUUUAUACGUAAAAAAAUAUUACUUAUAAUCUACUUUUUAAUUACUUUUAUAACUUUUUUAUAUUCAGAAAAUAGAUAUAUAUUCUUGGGCAUUUAGUUAUAAUAUUUAGGAAAAAGAACAUGAACUGACCAUUUCAAAAAAGAAAUGACCCACACUAUGAAAAUAUGGACAAUUGGAGCCAGUUGGCCUAAUUUAUUUCCUUUUUUUAGCCACUUAUCCCAAAACCACUCUCCUUACACAAUUAAGGAAAUUAAAUGCUCUUUAUAGUUGUUACUCUUAAAUCACUUUUCUUUUCUAAAUAUACUUUCUCAAAUCUUCUUUUUUUCUCCUCUAUUAUGCAUCGAUCAAUCUACUGUAUUUUAUGAUCAAUAUCAAAAAUUGAUUUNNNNNNNNNNNNNNNNNNNNNNNNNNNNNNNNNNNNNNNNNNNNNNNNNNNNNNNNNNNNNNNNNNNNNNNNNNNNNNNNNNNNNNNNNNNNNNNNNNNNNNNNNNNNNNNNNNNNNNNNNNNNNNNNNNNNNNNNNNNNNNNNNNNNNNNNNNNNNNNNNNNNNNNNNNNNNNNNNNNNNNNNNNNAAGAAGAAAAAAAUAAAAUAAUGAGGUCUCAAGGUAAGAGAAAAGCCAUGUCUUGGUCCAUGUUCUUCUCAGAGGCUGAUUCAAUUACGGUGAGUCGGAGAUGUUCUUCUUAGAGGCCGACUCAAUCACGGUGAGUCGGAGAUGUUUUGAUGCAUGUAAAGUAAAAAAAAAGAAUAUGCCAAUAGAUACUCUUUUAUACCAGAUUGAUAUACAUUUUUUAAAAGAGAGAAGGGGAACCUUUGCAUGCACAUACAGUCUCUAUACCCAAUUUAUACUCUUUUAUACCAGUUUGAUACACUUUUAUACCACAUUGAUACAUUUUUUUUUUUUUAAAAAAAGGGGAGCCUAUGGAUGCAUAUACAGUCUUUAUACCCAUUUAAUACAUUUUUNNNNNNNNNNNNNNNNNNNNNNNNNNNNNNNNNNNNNNNNNNNNNNNNNNNNNNNNNNNNNNNNNNNNNNNNNNNNNNNNNNNNNNNNNNNNNNNNNNNNNNNNNNNNNNNNNNNNNNNNNNNNNNNNNNNNNNNNNNNNNNNNNNNNNNNNNNNNNNNNNNNNNNNNNNNNNNNNNNNNNNNNNNNNNNNNNNNNNNNNNNNNNNNNNNNNNNNNNNNNNNNNNNNNNNNNNNNNNNNNNNNNNNNNNNNNNNNNNNNNNNNNNNNNNNNNNNNNNNNNNNNNNNNNNNNNNNNNNNNNNNNNNNNNNNNNNNNNNNNNNNNNNNNNNNNNNNNNNNNNNNNNNNNNNNNNNNNNNNNNNNNNNNNNNNNNNNNNNNNNNNNNNNNNNNNNNNNNNNNNNNNNNNNNNNNNNNNNNNNNNNNNNNNNNNNNNNNNNNNNNNNNNNNNNNNNNNNNNNNNNNNNNNNNNNNNNNNNNNNNNNNNNNNNNNNNNNNNNNNNNNNNNNNNNNNNNNNNNAUUUUGAGUGCUAUUUUUAUGAUAUUAUUUUAGUUUUAGGUGCUAUUGCUGUCCUUUUCCCUAAUAUUUAUCCAUUAGUAACAGAUUAAUACAAAACUCAAUAUUAAUAUAAAAACCUAUAACUUUUCAAUUGCUUCACUUUACAUUUUACUUUCCAAGUUUUCAGAGAGUUCUCAUUAUUUCCUCAUCUUACUUUCAUCUUACUUUUCUCAUUCUCCUCAUUCGUCAAGUUUUGAUUUAGGUUUGUUUCUCUUCUUUCUCUUUUUUCUUGUGGAAUUAUGUUAUAGUUAAUUAUUUUAUGGAGUUAAAUUUUUAAUAAGUUGUCUCCAAUUCUUCAUUCUUCUUUAUGCUCACAUUUUAUGUGAAGGAAACUUUCAGACAAGUUAUUGUGACUAGUGACUUACAAAUUGAACCACUGAAUAUCUACAUAAUAUUACUUUGAGAGAUAGUAGUUUAAACGUCUUAGUAAUUUGCCAACUUAGUUUUAAUUGGAACUACUCUAUGACCAUUGUUUUUUUUUUUAAUCUUUUUAGUUAAAAUAUUUAAUUUUUUCUUCAAUCACAUUAUAAUUNNNNNNNNNNNNNNNNNNNNNNNNNNNNNNNNNNNNNNNNNNNNNNNNNNNNNNNNNNNNNNNNNNNNNNNNNNNNNNNNNNNNNNNNNNNNNNNNNNNNNNNNNNNNNNNNNNNNNNNNNNNNNNNNNNNNNNNNNNNNNNNNNNNNNNNNNNNNNNNNNNNNNNNNNNNNNNNNNNNNNNNNNNNNNNNNNNNNNNNNNNNNNNNNNNNNNNNNNNNNNNNNNNNNNNNNNNNNNNNNNNNNNNNNNNNNNNNNNNNNNNNNNNNNNNNNNNNNNNNNNNNNNNNNNNNNNNNAAGGUUUUGAUACCAAACUCCCUAAGAACACAACAACACAAACACCAAAAUCAGUCCACUAGUUUAAGAACUAUGGACCCUUUUGAUGACCUCUCUCGGAUUCGCAAGAAGAACAAGAAGGGAAGUGAUAUCAAGAGUCAAACACACUAAAACAGCAACAACACUUGAUGAACAAGAUGGAAUAAUAAAAACACACGGUUACAAGACAAGAACAUAAAUGGAUUACACUAGAUAUAGAUAAAAGAUUACAAGAAAGUAAAGAUACAUAGAUAGACAAAGGGAUAGUAUAAUAUUAACAACCCAAAAUCUUAUUCCACUUUUGGACCUUUAAUAUCACACACAACCUAAACUUAUCUCUUAUGUGCUCUGAAGGGAACCAUAAUUCCCAAGCAAUCUCCGUUUCUAAGCAAAUGAUCAACACAAGGAUUCCACCUUGCUAAAGACUCUCAAAGAGGCUAAAAAAUAUAUUCUCCAAAAAUCCCCCAAAAAUUACCUAAUGAGGUUCUAUUUAUACCUGGGUUAACUUAUUACAAAUGACUAAAAAACCCUUGCAAAGGGCGGAUGAACAGUGAACGCGGAUGAACAGAGAACAGUUUUGGAGCUUGUGGAACUUGUUCUCUACACUUCAAAACUUGUUCCUUGGAUGGGCAAACCCCCGAGCUCGAUUCUUAACACAUUGGACCCCGAUCAUGAUCGUACCCAUAUCAGGUUUACAGGAAACCAUUUCCUACAAGUGCUUCAUGGAGGGCAAUUGAAAAGCUUGAACUUGUUCACACUGAUGUAUGUAGACCUAUGAAAACAUCAUCCUUGGGUCAAAAUAAAUAUUUUUGUUGUUCAUUGAUGAUUUUACAAGGAUGACUUAGGUGUAUUUUUUGAGUAAAAAGUCUCAAGUAUUUUCAGUUUUAUGAAGUUUAAAGCUUUCGCUGAAAGACAGAGUGGCUGUAAGCUGAAGUCUUUGAGGUCAGACAAUGGAGGUGAAUAUACUUCAAAUGAGUUCAACAAGUAUUGUGAAGAUGCAGGGAUUGAUCACAAGCUGGCAGUAAGUUAUUCACCAGAACAAAAUGGAGUCUCAGAGAGAAAAAAUAGGACGGUAGUUGAAAUGUCUAGAUGUUUGUUGCUUGAAAAGAAACUACCGCAAAGUUUUUGGGCAGAAGCUAUUUCUACUUCAGCUUAUUUAUUGAAUAGGCUGCCAACCAAAGCUAUAGAUGGUAAAACUCCUAUUGAGGCAUGGAGUGGAAAAAGGCCAUCUGCCAAGUACUUAAAAAUCUUUGGUUCAAUAUGCUAUUCUCAUGUUCCUUUAGUGAGAAGUAGCAAGCUAGAACCGAAAGGUGAAUUGGGGAUCUUUAUUGGUUAUUCAUUGUAGGCCAAAGGUUAUAGAGUUUUUAACUUGCAAACAAAAGGUAUUUCCAUCAGAAGAGAUGCAGUAGUGGAUGAGCAUGCUUAUUGGAAUUGGGAUAAGGAGAAAGUUGAGAAAGAAAAUACAGGUUAUUUGAACUUGAAUCCGCUGUCUGAAACACAACUAUUUGGCUCUGAAAAUCUGGAAGAAGCUAAAGAAUCAGAUGGUGAAUCCUCACUUGAUUUGCCAAUUUUGAAGACAAGAUCCCUUUCAGAUAUAUAUAUAUAUAUAUGAAAGAUACAAUGUUUCUAUCUUGGAACCCACUACCUAUCAAGAAGCAUCAAAACAUGAUAUUUGGAUUGAAGCCAUGAAAGAGGAGAUUGGUAUGAUAGAAAAGAAUGACACUUGGAAGCUGGUUGAUAAACCCAAAGACAGAAAUGUAAUAGGGGUAAAAUGGGUUUAUAGAACCAAACUUAAUCCAGAUGGUUCAUUUAAUAAACACAAGGCAAUGCUUGUUGUGAAAGGUUAUGUCCAAGUUGCAGGUAUGGAUUAUGGAGACACAUUUGCACCUAUUGCAAGACAUGAUACAAUAUGACUUCUAUUUUCUUUGGCAGCUCAAUCAAAUUGGAAGUUGUAUCAUCUGGAUGUGAAGUCGGCAUUCUUAAAUGGACCAUUACAGGAACAAAUUUAUGUUGACCAACCAGAAGGAUUUCAAGUUGAAGGAAUGGAUGAUAAAGUUUACAGAUUGCAUAAAGCAUUGUAUGGAUUAAAACAGGCUCCUCGAGCAUGGUACAGUAAGAUUGAUGAUCAUCUCAUUCAUUGCGGCUUCAAAAGAAGUGAAAAUGAAGCCAUUUUAUAUGUGAAGAAGGCUAAAGGUGGAGAUGUGCUAGUGGUAUCACUCUAUGUUGAUGAUCUUCUGGUAACCGAAAACAAUGAAGCUAUGGUGAAUCAAUUCAAGCAAGAAAUAGAGACCAAGUUUGAGAUGUCAGACUUGGGUGAAAUGAACUACUUUCUGGGAAUGGAGAUUCAUCAAACUACUGAUGGAAUCUUUAUUUGCCAGAGAAAAUGAUAGUGGAACCAACCCCCAAUACAGAAAUAAGACACAAACACAAGAGAAACUAAGAGCUCAACAAGACCACUCUCUCGGCAGUAGCUAAAACAUAAGAGAACCGAGAAUACCAAGGGGAUCACAAGGUGUAUUUAUACACCAAAACAGUAGCGAUAACACGUGAUGAACACAAUAUAACAAGAACAGCAACAAGAGAUAACAACAACCCACGGUUUUCACUAGAACAAUAACAAACAAUUACAAGAAUGAAAGGGAUAGGUAGUGAGACAUUAAACCUUACAAGAACUAAGAACCUAGGUAUUUCUUAAACACUAAGACCCUUAACUAUUGUAAAAUCAACACCAACACUCUUACCAUGAUAGAAGAGGGCGUGGACCACUCAAGCAACAAGGUUUCUAACAAUGUUUUGCAAUACUAAUAAUUCCACACUAGCAUCACCCUCAUUUAAGUUUGGUGGCUAUUCCAAGCCCUAAAACUAAGGUAUUACACUCCUCAUGCUAGAGAGAGUUGUUCAAGUGUCACAACUUUCAAUAUCAAUAAACAACUAAAGAACUAAAGACCUAAAACUAGUCUAUUUAUAGACUUAUUACAAACAUAAGUGAAAUGUCUCAAAUUCCCUUCAUGAAAGGAAGAAAAAAGGUGCCUAUGGAGUGUAGUGUAUUACCCUUUCUUGGUGUGUGAUAUGGUGUUCCUUUGCACUUCAUUUGCACACUUCGAGUCUCGGGUUUGAUGCACACUCUCAUAAGUUCAUCUCCGUGAUUAUUCUUGUAUCAUCCUCUCCAUCUUAAGAGGAAUUUGCCCACAAAUUCACAGCUUCACCUUGUUCAAUUGGCCACUUAAAGGAAGCCACUCAAAAUAGUCCACAACACAUCUCGGCCGACAUCUUCAUUUUGAAUCUUGGCUUCCUCUCCAUCUUGAGCUUUACCUUCAAUCUCAUCCGAUUCAAGUCUCCUACCAUCAUACAAACAUUGUCAUAGACCCUAUAUCCUUUAUGUUCCUUUCUACCAUUCUCCUCUACAUGGACGUAGUGGUUUUGGUAACGUGGAGCUUUGGUCAAGAGGGUUGGUUUAGUGAAGCGGAGCUUCGGUUGUGGAGCUUGGACGGAAGGAAUUUGAAUUGGUAAAAGUUGACGCCUUUGGUUAAGUGGAUCUUGGAUGGGAGGGUUCAGUUUUAGUGUAGGCAUUUGGCGUGCAAGUCCUUGUUGGACUUGAUCAAAUUGUGGGAAAAUGGGCCCAGUUAUGUCUCGGUUUUUAGGGCUAUUUGGAGCUUAGCUUACGACAUUAGGUGAUGGUCUUGGAGGUCUGUUCAUUGGAAGUAAAGUGUCGGGAGUAAAAGCACGAGAGUUCCUUCGACUCUCCAUUCGAUUCCAACUCUCACUCAUAGUUACCACAUACGAGCCAAUUUUUUCAAGACCCGCAUUCACCCUAGCAAGGUCACGGGACAUAGUAUCAAGGAGGGCCAAAAUGGUACUUGUAGCAUUAUGGUCCACCGUGGGUUGAGGGGAUAAGGUCUCAGGUUUUAUUGCUCCAAAACAGUCCACAAUGUCACAAAAACAGCCAACAAAAGACACAAAAAUAGUCCCAAAAUGUCACACACAACAACACCAGCAAACGUUCAAGUCUUGAACCGCAAACAACAAUACCACACAAAGUAAACUCGUAUUGUUGUUAUAGUUGAAGUAUGAUGUUUUUCAAACUUGAGUUGUUCAAUCUCUCUCCUUGAUGAUGAAUUUCGGUUGUAGUGUAGGUGGACAAGGUUUGGAUUCUCUUUUCAAGAGUCAAAGGCUUCCAUUAACUUUUCACCAACUUGCACUAAUUUGGUAAAACACCUUUUUGUAGUAGCGUUGUCUCUUUCCUCUUUUGGCUCUUCUUGAAAAGUGUUUGUCACCCUUUUAGUAACUAAGCUUUUUGGAUGCCCUUUGUUUCUUUACCACUUUGGUGUUGUCUUUAAAGUAUUCCAAGACAAACACAAAGCCUUGUAUCUCUCUUAUCUUUUAAAAAUCAAACAAAUCCUUUUGUUGAACACCACUUCAAGAACAAUAUGAACAACAACAAGAACAAUAUGAACAACAACAACCUCUUAGCCGUCCACCCUUCAACAACACUUUGACAAGAGCUCAAAUCUUAGACUUUAGACUCAAAGGGUGUUAGUGAACAACAAGUUAACAAAAUAAACUACUAAUACAACAAAAACACACCGAAAUCUAGACACAAAUUUCAUCCCAAAACAACAACAAGACACAAUUUUGGCCAAGACAAUAAGAAUGGACAGAUUUGCUUCUUUUUGGAAUUUUCAAUUUUUCAACAUUUAUUUUUUUCUUUUUCGACUUAGAGAGCCCAAGAUUGGUAGUGUAGGAACACAAACAGCCUUAUCUCUGAUACCAAAUGAUAGCAGAGCCAACCCCCAAUACAGAAAUAAGACACAAACACAAGACAAACCGAGAGUUCAACAAGAACACUUUCUCGGCAGUAGCUAAAAAACAAGAGAACCGAGAACACCAAGGGGAUCACAAGGUGUAUUUAUACACCAAAACAGUAGCGAUAACAUGUGAUGAACACAAUAUAACAAGAACAACAACAAGAGGUAACAACAACCCACGAUUUUCACUAGAACAACAACAAACAAUUAUAAGAAUGAAAGGGAUAGGUAGUGAGACAUUAACCCUUACAAGAACUAAGAACCUACCUGUAUCUUAAAUACUAAGACCCUUAACUAUUGUAAAAGCAACACCAACACUCUUACCAUGACACACAAGGGCGUGGGCCACUCAAGCAACAAGGUUUCUAACAAUGUUUUGUAAUACUAGUGAUUCCACACUAGCAUCACCCUCAUUUCAUUUUGGUGGCUAUUCCAAGCCCUACAACUAAGGUAUUAUACUCCUCAUGCUAGAGAGACUUUGGUUCAAGUGUCACAACUUUCAAUAUCAAUAAACAACUGAAGAACUAAAGACCUAAAACUAGUCUAUUUAUACACUUAUUACAAACAUAAGUGAUAUGUCUCAAAUGCCCUUAAUGAAGGAAAGACAAAAGGUGCCUAUGGAGUGUAGUGUAUUGCCCAUUCUUGGUUUGUGAUAUGGUGUUCCUUUGCACUUCACUUGCACACUUCGAAUCUCGGGUUUGAUGCGUACUCUCAUAAGUUCAUCUCUGUGAUUAUUCUUGUAUCAGAAAAUAUGCAUAGGAUGUUCUUAAAAAAAUUCAAGAUGGAGAAGUGUAAGCCUGUAUUAACUCCUCUAGUUCACAAUGAAAAGAUCUCGAAGUCUGAAGGACGUGAUAGGGCUGAUCCAACAGUUUACCGAAGUCUAAUUGGUAGUUUGUUAUAUUUGACAGCAACAAGACCUGAUCUCAUGUUUACGAUAAGUUUUUGUCAAGGUUUAUGCAUUCUCCACUCAAGUUCACCUUCGUAUUGCUAAACGAACAUUGAGGUAUAUCAAGGGAACUGUUGAUCAUGAUAUUUGGUUUAAAAGGGAAGAGCGAGGGUAAUUGAUGGGUUAUUCAGACAGUGAUUGGGCAGGAAGUGUUGAUGAUAUGAAAAGCACUUCCGGAUAUGCUUUUACACUUGGUUCCGGCAUGUUCUCAUGGAAUUCAAGGAAGAAAGAUGUGGUAGCUCAAUCAUCUGCAGAAGCAGAAUAUAUCGCUGCUACUGGUGCAACUAAUCAGGCUCUAUGGUUACAAAAAAUUCUGCGUGAUCUAGAGCAAAAUCAAAUUGAAACUACUGUCCUUAAGGUUGACAACAAGUCAGCAAUUUCUAUGGCCAAAAAUCCAGUGCAACAUGGUCAUAGUAAGCAUAUAAAUGUGAAGUUUCACGCUAUCAGGCAGGCAGAGAAAGAUGGUGAAGUUAAUCUAGUUCACUGCAGCUCCGAUCAGCAGAUUGCAGACAUUUUGACCAAGGCUCUUCCUAAGGAAAAAUUUGAAGUUCUAAGGGCUACGCUGGGAGUAUCCAAGAAAAGUCUCAAGGAGGAGUGUUAGAAUAUGAGACUCUUCUUGAUGGUCUUUUGUUUAAUAGUUUCUUUUAAAUAUUAUGUUUAGUUUUAUUUUAAAAGAUAAAUGGUAGUCUUUAUUUUUGAGAGGUGUGUCUUGUAAGAUAGUGUGUCCUGUAAGACUUAUGAAGUGUGUCUUGUAAGACUCAUGUAGCUUAUACGUAUAGUCUUUUAUAAAAUGUUUACUAUGAAUGAAUGUUGAAUGUAUAAUGAAAACUCCUGCCGAACCUUUUUUCUUCUCUUAAGCUCCAAAUUGUAACAGUGGUAUCAAGAGCCAACCUUCUUGAGGGAUCUGUGAAGGCCUAAAGAUAAGUUUUUUUCAGAUCUUCUAAAAAAAGAAACCUGAACUGCAGUAACAUGGCAUCCAACAGCUUCUUGGGUGCAGUUAUUUAACAGUUUAUUUCAUUGAUCUUGUAUUUUCCAAGAGGAAUCAAAAUUCUUGGACAAUUUUUGGCAUCAUUUGUUCAUCUUUCAUUGUUGUUAUCUCUGUUCCAUUGUUGUGUCAACAACAUUGGCCCAUAAUUGAGAUUAUCUCCGAUAGAGUAAGGAAAGUGGCUUGGAGCCCCGGAAUCAAAGUAGACAUUCUCACUGCCCCCUCUCCUCUGUGUGUGCUUGUGUGUAAAAGAGAGAGUGAGAUAACGGUGGUGUACGUGAACCUCAACUAUUUCAUCGAAUCAUCAAACACCUACCACCUCUCAUGUAUUGAAUAAUUGUGUCCACCAUGACUUGGACAAAUUUAAAGAAACUACUGAUCUCUUUUGUUUCUACGAGAUUUCAAGCCUUAGUCUCUCAUGAUUUUCACCCAUUUCAUUGAUCGCUAGACACAUCUUGAUGCUAGCUAGAAGACUACCUUAAAAUGUGCACCUUAGUGAUGUGAUUGCUUAAGAAAGGUCUCACAUGUUGUGUUGAUAGAAACUUCUUCAGGUUGUUUCCAGUAGCUAUCUGCUUGUUUGGUGUUUCCAAGUGUUGAAAGUUAGUUCAUCUGUAAUUGCAAGGCAAUAACAUCAACCAUAUUCCCUGAUCCUUCAUAGUCUGUGCUUGGAAAGUUGUCCACUGUAGAGAAAGUUUGGGAAGAAGAGUUAUGUUUUGAGUUUAUAUUAUGUAUGUAUGGAGCUAGAUAUCCUCUUUGCAAGAAAUUGAUAUUGUGCUAAAUGGGCAAAAGUGAUUUUCUUUUCCAGUUAUAUAUAAACUGUUGAAUCAUAACGUAAAAUAAGAGAAUCUAUUAGACUUUUUGAAUAUCUAAUCUAACAACUAGCAUCAGUCCCGACAAAGACCCCUCUUUUGUGUUUACCAGUCCCACAUAAGAGGAAGAUUGGAAGUAGACAGCAGAAAGUUGCUACAAAAACAAAGGUAGCUUUGGGCCAUUGGUACACACGAUAUUAACUCUAUUUUUUGAGGGGGAAAGCUCAUCAAGGUAGCUUGCAGCCUGGGCCUUUGUGCGUCGCCUAAGCGUUGCACAACUGCUUUGGCUUGGCGCCCACCAAUCCUAGUUCAAUUUUUGAGCGAUCUUUGACUUAGGCCUAGUGCUUUGCAAAUAAGUUUGAGUUUUCAUAUUAUUUACAGAUACUGAUUAACAAACAUUGUAGCCAUUUUAGUUGAACAAAUGCAAAGAGAUAUUUGCACACUAAAAUAAAAAAAAAAAGUAAAUGUUGGUGUAAAGUCAAUCCUGAAAAUGCAAACUCCAUGUUGCUGAAGCUUUGACCAAAUGUUUCAGCAGUGUGUUGGUUUUGCCCAGUACCCUAUGUGUUGCCACUUGUUAUAUUCAUACCCCCCUUCCUCCUCUGUGUGUGAGAGAUACCGGUGGUGUCUGUGCACCUCAACUAUUUCAUCGACUUAUCGGACACCUACCACCCCUCACAUACUGAAUAAUUGUGUCCACCAAGACUUCCACGCAUGGAAAGAAAUCACAAAACCUAGCACCUCUCACAUACUGAAUAAUUGUGUCCACCAAGACUUCCACACAUGGAAAGAAAUCACAAAACCCCGGUUUCACAUGAUUGUCACCCAUUUUAUUGAUAGCUAGACACUGCUGGAUGAUAGCAAGAAGACUACUUUAGAAUGUGCACCUUAGUUCGGCUUUAACUGCAAGGCUCUGAUAUCAACCAAAUCAAAAUUCUGCCUGACCCUUCAUAGUUUGUGGUCGGAAAACUCUCCACUAUAGAGGGAGGUUGGUAAGAAGGGUUAUGUAUUGAGUUUAUAUUAUGCCUGGAUGGAGCUAGAUAUCCUCUUUGCUAGAAAUUUAUAUUGUGCAAAAGGAGCAAAAAUGAUUUAUUUUCCCCAAUUAUAUAAACUGUUGGAUCGCUAACGUGAAAUAAGCAAAUAUAUUGAAGACUUUUUGAAUAUUAAAUCUAACAACUAGCAUUUGUCCCGACGAAGACCUCUCUCUUUUGUUCGAGCAAAGGGCGCCUAACCUGAAAGAGGAAAUGGGGAUUUUACUCGAUGCGAAGGAGCUGUAUCAGUAGUUUAUCUGGGGUGAAUUCCUAAGUACUUUUCUUAUUAAUGAUAAUGAAGAUAUGCCAAGGGAAGCUCAGGCCAACCUAUGUCGCAGAGCUGCCCGAGAAAGGACCAGUCAAUCCAUUGUAGUGGCCUGGCGCACCCCCCCAAAUCUAGUUUAAUCAUUUAGCAGUUUAUUUUCCCUGAUCUUUAUGGGUUACUACUUUUUAUAUUUGCAAGCUUGCAAUAAACCUUUCCUUAAACAAACUACAUUAAGUUAUGAAAAUGCAAUGAACCUUUCCUAAAACAAACCUUUCAGAUUUUUCUUUUGAGGAUAGGUCACUGAUGAAACCUUCACCAGUUAGUCCCGAAGCAGUGAACCUUCUACCAAUCUGACAAUUUUUGGCAUCAGUUAUUUCAUCUUUCACUGUUCCAUUGCUGUGUCAACAACAUUGUCCCAUAAAUGAGUUUAAUCUCCCAAUAGAGUAAGUAAAGUGGCUUGGAGCCUUGGAAUCAGAGUAGAGUAUACAGUAACAUUCUCUCUGCCCCCUCUUCUGUAAGUGUGUGUGAGAGAGAGAUAACGGUGGUGGCUGUGCAUCUCAACUAUUUCAUCAAUCAUCAGACACCUACCACCUGUCCACUCUCACGUAUAUGAGUAACUGUGUCCACCAAGACUUGUACAAUGCACAAUUAUUUCAUCAAAUCAUCAGACACCUACCACCUCAUACAUGAAUAACUAUGUCCAAGACUGUCGACAAAUGGAAAGAAACUGUUGAUCUCUUUUGUUUCUACAGGAUUUCGAACCUCAUUCUCAUAUAAUUUUCCCCGAUUGCCAGACACAUUUUGAUGUUAGCUAGAUAUUGCUCCAAAAAAAUGCAGUACUUUUGGAGGAUCCGAAAUGCACGUGCCAUCAUUGUUGCAGGCUUGUAGAUAUUGGUUUCUUGAAAUACAUAUGAAGAACUGUUCUCUAACAGCUUGUUUGAUAAGGAGACAAAUACUAUUUCUGAGUUCUUGUAUAUUCAAAUAGAAUCAAAUAUACAUUACACUGAUUUUUUUUCCCAUCUCCAAACAGAAAGCUACGGAGAGUAAUGAGUGAUUAUCCCACAUUGACAACUAAUAGAGAAGCGGAGCGAAAGCUGUAGUAUUUGUAACGGGCUGAGCUAACUGGAUAACAUACUUACCUAGGGAUCAAUGGGCGAUCAGUAAGACCCAUGGCCUAGGCUUGUGGCCUCCACUCCACUGCACUUUGGAGGGGUGCCUGCCUAAGGUUGGCUCAAGUGGUUGAGCCUAUGUCAUAAGGGCAGGGGCAUAGCCAGUCUUCUAUUUGGGAGUUUGGUCGAACUCUCAUUGACAGAAAAAUAUAUUAUUUAUACAUGAUUAAAAUUAAUUUUUUUAUGGUUAUAGUAGCUGUUGAGCUUCUUCGAUUAACUUUUCUUAGAAUAUGGAACCCCUUAGUUAAAAUUUUAAAUUUUCUUUGAAUAUGGAAUCCUAUUGUUGAAAUCUUAGCUCCGCCGUUUGCCCGGCCCUUGCCCAAUUCAAAGCAAAAUUUUAUAGCCAUGUGAGUUCAAGUGUACUUGGCCCAAUUGAAUCAAAUAUGGUCUUUUUUUUAUAUAUUGAUAUUUUGUGUCAUAAAUAGUCUCUUUGUAUAGGAAACACCAAUUUGAACCUAUGUAAGUGAAUUUGAAAAAGAAAAUCAAACACAAAUUUAAUAAAGAGAAAAGUUAUGUUAUAAGUAUUAAGUAUCUAAUUCCAUAUAUAUGAUGGAGAAAAAUUAAAGAAUGUUUCAUAAAAUAUAAAUAAAUGUUAAAGAUAAAAAAUGUAUCAUCAUUAACAAUUAAGUCACUAAUCUUGAAAGAUCGUUUUAAUCUUCUAUUUUGCUUUCACCGAAAAAAGUCGCUCUGCUGCCUCCACAUUCCCUCACUUCCACUACCGAUGAAAACUUUAAUAUAGAUUUUUUUUUUUUACUAAAUAGCCUUAUUAAUAAUAGUUUGAACUCUGAAUUUGACUAUUAAGUUAUCCCUAUUCAAUAUUAAGAGAAGAAAGAGAAAAAUAUACAAUAAAAUUCUCUUGAUUUCAUAAAUUGAACAAGUAAACUGAAAUAACUAUUUUUAGUAUAAGUGCCAAGUAAAUAAAACGGAUGGAGUAUAUUUAUAUAUUUGUAUUGAAUGAUAAUUAAUUUUAAACAACUAUGUUUAGUAUAAGUGUCGAAUAAAAUAAGACGGAGAGAGUAUAUAUAUAUAUAUUUUGUACUGAAUGAAAAUUAACUUUAAAUAAUAUCGAUCUAUUCGUCAUGAAAUGCAAUAAAUAGGAGAAGGUUGAAAAAGACAUUUUGAAGAGUUACAAUUUUCCAUUUUCCAUUUUAGUGAGUAAUUGAAUCUCAUAAUUAAGAGACGUAAAUGGGAAUGACUUUAAUUUUUUAAGCUUCUUGAAAUGAGAUUUCCAUUAAUGAACUACUUCAUUUUAAUAUAUUUUUAUUUUUAAUUAAAAAUGAAAGGAUGAAUUAGUAAAUAUUUAGAUUUUAUAAUAAAAAAUAGAAAUAAGUGAAAUGGUAAAUUUGAGACAUUUAAAUUCUUACAUAAAGAACAAAAAUGAAUGAAGUGAGCAGUAAUUGACACAUCUACUUUUAUAUAAUAAUAAAUAAAAUAAAAUAUUAAGAAAAUUGUCAUAAAAAUGAGCGAAAAGAACCCGGUAUCAUGAAUUAGUACCUUACGAGGGUGUGUUUGUCAAAAAAUCAUGUGUGCAUAUAUGCACACCAAUCAUGAGUGUGUUUAGUAUUUCAAUUAAGAAAUCUUGAGUUUUCAAUAAACCCAGAGUAUCCAUCCAUCAUGGCUGGGCGAAGUGUUUUUUUUUUUUUUUUUUUUUUUUUUAAAAAAAAAAAAAAAAAANNNNNNNNNNNNNNNNNGCCACAUCACUUCUCUAAUUUUAUACUAUAUAGAAUGUAGUUUUACAUUCUAUAGUUAUAACCUAACUUAUUAUUAGUUAUCACAAAUUACAACGGUUAUAAUUGUAAACAUAAAUUUUCAUUGACUGAAUUAUCAUAAGUCACAACGGUCACAAAAUCUUUGACUUAUUUGCAAGUGCUAAAUUGGUAUAAUUUAAUUAGUUAGUAGAUAAUGAUGUUACAUAUUAUUUAGUGAAAUGAAGGAAAACAUUCAAAAAAUAAAUAAAAUGAUCUUUUAGAACAUAAAGAGGUGUACGUCACCUUAUAUAUAGGUGUUUUUAUAGAUGUUCAUAGGUAUUUAACUUUAUGUUUUAGUACUUUCAUAACUUUCAUUAACCUGCUUUAAAAUCUUUAAAGAAAAGGUUUUAAAAAAACAAAAAAAAUUAAAAAAAUAUAAAAUUGUACUCGUUUGCGCAAAUUCAUAAAAUCAAAUGGAAUGAACUUUUUCUUCUUUUAUCUUAAAUACAUGACGAUAGAAAAUUAUUAUUGAGGGGAUUAUUAUAAUAUGAGAGGAUUAUUACAAUGACCAUAAAAAAUUAUUAUUAAGAAGAUUAAUAAAGAGAAAAGAAAAGAAUUGAGUGUAAUUAAGAGGAUUAACAAAGUGGUCCUUAGAAUUUAUGGCAUAACACAAAAUAAAUAGAAUAAAAUUUCACAAGACCAAAAUUUUUAAAAGUAAUAAAAGAGGAAAAAGGCGAAAAAUAUAAAAUUUUGAUCAAUUAACUGCACAUUGCCCUCUAAUAGAUCAUAAUUAUAUUCAAAUAGAGAUAGCAUAUUUAAAAGGUAAAUGCUAAUAUAAUAUAAUAUAGUAUAGUGUAGUAUAAUGUUCUCCUAAAACCUUAACAUAAAGACUCAAAUAAUUAUUUUGGGCAAUAAGGUUAUUUAUUUCAGAAACAGUAAUUUUUCCAACAUCUUCACUGACAAAUUUUUGAAAAGCAGAAAAAAUCAUUCCUGUAUUAUUGGGUAAUUUAAAGGAAGACUGGGGAGGAUAAAGUGCCUGAGUAAUUGUACCAUCAGAAUUUUGAUAAGAUCUUUCAAUUAUUUUGAUAUAUGACGGCAAAUAUGCAAACAUGAACCAUGAUACAAAAAAAUGAUUUUAUUAUGUAAGACACAUAUUUCAUAGAAUUCUUCGAAAAUAUUUCGUAAUUAAUCAGGAUUAUAAGUUUCAAAAAACCAUGUCCUAAAGGUUUUCCAUGUUUCAGAAAAAAAUUCUUUCAAAAUAUAUUUUCUUGCCUGAGAACCAGGACUAAAAUCAAUAAGUUGUGUCAUCAUAGUUAAAUAGAAUUGAUAUCAAAAUCCAUCUCAGAUGGGGUAGGAUUUUCAUUAUCAAAAUCUUGAACUAUAUUAGUUUUNNNNNNNNNNNNNNNNNNNNNNNNNNNNNNNNNNNNNNNNNNNNNNNNNNNNNNNNNNNNNNNNNNNNNNNNNNNNNNNNNNNNNNNNNNNNNNNNNNNNNNNNNNNNNNNNNNNNNNNNNNNNNNNNNNNNNNNNNNNNNNNNNNNNNNNNNNNNNNNNNNNNNNNNNNNNNNNNNNNNNNNNNNNNNNNNNNNNNNNNNNNNNNNNNNNNNNNNNNNNNNNNNNNNNNNNNNNNNNNNNNNNNNNNNNNNNNNNNNNNNNNNNNNNNNNNNNNNNNNNNNNNNNNNNNNNNNNNNNNNNNNNNNNNNNNNNNNNNNNNNNNNNNNNNNNNNNNNNNNNNNNNNNNNNNNNNNNNNNNNNNNNNNNNNNNNNNNNNNNNNNNNNNNNNNNNNNNNNNNNNNNNNNNNNNNNNNNNNNNNNNNNNNNNNNNNNNNNNNNNNNNNNNNNNNNNNNNNNNNNNNNNNNNNNNNNNNNNNNNNNNNNNNNNNNNNNNNNNNNNNNNNNNNNNNNNNNNNNNNNNNNNNNNNNNNNNNNNNNNNNNNNNNNNNNNNNNNNNNNNNNNNNNNNNNNNNNNNNAUUCAAUAGAUCCCAUUAAGGAUUUUCUAAAAUUUAAAUUUCUAGCAUCACGCAAAGCAGCUAAAAAUGUUUCAGGGAGACCCUUUAGUGUUAAAGGUCGAAAGGCAAUUUGUACUAGGCCAAUAUGUAUAUAAUUAUAAUUACGCUUAAAAAUAUCAAUAUCAUGCUUAUUUAGAAGUUGAACAGUCUGUUCAUCAGCAUUUAAAGCAAGGGAUUGUUCAGUUGUUUUAAUAAUUCGUUUAUGUUUUAUUUUUAUCAAAAAAUCCGUAUUCAUAUAUGGUUUUUAAUUUAACUUUUGGAAUAGUCCAUUUAUUCAGUAAAUCCAUAUCUUGAGGUAAAUCUACCUCUUCGAGUUUUGUACUUUUAGUACUAACUUCUCCCAUAUCCAUAAUUAUAAAAGCCUUAUAUCUAUGCUAAAAAUCGUCACCCCACUUAACAUGUUUACUAUGAAAAUUCACAGGCUCUGAUACCAUUAACAGGAUCUCUUAGGCUGGGGUAUGCCACUCAGCCUACCAGACCAUAUAAUAAUAUCGGAUUAAGCCAAAGUCGAAAGACCGAACCAAAGCACCAACUGAAAUAGAAAAGAAUCUUAAGUAGUUUUAUGCUGCUGGAGUUCCUUUUCAGCAGCAUUAUUAAUAUAAAAAGCAGUACAAGACCAAGGGGAUUUUGAAGGUUUUAUAAGACCCUUUUGCAGAAGACUAUCAAUUUCUGUCUUACAGAAUUCUACUAACUCUGUAUUCAUUUGACAGGGUCGAGAUUUUGUUGGAAUUUUUUCUUCACUGAAUUCAUUUUCAUAAGGAAGANNNNNNNNNNNNNNNNNNNNNNNNNNNNNNNNNNNNNNNNNNNNNNNNNNNNNNNNNNNNNNNNNNNNNNNNNNNNNNNNNNNNNNNNNNNNNNNNNNNNNNNNNNNNNNNNNNNNNNNNNNNNNNNNNNNNNNNNNNNNNNNNNNNNNNNNNNNNNNNNNNNNNNNNNNNNNNNNNNNNNNNNNNNNNNNNNNNNNNNNNNNNNNNNNNNNNNNNNNNNNNNNNNNNNNNNNNNNNNNNNNNNNNNNNNNNNNNNNNNNNNNNNNNNNNNNNNNNNNNNNNNNNNNNNNNNNNNNNNNNNNNNNNNNNNNNNNNNNNNNNNNNNNNNNNNNNNNNNNNNNNNNNNNNNNNNNNNNNNNNNNNNNNNNNNNNNNNNNNNNNNNNNNNNNNNNNNNNNNNNNNNNNNNNNNNNNNNNNNNNNNNNNNNNNNNNNNNNNNNNNNNNNNNNNNNNNNNNNNNNNNNNNNNNNNNNNNNNNNNNNNNNNNNNNNNNNNNNNNNNNNNNNNNNNNNNNNNNNNNNNNNNNNNNNNNNNNNNNNNNNNNNNNNNNNNNNNNNNNNNNNNNNNNNNNNNNNNNNNNNNNNNNNNNNNNNNNNNNNNNNNNNNNNNNNNNNNNNNNNNNNNNNNNNNNNNNNNNNNNNNNNNNNNNNNNNNNNNNNNNNNNNNNNNNNNNNNNNNNNNNNNNNNNNNNNNNNNNNNNNNNNNNNNNNNNNNNNNNNNNNNNNNNNNNNNNNNNNNNNNNNNNNNNNNNNNNNNNNNNNNNNNNNNNNNNNNNNNNNNNNNNNNNNNNNNNNNNNNNNNNNNNNNNNNNNNNNNNNNNNNNNNNNNNNNNNNNNNNNNNNNNNNNNNNNNNNNNNNNNNNNNNNNNNNNNNNNNNNNNNNNNNNNNNNNNNNNNNNNNNNNNNNNNNNNNNNNNNNNNNNNNNNNNNNNNNNNNNNNNNNNNNNNNNNNNNNNNNNNNNNNNNNNNNNNNNNNNNNNNNNNNNNNNNNNNNNNNNNNNNNNNNNNNNNNNNNNNNNNNNNNNNNNNNNNNNNNNNNNNNNNNNNNNNNNNNNNNNNNNNNNNNNNNNNNNNNNNNNNNNNNNNNNNNNNNNNNNNNNNNNNNNNNNNNNNNNNNNNNNNNNNNNNNNNNNNNNNNNNNNNNNNNNNNNNNNNNNNNNNNNNNNNNNNNNNNNNNNNNNNNNNNNNNNNNNNNNNNNNNNNNNNNNNNNNNNNNNNNNNNNNNNNNNNNNNNNNNNNNNNNNNNNNNNNNNNNNNNNNNNNNUUUGGAGCUAUAUGACCAUACUGGUUGCACUUAUAGCACUUAAUUUUGGCCAACACUCUUUUUGAUCUAUUUUUCGUGAAUCUAGUAGACUUACGGAAGGAUUUUCUAGUUUCACGUUCUUCUUUGGUCCUAUGCCUAGAACGUUUAUUUCUAUAGGAUUUAUUAGGCUUGGAAUAUGUUUGGGUUUUUCGUGCUAAAGGUUUAUCCAUACCAAAAUGUUCACAAAAGUCUCCUAAUUGGGAUUUUUCUCUGAGUUUGUCGAGCUUCAUUUGUCUGGCUAAUUUUAACUCGUUGCAAAGGGCUAAGCCUUCUUGAGUACAAGCUACAAUAAGCUGACCAUAAGUUUUUUCUAAAUACUGGACUUCGCCAUAAGAUCCUCUAAGUGAUUUUCUAACUCUUCCAGCAAAUAAAGGUGGAAGACUAUCAAUGAAUUUAUCUUUUCAAUGGUCAUACUUACUUUCAGGUAAAUCCAUAACCCUACUAAAAAAGGUGUCUUUAUACCAUCUAAAUUCUCCUAAGUGUUUGCAUUUUAAACCAUUAAGAAGAGUUCUAAUGUUUUCAUACUGAUUGGUAAAUCUUCCUCCAAAAUGUUCAAUAAUUGUAAGCAUAAGGGUAUAGACAACAUCUGAUCGUCCUGCCCGAAGUGGUCGACCUAAAUUAUCUUUUCCAGGUUUAUCAUUGGUAUCAUUAAAAAUAGCCUCGCAUUUAUCGUCGUCUAGAAAAUUAUCCCACCAGCCUCGAAGUUGGCCAGUAAAUCCCGCAACAAUCAUUUUAUAAAUUUUUGGGUCAGUACGAUUGGCUUGAUUCUUUGGCGAAUCAGUGGCUGUGGCAAUAGUAGCAUACAUGGACACCCGAUGGAUAAGAAUAGAGAUUUGUCAAUCAGAUAAUCCGUCAAUAUUCCAUUCAUAAAUAGCUUCUCCACUAUAAGAAGUAUUUGUUUGAUUCCAAUCUCUUUCCUCUAUUAGAACAUCUUAAGGAGUUGGACGUGGAUAAUAAGCAGUAGACAUACNNNNNNNNNNNNNNNNNNNNNNNNNNNNNNNNNNNNNNNNNNNNNNNNNNNUAUUUAGCUCGGAAGAGAUUACAUCUCCAGUAUUUUGAGUAGAUUCGAUAUUAUCAGCAAAAUUAGACUCGAGAUUUUGUACAAAAUCAUCAGAAAUAUUAAGAUUUCAUAUUUCUACCCGGAGUUUGACUCAACGCAAGACGUCGAUUAACUUCGACUAAGGAAUAAGACAUGUUAUAAUUAUCAUAAGAGUUAUCUUUAGAAAUACUAGUAUUAGCAGAAGUUUUUUGAGUAGCAAAAUUGAUGAUCUUUUCAUGAAGUUUUUCAUCAUUAACUUCUUUUAGUAAUUCAAGGACAUUAUCAACAGUAAGAGUUUGAACAUUUAAAUUAAGAUCUUCAAAUUGCGCUUGAAGUUUAUACAUUAUUUCAUCAUAAUUACAAAUAUCAUUAUCACAAUCAUUACAUUUAUCAACCUGAUUGAGUUCACUAUCAGAAUUAGGUAAUUCAAAAUCAUUUUCAGAUGUAGAAUCAGAUUCGGAAUCAAAGGUAUAUAACAAAUUAUAAACUUGGUCAUGAACUUCUUCAGAAAAUCCUAAGGACUUGAGUUUUUGUAAUUUGCAGUUUGGAGCUAUAUGACCAUACUGGUUGCACUUAUAGCACUUAAUUUUGGCCAACUCUCUUUUUGAUCUAUUUUUCGUGAAUCUAGUAGACUUACGGAAGGAUUUUCUAGUUUCACGUUCUUCUUUGGUUUUAUGCCUAGAACGUUUAUUUCUAUAGGAUUUAUUAGGCUUGGAAUAUCUUUGGUUUUUUCAUGCUAAAGGUUUUUUUACUAAAAACCCCCAUUAGGAUUAUUAGGUAAAUUAUUCCAUAGACUUAAAUAGGAAUAAGUUUUUUAAUUAAUAGAUGAUAAUUCUGAUUGCACUAUGCUUAUUGAAACUAAUUUUAUAAAAUCCAGGGUUACUACCCGAAGACCUAUUCGAUGGGAUGAAAUUGACUUUCCCAAAACAUGGAUUUUAAACUCAGUCACUUCUCCAAAACAAUUGGCGGAGGACGUGACUAAUUCAGAGUUAACUCAAGUAACUCAAAAUUCAGAUGGACGAAUCUGUCUACAAUUCGAUAAUAAUCCCCCAGUCUAUAGAAAUUCUUUUUCAUUACCAAGAAGACUUCCUUUAAUACAUCAUAUUUCUCCUAUCGAACCUACUGAACCUGAUUAUGGUCCAGCUAGGAAUCGAGCAGCAUCCUUGUAUACUAUUAAUUCUGCAGAUUCGCAUGUUACACCUAAAGGUGUAGAAAAGAUAAAAAUCAACUCAAAAACUAAUAUAGUUUAAGAUUUUGAUAAUGAAAAUCCUACCUCAUCUGAGAUGGAUUUUGAUAUCAAUCCUGUUUAACUAUGAUGACACAACUUAUUGAUUUUAGUCCUGGUUCUCAGGCAAGAACCAAACUAUGCAGAUCCACUAACCAAACCAUUGUCUAAGCCAGCCUUCUAGCGGAUGCUACCCAAGUUAGGUGUUGUCUCAUCAUACCUAACUUGAGGGGGGGCAUAAUAGAGCAUGUACCACAUGUUAAGAUAUCUUAUAAUUGAUUUAGUAUCUCAUUGUAAUUUAGUUUCCAUUUAGGAGAAGAUCACAAUUCUUUAUUAGUUGAUUCUUUCCUUAUUUAGUUUGUGUUCUUUUGUAUAUAUACACAUACAUAUCAAUGAAAUCAAACAACUUCAUCUUAAUUGUCUACAUUUAUAGAAACAACUUUUAUACCCCUUUUACAACUUCACUACAUUGGUUAACUGGUCCUUUCUCCGGCAGCUUAAGACACUGGUUGGCAUGAGCUUCCCUUGGUAUAAUUCGUUAUUAUUACUAAGACAAGUAAGUAGUAAUUCAUCCCAGAUAAAAUACUGAUAUAGCUCUUUAUCAUCGAGGAAAUUACUAUUUCCUCUUUCAGGUUAGGCACCCUUUGCUCUUAUGAAAGAGAGAGGUCUUCGCCGGGACCAAUGCUCGAUGUUAGAUUCAAUAUUCCAAAAGUCUUCAAUAUAUUUUCUUAUUUCACGGUAGGGAUCAAAAGUUUCUCAUUUUGCAUAAUAUAUAUUUCUAGCAAAGAGGAUAUCUAACUCCAUCCAGACAUAAUAUAAACUCAAUACAUAACCCUUCUUCCUAACCUCUCUCUUUAAUGGAUAAUUUUUCCAAGCACCGACAGUGAAGUGUUAGGCAAAAUUGUUGAUGUGGUUGAUAUCAGAGCCUUGCAAUUACAGUUGAACUAAGGUGCACAUUCUAAAGUAGUCUUCUAGCUAGCAUCCAGCAGUGUCUAGGGAUCAAUGGAAUGAGUGAAAAUCAAGUGAAAUUGGGGUUUUGUGAUUUCUUUUAAUGUGCUGAAGUCUUGGUGGACACAAGUAUUUAGUACGUGAGGUGUCUAGGGAUCAAUGAAAUGAGUGACAAUCAUGUGAAACCAGGGUUCUGUGAUUUCUUUCCAUGUGUUGAAGUCUUGGUGGACACAAGUAUUCAGUACUUGAGGUGACUAGUGAUCAAUGAAAUGAGUGAUAAUCAUGUGAAACCGGGGUUCUGUGAUUUCUUUCCAUGUGCCAAAGUCUUGGUGGACACUUAUUCAGUACGUGAAAAGUGGUAGGUGUCCAAUAAUUCGAUAAAAUAGUUUAGGUGUACGGACACCACCGGUAUCUCUCACACACGGAUGAGGAAGGGAGGUAUGAAUAUUACAAGUGGUAAAACAUAUAGUACUAGGCAAAACCAACACACUGCUGAAACAUUGAACUAAAUUUGGUCAAAGCUUCAGCAGUAUGGAGUUUGCAUUAUCCAGAUUGACAUUGCAUCCAUAUUUAAUUUUUUUAAUUCUAGUGUUCAAAAUUUCUUUGCAUUUACUGUUCAAGUAAAAUGGCUACACUGUUUGUUAAAUCAGCAUCAGUAAAUAGUAUAAAGUAACUCAAACUUAUUGGUAAAGCACUGGGCCUAAUUUACAGCUCAAACAUUGAACUAGAAUUGGUGGGGUGCGCCAGGCUGAUAGAAACUAAGUUGAAGAAGAGAGUGACAUGAAAAUGUUGAUAGUUAAAUAAAGUUCAAGAAUCUUAAACACUACAUUUAUCAAUAACUAAGUCUGUAUGGAGUGGACGAAACUCUAGAUACAAAUACAAUAAUACUGCUUCUCUGUUUUAGAAUUCUCCAGAUACAAUAUUUAUACUAAAACAUAAAGAUAGGAUGUAUGUAGACAGUUGCUGUUGACUAAGACAUAAUGAUAGGACAUAGGCAGACUGUUGUUGCUGUACAUAACUAUUGAUAAUUUCUAUAAAUAACUGCUUAUAUAACUUAUCUUAUCUGAAACUAACUAAGACAAAUUAUCUCCACUUGCUUGUUUGGAUUUUCUUCUAGAAUAAGUCCUUAAAGGAGUAGUCAUAUCACUGCAUCCCCCAUGAAAAGUCAUCUUGUCCUCAAGGCAAAAAUAAGGGAAUUGAUUUUCAAUGAGAUCAUAGAUCUCCAAACUAGCUUCUUCAAGGGAACGGUCAACCAUUGAACUAGCAAUUCCAAAGAAAAUGCACCAGCUUCUUUGAUCUAUCGAUGUGCAAGUAUUUUGGCAGGAGAUAAGUCGAGUUCCCAAUCUUUGGUAAGAGAAAGAGGGGCUGGCGGCAUAACAGCUUGCUGACCAUGAGAUGGACUGAGCAAGGAUACAUGGAAAAUUGGAUGGACUUUGGAAGAAGCCAGUAGCUCCAGUUCAUAUGCUACAGGUCCAACACAAUGUUUGAUUUUAUAUGGUCCGAAAAAUCAAGGUGACAAUUUUUCAUACCUGUGAUUAGCCAAAAAUCAUUGCCGACAAAGCUGAACAUGUAGAAAGACUGAAUCUCCAACUUAAAAGGAAACAUCACGCCUAUGAGAAUCAGAUUAUUGUUUCAUUCGAGUUUUAGCCUUUAAAAGGUUAUCCUUAAUAAUUUUCAACAUGGCAUCACGAUUUAAAAGGUGUUCCUCAAGUUCAGCAAUGCGUGUUUCUCCAUGAGCAAAAGGAGAAAUAAAAGGAAGAUCUCUACCAUAAACAAUCUUGAAUGGAGUAGUCUAUGUGGAUGAGUGGUAACUUAUGUUGAAAGAAAAUUCUGCCCAUGGUAAGUACUGACUCCAUGUACGAGGUUUCUCUAUAACAAAGCAUCACAAAUAAGAUUCCAAGCAUCUAUUAACCACCUCAGUUUGUCCAUCAUAUUGUGGAUGUUAAGACGUAUCCAUUCUUAAUCUUGUUUGGCUAAGUCAAAAAAUCUCUUGCCAGAAAGCACUGAGAAAGAUAGCAUCUCGAUCAGAUAAGAUAGAGAGAGGAAUGCCGUGGAGAUGUACAAUUUCUUUGCAAAAAAUAUUAGCAACAGUCUUAGCAGUAUAUGGGUGAGAAAGUGGGAUGAAAUGAGAGUAUUUGAUGAGACGAUCUACGACAACCAAAAUUGUGUCAUAUCCACCAGAUUUGGGAAGUCCUAUAAUAAAAUCAAGUGAGAUAUCAUCCCAUAUUCUAUCAGGUAUAGGCAAUGGUUGCAGAAGUCCAGCAGGGGCCAAAGCUUGGUAUUUGGCCUGUUGACAAACCAUACAGUUCUGCACAAAGAUUUUAACAUUUUGCUUCAUCCUUGCCCAAAAAAGGUUAGAGGAAAGGUACUUCAAGGUUUUAAAAUAUCCUUCAUGUCCGGCGGAAGGUGUAUCAUGAGAUUCUGAGAUAAGCUUUUUUCUAAGAGAAGAAUGAUCUAGAAUGACCAAUCUUUCCUUGAAAUAAAGUUUCUGAUCCACCAGGUGAAAAUCUAGUUGUAAGGAAGGGUCUUGGCAGAUUGCUUGAAUAAUCUCACAAGUAUAUGUAUCUGCUUGGAGAGAAUCUUGCCAGUUGGAAAAAUCCAAUGGUACAGGAAUAGCAAGAGCCAAAAAUUCAGCAGUCAAUGGCCUCCUUGAAAGAGAAUCAGCCCCCAAAUUGUCUUUCCCUGCUCUGUAGAUAAUUGUGAAGUCGAAGGGAAGCAAUUUCAUCAAUAAUCUUUGUUGAUCAUUAGUUGUAAUACGCUGCGAAAGGAGAUACUUGAGGCUAUAAUGAUCUGUGUCAUACCCAAUUUUUACGUAAGGUCAAAACGAGCACAACAUAAGGGACUCUAAAAGAAUAAAUUUUUUACAGAGUUGCCACCUAAUUUAAGGAAAAAUAGGAAAUCUAUUUAUUUAUCUAACAAGUAUGAAUUUAUUCUAAUCUACGAAACCAAGUUAAAUUUUAGGUAAGGGCUCAAAUUAUUUUGAAGGGAAUGGGUUGGGCAUCCUUCAGAAUCCACAACUGUAGUUCGCGACCAGACUUAGGUUUAUUAUUAAAAAAUAAAAAUAAAAAUCAAUAUUUACAAAUACAAAAAUAAUAUAAUACAUAUGUUAUUGCAAAAUAUAUAUAUAAACUCACGUAAAUAUGUAUAAACAAACAUGUAUAAGGAUAUUUAAAAAAGAAAGGCAAAGAUUGAAUAUAAAAAGAUAUUAUUUUUAAAGAAAAAAUUACACAAUAGUUUUUAGUGUAAAAAGUGUGAAUUAUUUAAUCAAAUAUCUAAAUUAAUUUUAAUAUAAAUAUUAACGGCCUAAAUUUGCCUAACACGUGGUAAGGAUUGUAUAAAUAAAAAAAAACCCCGCCCAGUGCCCCAAAAAUAAAGAUUUUACUAUAAUUAAUAUUUGUACAAUGAUAAGAACAAAAGAGAAUACAAAUACGAAAAAAAAAUUCAAGCUCUUCUGUAAAUAUCAUUCCCGACGAGUAUUCCCGAGAACCUGUACAAACACUUGUAAUAAAAAUAUUAGUAACAAAUAAAUAAUUAUCAAAAUAAAUUUAAAAGGUAAGUGUGCAUAUAUGUAUUUAAAAAUAUAAUUUUUGCUAAAAGAUGGGCUCGGACUAAAUUUUAGAUACACCAUGGCUACGAAGUGGUUACUCAAUUUGUUGGCCGUCCUAAAUCGCCUUGCCAAGAUACGAGACAAAAAUCUUUUGCGUUGUAAUAUAAACUUCAUCAUUGUCCAAAUUUAUUUAUUUUAUUAUGUAUUUAUAUACGUAAUAUCCAUCUUUUUAUUUGUGAAGGCCUCAAAAAUCGAUGAAAAAUUUCUUCAUCGACCAACUGUCGGCUCUUAAUAUAAAAUAAUGAAUUUGAGUACAUAAAGUCCGUCUUUUGUAAUGGGGUGGCCUCAAAUAUCCAGACGGAGAGAUAAUUUCAUUGGCCAAGUGUUGGCCUUUCUUUUUCGUUAUUAGUGUAGUAUCAAACGGCAAAAUGUUAGUCACCAAAAAAAUGCAGAAUCAAUAAAAAAUCAGAGAGCCAAACCACAACAACAACCAACAAACUUACAAUAAUGGUACGACAACAAUGUCAAAGGUUCACCGGAAUUCACGAAGCUAACCAAAAUGUCAACAACAAUUCAAAAAAAAAAAUAGUACAACAAAAUCCAUGAACAUAUAACUGAGCAAUGCUCAGAGAAAUAACAGUUAACCACCAUAAUAAUCAAAGAUUAAAGAAAGAAAAUUUUGAACGGCGAUAAUGUCGGCGUUGCUUCAAUGGGCUUCACCGGAGCAACGCCGGAGAAGCACGAACUUGGCCAGAUCUAGCGAUUUCUCUAACGAGGCAGUGUCCUCCAUUAAUGGAGGAAAAAGGGAAAGAGGAAGAGGAGGCAAGGAGCAGUAGCGAUUUUUGGUCGCUGGUCGUCGGCAGUGAGGCGUCGGAGAGAGGAAAAUUAGGGGGGGAAAAGGAAGGGGAUGGCGGCUGGACUGGGGACGGCGGAGAUGUGAGGGCUAUGGGAAGUAAGGGAUGGAGAAAGCUUCACGGUGGUCCACCGGAGGUGGUUCGCCGGUGGUAAUGAGGCUAUGGUUUUAUAGAGAGAAGAAGAAAGAGUGGGAGUAGAGAGAGAGAGGAGCAUGAGAUUGAGAGAGAGAGGGAGAUCAAAUUUUUUGGGUGUAGAUUAUGCGUGUGUUUGUGUGUGUAAUUGUGUGGUGUGUAUAUUUAAAGAAAAAGGUGUCAAUAUAUCUUGUGGCUACCCUUAUUUUGUGUUGUUUGUCUCUCCUCCUUUUUAUUUUGUAUUAUAUUAUAUAAAAAUAAUUAAUCUGAUUCAGUGUUUCUGAAUUGUAAAAAUACAAAAAAAAAAUUUGUAAUUAUGAAAAAAUAUAAAGAAUGUUGCAAAUAUUGAAAAAAAUGUAAUUAAUUAAAAACGUUAUAAAAAAAUAUGAAUUUAUGUCGUGUAUGUACGUAUUUUGUGUAUUUAUUGUGUUCUGUAUUUAAAAAAAAUAAAAAAAACUUAUCAAUUAUAUUUUUUUCUUCCAACAUAUCCCUUAAAUUAGGGAAAGAAGAUGUGGGAAAGUCAAAAAAGUGGAGAAAAUAGGAAAAUAAAAUUACAUUAAUAUUAUUUGUAUUAAUGUGAUAAAGACACUGAAUUAUUAUGGUACUGUGUAUUGAAAUAAUUAAUUUGACUCAGCUUUUACAGGUCGUAUUAAAUAACAUAUAAAAUAAUAAAUGUUGACAUAUAAAUACAAAAAAAGUAUAAAUAAAAAAUAAAAAAUAUAAUUAUCUUGAAAAAAUAUACUAUGCUAUAAAAUAAUUAAAAUUAUACUAUACGAUAACGAAUUGCAAUCCUAUGUUGUGUGCGUAUGCAGAUGACUGUGCAAAAAUAUUAGAAUGAUAAUAAACUGAUAAAAUCCUAAAAUUUACGAAAUUAAAGAUAAUUAUGAUAAAUUAUGUAAAAUAAAAAUAUGACAAAAUUUGAUGAAAAAAUUAUAAAAUAAUGAGAUUAUCAAUAAUUUGUUUUAAAAAAUCUAAAAUAUGUAAAAAAAAAAUUAUAUUUUGUGCCCUUUAACGAUCAAAAAGCCUAAAAACGUUAAUUUUAGUCACGGAGAACCAAAAUUGAGUGUCAACAGCUUACCUCUUUUUGUUUGAAGAUGAUGUAGAAGUCUUCAAACGAAAACAUUGACGUAUAUCCAAUUUUACUUGAUAAAAAAAAUCAUUUUUGCUAAAAAAUUUGAUCGAACUCUAGUUUAGAGUUGCCUACACACCUCGAGUUGUAUGAGGAUCAGGUCGGGUGUAGUUCAAAAGAUUAGGCAAAUCGCCCUGUUAUUAAGAGUGAGAGACUGUGUGAAGAUGAUUAUAAAAAGAAGGACUAUUUGGGAACAUGAGUGUUCAUCUAUUCCCAAUGCUCCUUUCAAAAUUGCUCUAGUAUCGAGCUGUGAGAUGUUGGGGAUGCAAGAUUGUGUACUUGCUGGGGAGAAAGAAUGAUUAUGGUUGUGACGAUCAAAUUCUGCACAGAGCUUUCUACAUAUCUCGAGUGUCAUGAGAAUUAGGUCAAUGUAGUUCAAAAUGAGAAAAUAGAAUAAAUUUUGAGACAACUCUCAAAAUUUGCCCCAGUGUAUGAUUCAUGGAUGAUAUUGUCUUCUGAGAAAGAAAAAAAAAUAUCUUGUUAUUGUGGAUUGUAUUUUUACUGAAAAGAUGUAUGACGUCUUCGAUUCUCUACGGGGACUUGAAGAUGAAUGAUGUCUCCAAUUGUCUACGGGGACUUAUGAAUGAAAGAUGUCUCUGAUUAGCUACGGACUAUGUGAUGAAUAAAAAUUAUCUUCAAUUGUCUACAAAGACUAUGUAAUGAAUAAAAAAUGUCUCUGAUUAUAUAUGAAGACUUGAUGAUAUCUCCAAUUGUCUAUGGAGACGGAUAUUGAUUAUCGUCUUCGAUUAUCUACGAAGACUGGUGUUGAAUGAUAAUAUCUUCGAUUAUAUAUGAAGACUUGAUGACAUCUCCAAUUGUCUAUGGGGAUGGAUGUAUGAUAUCCCCAAUUUUCUAUAGAGACUGAUGUUAAUUGUCAUCUUCAAUUGUCUAUGAAAACUGAUGGAUGAUUUUCACCUCCGAUUGUCUACAAAGACUAUGUAUGAUACCUUAGAUUUUUUAUAAAGACUGGAUAAUAAAUAACGCCUCCAAUUUUUUACAGAGACUAUGUCAUGAACGAUGUCUUCGAUUAUCUAUAGAUACUGAUACUGAUUGACGUCUUUGAUUGUCUACGAAGACUAAUGUUGUUGAGUGGUGUCUGCGAUUAUCUACGAAGACUGAUGUUGAUUGUCGUCUCCGAUUGUCUAUGAAGACUGACGGAUGACAUCUCCAAUUAUCUAUGGAGACUGAUGUUGAUUUUUAUCUCUGAUCGUCUAUGAAGACUUAUGCAGAUUGUUGUCUUCAAUUGUCUAUGAAGACUGAAGGAUGAUAUCUCUAAUUGUCAAUGGAGACUGAUGUUGAAUAAUGAUAUCUUCGAUUGUAUAUGAAGACUUAAUGACAUCUCCAAUUAUCUAUAGAGGCUGAUAUUGAUUUUUGUCUUUGAUUGUGUACGAAGACUAACGGAUGACAGCUCCAUUUGUCUAUGGAGACUGAUGGAUGACAUCUCCAAUUGUCUAUGGAGAUCGAUGUUGAUUUGUCCUCUCCAAUUAUUUACAAAGACUGACGAUGAUUGUCGUCUUCAAUUAUCUAUAAAGACUGAUGUAUGAUAUCUCCAAUUGUCUAUGGAGACUGAUGUUGAAUGAUGCCUCCGAUUGUCUACAAAGACUAUUCCAUGAAUAAAGUCUUUGAUUGUCUACGAAGACUAUGUCAUGAAUGUUGUCUUCGAUUGUAUACGAAGACUAUGUAUCUUAUCUCUGAUUGUCUUCGGAGACUUGAUGAUAAAAUAACGUCUCUGAUUGUUUACAGAGACUAUGUAAUGAAUGUUGUCUUUGAUUGUCUACGAAUACUAUGUUGAUAUCUCCAAUUUUCUAUGGAGAGUGAUGAUAAAAUAACUUCUCUGGUUGUCUAUAGAGACUAUGUAAUGAAUAAUGUCUUUGAUUGUCUACGGAGACUAUAUUGAUAUCUCUAAUUGUUUAUGGAGAGUGGUGAUAAAAUGAUGUCUCUGAUUGUCUACAGAGACUAUGUAAUGAAUGAUGUCUCCAAUUGUCUACGAAGACUAUGUCAUGAAUGCUGUCUUUGAUUGUAUACGAAGACUAUGUAUGAUAUCUCCGAUUGUCUACGGAGACUUGAUAAUAAAAUGAUGUCUCUGAUUGUCCACAGAGACUAUGUUAUGAAUGUUGUCUUUGAUUGUCUAUGAAGACUAUGUUGAUUGUCGUCUCUGAUUAUUUAGGAAGACUGAGGCCAUCAACUAGUGAGGUGACUGGAAUCUAAUAGCCCUCUCAACUAGUGAGGCUAUUGAUGUGUAAAAAAUUCUCGACUUGGGAGAAAAAAUAUGAUAGCCUCUCGACUGGCGGAGCUAUAAAAAAUAUAAAAUACUAACAGAUGAGCGCUUGACUGAAAAAUAAAAUAUUGGUAUUUAAAGGUAUGUGCUUGAAAGAAAAAGGCAAAACAUUCCUAUUUGAAAAUUAAAAUACUUAAAUAAAAAGUAACAAAAGUGCUGAAAGUGGGUUCCUUAAAAUAAAGGUAAAAAAUGUCGGCAUGGAUGUUUUGAAAAAAAGAAAGAAUUUUUUAAUAUAUAUAUUUUCUUGAUAAAAAGCGCUGAGAGAUGAAGAAUACACGAUUUUUUCUUGACUUCGGUUGAUACCAAUAAUUAGUAGUGUGUAUAAGAAUUCCCCAUUUAUUUCCCGACUAAUCGAGAUCGACUUCAGGGUAACUCCUAUAGUUUCAAGUGGUACCUCAGACAUACCUAAGUACCAACAAGAUUUGUUCAUCUUGCUUCAAACAAAGAUUUUGAGUUAUGCUUAUUAUCAUGUUUCAAGUGCCCUCUCCAGAAAGAAAGUCCCAUUUCACACAUAUUUGAGCAAUUUCUUUUUGAAUUUGGGGACGUCUAGAGAAAUACAUUCACACUCAGAAAGAAAUUCAAUGCAUGCUAUUGUGAUACCAUAGGCUUGGUGUUCGUGUAAGUAUCCACUAAUACGAGGACACUUGGAAUAGGAUCCUGUAGGACUUGUUAUUGGCUUGUAAUGUAGGCUUGGGGAUAGGUAGGAUAAUAUUUGGUAUUGAAGUGACUAAUUCCUCAAUGAGCGUUACACUGUAUUUGUCCUUUCAACAUUUGUUGUGCUUUGACGUGUGAUCUUCUUUGUUGUGCUUCGUUGUCCCUUGUUUUUGUAUUUGCUUUGACUUUUUUUGAAUCUUGUGUUGGAGUUUUCUCCUUUUUUCCAAGAAACUAUAUAUUUUUUAUUUAUUUUUUCCUUUUCUUUUCUUUUUGUGGGGCUUUGCUCCUUUUGAAGUCGUUUUUUUAAUUUUUGUUCAUCUAGGACAAUAUAUCUUUUGCAUUUUGCGUCUUUGAUCUUGAAUCUUUGUCCACAAAUUGCACGUAUUUAGUGCACUCAAGGAGGUAGGGCCAAGAGAGGGAUAGUGCAUGUAAGCACUCAAAAAGGUAUAGGUUCAUAUGCAGUUAUCCGAAGAAAAGGUUUUAAGCUCAUAAGGGAGUGCUAGGGAUAAAUAUCAUUUGGUGGACUGUGAAAUACUCAAUCGGGUCAAAGAAAGCCUACGAUCCUUUCCUAAACCAAGUUUAACUCAGAAUUUUGCCUCAACGAACAUUUAGGCCAAGUUCUAGAUCAAUAAUGCAAUGCAACGAAUUAAACUAAAGCUCACCACACAAUGCGCAUGAAACGAUGAGGUUGAUUUCAUUCUUGUCUUAGAUUUAUGCAAGACAAUUUUGUAAGUGUUACUCAGGUGUGAUAAAAGGUACCAAAAGAAUCUAUGGUUUACCAUGAAGUCAGUCCUUUUCAUCAUACCAAUUUGUUCUUUCUCAUGCACACUCCUAACUGUAUUGAUACCAACCAAGUUAAUUUUUUUUUAUUUAAAAAAAUAUGGGACCGAACCUAAAUGAAGGUUGCCUAUGUAUCUUGUGAAAAUAAGAAUUAGGUCUGCGUAGUCCAGGCAAAUUUGCAAAUAUGUAUGUGCAAAAAAAAAAUUGAUGGUCAUUCAUAAAAAUAAUGUGAAAGACGAUCAAGAAAGAACUGCUUUUAGUAUCAAAAUUGUUCUGAUGAAAUGAUCGAAAAAAUGGAUGCAAAGCAUGGGGAGAUCUGUGACACAACUUCAGUAUGCUGGCAAGAUUAAAAAAAGUCAAACAUUGAAGAAAUUAUGACAUUGUUUCACCGCAGUUGGAAGAAUUAUUAUAACUGAAAAAAAUAUUGAACCUUUGCUUUUGAAAGUGAGGAUUGAUACGCCAUAAAUUUAAUGAGUCAAGGCAUUCAAAAGAAAAGGCUAGGUAUUCUCGCACAAAAAUCAGGUGAGUAUCUGAAAGUAGGCCGGCUAGGCACUAAUGUAAUUAAGGUUUGGAUUUGGGAGUUAUUGGUUGUGCUCUUGAAGAAUCUGGAGAGCAUUUUAAACUAUUUUAGAAUAUUGCCCCAGUUUUGAAUACCGGAGAAAUUAUUCUAAAACAGUGAAGAGACCGAACACAAAUGCAGGGUUGCCUACGUAUCUUGUCAGGACAAGAAUCAGUUCAAAACAUAGUUCAAACAUACACAGCUAGUGGAGAUGUUGCUAAGGUGCAUCUUUUAAAUGAUCCGUAUAGCAAAUUUAGAGCAAAUAAAUAUGUACAGACACAAUAAUCUUUCAAAUAUGUACAAAAAUAAUAAUAAUAUGUCACUUGGGUUGGGAACCCUUCGGACAUAGAGCUGUCUAAUGAUGCAUGCACCUAAAAUAUGGUAUUUUAGCUAUAACCUAUAUUGACUAAAAGUGGGUAGGCACGGACUUGAAUUUUCUAUAUAAGAAGGCACAUAGUCCCAUGGCAGUAAACUCCCGCUCACCCUACGCAUGCGCCGACUCUCUAAAAUAAGGUGAUUUGAAAAAAUUUUGGGAAAGUACAAUGUACAAUCCGCAUGUACAAUGUGUGUGCGUGUCAGUAUUCCAAAAUGGAGGGAAUAUGAACAGAAUGUCAAUUUAUAUAAAGCGAUAAACAAAUAAAUAAUCUAUACAAAAUAAUAAUAAAAAAUAAACAAUUUAUGCCAUGCAAACAAGAUAAAUCAAAACAAUUAGGAAAAAAUAAAUAACAGUGUAUAAAAAACAUAAAUGGUUACCUAAGAUUGUAAUGGUUAGAACCUUGAAUCCCCAACAGAGUCGCCAAACUUUCAUACCCAAUUUUUACCUAGGGUCAAAACGAGCAUGAUAUAAUGGACUCUAAAAGAAUAAAUUUUGUACAGAGUUGCCACCUAAUUUAAAGGAAAAAUAGGAAACCUAAUUAUUUAUCAAACAAGUAUAACUUUAUUCUAAUCUAUGAAACUAAUUUAAAUUCUUGGUAAGGGUUCAAAUUAUUCCGAAGGUAUUGAGUUAGGCAUCCUUCAGAAUCCACAACUGUGGUUUCCGACCAGACUUAGGUUUAUUAUUAAAAAAUAAAAAGAAAAAUCAAUGUUUACAAAUACAAAAAUAAUAUAAUGCAUAUGUUAUUGCAAAAUAUAUAUAUGAUCGCAUGUAAAGAUGUAUAAAAAAACGUAUGUAAGGAUAUAUAAAAAAGGAAGGCAGAGAUUGAAUAAAAAAAGAUAUUAUUUUUAAAGAAAAAAUUACAUAAUGUUUUUUAGUGUAGAAAGUGUGAAUUAUUUAAUCAAAUAUCUAAAUUAAUUUUAAUAUAAAUAUUAAUAGCCUAAAUUUGCCAAACGCAUGGUAAGGAUUGUAUAAAUAAAGAAUAUCCCCGCCCAGCGUCCCAAAAAUAAAGAUUUCACUAUAAUUAACAUUUGUACAAUGAUAAGAAUAAAAUAGAAUACAAAUACGAAAAAAAAAAUUCAAGCUCUUCUCGGAAUAUCAUUCCCGACAAGCAUUCCCGAGAACCUGUACAAACACUUGUAAUAAAAAAAUUAGCAACAAAUAAAUAAUUAUCAAAAUAAAUUUAAAAGGUAAGAGUGCAUAUAGGUAUUUAAAAAUAUAUUUGCUAAAAGAUGGGCUCAGAUUACAUUUUAGAUACUCCAUGGCUACGAAGUGGUUGCUCAAUUUGUUAGCCGUCCUAAAUCGCCUUGCCAAGAUAUGAGAUAAAAAUCUAUUGCGUUGUAAUAAAAAUUUCAUCAUCGUUCAAAUUUAUUUAUUUUAGUACGUAUUUAUAUACGUAAUAUCCGUCUUUUUAUUUGUGAAGUCCUCGAAAAUCGACAAAAAAUAUCUUCAUCGGCCAAGUGUUGGCCUUAAUAUAAAAUAAUAAAUUUGAGAAAAUAAAGUCCACCUUUUGUAAUGGGGUGGCCUCAAAUAUCCAUAUGGAGAGAUAAUUUCAUUGGCCAAGUGUUGGUGUUUCUUGUUCGUUAUCAAUGUAGUAUCAAAAGAAAAAAUAUUAGUCACCGAAAAACUGCAGAAUCAGUAAAAAAUCAGAGAGCUCUCCACAACAACAACUACAACAAACUUACAAUAACGGUACGACAACAAUGUCAAAGGUUCAUCGGAAUUCACAGAGCUAACCAAAAUGUCAACAACAAUUCAAAAAAAAAAAAAGUACAACAAAAUCCAUGAACAUAUAAUGAAGCAAUGCUUAGAAAAAUAACAAUUAACCAACAUAAUAAUCGAAGAUUAAAGAAAUAAAAAUUUUGAAUGGCGAUAAUGCCAGUGUUGCUUCAAUGGGCUUCACUAGAGCAACACUGGAGAAGCACGAACCCGACAGUGACCUCCGGGGGGGGAAGAAAGGGAAUGGUGGUUGGACAGGUAGCUGGUAGCUUGAGGCGUUGGAGUUUUGCCGGCUGGGGUGAGGGCGGCAGAGAUGUGAGGGGCAUGGGAAGUAAGGGAAGGAGAAAGCUUCACGGUGGUCCACCGGCGACGGUUCACCGGUGGUGAUGAGGUUGUGGUUUUUUAGAAAGAAGAAGAGAAAGAGGGGCAUGACAUUGAGAGAGAGAGGGAGAUCAAAUUUUUUUGGGUGUGGAUUAUAUGUGUGUUUGUAUGUGUAUAGUGUGUGUAAUUAUGUGGUGUGUAUAUUUAAAGAAAAAAGUGUCAAUAUAUCUUUUAGCUACCCUUAUUUUGCGUUGUUUCUCUCCCUUUUGUUUAUUUUAUAUUAUAUUGUGUCAAAAAAAUUAAUUCGAUUCAGUGUUUGUGAAUCGCAAAAAUACAAAAAAAUAAUUUGUAAUUAUUAAAAAAUAUAAACAAUAUUGAAAAUAUUGAAAAAAUAUAAUUAAUUAAAAACGUUAUAAAAAAUGAUGUUAUGUCCUGUAUGUGCGUAUUUUGUGUAUUUAUUGUGUUGUGUAUUUAAAUAAAUAAAUAAAUAAUUUAUGAAAUAUUUUUUUCUUCUAACAUAUCCCUUANNNNNNNNNNNNNNNNNNNNNNNNNNNNNNNNNNNNNNNNNNNNNNNNNNNNNNNNNNNNNNNNNNNNNNNNNNNNNNNNNNNNNNNNNNNNNNNNNNNNNNNNNNNNNNNNNNAUAAUAAAUAAAAAAUAUAAUUAUCUUGAAAAAAAUAUAUUAUGCUAUAAAAUAAUUAAAAUUAUACUGUACGAUAACGAAUUACAGUGCUAUGUUGUGUGCAUAUGCAGAUGACUGCGCAAAAAUAUUAAAAUGGUAAUAAACUGAUAAAAAUCCUAAAAUUUAUGAAAUUAAAGAUAAUUAUUAAUAAAUUAUGUAAAAUAAAAAUAUGACAAAAUUUGAUGAAAAAAUUAUAAAAUAAUGACGAUUAUCAAUAAUUUAUUAAAAAAUCUAAAAAUAUGUUAAAAAAUUAUAUUUUGUGCCCUUUAACAAUCAGAAAGCCUUAAAGCGUUAAUUUUAGACACGAAGAGCCAAAAUUGGGCGUCAACAAUCUGUUCUGACAUAAAAAUGAUGGCCCAAGAGGUAAUGUUUCCAUUUUUGCAAAGCUAAAACAGAGCAAGCAAUUCUCGGUCAUAGGUAGACUUUAAACGACUAGAAAAAAGAAAGUCCCUUACUAAAAUACGCAAUCGGAUGGUCAUCCUGAAGAAGAAUAGCUCCUAUUCCUUCUGAUGAAGCAUCACAUUCCCCCACAAAUGGUUGAGUGAAAUCUGGAAGUCGUAGUACCAGAAUAGUUCUUAAAGCUUGCUUGAGAAGUUGGAAAGCAUAUUUAGCGAAGAUCGACCAUUGAAAAGCAUUUUUCUUGGUAAGUUCAGUGAGUGGUCGAGCCAUCAUCCCAUAACCCUUCACAAAUCUGUGAUAAUAACCUGUUAACCCAAGAAAUCCACGUAAUUCCUUCACAUUAGUUGGCACUGGCCACUACAUAACUGCUUGAAUUUUAUCGUGAUCAACACUAACCCCAUUUUCUGAAAUCACAUGACCCAAAAAAAAUGUGAAGCUGUCCAAAUAAGUAUUUAGAAGUUUUGGCAUAAAAAUAAUUGUCCCUCAGCAGUUGGAGAGAGAGUUGCAAGUGAUUGAUAUGUUGCUCAAAGGUCUGACUGUAGAUCAAGAUGUCAUCAAAGAAUACGAGAAUAAAUUUGCACAAAUAUGGUUUGAAUAGAUCAUUCAUAGCGCACUUGAAUGUAGAAGGGGCAUUAGUGAGACCAAAGGGUAUAACGGUGAAUUUGUAAUGGCCAGAGUGCAUACGAAAAGCAGUUUUAUAAAUAUCUGCAGGAUUGACACGUAUUUGGUGGUAACCAGAAUGCAAAUCAAUCUUUGAGAAAAUAGUUUCUCCAUGUAAUUCAUCAAGAAGCUCAUCAAUAUUAAGGAUUGGAUACUUAUUUGGAAUUUUGAUUUGAUUGAGACCUCUAUAAUCAAUACACAUACGCCAUGUAUUGUCCUUUUUCUUGAUGAGAAGGAUGGGGCUAGUAAAUGGAUUGGUACUUGGCCUUAUAAAUCUUUUUUGGAGUAAUUCAAACACUUGUUUUUCAAUUUUUGAUUUUUAAAAGUAAGGAUAGAGGUAAGGGCGGAUGUUGGGAGGUUUUGAGUUAGGAAUCAAAGGGAUAGAGUGGCUGUGCUGGCGAAAAGGUGGUAGAUCAUUGGGUUUUUCAUAACUUGAUUCAAACAUGUGAAGCAAUCUUUGAAUAUCGUUGGGUAGAGACUUACCUGUAGUAUCAUCCUCUUUGGAUAAAAGCUGGAAAGCAACUGGUGCAUUUGAUUCAGGUGGAACUCCCUGAAGCUUAUAUCGCUUCCCAUUUAAAUUAAAAAUAAAAAAAAUUCAUUCCGAUUAGCAUGGACUGUAUUUAAAGACACAAGCCCCUUAAUUCUGUUGGUAUUUGUCCUGACUUUCUUACAUAAUUGGGUUUUCCUUUAGGUACCAUAAUUGAGUUUCUCUUUAGGAAACGAAAAACUUAAAUUCUUCGUAUUUGGCUAAUCCUUAUUCUUAUAGGAAAAGGUUAUAGACUCUAUAAAUAGAGGCUUCUUUCUUUUAGUUUAUUAACAUCCACAAUGUAGUCCUAGGUGAGGUUUGAGAGUUUUUUUUGGGGGGAGACUUUGUGAGUCACAAGUGUUGCAGUAUCUCAUGUGUGAACCUCUUUUUAUUCUAAGUGAAUUGUGUGAGGUUGUCUCUCUUGACAGUUUGUACUCUCUUUUAUAUAGUGGAUUGCUCAUCUCCCUUUGUGGAUACAGGUCGAUUGACUGAACCACGUUAAAUUAUUGUGUCUCUUUUGUUGUAUUUCUCGUUUAUCUUCUUACGUGGCAUCUUUCAAGGUUUUCUUUUCUAGCUUCCGCAUGACACCUAAUUAUUUCGAUCCUAACAAGUGGUAUCAAAGCAAGGUUAAAUCGGGUGUUCAUCUUGGCGGAUUCAAUUUUAGUCGCAACCUAUUUGAUGAUAAUGAAGAUUUUGGUUUGAGUGUUACUCUGUCUAGAGACCAAAAUUUAAUGGAGGAGAUUUUGGAGAUGGAGAUUGAAUUUGAUGAAGACUACGUGAAAAAGGUGGAGCAAAUUUAUUUUAUCAUAAAUUUAGGCAAAGGGAGAGAAUUGUUGGUGUUUGUCCUGACUUUCUUACCAUAAUUGGGUUUUCCUUUAGGUACCAUAAUUGAGUUUUCCUUUAGAAAAAGGAAAACCUAAAUUCCCCAUAUUUGGCUAAUCCUUAUUCUUAUAGGAAAAGGUUAUAGACUCUAUAAAUAAAGGCUCUUUUCUUCUAGUUUAUUGGCAUCCACAAUGUAGUCUAGUUUCAUUUGGGGGGAGAUUUUGUGAGACAGGUGUUGCAGUAUCAUUUGUGUAAACCUCUUUUUAUUCUAAGUGAAUUGUGUAAGGUUGUCUCUCUUGAUAGUUUGUACUCUCUUUUAUGUAGUGGAUUACUCAUCUUCUUUUGUGGAUGUAGGUCGAUUGACCGAACCACGUUAAAUUAUUGUGUCUCUUUUGGUGUAUUUCUCAUUUAUCUUCUUACAUGGCGUCUUUCAAGAUUUGCUUUGCUAGCUUCCACAUGACACCUAAUUAUUUCGGUCCUAACAAAUUCCAAGCACCAAAUUAACCUCUCCAACAAAGAAAGGAUAGAAAUGUUGGUCAAUAGUUAAUCCAGGGAAUUUCACAACCAAAUUUUGGCAUAGGCGGUUGCAACGUAUGAUUUCUCCAUUGCCGAUCUGGACUCCAAAAUAAGGCACAAUGUGAACCAGCAACUGUAAUUCUUGAACAAUUUUAUCAGAGAUAAAAUUGUGGGAUGAUCCACUAUUAGCCAAAGGUAUCACUUCGCAUCCAUUUAAAGUCCCUUGAGGUUUCAUUGUUGUGCCUUUCAUGUCACCUAGAAAGGCAUGGAAUGAAAUUUCAGCAAGGUCAUUUGUACUUGCAUCCCUAUCAAUAAUGUCACUUGGCAUUUGUUCCACUAAUUCACCCCCUUCAAUGUUGUCGUUUGUCUCCAUAAGAGUGAGAGAUGUUGUCUUGCAACGGUUGCCUGGUAAAAAUUUCUCAUUACAUAUAAAACAAAGUCCUUUGGCUAUACAAUUCUGUUUCUCUAUAUCCCAAGCACGAUUUUGAGAAGGACAAGAAGAUAUUUGUACAGAAUUUGGAUUUGUUCGUGACACAAGUUGGUUGCCUACUGAUUGGUCGAGAGCGUCACGCGCAGAACCUAUUUUGCUUGUAUUGGAUCGUGACAUAUUUGGCCAUUGCGAACCUUUAUUCCCACAAUUAGAACCCAUUUUUUGCUCAAAAUCCACUGCAAGGCUCAUAGCUUUAUACACUGUUCUGGGCUUGUGAAUUCUCACAUCUACUUUGAGUUCUUCUUUAAGUCCCGUAAGAAAUACUCCCAAAAGACAAUGUUCUGGCUAAUUCUUGACUCGGGCAGAUCGUUUAGCAAAUUCCUAGCGAUAUUCCUAGACUGUGCCCAAAUGUCGAAUGCUACAUAAAUGUUCAUCUGGAUGCUGAAAUUCUGCAGGACCAUAGUUCUCUUAUAAAGCUUUAACAAGGUCCUCCCAAUACAAUAGUGUACGCUCACUAUUAAUCCACGCAAAGAGAUCAAGCGGAUCACCGUCCAAAUACAUGGAUGCAAUAUCCACCUUUAAAUCAUCAUGUGUUUGAUAGUACAGAAAAUAUUUUUCAGCCUUCAAAAUCCAACCACGAGGAUCUCCUCCUUUAAAUCUUGGAAAUUCCAUUUUUGUGUGUGGCCCGUGGGAUGGAUUAUUUAACCACCAAGGCGUAUCCACAUCAAUAUCAACAUCCUCAUCCCUCGAAGAUUUUCUAGGGUUACGAGGAGCUCUAUUAUAUUUUGGACCCUUUCCUUUAAAGGAUGUAACAAGAUUAACAUCAGUUUGAGUACCACUUGUUUGACCCUUCACUGCUGCAUCUAAUGCUUCCAAACGUGAUGUUAUAAAUGUUAAUUGCUGAACAAUUUUACUAUUAGAAGGUUCACUUGGAUAGUUUGUGACUGGUUGUGAUGAUGGUUCGUUAGAAGAUCCGGUGGAUACCAUUCUGGAUCUUGCUUCUCUGAUACCAAAAUGAUAGAAACUAAGUUGAAGAAGAGAAUGAAAUGAAAAUGUUGUUGGUUAAUACAGUGCAAGAAUCUUAAACACUACAUUAACCAAUAACUAAGUUCGUAUGGAAUGGACAAAACUCCAGAUACAAAUACAAUAAUAUUGCUUCUCUAUUUUAGAAUUCUCCAGAUACAAUAUUUAUAUUAAAACAUAAAGAUAGGAUGACAUAAAGACAGGACAUAGGCAGACAGUUGCUGUUGUACAUAACUGAUGAUAACUUCUAUAAAUAACUGCUUAUAUAACUUAUAAGAUAGAUUAUAUCCACUUGCCUGUCUAGAUUUCCUUCUAGAAUAAGUUCGUAAAGGAGCAGUCAUAUCACAGGCCCAAGCAGUAAUGCGACGCUUAGGAUGCGAAACCAAAAGGCCGAGUCAAGUCAUGGGCCUUUGUUUCUAUAGCAACCUUCUGGUGUUUCUUUAUUUAUUGCAUACUACUCAAAUGUAAUUAUUUACUACUUCCCAAAAUUAAAACUUCUUCCUCCAUAAUUUUCAUUCAAAUUGUUGUUACUACAAAGAAUCUAUAUAUACUAUAAAGGAAGGUCAUAGAGAAGGUGAUGUGGCACUUCUCUAUGGCCUCCAUUCCUAUUUAUCUUUUUUCUCAUUUUUUUCUUCACUUUUUGUAUUAAUUAAUUUAUUUAAUGAUUAAAAAAUUCUAUCAUAUUUAUUACAUAUAAUUGUAAUUAAUAGGUUACAAAAAAAAACCUCCAUCUAUUUGUAUUCUUACUUAAUAGCAUGUCUUCUCAACUCCCUUUUAUCUAUUCUUAUGACUUAACAAAUCUAUAUAUAACAUUCAUCUAUAGAGUUCUGGAUGCUCAUUUCCAUUUCUUCUUCUUUUUUAUUGGUAUAUCUUUUUUUUUUUUUUUCAUUUUCUAUCUACUUUCUAUGUCAUUUGAUUUUACUCCAACAACUAAUAUGUCAUCAAAAAACUCAAGAACUAAAUCAGGUUGCUCACUUUGUAAGUAACCAAAAAUCAUGGGGGCUUCAAGAGAAAGCAUCGCUUACAAAUAUUUGAUCAAAUAAUUUUCUAGCCAAACACAAGUUUCCUUCCAUCGAGUCCUAGGGGUACUUGUACCCGAAACAUUAGUUGUGUACCUAGAGCCAUGUCAUGUUUUUAUGAUACUCCCAGACAAGCUAUAAAUCCUUAGACUUCAGAUAGUCUUGUGACUCAAGAAAAAACUCCAUGAUCUCAUGAAACAGUUAGUUGUCAGAAAUUAGUAUUCCAUCAGUCAACAAAACUUAGUAACUUAGCUCAUGUUCAGUUCAGUAAAUCAUGUUCAGUAUCCAUUUAGAUAGGAGUAGGAAUUUGCACCGAGUGAACCCAAGGAUGGGGACACACUAUCAGAUGAGGGUGUGAUCCUUAGAAGUCAUCCUUUCAUUCCAGAACUAUGUAGCCAACAUGGGUUGAGACAUCAACUUUGUCCGAUGAUGGUUGAUGAGAUAGAUAAGCACUAUCAGAUAAGGGCCCCACCAUUAUCUUUUAGGGACACUAUCAGAUAAGGGUCACCCAUAACUUGUCCUUACCAGUGGUGUGGUAUUGAUACCCUUCUAAUAAGGGUUACAGAUUGGACCCCAACUCAGCCAUAAUGGCAUAUCAGGGGUAUGUCGAUUAAAUACUACCUCCCACAGUUUUAGUACUAGUCUUAGUAAAAGAACUCAGAUAAUUCUUUAGAUUUAGGACUGUCAGAUACAGUCAACUCAAAUACGAUAUGAAACUCAGAUAGUUCCAUCAGAUUUAGGAUUGUCAAAUAUAGUCACCCAUGUUAUCAAUUACUUUUAGAUAAAGCUAUUUAUGCUAUCAGUUAAUCAGUUAUUAGUAUGUCAUGUCAUCAGUAUUCAGAUUCAUUAAUCAAAAGAUCACAGAGUCAGUUACAGUUACGUAUUUAUGUAUGCAUUUUCGCAUUCAUGUUAGACAGUCAGCUAGCAUUAUUCAUGCAUGUUAACACUUACAUUAGCCUACCUCACAUGUAUACUUAGUACAUUCCAUUGUACUGAUGCAUUUGCGCUAUGGUGCUUUCUUUUUAUGUUACACCAUAGGUUCAGAGACACGAGUUCCAGAUCAGCAGUAGAUUCCAGUCUCAGCAAUCAGAAUAAAAGUGAUUGCUCAUCCUUAGAGGAUAUGAUUAUUUCUCUACUAUUUCAUUGAUUAGUUUUAGUUAGAGUUAGUUGGGGACAUGUCCCAUCAACUUUUUAUUCAAAUUAUUCAGAUAGUAGAGGCUUUCAGACUAGAUGCAGACUAUUAUGUUUCAGACUUCAGUGUUUAUAGUUUUGUUUUGGGUAUUGUAUUACCCCAAAAAUGUUAUCUCAUCCAUGUUAUGUUCAAUAUUGAACCUUAUGACCUUUCAGUGAAUAUUUCCAUAUUAUUCAGUAUUUUAUGCAGUAUAUAGGUACAAAUAUCAGUCAUGGGUUAGCUUGUGGUCCUUCAGGGUCAUGAUCACCAUAUAGCAUUUUGGUUCAGCAAAUCGGGGUGUUACAAACUUGGUAUCAGAGCCUAAGGUUCAAUAGAGUCCUAGGACGUCUGAAAGCCGCAUCUAGUACAGUCUUGUACAUAGGUGUGUUGCGCGCCACAUUUAUGUGCAAGAGCCUAUGAGAUGUUUAAGAAACAGUUUCCCUUCUGUAAGUAUUCAUGUCAUACCAGUGAUCAUAAUUACAAGUCAAUCUCUCAGUCUAAUCUACUUCUUCUCUUUAUUUUAGAAUAUGCCUCCUAAGAGAAGAAAUCAGUCAGCCCCUCAGCUCGAAGAAUCUUUGGGCAAUAAUGUUUCUCAUGGGAGUUCAGGACCGCAUUUACCACUCUUGCUUAGUUAGUAGCUGCCCAUAAUGAGUGACCAACUGUCGUUUCGACUAACCUAGUGGCUAAUUCAGCUGCAUCCAAGAUUCAAGAUUUUACCCGAAUGAAUCCUCCAUCCUUUCUCAAGUCUAAGAUAGAUAAAGACCCUCAGGAAUUCCUUGAUCAGGUGCAGAAGGUGACAGACAUCAUGCGGAUGACUACUGUUGAGAGUGCUGAGCUAGCUACAUAUCAGUUGCAGGAUGUUGAUCACACUUGGUUCAAGCAGUGAAGUUCAGAGAGGGCAGAUGAUGUAGGGCCAGUUGAGUGAGAGGAGUUUAUGUCUGCUUUCCUUGAUAAAUUCUUUUCUCUAGAUCUUAAGGAAGCUAAGGUGUUAGAAUUCAUCAACCUCAGGCAGGGCAAUAUGACGGUGAAAGAGUAUUCUCUAAAGUUUACUCAAUUAGCCAGAUAUACCCCUCAUGUGGUUGCAGAUGGCAGAUCUAAGAUGAGUAAUUUCGCUUUAGGGGUAAAUGAUAGCGUAGUUAAUGAGUGCAGAUCUGCCAUGCUAUAUAGUGACAUAACUUUAGUCAGAAUUAUGAUCCAUGCUCAGCAAAUAGAGGAGCAAAAGAUUAAGUAGAGGGAAAAGUAGAAUAAGAAAGCUAGGAUAGGUAGCUUCAAUUUUAGUCAGCCUAAAUCAGAUGUAGGAAACCGUUCUUAGUUUCAUCCUAAGUCAUCAGUUCCAGCUCCUUCUUUAGCCAGUCCUCUAUCUCCUAAGUUCAGAUAUAGAGUACCAGGCUCUAAGUCUCAGGGCAGUGUCAGCAAUGCUCGAAUUAAUCCCCUUUGUUAGACUUGUGGUAAGAAUCACAAGGGUCCUUGCAGAGCUGGCAGGGAUGUCUAUUUCGGUUGUGGCAAGCCAGACCAUAGAGUUAGAGACUUCCCUCAGUCAGUUUAUCAGAGUUAUAUCUACUCCUCAGCUCAGUCCUAUCGCCCAAAUAAGUAGGAUGCCACCACUAGUGCUACUAGCGGGCAAUGCCCAAAUAGACUAUAUACUCUUCAGACCCGACAAGAUUAGGAAAAUUCUCCUGAUAUAGUUAUUGGUAUGUUACAGAUCUUUCGUGUGCAUAUUUACGCUUUGCUAGAUCCAGGAGCUUCUUUGUCUUUUGUUACUCCCUAUCUAACAGUUGAUUUUGGAAUUAGUCCCAAAAUUCUAGCAGAGCCCAUCUCAGUCUCUACCCAGUAGGUAAAACCAUCAUAGCCUGGUGGGUAUACAGGAACUGCCCGGUUAUGAUAUUUCAGAAAGUCACUUCUGCAGACUUAGUCGAAUUAGAGAUGACUAAUUUUGAUGUCAUUCUCGGCAUGGAUUGGCUUUAUUCCUGCUAUUCCACAGUUGACUGCAGAAAUAUCCAGUUUUAGUUUCUAAAUGAACCCGUCCUUUAGAAAAAGGGUAGCGUAUCCGCUUUCAGGGGUUAGCUUGUUUCCUACCUUCGAGAAAGGAAAAUGAUAUCUAAAGGAUGUGCCUAUCAUUUUGUUCAAGUUAAGGAUAUUAGUUCCUGAACUCCCAUCCUUGAAUCAGUCCUAGUAGUGAAUGAAUAUUCAGAUGUCUUUCCCAAAGAUCUUCCAGGAAUUUCUCCUGAACGAGAAAUAGACUUCGGCAUUGAUCUUCUUCUAAAUACUCAGCCUAUCUCUCGCCAUACAAAAUGGCUCCAGCAAAACUCAGAGAAUUGAAAGAACAGUUGAAGGAUCUCUUAGAUAAGGGAUUCAUCAGACCCAAUAUUUCCCCGUGGGGCGCACCAGUCUUAUUCAUGUGUAAAAAAAAAGACGGUUCUCUUAGAAUGUGCAUUGAUUACCAUCAACUCAAUAAGGUCACGGUCAAGAACAAGUAUCCUCUUCUUAGAAUUGAUGACUUGUUUGACCAAAUUUAGGGUGCCAGCUAUUUCUAUAAGAUAGACCUCAGAUCCGGCUAUCAUCAGCUCAGAUUUAUAAAAAGUGACAUUUCAAAAAUAGCGUUCCAUACUUGGUAUGGUCACUUUGAUUUUUUAGUCAUGUCAUUUGGUCUUACCAAUGCCCCAGCAGCUUUUAUGGACUUGAUAAACUACGUGUUCAAGCAGUACUUGGACAUGUUCAUCAUAGUCUUUAUAGAUGAUAUUCUGGUAUAUUCUCGAACUGAACACGAUCAUGAAGACUAUCUUAGAAUAGUACUUCAGACUCUUAAAGAUCAUUAGCUAUUCGCCAAAUUCAGUAAGUGCGAAUUUUGGCUAAGGUCAGUAGUAUUCCUUGGUUACAUUAUUUUCAGUGAUGGAAUUAUAGUUGAUCCUCAAAAGACCGAAGCAUUAAGAAACAAGCCAAGACCUGUCUCUCUAUUAGAUAUCAUGAGUUUCUUGGGUUUGGCUGGCUAUUAAAGGCGGUUUAUAGAAGGAUUUUUAUCUAUUGCAUCCCCUAUGUCCAGAUUGACUCAGAAGAAGGUCAAGUUUUAGUGGUCAGACCCUUGCAAGAAGAGUUUUUAGGAGUUGAAGACUCGACUUACCUCAGCCCCAGUCUUAGCUCGUCUAGAUGGUUCAGAUGGGUUCGUGGUAUAUUCUGAUGCAUCCAGAGUAGGUUUGGGAUAUGUCCUCAUGCAACAUGAUAAGGUCAUAGCCUACGCCUCCAGACAGCUUAAGCCCCAUGAGAGGAAUUAGACUACUCAUGAUCUUGAGUUAGCAGCCGUAGUCUUUGCCUUGAAGAUUUGGAGGCAUUAUCGCUGUGGAGUUCAUGUAGAUGUCUUCAUAGAUCACAAGAGUCUUCAGUAUGUCUUUUUUCAAAAAGAUCUUAAUUUUCAUCAAAGAAGUUGGUUAUAGCUCUAGAAAGAUUACAACAUGAGUGUCCUCUAUGAUUAUCCGAGCAAGGCCAACGUAGUGGCCGAUGCUCUCAGUAGGCUAUCUAUGGAUAGUGUUUCUCAUGUGAAGGAUAGUAAGAAUAAGUUAGCUCAAUGUCCAUCAGCUUACCAUACUAGGCAUUCACUUAGUUGAUUCUUUAGAGGGUGGUGUAUGUGUUUAGAGUAGUUCAGAAACAUCUCUAGUUUCCGAGGUAAAAAAAUAGCAAGAUAGAUGUAACGCCCCGCAUUUUGGGCUACAAUAAAGAUCAUGAUUUUGAUGCGUUGAUAAUCCCGAAGCCAUAAAAUCCUAUGCCAAUAUGGCAUGUUAAUUAUUUGUGUAGAAUAUGAAUCCAUGCAAGCUUGAAUUUAGACCAUAGAGGUCCUUCAACUCAUGGACGAUUUGAAACAAUUUCGAUCGACUAAGUUUUAAUGAAUGUUGUAAAGUAUGUCAGCUUCCAUCGACCAUACCUCUCUAUAUAUGUUGAAUUAGGAAGCCUACUAUGUGUCAAAUGAUAGGUAUUUGAGUUACCUUUCCAACGAUACCAAUUUGGCUAAAAUCCGACACCCAAGCAAGAAGUUAUGGCCUUUCAAAGUGAUAUGUGUCGCCUAACCAAUCGCCCAUGGCCACUGGAAAACAUGGCAAUAGCCUAGGCGGCGCCUAUGUGAACAUAGGCAAUGGGAUGGGCGGCGCCUAUAUAAAGAAUUGUAGUGACUUAAACACUUUAAACACUCCAUGUUGGGGACAAAGUGGUCCUUUUCCACCCUUACUUAGCCCUAAAACACGAAAUUCAGUUCCAAGGACCCCAAAAUACACCUUCAUUCGUCAAAAGUGCUCAAAGAUUAUCCUAACGGUUUCAAAAUAAAAACCCAAAUAGUUCAAGAUUCGACCGUAGUUUUUCAAAAAUAAUUACAUAUUUGGAAUCACCAAUCUGCAAGCUUCAAGAAACAUCUAUCAUCCUUGGAAAUAGAGGUACGUGGGGUUAUCCUAAAAUCUCAUAGGUGUAGUUUUUAUGAACAUUCAUGCUUUUAAAUGGAGGUUUUCAAUCAAAUGCUAAUAACUUGCUUUCAAUAUNNNNNNNNNNNNNNNNNNNNNNNNNNNNNNNNNNNUUUCAAAUUCCCAUGAUAAUGUCUUGAUACCCCAUAUCAUAUUGUGACCAACAAAAGAGAGCAUGAAUUUGAAAUAAAUAUUGUUCACCACUUAUAAAUGAUGAAGCACCUUGGUUUUUACAUGAUAAUGCAUAUGUGGAAGUGAUAUUGAUGACUUAAAAGUUGGGUAGGACGAUACCCUACAGAACAUGAUAUGUGAUUGAAUCAGAUGAAAUUUGAAUGCAUUGAUUUUACAUGAGAAAGGUGGAUGCUCGAAGAAGGCAUUUGAGAGUAAGGGCUCAUUACUGGAAAACAUAUUUGCCGACAUGGAAAUUUUGGUACCAGUCUAAGUGAUCUUAUUUACUUGACUUUAUGUCAUUCCCAAAUUGGGACUAUAGGUAGGAGCCUGGGCUAAGUGAUCUUGGGCACUACCAUUGGGUCAAGACACCAUGCUAUGUGAUCUUGUGUGUCUCUUCCUCACUUAUACUCUAAUCUCGGUGGCAACCGAGGUUAGAAAGUUGGUGUAAAUUAUGUAGGGUAUUCCACCUAGCUCAGUUGAAUUUAAUUGUUGUUGAGAAACUAUUGCAUUAUGCCCAUGUGUUUUCAAAUGAUUUGAUAUGAAAUUGCUUUAUAAUGGCUCUCAACUAUAUUUUGUAAAAAUAUUAUGUUUUGUUUUGAUAUCUCUACGUGCCAAUACUUUUGUGCUGACCCCCUCCCCUCUCCAACCUCUCAGGUUUAGAGGCCCAGUCUAUGGGUCAAGAGAAUCAGUAGAUUAUUCAGACAGAGUUGCAGAGACAAGUGGUGAGCCUUCUAUGUUUUGGAAGGCCUUAUGUCCUGUAGUCCUUUAGCUUAUAUUUAGUGUUGGGGUCCAUUGGGGGCCUUGUCCCAGUUUAUAUAUAGUUACUUGACUCAGUCACUUGCUAGAGAUUUUUGCAGACAGUUGUUUAGAGUUUGAUUGAUGUUGGGGGAACCUUAUUUCUCCGUUAUUGUUUAUUUUCAUAUUUAUGACCAUGUUUCCGAAUUAUUGUGUUUCUUCCGCAUUACUUUUAUCAUAUGAAUUAAGUGCAUGAUUACCAGAUAGAUAGAGGUGUUUCGGGCCUCCUUGGAUUGAAAUGCUCAUCACGGCCAGGCCCUGGUUUGGGUCAUGACAAACUUGGUAUCAAAUCAUAGUUCAUGGUCCCAGGGUGUCUGCAAAAUCGCGUCGGGUAGAGUCCUAUUUAUGGGUGUGUAGCGCGCCACACUUAUAAGUAGGGGGCUACUAGGCGUUUAUGAAUGUUUCUCUUCUUUGUGAUUUAGUUCGUACUUCAGAGUCUGAACUGUCCCCUAAUCAAUGAUCACUUGUGUUUCAGAAAACACAGUUAUGCCUUUACAUCGUAUCAUCAAUCAGAAUGCUCAAGAAGAUGAGGUCUGUCCCAUCCAUGGGAUACGGACCCAUAAUAGGGCUCACACUCCAGAAUUUAUCCCUACUUUGGGAGUCCCACCAAUCCCGACCAGUCCACCUUGGGCUCCGUGAACUAAUGCCAACCAUCGCCUAACUGCUCAGGGAGAUAUUUCAAAUACAGAAUUCAGACGGUCCAUUCAUAUGCUGACAUAGUCAGUAGCUAACUAGGCUCAAUGAUCAGAAGAUAUUGGGUCUGCAUCUGUUACGUAUGAGGCUACUAGAGUCAGACAUUUCAUGAAGAUGAACCCACCUAAAUUCAUUAGCACCAAGGUAGAGGAAGAUCCACAGGUGUCCGUGGAUGAGUUGGAAAAGAUCUUUUAGGUGAUGUGUAUGGAUGAGGUAGAAGGGGUGGAGCUAGAAACCUAUCAGCUCAAGGAUAUUGUGAAUCAGUGGUAUGCAGACUGGGAAGAUGCAAAAGGUGAAAAUGCUGAGCCCACAAUUUUGGGCAAAUUUGUGGAAGCUUUCCUUGAUCGAUUCUUUCCUCUAGAGUUGAGGGAGACCAAAGUGGAAGAGUUAAUAAAUCUGAAGUAGGGCAGUAUGAGUGUCUAGGAGUACACUUUGAAGUUUAAUAAUCUAGCCUGCUAUGCACCAGAGUUGACUAGUAAUAUGAGAUCCUGGAUGAGGAAAUUUGCAUUUGGCCUUGCUAAUAACCUGGUACUUGAGUGCCAAGGGGCUAUGUUGAAUAAGGAGUAAGACUUUGCUCGAUUGACCGCUCAUAUGCAGCAGGUGGAAGAGAAGAAGAAAAAGAUUGCUAAAUCUAGAGAGAAAGACAGACAGGCAAGAGAGCUCGAUCUGCGGACCAGCACCAGAGUCAUUCGUAGAGUGGUAACUGGGGUAAUAAGUGGUCGAAGAAGAAAAAGUUUUGAAAUAAUGCACAGUCAUGAGCCAGCGCCCCAGCACCUAGACCACCGACAGACAGACAAACUCAGAGAUUCCAGACUCUUCAUGGGUCCAAAGCUCCAGGUACACAGUCUCAGGGCAGUGUGGCCUAGCAGAAUCAUACUUAUCCGUGGUGCAAGGUUUGCGGAAGGAAUCAUCUAGGGAAGUGCUGGUUUAAGGGGAGAAACUGCUAUACUUGUGGAAAAGUGAGUCACCUUCAGAAAGAUUGUCCUUCUGCUAGAGUAAAUGUAGGGGGGAUGGGGUAAGGGGGGCUAAGUCCCAAGCUGCCUUCACAACUCCUUUUCCUAAGGGUGCCCCUUCAGCUGCCGAGAGCGAUCGCAAUCAGUUAUAUUCUUUGACUAACCUCCAGGAGGUGGAAGCUUCACCAGAUGUUCUCACCGGUAUGUUACGAAUAUUUUCUCAUGAUGUUUAUGUAUUACUUGAUCCCGGGUCUACUUUAUCUUUUGUGACCCCUUAUGUGGCUGUUGGUUUUGGGUUUGAGCUCAAAGUUAUUAUAGAACCCUUCUCUGUUUCUACUCCUGUAGGUGAUUUUGUUGUUGCUAGAAGGGUGCAUAGAAAUUGUGUCGUGUCUAUUCAUAGUAGGGAAACUGUGGCAGACCUUAUAAAACUGAAUAUGAUAGAUUUUGAUGCCAUCCUUGGGAUGGACUGGCUCCAAUCGUGUUAUGCCACCCUUGAUUGCAGAACCCUAAAGGUCACUUUUUCUUUCCCGAAUGAGACACCAAUUGUAUGGGCAGGGAGUUUUGUGGAGCCUAGAGGUCACAUUAUCUCUUAUCUUAGAGCCCGAAAUCUUAUCUCCAAAGGUUGUAUGUAUAAUCUAAUCCGAGUAAAAGAUUCAAAAGUUGAAAACCUUCCUCUGCAGUCAGUCCCUAUAGUGAAUGAAUUCCUAGAAGUCUUUCCCGAAAAUCUCCCAGGGAUGCCCCCUGAUAGGGAGAUAGAUUUUGGCAUUGAUGUGUUGUUAGACACUCUUCCUAUUUCUAUUAUUCCAUAUAGAAUGGCUCCCACAGAACUAAAAGAGUUAAAGGAACAGUUUGCAUACCUCCUAGGCAAAGGUUUUAUUCGUCCUAGUGUUUCCCCAUGGGUUGCACCUGUGCUCUUUGUGCGAAAGAAGGAUGGGUCCCUUCGGAUGUGCAUAGACUACCGUCAGUUGAAUAAUGUCACAAUCAAAAAUAAAUAUCCUCUUCCUAGGAUUGACGACCUUUUUGACCAGCUUCAGGGCGCCAAGUGUUUUUCAAAAAUAGACCUUCAUUCGGGUUAUCAUUAGUUGAAAGUUAGGGAGUUAGACAUACCCAAGACAACCUUCCAAACUCGAUUAGUCACUACGAAUUUCUAGUUAUGUCCUUCGGGUUGACUAACGCCCCUGCAGCCUUCAUGGAUCUUAUCAAUAGAGUGUUUUCUCAGUUUCUUGACCUAUUCGUCAUUGUUUUUAUUGAUGAUAUUCUGAUCUAUUCCAAGAGUAAAGAGGAUCAUGCCAAUCACCUUCAAAUUAUUCUUUAGACCCUUAAGGAUCAUCAGUUGUAUAUCAAAUUUUCUAAGUGUGAAUUCUGUUUAGAUGCUAUUUCCAUCCUGGGGCAUAUUAUGUCCAGUGACGGGAUAAGAGUGGAUCCCCAAAAAGUUGAAGCAGUGAGAAAAUGGUCCAGACCUACGACUCCAAUUGAUAUUCAGAGCUUCUUGGUUUGGCGGGGUAUUACAGAAGGUUCGUAGAGAGUUUUUCUUCCAUAGCUGCUCCACUUACUAAACUGACUUAGAAAAGGAUGAAGUUUGUGUGGUCUGACUUAUGUGAAAACAAUUUUGAGAAGUUGAAGGACAAGCUGACUACUACUCCUGUUUUGACCCUUCCCGAGGGUGUAGAUGAUUUUUUGGUUUAUUGUGAUGCGUCCUAUGUGGGACUUGGUUGUGUAUUGAUGCAGUGUGGUAAGGUGAUAGCUUAUGCAUCUAGGCAGUUAAAGGUGCAUGAGCGUAAUUACACCAUUCAUGACUUGGAGUUAGUAGCCGUGGUGUUUGUACUUAGAAUCUAGAGGCACUAUCUCUAUGGAGUGCAUGUUGAUAUUUAUACUGACCAUAAGAGUUUGCAGUAUGUUUUCUCACAGAAAGAAUUGAACCUCAGGUAGAGGCAUUGGAUGGAGCUUUUGAAAGACUAUGAUAUGAGUCUGCAUUACCAUCUGGGCAAGGAAAAUAUUGUAGUCGAUGCCCUCAGCAGGUUGUCUAUGGGCAGCCUUUCUCAUGUCGAAGAAGGAAAGAAAGAGAUGGUGAAGGAUAUUCACCACCUUGCAAAUCUGGGAGUGCGACUCUUAGAUUCCAAGAUGGAGGGGUGAUUGUUCAUGAGUUAGAUAAGUCAUCCCUUUGUGUUGAAGUUAAGGAGAAGCAGGUUGAAGAUCCCAUCUUGAUACAAAUCAAGAAAGAUAUGGGUCAACAAAAGGUUAUGUCGUUUGAAAUUGGUGAGGAUGGUAUUCUGAGAUUUUAGGGGAGGUUGUGUGUUCCGAAUGUUGACGGACUGCGGGAAAGAAUCCUUGAUGAGGCGCACACUUCGAGGUAUGUUGUUCACCCAGGCUCUACUAAGAUAUACCAUGAUCUGAAAACCUUGUAUUGGUGGAAUAACAUGAAACGUGAUGUAGCUGAUUUUGUGUCCAAGUGUUUGAACUGUCAACAAGUGAAGGUAGAACACAUGAGGCCAGGUGGUACUUCCCAAGAGAUAGCCCUACCUUUAUGGAAGUGGGAAAUGAUAAACAUAGACUUCAUUACAGGACUUUAGAGAUCCCGAAACAAGUAUGAUUCUAUAUGGGUGAUUGUAGAUCGGUUGACAAAGUUAGCCCACUUUUUGCCUGUGAGGACUAAUUAUUCGGGAGAGGUUUAUGCUAAGAUUUGGAUUGAGGAGAUAGUUCGAUUGCAUAGGGCACCAGUGUCCAUUAUAUCCGAUAGAGGUACGCAGUUUUCAUCUCAGUUUUGGAGAUCCUUUCAGAAGGGUUUAGGUACACAAGUGAAUUUGAGCACAGUUUUCCACCCUCAGAUGGAUGGGCAAGCUGAGCGUACCAUUCAGACCCUCAAAGAUAUGUUGAGGGCAUGUGUCAUUGAUUUCAAAGGUAGUUGGGUAGAUCACCUGCCACUGGUUGAAUUCGCUUAUAAUAAUAGUUACCAUGCAAGCAUCAAGAUGGCUCCUUUUGAGGCUUUGUAUGGGCGGAGAUAUAGGUCUCCGAUAGGAUGGUAUGAAGUGGGUGAGACUCAGUUGUAUGGGCCUGAUCUUGUUCAUCAGGCGAUGGAAAAAGUGAAGAUCAUUAGAGAACGACUUAAGACUGCUCAGAGUCGUCAGAAGUCCUAUGCCGAUGUUCGGAGAAGAGAACUAGAGUUUGAAAUUAGUGAUUGGGUGGUUCUCAAGGUUUCUGCUAUAAAAGGGUGUUUCUCAAGGUUUCUCCUAUGAAAGGAGUUAUGCGGUUUAGAAAAAGGGGUAAAUUGAGUCCUCGCUAUAUAGGGCCAUAUCAGAUUCUAAGAAAGAUUGGGACAGUUGCUUAUGAGCUAGAAUUGCCUGUAAGUUUGGGUUCCGUUCAUCCAGUAUUCCAUGUAUCCAUGUUGAAUAAAUGCAUUGGAGAUCAUUCUAUGGUAUUGCCAGUAGAGGGUAUCAAGGUGACAGACUCCUCGUCUUACGAAGAAGAGCCCAUUGAAAUUUUAGAUGGCCAAGUUUGAAAGCUAAGGAGCAAAGAGAUAGCCUCAGUAAAGGUAUUGUGGGGGAAUCAGAAAGCCGAAGAAGCCACUUGGGAGUCAGAAGAUGACAUGAGAAUUAGAUAUCCCAAUUUGUUUGCUUUGAUAGAGGAUGAGAUAGAAGGUACUAUUCCUAUCUUAUCUUUCCUAGUCCUUUAUUAUGCUUGAAAUCGUGCCCGUCUGUGUCCCGCAUCAUCAAUCGGGGAUGAAUGAUCCUAAGGGGGGAUAAUGUAAUGCCCCGCAUUUCGGGCUACAAUAAAGAUUAUGAUUUCGAUGCGUUGAUAAUCCCGAAGCCAUAAAAUCCUAUACCAAUACAGGAUGUUAAUUAUUUGUGUAGCAUGUGAAUCCAUUCAAGCUUGAAUUUAUACCAUAGAGGUCCUUCAACUCAUGGACGAGUUGAAACUAUUUCGAUCGACUAAGUUUUAGUGGAUGUUGUAAAGUGUGUCAGAUUCCAUCGACCAUAACUCUCUGUAUAUGUCGAAUUAGGAAGCCUACUAUGUGUCAAUUGAUAGGUAUUCGAGUUAGCUUUCCAACGAUACCAAUUUGGCUAAAAUUCGACACCCGAGUAAGAAGUUAUGGCCUUUCAUAUUGAUAUGCGUCGCCUAACCAAUCGCCCAUGGCCACUGGAAAGCAUAGGCAAUAGUUUAGGCGGUGCCUAUGUAAACAUAGGUGAUAGCCUAGGCGGCGCCUACAUAAACAUAGGCAAUGGGAUGGGUGGCGCCUAUGUAAAGAUGUAAAGAAUUCUAGUGACUCCGUUUUGGGGACAAAGUGGUCCUUUUCCACCCUUACUUAUCCCUAAAACACGAAAUUCAGUUCCAAGGACCCCAAAAUACACCUUCAUUCGUCAAAACUGUUCAAAGAUUUUCUUUAGGGUUUCAAAAUAAAAACCCAAAUACUUCAAGAUUCGACCGUAGGUUUUCAAAAAUAAUUACAUAUUUGGAAUCACCAAUCUGCAAGCUUCAAGAAACAUCUAUUAUCCUUGGAAAUAGAGGUACGUGGGGUUAUCUUAAAAUCUCAUGGGUGUAGUUUUUAUGAACAUGCAUGCUUUUAAAUGGGGGUUUUCAAUCAAAUUCUAAUAACUUGCUUUUAAUAUGAUUUCUAAGUCAUCUUUCUUUAUGUCAUCGGAAUUGUUUGCCUAUAUACUUCAAUGGUUGAAACCAUUCAUAUGUGAUUUGAGAUUUUGCAUGAAAGUUUGAUAAAUAUGAAUGAUAAAUUGCUUUCAAAUUCCCAUGAUGAUGUCUUGAUACCCCAUAUCAUAUUGUGACCAACAAAAGAGAGCAUGAAUUUGAAAUAAAUAUUGUUCACCACUUGUAAAUGAUUAAGCACCUUGGUUUUUACAUGAUAAUGCAUCUGUGGAAGUGAUAUUAAUGACUUGCAAGUCGGGUAUGACGAUACCCUACAGAACAUGAUAUGUGAUUGUAUCAUAUGAAAUUUGAAUGCAUUGAUUUUACAUGAGAAAGGUGGAUGAUCGAAGAAGGAGUUUAAGAGUAAGGGCUCAUCGCUUGAAAACGUGUUUGCCGACACGAAAAUUUUGGUACUAGGCUAAGUGAUCUUGUGUACUUGACUUCAUGUCAUUCCCAAAUUGGGACUGUAGGUAGGAGCCCGGGCUAAGUGAUCUUGGGCACUACCAUUAGGUUGAGACACCAUGCNNNNNNNNNNNNNNNNNNNNNNNNNNNNNNNNNNNNNNNNNNNNNNNNNNNNNNNNNNNNNNNNNNNNNNNNNNNNNNNNNNNNNNNNNNNNNNNNNNNNNNNNNNNNNNNNNNNNNNNNNNNNNNNNNNNNNNNNNNNNNNNNNNNNNNNNNNNNNNNNNNNNNNNNNNNNNNNNNNNNNNNNNNNNNNNNNNNNNNNNNNNNNNNNNNNNNNNNNNNNNNNNNNNNNNNNNNNNNNNNNNNNNNNNNNNNNNNNNNNNNNNNNNNNNNNNNNNNNNNNNNNNNNNNNNNNNNNNNNNNNNNNNNNNNNNNNNNNNNNNNNNNNNNNNNNNNNNNNNNNNNNNNNNNNNNNNNNNNNNNNNNNNNNNNNNNNNNNNNNNNNNNNNNNNNNNNNNNNNNNNNNNNNNNNNNNNNNNUGUAUUUAUAGUUACUUUACUCGUUCAUUUUUUAGAGAUUUUGGCAGAUAGUUGUUUAGAGGUUGAUUGAUGUUGGGGGAACCUUAUUUCCCCGUUAUCAUUUCUUUUCAUAUUUAUGACCAUGUUUCUAAAUUAUUGUGUUUCUUUCGCAUUACUUUGAUCAUAUGAAUUAGGUGCAUGAUUACCAGACAGAUAGGGGUGUUUCGGGCCUCCAUGGUUCGAAAUGCUCAUCACGGCCAGGCCCUGGUUCGGGUCAUGAAAAUAGAGAUCCCAGCCUUGUCAAGUUGAAAAAGUCAGUUCAGGAUCAGAAAGUAGAGGUUUUCUCCCAAGGAGGAGAUGGUGUUUUGUGUUGUCAGGGUCAUCUCUGUUUUCCAGGUGUCGACGACUUAAGGCAACAAAUUCUUGCAGAAGCUCAUGGUGUAUCCUACUCUAUUCAUCCAGGGCCCAUAAAGCUGUAUCACUACUUACGAUAAAUCUAUUGGUGGAGUGGGAUGAAUUGAGACAUUACAGAGUUUGUGGCUAAGUGCUCUAUAUGUCAGCAAGUUAAGAUAGAGCAUCAAAAGCCUAGUGGGUCCAUGCAGGAGUUCAGUAUUCCUACUUGGAAGUGGGAAGUUGUGAACAUGAACUUCGUGAUGGGUACCUCGAACUCGUCAUCAGCAUGAUUCAAUCUGGGUCAUUAUAGACAGAAUGAACAAUCAGCUCAUUUCCUUCUAGUUCAUACCUCUUAUUCAACCGAGGAUUAUGCUAAACUCUAUAUCAAUUAGUUGGUCAGAUUGCACGGUGUUCCAUUGUCCAUUAUCUCAGACUGAGGUACCCAGUUCACCUCUCAUUUUUGGAAAGCAUUCCAAAAGGGUCUCGGUACCCAAGUUCAUCUCAGUACAACCUUUCAUCCUUAGACAGAUGGUCAAGCAGAAAGGACCAUUCAGACUUUAGAAGAUAUGCUAAGGGCAUGUGCAAUUGAUUUCAAGGAAAGUUGGGAUGACCACUUGCCUUUGAUUGAGUUUGCAUACAACAACAGCUAUCAUUCUAGUAUUCAGAUGGCUCCAUUCGAAGCUCUCUAUAGUAUGAGAUAUAGAUAUCCAAUUGGUUGGUUCGAAGUUAGUGAGGCCUUAGUCAUAGGUCCUGACUUAGUAUUCGACGCCUUAGAAAAAGUCUGGUUAAUCAGAGAAAGACUCAGAGCUGCUCAGAGCUGACAGAAGUCUUAUGCAGAUGUUUGUAGAAAAGAUCUUAAGUUUGAGGUUGGUGAUCAUGUCUAUCUAGAGAUCUCUCCCAUGAAGGGAGUGAAUAGAUUUGGCAAGAAGGGAAAGCUCAGUCCACGAUAUGUCGGUCCCUUCAAGAUUCUCAGUCGUUUUGGCAAGGUAGCUUAUGAGCUCUAAUUGCCUUUAGAUCUAGCCUCAGUUCAUCCAGUAUUCCAUGUCUCUUUGCUCAAGACAUGUGUAGGUGACCCACCAGUCGUAGUCCCUAUUCAGAGCAUUGAUGUUCAGAACAGUCUCUUAUGAAGAGAUUCUAGUCGAAAUCUUAGACUAUCAGACUCGUAGAUUGAGGAACAAAGAAGUCCCUCUAGUUAAAGUUCUUUGACGAAAUUAGUCCAUCGAGGGAGAUACUUAGGAAGCAGAAGCAGACAUGCGUACCAAGUAUCCUCACCUCUUCUCCGCCAACUCAGAUCAAGCUCAAGGUAACAGUUCUUCUUAAGCUUACUCAGUUUCAUGAUCAGUGUUCAUCACGAACUAGGUAUUCAAUUUCAUGUUCAUGUUACCAGUAUAAACUUGGUAUCAAGUACCAUUGCAUAUUCAGUCAUGUAUUUAUGUAUUAGCUCAGUCAUAUAAUUAUGCAUCAUAAAUUCAUUCUCAUUGUGAAAAACUUAGUUCCUCAGAACAUUCUGUCAUGCAUUCACGAAUCAGUUACACAUACAUCAGAUAUGCAUUUUCAGUAUGUUAUGUUCAGCUUGUCAGUCAUGAGAUCAUGUUCCAGUUAUUUAUGUUUAGUUCAAGUUCAACUUAUUGUUUUCCCUCUCAGUCAGUCUCAUUUGAGGAUGAAUGUCCUCAAGGGGGAGAUAUUGUAAUACCCCAAAAAUUUCUAGCAAAUUUCAUCCUAAAAAUGCCUAGUAUUAUCUUCUAAAGUGAAGGAUAAUUAUUCCAUGAGGAAUAAUCAAGAUUUUCACUUUUUCUCAUGUGGAAAAUUCAAUAAGCUUUCCAUCGAUAUAUGAUUAGGUUAAAUUCGAUAACCGGGUAAGAAGUUAUGACUAUUUCAAGUUACCGUUAUAAAACAAUGACAUAUUAGUCAGUGGCGUACCGUGCCACAAGAGGAAAUGGCAUUUGGCAAUUUUCAGUAGGUGUCCGCGAUUAUGGCACGUUGUAUCAGCACUCAAAUUUAGAAUUGUCCUUUUUCCAGUGUCUCAACGCGAUUUCCCCCGCAUCGCGCCAAAGUUCCAGGUCAUGAAGGAAGGGGUAACGCAAUGGCUCGCCGUCGCUCCAUUCCUCAAUUUCCCAAUUGUCAAUUUCAGUGACAUGACGCGAUAACGCUGCGUCGCACCAGGGGCUCAGUUCAGGAAAAUUUUAUUGAAAUUAAAUGACGCGUCCAGGGUUAAAAAGGUCAAUUUCCUACCCCUAUUUAAAUCUAAUAACACGUCAUUUAGCUAUUCUUCACCCAAAAUAUACUAUUUUCUCUCAAGUUUCUCUCAAGAACAAGCUAGGGUUUCUAUUGGAGAUUUAAAUUCAAGAAGGUUUCACCAUCAAUCUUCACGAAAUCACGAACUAAGGUAUGCAUAGUGUUCAUUCAUGGACUCCUUUCGUCCAUGAAGCCCAAGAAUCCCUUUUCUAAAUUCAAGUUAUGGAUUUUCUUAUGAAGUUCAUGAUUGAGCUACUUUUGUUCAUGUUGAUAAUGAGUAAUUGAAUUGUAUUCCAUGAAUGAGUGUUAAAUUUCAUAUGGGUUGAUUUGUAGCAGUAUAGAUUCAUGAAACCCUAGGACUAAACCCUUGAAUGAUUAAAUUGGAAUUGAAUCAUGACAAUUAAUUGUUGUAUGAUGUUGUUUACAUAUUCGAUGCCUACUAUGUGUUUGGUUGAAUGCCUAGAUGAAGAGAAAGUGUCUAAUUAGCAUGAUAUCAUGAAAUCCCUAUGUACGUACAAGCUUAUGCCUAUCACAUGUUUGAAGAAAUACUUCAGUAAAUGUAUUAUGAUGAUUAUUAUGUAUUCAAGUAAGUCAUGCUUUGUCAGUUUCCUUUUAGUAUUGAACCUUAUGGCCUUUCAGUGCAUGUUUCCACAUUAUUCAGUAUUUUAUGUAGUAUACAGGUACAAAUAUUAAUCAUGGGUUACCUUGUAGUCCUUUGAGGUCAUGAGCACCGUAUAGCAUUCCGAUUCAGCAAAUCGGGGUGUUACAUCUUUGUGAAGAUUCCCUUGAAGAAAAGCAUUAUUGACAUCUAUUUGAUGUAAGGGCCAACUUUUUUGUACAGCGACAGUAAGGACGGUUCGAAUUGUGGUAGGUUUAACCACUGGACUGUAUGUUUUCUGAAAAUCAACCCUAAGCAUUUGUAUGAACCUUUUUGCAACCAAACACGCUUUGCACCUAUCAAUGGAGCCAUCAGGCUUGGUUUUUAUUCGAAACAACCAUUUACAAGGAGCAACAUUUCUGGUAUGGUCCGGUGGAACGAACUCCCAAAUCUGAUUUUUUAUUAGUAAAUCAUACUCAACUUUUAUAGAAUCUCUCCAAUAUGACAAUUUUUGUGCUUGUUUGUGGGUUACAGUUAAAUGGGUACAGGCUGGGUUAUUUGGGCAGUGUAGUCAACAAUUUUCCGUCGCUUGACAAUAAUAUUUUGUAACCUUAUCACUACACGAUUUUGCUCUAUUUGUGGAACUUGAACUAUGGGUGCAGUGGGUGGAGGCAAGUCAAGAGAGAAACUUCUUGCACCUCUGUUAGCAUGGAAGGAUCGUGAUGACUUUGGGCGACGUGAUAAAAAUGAGUAACUGGUGGUCGACGAUGUAGAGAGCUAGGAUGCACAAAGAGGGCUAGAGGUUAGCUUUGAAAUGGGAAGUAGUUUGAGGAUUACCUGAUUCCGGAGUGGUGAAAUGAUCUGACUCUGGGUUAUUUCCCUGCGCAACACAAAUUAAGCAGGUAUCUUGGCGUGCACCUGGCUUGAACGGAAUGGUGGGAGGAAGCAAGGUGAGAUCUGGAUUAAUAAUGGUGGAACUAAUUUCCAUAUCUGGAUUUUGAUGUUGUAAAGUGUUUUCCCAAUUUAAAUAUGAAAAGUUUUGUUUUAAGUGAGAAAAAUAUUAUCAAAUGGGAAAAUUUCUUCUAAAAAUUUUACAUCCCGUGAGAGAAAAAAUUUAGAGCUGGUGGGGUCAAAACACUCAUGGCAAUGAUGAGUGAUGGAGAAACUGAUAUAAACACAAGGUUUGGAAUAUGGUUUUAAUUUAUUUUGGGUGUAUGGUCAUAACCAUGGGUAUCAUAGACAUCCAAAUGUAUGGAGAGAUUCAUAAGCAGGUGUUUCAUUGAAAAGAACUUCAAAUGAGGACUUGUUAUCAAGAGUAGGAGUGGGCAGACGAUUAAUCAGAAAGAUAGCAUGAUGGCAGGAAAAUGUCCAAAAAUUGGAGGGAAAACAUUCUUGAUAAAGCAAUGUUUUGACGGUCUCAAUAAGGUGUCAAUGUCGUCUUUCACCCAGUGCAACCCUUUGACGAGUAUGGGGGAAGAGACAAGGUGUUAUAUGCCAUUAGAAUUAAGGUAUGGUUUCGUGACUUUAUAUUCUCCGCCCCCAUCAGUGUAAAGUGUGAGCAUUUUGUGACCAAAAUGUUUUUCAAGCACAAGAUGUAAGCUUUGAAAGUGUUUUUGCACUUCAUGUUUGUUUUUCAUUGAGUAUAACCAAAUGUAUUUGGUAUACUGAUCAACAAAUAGACAAUAGUAGCGUAUUUUAUCAAUAAAGAGAAUAGGGGAUGGACCCCAUAAAUCAUUGUAAAUUAUUUCUAAUGGAUGUUUGCUGGACAAAGUGUUUGAAUAAAAGGAAAAUCUAUGAGAUUUACUGCAACAACAAGAAUUACAAUAAGUAAACUUGUCUUUUGAAGAAUAUGAAAGACGGAAACUGUUUAAAAUGGAAAGCAAAACUCGAGAGUGGUUUUCGAUGCCAUAGAUGUAAGGAAGGUCCAGCAAUGGCAAUGUUGAUGUUUGGUCGAGUCAGGGACAACCAUUCAUAGAGACCUACUUAAUUUGGGUCGCGCAGAAAAGGUUCUCCCAUAGUCAUAUCCUUCACAAGAAAAGUAAAAGGAAAAAAUUCUAUGGAGGUUAGAUUUUCUUUGCAAAAUUGAUGCACUGAAAUGCUUUUGCAUUUGAUAGCUGGAGCGCACAAAAUACUAGAAAGUUUGAAGGCAGUAUUUGAUGCAGUUAAGUGAGUAUUACCGGUUUGAGUAAUCGAUAUCACAUUACCAUUGCCCAUUGUCACUGCGUCCAGACCUUCAAAUUCUUGAUAAUUGUGGGGUGAGUUGGUACCCAAGGUGAUGUGGUGAGAUACACCUGAAUCAAGAAUCCAGGGGUCACUCGGUGUUGUGUGCGCCGCAAAAUUUGCUUUUGCUUCAAGGUGGUUAUCGAAUCGAGAGCGAAAAACAUUUGCUAUAUGCCCAAAUUUGUCACAAAGUUGACAGCGUACUCUUGAUGAUUGGUGUGGAAAGUUACGCCACUGAUAAUUAUCCAUUGAUUACGCCACUGGGAAUUAUCCAAUGGAUACUGAGAAUGAGUGCUUUGAUUAGGCUGCCUAUAUUGGGGAGGCCAGUUAUUGUUGUUGGAUGGGCGUCUAUUGUUGCUAGGGCUAAUGGAGCUGAUGGAAGAUUUGGCACUCGUUGAGCAACAGCUGAAGUCUUCUUGAGGUCCUCAGAGGAAAAGUUCAUGAUCAAGAAGCUUGUCAAAAUGUUCGUCAUAGCUAAUAGGAGGGUCCCUUGCCCGUAUGGCUGCAGAGAUCUCGCGGAAUUCUGACUCGAGUCCACUCAGUAUAUUCACCACUAGUUUUUCAUUAUUAAACAUUUAUUGAAUUAAAGACUAUUUGGGAGGACUAUAUUUUUGCCUUUGCUCCUUGUGUUAUGUUCACCAAUUCCACAUCAGAGGAAGAUUGGAAGUAGACAAUAGAGAGUUGCUCCUUUUCUCGGCCUUUUGGCUAAAGAUCAAGUUUAGUAUCGGUUCUUAUCAGUUUAAUAUCUGAUAUGUGGACCAUUGGUCUUCCCUAUAUUAACUCUAUUUUUUGAGGGGAAGGUCCAUUAAGGUAGCUUGCUACCUGGGCCUUCGUGCGUUGCUAAGUGUUGCACUACUGCUUUUCCCUGGCGUGCCCCACUAAAUCUAGUUUAAUCAUUGAGCAGUUUAUGAAAGGUGGUUCCGUGCAUCUCAACUAUUUCAUCGAAUCAUCACACACACCUACCACCUCUUAUGUAUUGAGUAACUAUGUCCACCAAGACUUGACAAUGCACAACUAAUCAAAUCAUCAGACACCUACAACCUCAUACAUAAAUAACUGUGUCCAAGACUUCGGACAAAUGGAAAGAAAUUGUUGAUGUCUUUUGUUUCUACAGGAAUUCGAACCUCAGUCUCACAUAAUUUUCACCCAUUUCAUUGAUAAAUAGAUAAAUCUUGAUGUUAGCCGGAAGACUACCUAAGAUUGUGCACCUUAGCUCAGAACGUGUGAUUGCUUAAUAAAGGUCUCACAUGUCGUAUUGAUAGAAACUUCGUCAGGUUGUUUUCAGUAUCUAUCUGCUUGAGCAGUGUUUCUAAAGUGGUGAAAGUUAGUUCAGUUGUAAUUGAAAGGCGAUCUUCCCGGUACUAUUGAUGAGUUGACUCUGAAAGCCGAGGAGAAAAAAGCCCCGCAGAGCAAACCUUCCUUCUGGGAUUCGGUCACUGAUUCAAAAGCAGGCGCUUUCAAAUUUUCUUUUGAUGAAAGACUAGUGAUGAAGUAUUCGCCAGUUAGUCCUGAGGCGAUGGACUUUUAGCAAUCUUCCUCAAACAGAUGAAGCUGCAAGCAUGAAAUUUUAUUUUUGUUUACAUGACGAGGGAUUAUUAAGGAAGUUGAUUGACAUUUUAUUCAUUGAUCUUGUAUUUUCCAAGAGGAAUAAGAAAAGGUCGUCCCCCCCCCCUACCACCUCUCACGUACUGAAUAAUUGUGUAGCCAAGACUUUGGCACAUGGAAAGAAAUCACAGAACCCCAGUGUCACAUGAUUUUCACCCAUUUCAUUGAUUGCUAGACACCUCUGGAUGCUAGUUAGAAGACUACCUUAGAAUGUGCACCUCAGCUCAGAACAUGUGAUUGCUUUAUAAAGGCCUCGCUUGUGGAAUUAUAACCUCACCAAGUGUGCUGAUAGAAACUUCUUCAGAUUGUCGUUUUCAGUAUCUAUCUGCUUGUGUGGUGUUCUCAAGUGGUGAAAGUUAGUUCAGCUGUAAUUGCAAGGCAAUCACAUCAACCAUCUUGUCUAAUCCUUCAUAGUCUGUGCUUGGAAAAUAGUCACUAUAGAGGAAGGUUAAGAAGGGUUGUGUAUUAAGUUCAUAUUAUGUCUUGAUGGAGCCAGAAAUCCCCUUCGAUAGAAAAUUUAUAUUCUGCUAAAUGAGCAAAAAAUGAAUUAUUUCCAUUAUCUAUAUAAACUGCUGAAUCUUUAGAACCAUCUCCAUCUUAAUAAAGAAAGGGAUAGCAAGAACAAUUGAGAACUCGGAUAACCUUGUGGCAUGCUGCCAAAUUUACUCUACUCUACACUAUCAUCUUUCUUCCUUGUGAUUCAACCACGACAGAUAUCUAUUCAACUGCGGCUACACUUAAACCAAGAACUUGUAUUGCUUCAAGACCUGAUUCUAUUGCAACAUUUACCGUAACAAGACGAGUGUCGAAAUAAAGGAAGAUUAUAUUGAAGCCGCAAAAGAGAUUUAAAAGGUUGUUACAGAUUACAAGGUCAAAUGUUAAUUGUGACAUUUUAGUAUUUUCUUGAAUCCACUUAUAUAAACUUUUGGCUCCGACACUGAUUAUCUUCUGUUAGUUUGUUCCUAACUUUAUGUUGGGAGGACUAUAUUUUUGCCUUUGCUCCUUUUGUUAUGUUCACCAGUCCCACAUCAGAGGAAGAUUGGAAAUAGACAAUAGAGAGUUGAUAUAAAAGCAAAGGCCUGUUGCAAUUCAAAAACAUACCUUUCUCGGCCUUUUGGCUAAGAUCAAGUGUAGUAUCUGUUCUUAUCAGUUUAAUAUCUGAUAUGUGGACUAUAGGUUCACACGAUAUUAACUCUAUUUUUUGAGGGGGAAGGCACAUCAAGGUAGCUUGCUGCCUGUUCCUUCAAGUGUAGCCUAAGCGUUGCACUACAGCUUUGUUCUGGCGCACCCCACCAAUACUAAUCCAAUGUUUUUGUAGUCUGUUGUCUCAGCCCAAGUUACUGUAAUAAUAAAGUUUUAUAAUGUACUUUAAUGUUAUGCAGCGGGAGUUGUUGGAGAAUGACCUAACUUAUAAGGUCCUUGUUGAGUGAACUCUACUUUUCAGUUUUGUUGUGCUAUGGAUCAGACGAUAUCUUCCUUAGACAUGUAACAUGAUCUCUUCUGUUGCCUAUAUUACUUUCUGUAGUUUGCAUAGUGUAUAUUGUUGUUGUAGUUACACUGGGUAUAUUGUUGUUCUUGUAGUUAGCAUCUCUUCUUGAUGCCUUUUUUGUUACAACCACUUACGUCAUCUUAAAAAGAAAAUCUUUCCUAGAUUAUGUAAAAGUAGGUAUUUGUUGAGUGUACUUAGUUCGAACUUAGCAUGUUUUUGUAAUUGUCUAGUAAUCGGCGGAAAUUUCUCACUGUACUUAUUUUAUUUCUGACUUCCUCUCUGUUUGUUUUUGUUUUUAGAGAUCAGGUUCAAACUACUAAAGCUAGUAGGAAGAGUCAAAGCGAAUUGGACUUUCCAAUAUUCGUAAGGUAGCACAGCUCCCGGUCUCUUUCCUGUCUAUUUGCGUUGCUAAGCUGACACAGGGCUUUGUUUAAUGCCCAUUUCAGGAGCGGGAAUAUUGAAUUGAAAGACCUUUCUUCUGCUCGCCACUUCUUUCGCUGACCCUAUUCACCUCCUUUGCGGAAUACCAGAAAAAGAGAUGAAUUAGCGGAUCAUAGGGGCUAAGUCGAAGCAUGCCUGAACCUUCUUUGGCAGAGAUGGAGUUAAUAUACAAUCCCACUUUGGAGACGAGGGAUUUGUUAGAGAAUGUACUUGGCCUGGUGGUCAAUGAAGUUGUUUGAGCAUCAUGACCUCUAGGUUUAAUUUUCAGCGAGACAAAACAGAUAAUAUGCAUAAUCAAUGCUUAACUGAAUUUUGCUUGAAUUCAUAGUCAAAGAGUUCUGAUGUUGAUGCCUAUCUGGUAGAGGAAGUUGUAUCAUCAGUUUUGCAGCGUUAAUUAUGCAGUUUUUGUUGUGCUAAGGAUGAGACGGCAUCUUCCCUAGACAUGUAAUACGAUCUCUUUUAUAGCUAUUACUUUCAUUUGCAUCUUCUUGAUACCUACAACUACAUCUAUGAGAAAGGAAAAGUCUUUCCUAGACAUGUAAAAGUAGGUAUUUGUUGAAUGCACUUGGUUUGAACUUGGCAUGAGAAUUUUUCAGGGCAACUCUCUCCCUACACUUGUGUGUCCAUUUAGGAUCACCACUGAUAUUUUUUGGACAGCUCUCUUCACGGAUCCUUGCUCGGGCCAAUAUCUAUUUUAUGGAGUAUCUUUCAACUGUCAUUUCGUCUUGCAGGAAGAAUUUACCGAAUGUUUUGGAGUUUCUAGGAAAGCCAAAUGCUUGCACUCUUAUUUCCGGAACAAGUGACAGUCAAUUUGCAUGAAAAAUUCAAGAAUGCCGUUGAAGCAAAUCUUCCUGGUACUAUUGAUGAGUUGACUCUAAAAGCUGAGAAGAAAAAGGCCCCGCAGAAUAAACCUUCCUUCUGGGAUUCGAUCGCUGAUUCAAAAGCAGGCGCUUUCAGAUUUUCUUUUCUGAUGAAAGGCCAGUGAUGGAAUCUUCAACUGUUAGUUCCCAGGCUGUGGACUUUUACCAAUAUUCUGCUCAAACAGAUGAAGCUGCAACAGUGAAAUUUAAUGUUUGUUUACUUGACAAGAGGGAUUAUCAAGGUAGUUAUUGACAUUUUAUUCAUCAUUGAACUUGUAUUUUUCCCAAGAGGAAACAAAAGUUUAGACAAAUUUUGGCAUCAAUUCUUAUCUUUCACUGUCAUAAUCACUGUUCCUUUGCUGUGUCAGCAACAUCCCCCCACCCCCGGCGUGUGUGUGAGAGAUGACGGUGCUAUUCAUGCACCUCAACUAUUUCACUGAAUCAUUGGACACCUACCACCUCUCUCGUACUGAAUAAUUGUGUCCACCAAAACUUUGACAAAUGGAAAGAAAUCACAAACCCCCGUCUCACAUGAUUUUCACCUAUUUCAUUCAUCGCUAGACAAUUGUGGAUGCUAGCUCGAAGACUACCUUAGAAUGUGCACCUUAGCUCAGAAUAUGUGAUUGCUUAAUACAGGUCUCACAUGGUGUGGUGAUAGAAACUUCUUCAGGUUUGUUUUCAGUAUCUAUCUGCUUGUGUGGUCUUCUCAGCGAUGAAAGUUUGUUCUGUUGUAAUUGCAAGGCAAUCACAUCAACCAUCUUGCCCGAUCCUUCAUAGUCCGUGCUUGAAAAUAUAGUCCACUAUAGAGUAAGGUUAGGAAGAAGGGUUAUGUAUUGAAUUCAUAUUAUGUCUUGAUGGAGCUAGACAUCCCUUUUGAUAGAAAAGUUAUAUUGUACAAAUGAGCAUACAGUGAAAAUUUUCAAUUAAAUAUGAACUGUUGAAUCCUUAGAGCCAACUUCAUCUCAACGAAGAUAGGGAUAGCAAGAACACUUGUGAACUUGGAUAACCUUGUGGCAUGCUGCCAAAUCUACUCUACUCUACACUAUCAUCUUUCUUCCUUGUGAUUCUGUUGUUCUACAGAACACGGAGAAGAAGAAAACGUUUGAGGAUAAAAAAUAUUCUUCAUAUUUAUUCAUCCACAUUUGAGAAUAUAAAUAAACAAAAAUACUCCUAUUCUAACUUCAACUAGGAUAGUAAUAAAUCCUAUUCUAUAUAAACUUAGAUAACUGAAGUUUAGAAAUAAAAUUACUAAACUAAAAAGAAAAUAACAGCAAAUAACUCAAAACUUCAACACUCCUCCUUGAGUUGUUUGCUGGUAACUCCAAGUUGUUCACGAAGAGUUUCUUUUGGAAGAGCUUUGGUAACUAUAUCAGUGAGUUGAUCCUCCUUGUUCUCAACAAUUUCAUUGAACAUCUCAAAAUAUUUUUUCACAAGGUUAUUCCUAAUCACCUUGAUAAUCUUGUUCUAUUGUAGCAUCUCACCAGAGAUGUUGAGAGACAAAUAAUCAGAAUCCACAACACCCUUCACAAAUCCAAGGUACUCGGGCAUAAACUCCUCACAGUUAUCCAUAAUGAACAUCUUCCAAACAUAUAACUUGAUGUUGUUCAUCUUUUUCCGAGCUUGAGAUUCUAACAUAGCAUCUUGCUUCAAGAAAACUGCAAGCUCCUCAUCUUCAGAAGCCUUGGCAAAAGUUGUACCAAAAUUAUUUGUACUGUGGAGGUAUUCAGCCCUUGAAUAUUUAGUCCAGAAUUCUUUUCUGGAACAAAAUUUAAAUAUGCUUUUCAGACAGCUGGUUUCUCAGAAAAAAUCUAAUGAAUAACCUCUGAAAAGUAUUCAAUCCCAUCAUCACCGUCAUUCUGAUCUUCAUGAAAUGUGAGGUCUGAAUUGGAACUAUUGUUACUGCCAGGAGGUCCGAAUGUGGUCCCACAAUAUGUGGAUUAUCCUUAGUUAUAGCCUCCUUAUUGUUUUGAAACUUUUGAGGAUUUUCUUGAGAAGUGAUUUGUUCUAUUUCAACAUCCAUUGUAGCGCAACAAUUUUCAUUUUUUCCAGAAUAAAAAAUAACAUCGUCAUCGUUGUGCUUGGUGGUCACAAUAACCUGUUCACAUUGACUACUUCAACAAAAUUGCUCAGAAUUUUGAGUUCCAAUUCAAUGGAAAACUUCAUUUUAUCAUUUCAACUGUAAUCACUUCUUGGUCGCUAGAAUCAGAAACAACACAUUUUUUAUCUUGGAACAGUAAUAUAUAAUAUCGUUCUAGCAUUUGACCAACACUCAAUAGAUUUUGGUCAAGAUCAGGUACCAAAAAAAUGUCUCGAAUAAAUUUAGUACCUUUGGGAGCUUUAAUUGUCACAGUUCCUUUACCAACAAUAUCGAACGUGGUUUUAUCGGCCAACUUGACACUACCUUCGGCAGAUUCCAAUUUCGUAAAAUAUUCUCGUUUUCUGGUCAUGUAUUGAGUGCAACCACUGUCCAGAAACCAUGUAUUUUUAUCAUUCAAUCUUGUUGCUGUCAUCGCUGUAAACACAAACUCCUCCUGUUCUUCAACGUCCAAAACGUUGGCUUUUUUAGUUUGUUGGUUGUUCUCCUUCUUCACUCUACAAAACCUUUCAAUAUGACCACGAUUAUUGCAAUAUCUAUACUGGAGAGGUGGUUUCUUCCCCCUUAAACCAACAAUCAUCCUCUUUAUGAUUGUUUUUUUCAAUACUUGCAUGGAGGGAAGUUUUCUUUCUUCUUGACUCCAUUGCGAGAAUCACAUUGAUUAUUUCUACUAGAAUUCGUCUAAGUUUCUGUGAUUUUACCUUCCUCUAUCAUCUGCAUCUUCCCUUUGAACUGUGUUUGAAGAGCAGUUUUAGUAGCUUCUCUAGCCUCAAGGAUCUUCUUUGCUCUUGAGCUUGAAGAGCAUGUAUAAGUUCUGAAGGUGACAGUUUUGUGAGAUCCUUCAAAUCUUCGAGUGAGGAGAUCUUUGAUUCAAAUCUUUCUGGCAAACUCACAAGAACCUUUUCCACGAUUCUUGAAUCUGUAAGCCCUUCUCCCAUAAGCCUGAUUUGGUUCACAACCUUCAUCAACUUGUUGGAGAAUUCUUCAAUAGUUUCUGAAUCCUUCAAAGAAUUUCAAACUCUCUUCUCAGAUUUAUCACUUUUAUUUGCCUAAUCUUGUCACUUCCAUAAAAUUCUUCUUUCAACUUGUCCCAAGCCUCCUUUACAAUCUCACUCGCCGAAACUCUAGCGAAAAUUACCUCCAAAAGUGUUGAUUGUAUGCAAGAGAGAGAUUUAAAGUUUUUUUCAACCUCUUCUAUGUGAUUCUUAAUUUGCGCCAUUUGGAUUAUCUGGGAAAGGAUUUAUCUCUCCUCCAAACUCUACCACUUGCCAUAGAUCAUAUACUCGCAAGUAUGUUCUCAUCUUAAUAGCCCAAAUUGGAUAAUUCUCUCUAGAAAAAAUUGGGGGCGAAGGAAUUGAAAAAUUGUUUGAAGCCAUAACAAUUAUGACUUUUACACAGAGUUAUUUUUGGGGUCUUCUCUCUCACAGAUCCCUCAAGAACUUGGAUCUUGAUACCAAUUGUUGUUCUACAGAACACAGAGAAGAAGAAAAUGUUUGAGGAUAAAAAAUAUUCUUCUUAUUUAUUCAUCCACAUCUGAGAAUAUAAAUAGACAAAAAUACUCCUAUUCUAUUUCUAACUAGGAAGGUAAUAAAAUCCUAUUCUAACUUCAACUAGGAUACUAAUAAAUCCUAUUCUAUAUCAACUUAGAUAACUGAAUUUCAGAAAUAAAAUUACUAAACUAAAAAGAAAAUAACAAUAAAUAACUCAAUACUUCAACAGAUUCAAUCACGACAGAUAUUUAUUCAACUGCAGCUACACUUACACCAAAGAACUCCUAUUGCUUCAAGAGCUAAUUCAAUUACAACAUUUACUGUGACAAGACGAGCGUUGAAAUAAAAGAAGAUUACAUUGAAGCUGCAAAAGAGGUUUAUAAGUUGUUUCAAAAUCACAAAGUUUAAAUCUUAACUGGGACAUCUUAGUAUUUUCUUGAAUCCUCUUAUAUAAAACUUUCGGCUCCGACCCUGUUAUCUUUUAUUAGUUCGUUCCUAACUUUAUGCAAACUGAUUUUUUACAAAAUAUUUAUUGAAUUAUAGACACUAUUUGGGAGGACUAUAUUUUUGCCUUUGCUCCUUUUAUUAUGUUCUUUAGUUUUAUGGCGUUCACUUCUCCCACACCAGAAAAAAGCAAGAAGCAGGCAGCAGAAAGUUGCUACAAAAAUGAAGGCCCAUACCUUUCUCGGCCUUUUGGCUAACAUCAAGUGUAGUAUCUGUUCUUAUUAGUUUAAUAUCUGAUAUGUGGGCCAUUGGUCCACAAGAUAUUAACUCUAUUUAUUUAGGUGGAAGGCUCAUCAAGGUAGCUUGCUACCUGGGCCUUUAAGGCUGGCGUGGCGCAGCCCACCAAAUCUAGGUAAAGAUUGUAGUAGUCUGUUGUUUUUGUAUCCUUUAUGCUUGUUUUAUUGAUUAUAUUAAACCUAUACUUCCACCACAUAGUUAAAAUAGCUUUUUAGCUAAAGCUGUGAAUAUUCAAAUGCAAUAAGCAUUUCUUUCAACAAAACUUCCUGUUUUCCUUUUUCAUCUUUGGCAUCAGUUAUUCAUCUUUCACUGUUGUAAUCUCUGUUCCAUUUGUUGUGCCAACAACAUUACCCUCCCCUUCCCCGGUAUGUGUGUGAGAUAACAGUGGUUUCUGUGCACCUCAACUAUUUCAUCGAAUCAUCGGACACCUACUAGCUCUAAAGUACUGAAUAACUAUGUCUACCAAGACUUUGGCACAUAGAAAGAAAUCACGAAACUCCGGUCUCACAUGAUUAUCACCCGUUACAUUAAUCUCUAGACACCUUUGGAUGCUAGCUAGAAGACUAGAAUGUCGGAGCCAAAAAGUUAUAGAUUGAUUCACUCACCCGCAAAACUGCUGCUCUAAUUCCUACCCAUUAUUAGGUUGGCUGAUGCACUGUUAAAGUGUGUGACCAUCUCAUCUAAACUACUAAGAUGUUAGAGAGAGCACAAUUUUAAUAUCUAAUUAUUCUCAACACGCCCCCUCACAUGCUGGGUCAAGCACGUGGAAUUUUUUUUUAAUAAUGGGUGGCGGUGAGAUUCGUUCCUAUGACCUCUGCCGGCUCUGAUAUCAUAUUGAGUGUGUGACCAUCUCAUCUAAAAUCUUAAGCUUGUUAGAGAGAGCACAAUUUUAUUAUUUAAUUAUAUUCUCAACAUGUACUUAACCUGGAAGUGAAGUCUGUAAGGUACACUCGUGGUAGUUUCAUAUUUCCCAGGGCUCAACCAUAUCUACAUUGCCACUUCUUUGAAGGCAUAUACUUGACAGCUAUUUUGGUAAUCUUGGGGCAGGCAGCAAUGCAUAUAUGAUGGGUAUUGCUGAUAAACAAUAGAACUGCAUGUCUGUUCUGCUUCAACUGAAUCUGCCGAUGCCAAUUAUGUGAAUCCAGUUUAUGUUGGAUUCAAUAUGUAUGGAAGAAGUGUGAAUGAAAAAUGGAGAGAAAAAUGGUGGAGGAAAGGAGACACUAAUUUAGAAAGUAUACUCCCAAAUUGGAAAGUUCACUAAAUCUCCUACAUUGGUGGGAGAAGAGAACUUUGGAGUGUUUUUAAUAAAGAUUACUUACUCCACACGGAUAGUGAGGCAAGAACAAGGUGGUGCUUCGCGUCGUCGUCGUUGUCUCUCUCGACUCCGAUCACUGAGAUCUAUCUUUUGGGACAAAAUUUAUUUGAUCAAAAUCUAAUCCAAAUAUACAAAAGGAAAAAUGACAGAAGCACAAGAAAUUUUUCUGUGUUUUAUCCUCCAUUUAUAUGCAUGUAUACAUCGAACUGUUGAAAUGUUACAAAGUGAACUGAUACACUGUUUCUAACUGAUGCAAUGUUAUGAACUGAUGCUUCAAAAAGAUACAACCAUUCAGUAAAAUGACACACUGAUUUAUGAAAUGGUAUGCCUGUUCAGAAAAGACACACUGUUUGGACGAAUAGACAUGAUUUUUCAGGAAAGGUUACACCUUUUUAAGAUAACCAUUGCCUCUUUUCAGAAGAGGCAUGUUAUGGCUAUAUAAACCUUCUUUCAUCCAUAGGUUUAGACAUGAAAAAUAAUUUCUGAAACACAAAUUCUUCUUGUCUUCAAAUAUUCUGUGUGAUCAAUCAAACUGUUGAGUGAGUUCGUAGAAUCUGACAAUUUGAGGUACUGCUAUUGUUUGGAUGGAAGGCCACUUUAUCCUGGGAGGAAGAUUCCAUAACCUCGGGUACAGUAAGGGAAAUUAUUCCUUAAGGACACUCCGUGAAGUCGAGUGAAUUGGUCUAAAUUUCUGUUUCAUCUUUUUCUGAAUAUUAACACACUUUUAAGAUAGAUUAUUCAUAAUCUAGUGUUGAAGGUGUUAAGAAACUUCAUAAGUUCUUGUCUUGAACUUGAACUUGCUUUGAAGUUUGUGUUGCUUAUAUACAGAUUCUUGUACCCGAACUACAUACAAAAUAACAAUCUUAAGGAAUAAUUUUUACUGUUUCAAAAUCUGUAUUACUUAUUUUUGGAGAUUAAAGCUAUAAGCUUUCUACUCCGUUUGAACUUAACUAGUGAUUUGAAGACAUAAAAUCUUCAUCACAAGUUCAAGAUCACUCGGUUGACAAUUGAAAGUAAUAAAAACUUCAUUAUUAACUAGAUGUCACGCCCCCUUUUUAACUCCGAAAAGAAUAUAUUUUAAGUUCGAAAGGGUUUUUAUUAUCAAAGUGCCAAAAUAUAAAAAAUUGUUUCAAAAGGACUAUUCACAUUCUUAUUCAGAGUCUCCAUUUGGCAUAAUCUGGUGUGUCAAGUCACCUUUUAAAAUCCUUUUCAAAACGAUUUGACUCUUUAAAACUGGUUUGCAAACAGAGACUCCGGCUAAGGAAUUCUGUUUACCGAGGGGAAGGUGUUAGGACCCCCUCAAUCCCGUGGUUCGACCACGGUCGCUUGAUGGAGCGUAUCGGCUAAUUUGACAUUACAAAUGUAUAAACCACACAAAAAACACAUAAACAAUCAAUCAAACAGAUGAAAAAAAUAAAUCCAAAAUAUAGUGUUCUGUCCAAUUAUACAGACCCAAAGAAUGAAAAAUACGGAAAUGUAAACCUACUCUAUUCUAAACUGAUCCUAAACUAAUCCAAAACCAAACUCCACCUGACGUUCCUGGCCUUGACCGUGCGCCAUCUUCAAGUACAAGAUACUUAAGGGCAUUCCUCAGAUAAAUCAAUAGAAAUCCCUUGAGGCAUUCCCCGGCCAAAUGAGAAUAAUUUUUAAUACGAGAAAAUCAAAGCAUUUAACCAAAUUUCAAACAUUCAACAAAACCAAAGAUUCUAAACUUUUCCUACCCAACCUACAUUUGCCUACCAAUUCUCAACUUAACAUCAUACGAUCGAGUUUAAUAUGUUCAAAUUAAUUAAGAUAAUAACAUAAAUAAACCAACAUAAAUUAGGAAUUUAACCAAUUUUAAUACCAACCCCCAAAUCCAAUCUCAACAAGAUUAAACCAAUUUAAUACGCAAUCCACCAAUCAAGUUUUCACAUCAAAAUCCAAUAAUAAAUAAACCACAACGAUGAAAAUUCAAGCAUUCCAAACCCAGAAAUCAUUCAUAACUAUGUGAAGAUUAAAAGGCGAAAGGAUAGAUUUGGACUUCAAGAGUUUUCGAUUGACUUAAAGGGAGAAGUAAGAGCCAUCUCGAGAGCCUCUAUGAGUACCAAAUCUUGACUAUGAUCCAAAUCCAACACGGAUAUUUCUGGAAUCCAAUUCGAACUCAAAAAUAGUGAACACCCAAAACAAAUACGAACAAAAUCGAGGCUGGUAGAUGAAAUUUAUCGGGACUAAACUAAAUCUCGCCAGAAUUAGAUACCUCACCGAAACUAGACCCAAAACUGGUCAAAUCGACUAAUUCGAUUUGGUUCAGGGUUGAAAUCCACAGUUACCGCCCCGUCAAAAUUUUGGUGAGCUCCAACGAUGACCGAAACAAGCAGAAAGAGAACACAAAAAUGUUUUUCCAAUGAAAAGAUACUAUUUUCUGGCCACGAACACCAGAACAGUUAACCCCAGUACCUUUUCUCUCCUUUCUUGCUUAAAUAUCUCUCCUAUUCUGUUCACUCUAUCUCCUUAUGAUCCUCAUUUCCACUUUAUUUUCUAUUUUCUCUCUCGAUUUCUUUUCUCUCCCUCACGCAGAUCUCUAUCUACCUUUCUCAGUUCUAUAUCAUGCCAUAUUUCCUCUCACUUUGAUGUCUCUGAAUCGUGUAUUAUGGUCAGUUUCUGAUAGUGUGUGUUGUGAGGAUGAGGGAUCGUAUACGGGUGAAGUAUGGUUAAUGGAAAAUUUUAGUGAAGGUGUCUAUGUGUAUCGCUGUUACUGUCUAUGUGGGAAUUGUAUAUGUGUAUGUGUUGUUGUGAUGUGAAUAUAUGGUCAGUCCUGAUGAAGAUGAUGAUGAUAAUGAAAAAUGGGUUCCUUUGUAAUGUAUUGAAAUACAUUCUCUUUUUUAUCUAUUAGUUCACGUGAGAAAGGUGAGGGUAGGGGGGGACACAUGGGUAGAGGGUAAGGGGGUGGUGAGGUGUCCACUUUUAAUUGGAGAGAUUGUUAGGAUAGGAUUAAAACAAGAUAAAAUUUGUUAAGGGUUAUUAUUUUUUAUAUUUUUGUGGGAUAUAAUCACAGGGGUGAGGGCGUGUGGUAAUGUGAGCUAAAAAUGAAUAAAAUUGGACUUGGGAGGGAAAAAAUUAGGUGUCUACAGCAUUCCCCCUUUGAAUGUAAACAUGAAGUGUUUUUAGACAAAGAAGUAGACAACGAGACAAAAUUUUAUCCCGACCAAUAUUAAAAAAAAUGAAACAAAAGGAAGGAGGGACACCAAGUCUUGACUUAGGACAUCCUACCUACCCAUGUUAUAAGGGAAUCAAGUGAAAGGUAUCUCAAAGGAUUGGAAGGAGAUGGACUAUACCGAGUUGGAGAGUCGAGUGAGGUCCCAUCGAGGUUUCGGUCGCGGCUCUAUCAUUACAUCAAAAAAUGAAAAAUUACAAGAGUUAAAAAGAUAAAUAAAAUUACAAAAGUCCUAUCUAUGCAACUUCUUUUGAACUCUUGACUUGAGUUUCAUCACCCUAUUCUUCAGGCGGGCUCCUGACUUGCAAUUUUUCAAUUUGUUGCUUGGCUUUCAAUUGUUUUACCUUGUUGCUUGACUUUCCAUUUAUUCUCCUUGAUCUUCGGGCGGGCUCCAAUGUUGCUUGAGUUAUCAAAACAAGGAAGUACAUCUCCUUACAAAUACCGCUUGAAUUACCCAAAUAAGGAAGUACAUCUUCUUACAGAUAUUGCUUGAAUUACCUAAACAAGGAAGUACGUCUCCUUACAGAUGUUGCUUGAAUUACCAAAAUAAGGAAGUGCAUCUCCUUACAAAUGCCGGUUGAAUUACCCAAACAAGGAAGUGCGUCUCCGUACAAAUGCCGCUUGAAUUACCCAAACAAAGAAAUGUGUCUCCUUACAAAUGUUUCUAGAAAUACCCAAAUAGGAAAGUGCGUCUCCUUACCAAUGCCUAUUGAAUUACCAAAACAAGGAAGUGAGUCUCCUUACCAAUGCGGCUUAAAUUACCAAAACAAGGAAGUAUGUCUCCUUACAAUGCUGCUUGAAUUACCCAAACAAGGAAGUGCGUCUCUUUACAAAUGUUGCUAGAAAUACCCAAAUAGUAAAGUGCAUCCCCUUACCAAUGUCUCUUAAAUUAAAAAAACAAGGAAGUGUGUCUCCUUACCAAUGCCGCUUAAAUUACCAAAACAAGGAAGUAUGUCUCCUAACCAAUGCUGCUUGAAUUACUCAAACAAGGAAGUGCGUCUCCUUACAAAUAUUUCUUGAAUUGUCCAAACAAGGAAGUGUGUCUCCUUACAAAUGUUGCUUGAAUUUCCCAAACAAGGAAGUGCAUCUCCUUACAAAUACUGCUUGAAUUACCAAACAAGGAAUUGUGUCUCCUUACAAAUACCGCUUGAAUUACCAAACAAGGAAGUGCAUUUCCUUACAAAUGUUGAUUGGAUUUCCCAAACAAGGAAUUGUGUCUCCUUACAAAUACCACUUGAAUUACCCAAAUAUGGAAGUGAGUCUCUCUACAAAUGCUACUUAAAUUACCCAAACAAGGAAGUGCCUCUCCUUACAAAUGUCACUUGAAUUUUACAAGGAAAUGCAUCUACUUGAAAAGGAAGUAUGUUUCCUAGAGAUCUUAAAUUAUGAGUUUUACCAUGGUUUUGAUUACCAAACUUUUUCAACAACAUUGCCUCUUGCAUUUGUAGAAGUGAGAAAUUAUGGUCUUUGAUGUUUAGGCUCCAAAAUCCUUGAUCUGAAUGUAACAUGUGUUCCUGUUUCAUACAAAGAAAACUUGUGAGUUUAAAAAUAUGGUGGCUGGUUUGUGGCUUUAGAUUUUGCAGCAAUUGCUCUUGCCUUCGUCACAUUUAACCUUGAUUCCGACCAUUAGCAUAUGUCACUGACUUGUUGUAUCAUUGACCCAAACUCAGAUUAUUAAGAGUGACUCUGAAACAAACACAAUAUCUCUGCUUUGCCGUGUUUCUCAGAUAAACCCUUUGAACCUUGGUAUUUCCAUGAGUUGCCAGACUUGUCAGUUGACAAAAAUUUUUGCAUGUCUUAUUUUGGCUCACAAUCAUGUCUCUUUCAUGUGUUGGCCUUUUGUCUUGCUUUGCGCAAUUGAAGAAGCUGGUAGCCAGUUUUGAAAUCUUUUCUCACUUGUUUUGAUAUGGACUUGACUCAAACACAAGAGAAAAAUGACGAUGACUUUUAUUUGGAUAACUGACUCAAGAAAACAAAAGAAGAAACAAAAGACAAUGAAUGUCCCCAUUUGAAACAAAAGAAAUGAAAAAUUUAUCUAGAAAUGACAGUCAACUCUAAUGAUUAUGUCAUGCAUUUUGGAUUAAGCUGCCUGAUCUUUCCAUCCAACCUUUCUACCAAUUGUUGUUGAGUUAAUGGACAUGAAACUGAGUUGUUUCUUUAGGUCAAUUGACACCUUGAAGGGUUUUUGCCAACAAGCCUCUCUCAUUCUUUUUUUCUCAGUUCAUCAUUGUCUUAUGGUGUCUGUGAGGGUUUUUUCACCAAUGAGACUCUUAUUUUCAUUUUUCUCAACUCACAAUCAUUUUACAGUGCCCGUGAGUGUUUUCACCGAUAAUACUCUCUCAUUUUUAUCUCUCUCGACUUACCAUCACCUUAUGGAGCCCGUGAGGUUUUUCACCAAUAAGACUCUCUCAUUUUUAUUUUUCUCCUAUUUUCUUAUGUUGAGGAAGACAAGUAGUUCACAAAAUACGUCAUCAUAUCCCUUGCAUGCUUAGCCUUAACAUUCUCAAAGAUUGAUCCAAAGGUCUUUCUUUGCUUGUACCUUGGCUUUUGGAUUGGGUUAGAAAGAAAGGAUGACAUGAGGCUCAAACAACACUUGAAGUGGUGUAGGACUUACAACUUUUGAAAUCGACUCAAACAAUGAGGAUUAACUCAUGCCCCAGUUUCUUUAACUUGGUAAUUCUAAAUUGUUUAUUUGGUUGGACCGAGCCCGAAGUAGGGCAGCCUAUGUAUCUCACCCUCGAGAGGGGAGAAUCAGGUCAUGCAUAGUUUUGGCAGCUUAUUCUUUUGAUUGAUUCUAAAUUUUGUUUCUUUUUUUUUUCUCUUUUUUACUUGGGAUUUUUUUCUGACCCUAUUUUCGACACUUUUCUCUUUUCUUUCCUUUUGGACACAUUUGUUUUCUCGACACUUUUCUUUUGAGUUUUACUGACUCUAUCUUGAUUCCAAAAGAGAGGUAUGAAAGAAAAUAGGACUAAAGCUGAAAUGGGGUUGCCAAAGGAUGACACAAUGUUUAGAUAUCAGAAUGAAAUGCCUUCUUCAUAUUAAUCCUUAAAAAUGCAAGUACAUAUCAUGAAAUAUGAAAGUGAAAGAUGAAGAUCAUUUGUGACAUCUUUUGCAGCAUUAACUUUGACUGAGUCUGUGCGUCACUAUUUCUUCUGCGCUUUUCUAGCAUACAACUCCACUUUUGUUGCAUAUUCUUCACAUUGAAUGACUCAUGAUUUUGUGAAGCUGAUUUUUGUUCUGUUCACGUAGCCACUAUUUGACCUAAUUGAGAUAUGUCUUUCAAUUGAUGACCAAGUGAUUCUUGUGAUUCUCAAAACAAUUGCCUUAAUUUUCGAAGAAGGCUUCAACUUGUCACCAAAUAUCUCAGAACUCUACAUACUUUCUCGGAUGCUUUUUCUAACUUUAGCCCUCUGAUUCAAAGUUCAUACUCAAAUUGGAUUUUAAGAUCUAGCUGAAAGUUCCGUUAGUAUGUCAUAUCACUAGAGCCAACAUAAAAAUGUACUAUGUAAAUAAAACUAACAAAUGACUUAAAAUGAGACAAAAUGACAAGGGACACCACAUUUUAUUGAAAGAAAAGAUAGAAGGGUUUAAACAAAGACGACAGAGAAACAAAACAAUAUAGAUCCCGAACUAUAACCUUGAAAUAAUUUGGAUAAUAGAAAAUAAAACAAAAUAAACUACCAGACCUCUUUCUAGUAGGGAGAGGGGUGUCUUCUCAAUUGCUCAUCCUGACAUCUUAGCCACUGGUUUUCAUAUCAGCAUGACUAAAGUUUUUCUCACUGUUAAUGGUUUGCACCAUAAUUGAUUUAUCUUGAAUUACAUUUUCUAUUUCUCUUUUCAAAGAACGACAAUCUUCAAUACUGUGACCCUAAACAUCAGAAUGAUAUGCAUAUCGUAAAUUAGCAUCAAAACUUCUUGAAUAUAGGUCAGGAGUAUAACCAUGGAGAGGAGUGAUCAUGCCCCGCUGUACCAAUCUCUGGAAUAAAUUGGUGUACGAUUCUCCAAUUGGUGUGAAGCUAUCUCUUGACUUCUGCCUCAUUUCAUUGUUUGGAUUGGAUAAAAAAUAAAACCUAGAAGGUUUUUGGUAUGUUUGUGGAGUUUGAGGAUGACUCUGAAGAGUUGGUGCACGCCAUUAUGGGUAAGAAGAGAACUGACCAUAGGGUUGUACAUUGUAUAUUGGAUUUGUAGGUAGGGGAAUACAAUAUAAUGGAUUUUGGGAAAGAUUCUGUGGAGCUUGGGCAUAAGCUUGGGUUUGAGCCUGUGGGUAAUGAUGGUGUCGUCCUUUUUCCCGUGCCUGUUGUCUAACUACAAUAGCAGAUGCAUAUUCCUCAUACUUCUUCUCUCCGGAACUUUCUGAACCCUUUUGAAUUUCUUGAGUUGUCGCUUUCAAUGUUGCAAAACUCACAAUGCAGCCGAUCUUAAUUCCAUCUUCUAUCAUCUCCCUCAUUUUGAGGACCUUAAUAAAUGGCUUUCCUAAUGCAGGUAACAAGAGUUGAUAAUAUGUUUCAUCCUAUGCUUGAAUAAAUUCCUCCACUAUCUUACUUUCUUUCAUUGACAGUUUCACCUUAGCAUCUUGUUAACGCCAUCUAAUUGCAUACUCUCUGAAAGUCUCAGUACUCUUUUUCUUCAUGUUAGUUAGAGAUUUUUUAUUAGGAAUCAAAUCUACAUUGUCUUGGAAUUGUUUCACAAAUUCAUCAGCUAGUUCAUCCCAACUAAUCCACUUGUCGAUGUCUUGGUCAACAAACCAUUCCGAAGCUAGGCCUAAAAUACUCUCACCGAAAUAUGCCAUAAGUAAUUUUUCCUUCCCCCCAGCACCCCUUAGUUGGUUGCAAUAACGUAUCAAAUGUGCAACAGGAUUUCUAUGUCCAUCAUACUUCUCAAACUUUGGCAUUUUAAAACCAAAAGGAAGAUGAACCCCUGGAAAUAUGCACAGAUCUUUAUAUGAGACACUUUUGUACCCCCUAAGUCCCUGGUGGCCUUUCAUAGCUAGUUCCAAACUUUUUAAUUUUCUGGUCAUUUUCUCUUGUUCUUCUAUUAUAACAGGCUUUUCUGUGUUCUUCUAAAUAGCAUGAUGUUGAUCAGCAAAAAUAUUCAAUACAGGCUCUCUCGCAGAGUGGGGAGGAACGACUUAUGGAUAAACCUCAAAAGUAGGAGCUUCGGGUAGGGGUGGUGCUGUAAAAACAUGAACAGUGGGUGGAGUCGAGCAUGUGGUAGCUUUGUGUUGAGGAGUGAGGAAAUGAAUAUUGGAAGUGUUUGGAUUAUGUUUCCCUGGAGCAGGUCCUGAUGCAUGUUGUGGUGUGUCAACAAAAAUAGGAAACUGUGUAUGUGACACUGGAGGGAAGAUAGAAAGAUAUUCCAGAUUAUCAGCGAAAAAUGGAGGAGGUUGCAACCCAUUAGCCCAAGCUCGAUGCAUUUUCAUUAUUUGCUGCCUUAAUUUCUGAAUCUCUUCAUUAGCUUCUAAAUUCUCAUUUCCCGAACUCCUUAUCUCAUUAGUGACCACAACUUUAGUAUUCCUAUUGGCCAUAAUUUUCUCUUCGACUUGGUGCAAUAUGGAGGACCAGCCAAAAUGCGACAAACCAACCACCUUAAACUAACUGGACAAGAGAUAACAAAUGCGUUAGAGUUCAACACUUUCUCAAAACCUUUUUCUUUUUCCUUUUCCUUUGAAAAUAUCACCGAACUCAAGAAGGGAGCCUACAUAUCUAACUCCCGAGAGAGGAGAAUCAGGUGUGCGUAGUUCGUAAAGUCUUGCCAAAAUGGCCAGUUAAUUUUUUUUCCUUUUUUUUCUUUUUCAGAAACUUCAAAAAUAAAAAAUUGUCAAAAGAAUUGACGAAAAUCUUUUUGCAUUUUUUAGGUUUAAACUCCCUAUACCAAACGAAACCUAUGAUUACCAAAGAAAAAUCUUUUUGGGUUUUCAAUUUUUGAAUUUCAUACGAAAAUGAGACUUGAAGCUAUUAACAAAAAAUCUUUUUGUGAUUUUCUUUUAAAGAUGUAUAGGAAACACCUACUUUAAAAGAAGAGUGAAGAAAAUCUUAUUUUUUUGAAUUUUGCAAAUAAGAUCCCCGAACCCACAAUAGGCUGCCUACGUAUCUCACUCCCGGGAGAGGAGAAUCAGGAGUGCGUAGUUCAUCUAGAUUGGACAAUUAAUGAUUAAAUAAUAGAUUGCACCCUAACUUGAGACACGACCAAAGACACACGAAGAACAACAUAACAAAAUCUUUUUUUGAGUUUUCAAUUUCACACUUCACAUAAAAAAUGACACCAACAGCUAUGAAAGAAAAUCUUUUUGGUAUUUUCGUUAUAUGAAAUGUACAAAACUUCUACCACCUUUCUUUUAAAUUUUUUUUUUAUAAAAAGCUCCUAAAAAUAUCUUUUUGGAGUUUUCGAAUUGUGAAUGCUUGCUAAAUGAAACAAAAGGAAAAUCUUUUUGAUGUUUUUUUGAUUUGUUUUUUUUUUUUUUGAAAAAUGAGUGCAAAAAGUAAAAAAAAAAUUCUCUUUUUUUUUGAAUUUUUGAAUUGUGGAAAACAAAAGUCAUAAAGAACCAAAAAACUACGAAACUAUUUUUUGAUUCACCUUUUCUCUUUUUUCCUUUUUUUCCAUGCCUAACACACCUUUCUUUAAUUCUAGCACAUGCUUUCCCCAAAUCAGUCCAUCAAAUGACCCUAUUACCCUAAAAAAUACAACAAUUAGCACGUAGGGAUGCUUUAGAUGAGAGUCUCCUACAAAGGACCAAGUGGACCCCUCUAGGUCUAAAUAUGAUGCACAUAAGCAUGAACUAAAGGCUGACCUACGUUGGGGUUUACUAACAAGGCCGUUCGGGGGAGCAUAUGGUCGAUAGUGGCUGCUUUGCUUUCCACCUACUCCAUACAUCCAACGGCUCCCCCUCCUAAAAUAAGGGUGACUCAACUAGAUUUUGUGCACACGACGUGCACUUCGGGACUUGUUGCAGAAAGAAUUGACUCGGGUUAUGCACAUAAUAUCAGAUAUAAAGUGGUAACACAUAUGAGAAAAACUGUAAACACGUAUCACUCAACAAUGAUAAAAUAAACAACAAACGAUAACACAAACAAUGUUUAUACACCCAUAAUGUCAAACUAAGCCGAUACAACUCCAAAAAUAAGCCCGAAUUCUGAAAAAUCCCUAGCGGAGUCGCCAGAGCUGUCACACCCCUUUUUAACUCCGAAAAGAAUAUAUGUUAAGUUCGAAUGAAUUUUUAUUAUCAAAGUGACAAAAUAUGAAAAUUUGUUUCAAAAGGACUAUUUGCAUUUUUAUUCAAAGUCGCCACUUGGCAUAAUCUGGUGUGCCAAGUCACCUUUGAAAAUCCUUUUCAAAAUGAUUUGACUCUUUAAAACUAGUUUGCGAACAGAUACUCUAGCUAAGGAAUUCUGUUGACCGAGGGAAGGUGUUAGGUACCCCUCAAUCCCUUGGUUCGACCACGGUCUCUUGAUAGAGCGUAUCGGCUAAUUUGACAUUACAAAUGUAUAAACCACACAAAAAACACAUAAAUAAUCAAUCAAACAAAUAAAACAAAAUAAAUCCAAAAUAUAGUGUUCAGUCCAAUUAUACAGACCCAAAAAAUGAAAAAUAUGGAAAUGUAAACCUACUCUAUUCUAAACUGAUCCUAAACUAAUCCUAAACCAAACUCCACCUGACAUUCCGGGCCUUGACCGUGCGCCAUCUUCAAGUACAAGAUACUUCGGAGCAUUCUCGGAUAAAUCAAUACAAAUACCUCGAGGAAUUUCCCAUCCAAAUGAGAAUAAUUUUUAAUACGAGAAAAUCAAAGCAUUUAACCAAAUUUUAAACAUUCAACAAAACCAAAGAUUCUAAACUUUGCCUACCCAACAUACGUUUGCCUACCAAUUCUCGACUUAACAUCAUACAAUUGAGUUUAAUAUGUUCAAAUUAAUGAAGAUAAUAACAUAAAUAAACCAACACAAAUUAGGAAUUUAACCAAUUUUAAUACCAACCCCCAAAUCCAAUCUCAACAUGAUUAAACCAAUUCAAUACGCAAUCCACCAAUCAAGUUUUCACAUCCAAAUCCAACAAUAAAUAAACUACAAUAAUGAAAAUUCAAGCAUUCCAAACCCAUAAAUCAUUCAUAACUAUGUCAAGAUUAAAAGGCAAAAGGAUAGAAUUGGACCUCAAGAGUUUUCGAUUGACUUAAAGGAAGAAGUAAGAGCCAUACCGAGAGCCUCUACGGGUACCAAAUCUUGACUAUGAUCCAACUCCAACACGGAUAUCUCCGGAAUUUAUUGGGACUAUAUUGAAUCUCGCCAGAAUCAAAUACCUCACCAGAAUUAGACCCAAAACCAGUCCACUCGACUGAUUCGAUUUGGUUCAAGGUUGAAAUCCACAGUUACCGCCUCAUCGAAACUCCGAUGAGCUCCAACGGUGACCGAAACAAGCAGAAAGAGAACACAAUAAUGUUUUUCUGAUGAAAAAAUACUAUUUUCCGGCCACGAACACUGGAACAGUUAACCCCAGUUGCUCUUUUCUUCUCUCUUUCUCAAAUAUCUCUCCUAUUCCAUUCAUUCUAUCUCUUUCUGAUCCUUAUCUCCCCUUCAUUUUCUAUUUUUUCUCUUGAUUUCUCUUCUCUCCCUUAUGCAGAUCUCUCUGUACCUCUCUUAGUUCUCUAUCACACCAUCUUUCCUCUUACUUUCAUUUCUGAUGGUGUGUUCUGUGAGGAUGAAGGAUCGUAUACGGGUGAAGUAUAGUGAAUGGAAAUUUUUAGUGAAGGUGUCUGUGUGUAUCGUUGUUACUGUCUAUGUGGGAAUUGUAUAUGGUAUGUGUUAUAGUGAUGUGAAUAUAUGGUCAGUCCUGAUGAAGAUGAUGAUGAUAAUAAAAAAUAGGUUCCUUUGCAUUAUAUUGAAUAUAUUCUCUUUUUUCGUCCAUUAGUUCACGUGAGAAAGGUAGGAGUAGGGGGACACGUGGGUAGAGGGUGAGGGGGUGGUGAGGUGUUCGCUUUUAAUUGGAGAGAUUGUUAGGAUAGGAUUAAAACAAGAUAAAAUUUGUUAAGGGUUAUUAUUUUUUGUAUUUUUGUGAGAUAUAAUCAUGUGGGUGAGGGUUUGUGGUAAUGUGAGCUAAAAAUGAAUAAAAUUGGACUUGGGAGGGACAAAAUUAGGUGUCUACACUAGAAACAAGAAGUGUUUAAAGUUGCUGCAAUUUUUGAAUAAGUAUUUAUAUAUAUUAAAUUUACUGUCUUUUGGUGACAGCAAAAUGUCAACUGAAUGUCAAAUGCAUGAUGAUGCUAUGACUGUGGCGGUGACUAUCAUUGCUACGACAAGCCGCGCAAAUGCUCCACAACAUAUGGCCCCUGCGGAAAAGCCCGAAAAUUUUGCGGAAAUUGACUUUAAGAGAUAGCAGCAAAAGAUGUUCUUUUACCUCAGCACUUUAUGUCUCCAAAAGUUCACUAGUGAGGAUGCUCUUGAGGUACGAGGGAACCUCAAACAAAGAUCAUUUCAUGAUUGUAAAAGCUUGGAAGCACUCAGACUUCCUUUGCAGGAAUUAUAUAUUGAGUGGUCUCCAAGACGACCUCUACAAUGUUUAUAGUGGAACUAAGAAAUCGAAGGAAUUGUGGGGGGCACUAGAACCAAAAUACAAGAUAGAGGAUGCGGGAAUUAAGAAAUUCCUUGUUGCAAGGUUCCUGAACUUUAAAUUGAUAGAUAGCAAAUCGGUUUUCUCUUAAGUGCAGAAAUUGCAAGUAAUCAUCCACGAUCUCCUAGCGGAAGACAUAUCUUUGAAAAAUGCCUUAGUUGAACAACUUGAAAAAGUUCUUAUUACUCAUAUAAGCUGUUUUGUAGGUUUGAUUGUGAAUGAUGCUUUCCAAGUAGUAGUGAUAAUUGAGAAGCUACCACCAAUGUGGAAAGACUUCAAAAACUACUUGAAGCAUAAACGCAAGAAGAUGACUGUCGAAGAUCUUAUUAUCUGAAUGCAUAUUGAAGAGGCUAAUAAAGCUGCCGAGAGAAGGUCAAAAAGAAAUUCUACAAUUAAUGGAGCACAUUGGAAGAUGACCUUAACAAUUCUAAGAAAAGGAAGAAAGUUGAACAAGGAAGCAAUCAACCCAAGAAGAAAUUCAAGGGAAAAUGCUUCAAUUAUGGAAAGAUUGGACACAAGUCCACGGAUUGUCGUGACCCAAAGAAAGGCAAGACAAAUGAUCAAGCAAAUAUGAUUGUAUCCAACAAAGAAUGUGAUGAUCUGUGUGCUAUGUUCUCAGAAUGCAACUUGGUGGGGAAUCCUCGCGAAUGGUGGAUGGAUUCUGGUUCCACCCUCCAUGUAUGUGCCAUCAAAGAGUUGUUUUCACCAUUCGCUCCAGCUCAAGUAGAAGAAAUGAUCUACAUGGCUAACUCCGCUACUGCUAAGGUAGAAGGAACAGGAAAAAUAUGCUUGAAAAUGACUUCAGGAAAGGUCUUGACACUUAACAAUGUCUUGUAUGUUCUGGAGUUAUGUAAGAAUUUAAUUUCUGUUUCACUUAUAGAAAAGAAUGGAUUUAAAUGUGUAACCAUUUUUGAAAAAAUUGUAAUUAGCAAAGGAGAAAUGUAUGUAGGAAAAGGCUAUCUCACCGAGGGUCUUUAUAUGAUGAAUGUAAUGAAUGUUGAAAUAAAUAAAAGUUUAAAUUCUUCUUAUUUGCUUGAGUCUUAUGAUUUAUGGAAUGAACGUUUAGGCCAUGUUAAUUACAAAAUACUAUAAAAACUGAUUAACUUAGAAGUUCUGCCAAACUUUGAGUGCAAUAAAUCAAAGUGUCAAACAUGUGAGGAAUCAAAUUAUGCAAAGUAUCCUUAUAAGUCUGUUGAAAGGAAUUCCAAUCCCUUAGACUUAGUACACACUGACAUUUGUGAUAUGACGUCAACACCAUCAUGUGGUGGGAAAAAGUAUUUCAUAACUUUUAUUGAUGAUUGCACUAGAUAUUGUUAUGUCUAUUUGCUAAAUAGUAAGGUUGAAAUAAUAGAUGUGUUUAGGCAAAAUAAAACUGAAGUUGAAGAUCAGUUAGAUAAAAAAAUAAAAAUGAUAAGAAGUGAUAGGGGCGGAAAAUAUGAAUCUCCCUUCGCCGAAAUAUGUGUAAAGAAUGGAAUUGUCCAUCAAACUACGACCCCAUAUUCACCUCAAUCUAAUGGAAUUGCAAAAAAGAAAAACCAAACUUUGAAGGAAAUAAUGAAUGUCUUACUUAUAAGUUCUGGUUUACCGCAAAACUUAUGGGGGGAGGCUAUCCUUACAGCCAAUCAUAUACUCAACAGAGUUCCCCAUAGUAAGACACAAUCAAUUCCUUAUGAAAAAUGGAAAGAAAGGAAACCUAACUUGAAAUAUUUCAAAGUGUGGGGGUGUCUAGCAAAGGUCCAAAUUCCUAUGCCUAAAGGGUUAAGAUAGGACCUAAGACGAUGGACUGUGUGUUCCUAGGAUAUGCUAAAAGUAGUAAACCAUGUCGAUUUUUGGUUCAUAAAUCCGAACAUCUGAAUAUUAAUGAAAAUAUGGUAAUUGAAUCAGAUAAUGUUAAAUUAUUUAAAAAUAUUUAUCCGUAUAAAACUAGACAUGAAUAGUCUAGUGGGGGGUUUAAACGACCUCGAAAUAAACCAAGUGAGAAUGUACACAAUGAAGAAAAUCCAAGACAUAGUACAUCUCAAAGAAUGUCUACUUCGUUUGGAUUGAAUUUUGUAACAUUUCUCUUAGAAAAUGAGCCUUAAAAAUUUAAGGAAGCGAUGGCAUCUUCGGACUCAUCCUUUUGGAAAGAGGCAAUCAAUAGUGAGGUUGAUUCAAUCUUAAGCAACCAUACAUGGAAAUUGGUUGAUUUUUCUCCCAGAAAUAAACCUUUAGGUUCUAAAUGGAUCUUCAAAAGAAAGAUGAAAACGGACGGUACUAUUGAUAAAUACAAGGCAAGACUUGUAGUAAAUGGCUUCAAACAAAAAAAAAGGCCUUGAUUACUUUGAUACAUACUCGCCAGUAACAAGGAUAACAUCGAUUCGAAUGUUAAUUGCCUUAGCUGCGGUAUAUGGCCUUGAAAUCCAUCAAAUGGAUGUGAAAACCACUUUCCUAAAUAAAGAAUUGGAGGAAGAAAUAUAUAUGGAACAACUUGAGGGUUUUGUGGUUCCAGGAAAGAAAAAUAAGGUGUGUAAACUUAUUAAGUCAUUGUAUGGACUAAAGAAAGCACCUAAACAAUGGCAUGCGAAGUUUGACCAAACCAUGUUGGCAAACGGGUUCAAGAUAAAUGAAUGUGAUAAAUGUGUUUAUAUUAAAGACACUCUAAAUCACCAAGUCAUUAUUUGUUUAUAUGUGGAUGAUAUGUUGAUCAUCAGUAGAGAUAUUUCAGACAUAAAUGCAACAAAACUAAUGCUAGAAAGCAAGUUCAAUAUGAAGACCUUGGAGUUGUGAAUGUGAUCUUAGGGAUAAGAAUUCAUAGAACUCCACAAGGGUUGGCAUUGUCACAGUCUCAUUACAUCGAAAAGGUACUUGACAAAUUUAGGUUUAUGGAAUUUGGUAUUGCCAAGACUCCAUUGGAUGUGAGCUUUGCACUUCGAAAGAAUGAAUGUGAAAGUGACUCACAAUUGGAGUACACAAGAGUAUUGGGAUGUUUAAUGUAUAUAAUGAAUUUUACACGACCAGACAUGGCAUGCGAUAUUAGUAAAUUGAGUCGGUACAUGAGUAAUCCCAACAAAACUCAUUGGAUGAUAAUGAAAAGAGUUUUGGGGUAUCUUAUAUACCCUCAAGACUAUGCCUUGCAUUAUAAUAAAUAUCCUGUGGUACUUGAAGGAUAUAGUGAAGAAAAUUGGAUCACUGGAUUGAACGAAGUAAAAUCCAAAAGUGGACAUAUAUUUACUAUCAAUGAAGGAGCAGUCUCUUGGAAGUCAUUCAAACAGACAUGUAUUUCACGCUCUACAAUGGAAUCUGAAUUUAUCGCAUUGGAUAAAGCCUGUGAAGAAGCAGAAUAGCUACAAAAUUUAUUGGAAGAUAUUCCUUAUUUUCCCAAGCUAGUGGCAACAGUAUGUAUACACUGUGAUAGCCAAGGGUAAAUCUCGUCAUAUACGACGGAGACAUAAUACUAUUAGGGAAAUUCUCUCUAGUAGAAUUAUUACUGUUGACUAUGUAAAGUCUAAAGAUAAUAUGUCGGAUCAACUUAAAAAAGGCCUAUCUAGAGAAGGAGUGGAAAAGAUAUCCAAGGGAAUGGGUUUAAGGCCUAGGACAAGUCAGCAUGGUGGUAACUCUAACUAGAAGAAUGGAGAUCCUAAGAGCUAGGUUCAAGGAGAUCAAACAAAGUUUUGUCUGACAAGUUCAACAUUGUCAAUUAUCCAACCCAUUCUCAUGAUGUAGACAAUGUAUUGUAAACUAGGAUAAGACUUAAGGUGAAAAGUCUUUUAAUGAUUAUCUAAAUUUGGCAGAUUUGACCAAGUAGUUUAAUCUAUAGGAUUAAACAUUUAGAAAUCACCUAUGUAAGGGCAAAGUGGAAGUCGCUUUAAGGAGAAUGUUAGUAAAGGUCUAUUCUCUAAGAUCUCAUGAAACCGGGACGUGUUCAUGGCUGAAAAGAACAAAACCGUGAGAACCAUAAUUGGUAAAAGGCUAGUUGUGUGACAUAUGUUGUCUAGGUGUACAUUAAAGCUCGAUGGUUCAAAGAUAUCAAAUCUACCAAUUGACCAAGUGCAUCCGAUACAUAUUCACUACGAAAAGUUCAAAGGGAAACCCACUUAUCCAGAUACAAUCAGUCUUUGCUUCAUGAUCACAUACUUGUCCGUAAAAAUUUUAUGAAAAAUAGCCAUUCUCCAUUCAUGUGGGGGAUUGCUGGGUUCAAUAUGUAUGGAAGAAGUGUGAAAGGAAAAUGAAGAGAAAAAUGGUGGAGGGAAGGAGACACUAAUUUAGAAAGUGUACUCCCAAAUUAGAAAGUUCAUUAAAUCUCCCACAUUGGUGGGAGAAAAGAACUUUGGAGUGUUUUUAAUAAAGAAUACUUACUCCAUAUGGAUAGUUAGGCAAGAAAAAGGUUGUUCCUCACGCCGUCGCCGUCACCGUCGUCGCUCACUCGGCUCAGCUUCAAAUUUGGAUUUGGAUUUGUCAAAUGAUCGAUCGAUGAUAUAUAUCUUUUUGAACAAAAUUUAUUUGAUCAAAAUCUGAUCCGAAUAUAUGAAAGGAAAAAUGAUAGAAAUGUAGGAAAUUUUUCUGUGUUUUAUCCUCUAUUUAUAUGCAUGUAUACAGUGAACUAUUGCACUGUUUCGAACUAAACUGAUGCAAUGUUAUGAACUGAUGCUUUGGAAAGAUGCAACCAUUUAGUAAAAUGACACACUGAUUCAUGAAAUGGCAUGCCUAUUCAGAAAAGACACACUGUUUGGACGAAUAGACAUGAUUUUUUAGGAAAGGUUACAUCUUUUUAAGAUAACCCUUGCCUCCUUUUAGAAGAGGCAUGUUAUGGCUAUAUAAACCUACUUUCAUCCACAGGUUUAGAAAUGAAAAAUAAUUUAUGAAACACAAACUCUUCUUGUCUUCAAAUAUUCUGUGUGAUCAAUCAAACUGUUGAGUGAGUUCGUAGAAUCUGACAAUUUGAGGUACCGCUAUUAUUUGAAUUGAAGGCCAUUUUAUCCUAGGAGGAAGAUUCCAUAACCUCGGGUACAGUGAGGGGAAUUAUUCCUUAAGGACACUCCGUAAAGUCGAAGGACUUGGUCUAAAUUUUUGUUUCACCUUUUUCUGAAUAUAACACACUUCUAAGAUAGAUUAUUCAUAAUGUAGUGUUGAAGGUGUUAAGAAACUUCAUAAGUUCUUGUCUUGAACUUGAACUUGCUUUGAAGUUUCUGUUGCUUAUAUAUAGAUUCUUGUACCCGAACUACAUACAAAAUAACAAUUUAUACACAGGAAAUGUGCAUGACUAACUUGGACAAGAAGAAGACAUCCGUAUUUUCAAGACUCAAUUUAGAAGACUAUAACUGCUGCUGAGAUGGCUGAAGUCUCAGGCAUUUGUAGGAUUCUUCCAGAACCUAAUAUAUGAGAUUUUGACUUUGACAGCAAUCUCCACAAUUCAUAUAACACCCAAGGAUGGAUUCAACUAUGCAAGUUUUGAAGCAGUGGAUUAUGAUUUCAGAGAGGUUAUUAUUAGUUGCUUUAGGACUGCAGUAUUUAUUUAUUUUAUUUCCUGUAUUUCUUUUUUAAGUUAUUAGGAGGUAGUUAGCAUGUUUAGCAUCAUGACUUUAAAGUAGGGUCAUUAUCUAUUUUAGUUUUUUUUAAAAAGAACACUUUAUGUAACUACUCUUUGACAGAAAGUAAAUCUCUUUGUACAAGUUUCUCUCUCUUAGUGAUCUUCUUCAUUCUCCUACUUCUUUUCUGUAGCAAUCUAGAUAUCGUUUGCAUAGUGUUAUGUGCGAUUUAUCUAUUUAAAACUAACAUUUGGUAUCAAAGCUUUCAUCUUAAGGGAUUGGAGAAGUCAUGGAUGCAGAAACCAGUUUCUGACCAAUCGCUCCACCGGUCUUUGAUGGAGAUAAUAUCAGGUUCGGGCAGUACGAAUGGAGACAUACUUGGAUGCUUUAGAUAUAUGGAAGCUGUGGAAGAGGAUUACGAUAUUCCAGCCCUACCGAAUAAUCCCACUAUGGCUCAGAUUAAAGCACACAAGGAAAAGAAGACAAGAAAAUCGAAGGCCAAGGCAUGUCUAUUUGUUGCUGUAUCGUCAAUAGUUUUCACACGAAUAAUGUCUCUAAAAACUGCUAAAGAAGUAUGGGAUUAUCUUAAGAAAGAGUAUGCUGGAGAAGAGAGAAUAAAAGGUAUGCAAGUUUUAAACUUAAUUAGGGAAUUUGAAUUGCAAAAAAUGAAGGAUUCUGAAACAGUGAAGGAGUAUUCAGAUAGACUUCUUAAUAUUGCAAAUUAAGUGAGGCUACUUGGCUCUACAUUUUUUGACUCAAGAAUUGUUGAGAAGAUUCUAGUAAUAGUUCCUAAAAGGUAUGAAGAAACAAUUAAGACCUUAGAAAAUACUAAGGAUUUGUCAAAAAUUAGUUUGACGGAGUUGCUCAAUUCCCUGAAAGCUCAAGAGCAAAGAAGACUCAUGAGAUAGGACGUUACAACUGAAGAAGCUCUUAUUAGUAAGCACCAGGUUGAUGAAUUUCCAAAGAAGAAAAAGAAUCAAGCGUUGAGUGAAGGAGAAACAUCAACCAACAACAAAGGUAAGGGGGAAGUGCGAAAAGCUUUCCCCUUUGCCAUCACUGUGGAAGAAAAGGCCAUCCACCAUUCAAGUGUUGGAGGAGACCAGAUGCUAAAUGUAAGAAAUGCAAUCAACUUGGACAUGAGGUGGUGAUUUAUAAAAGUAAAGCCCCACAACAGGAAGAAAAUGCUCAAGAGGAGGAUUUUUUUUUUGUUGCCACAUGCUUCUCAAGUAAGAUCUCAACAGAUUCUUAGUUAAUUAAUAGUGGGUGCACUAAUCACAUGACUCAUGAUAAGAGCCUAUUCAAGGAUUUGAAGCCCACUAAAAUUUUCAAGGUUAGGAUAGGAAAUGGUACCAUCUUCAUGUCAAAGGAAUUGGAAUCAUAGCUAUCAAGACUGACACAGGCAUAAAGAAAAUUGCUAAAGUUCUUUAUGGUCCUGAGAUUGAUCAAAACUUGCUAAGUGUAGGACAUCUGAUGGAAAAAGGAUUUAGACUUUUCUUUGAAAAUGAUCACUGCCAAAUCAGUGACACUGCUAGAAAUGAAAUUUUUAGGGUGAAGAUGAGAGAAAGGAGUUUUUCCUUUAGUCCAAUAGAGAAGGAACAACUUGCUUAUUCCAUGAAGGCAGAUGUAAUGGAAAUCUGGCACAAGAGACUUGGUCACUGUCAUCUACAAGCAUUAUUGUACUGAAGAAGGAGGAUAUGACAAGAGGACUACCAACUCUUGUUGAUCACUUACCAAGUUGUCAAGCUUGUCAAUUUGGUAAGAAGAAUAGGAAACCAUUUCCUAAAGCAUCAUGGCGCGCUUCUCAAAGGUUGCAAUUGAUUCAUACAGAUGUUGUAGGACCUCAAAGAACGCCGUCCUUAAUAGUAGUCUUUACUAUGUUAUAUUAAUUGAUGAUUAUACAAGAUUAUGCUAGAUUUUCUCAUGAAAUACAAAUCAGAGGUAGCUGGAAUAUUUUGGAAGUUCAAGAAGAUGGUGGAAAAUCAAAGUGGUUGCAGAAUCCAAUCCUUGCAUUCUGAUAAUGGAAAAGAGUACACUUUUGAAGAAUUUAAUAAAUUCUGUGAGGAAGAGGGUAUUUCUCAUCAGCUUACUACUCCGUACACUCCGCAACAAAAUAGAGUUAGUGAAAGGAUGAACAGGUAUAUAAUGGAGAUGACGCAGUGCAUGUUGCAUGAAAAAGAGUUGCCAAAAAGGUUUUGGACUUAGGCAGCUAAUACAACAGUAUUUCUCUAAAAUCGGCUUCCCAAUAAAGCGUUGGAGAGUAAAACUCCAUUUGAGGCUUGGAAUGGAUUCAAACCAUCUCUAACCUUCAUUAAAGUAUUUGGUUGUGUUGUCUCUUUCAUGUACCGCAGGUUAAAAGAGACAAACUUGAUAAAAGGGCCGUCCCGGGAAUCUUUGUGGGUUAUAGAUCAUCCUCCAAAGCCUACAAAAUUUAUGAUCCACAAACAGGGAAGAUGAUUAUUAGUCGAGAUAUGCACUUUAAUGAAGAAGAGAAAUGGGAUUGGAAAAACAAUCAACUUUCAGUUAAAGCUUUAGAGGAGCAGACAUCCGAUCAAUGGAAAAAUGAUUUAGUAGAUGAUCCUCUAGUUAGAGGUACAAGAUUAAUUUCUGACAUCUACCAACAAAGUAAUGUGGCAGUUUGUGAGCCUGCAGGGCACAAGGAAGCACUUCAAGAUGAAAAAUAAAGAAACGCAAUGGAGCAGGAGAUGCUAAUGAUCAAGAAAAACAACACUUAGGAGUUAGUUGACAGACCGAAAGAUAGAAAAGUCAUUGGAGUAAAAUGGGUAUUUAGAACCAAGCUUAAUUCUGACGGUUCUAUCAACAAAUACAAGGCUAGGCUUGUCGUCAAGGGAUAUACCCAAAUAUUCAGUGUUGAUUCUCGGAUACCUUUGCUCUAGUAGCCCGACUAGAUACCAUCAGAAUGUUGCUAGCAAUAGCAGUACAAAAGGGUUGGAAAGUGUUCCAACUAGAUGUCAAAUCUAUUUUUCUAAAUAGUGUAUUGCAGGAAGAAAUCUAUGUAGAGCAGCCCGAGGUUUUCAUUGAGCAAGGAAAAAAGGAAAAAGUUUGUCUACUUAGAAAGGCUCUUUAUGGAUUAAAACAAUCCCCAAGAGCUUGGUAUAGCAGGAUUGAUGAUCACUUGUUGAGUUUGGGGUUUGUCCGAAGUUUGUCUGAAGUUACUCUUUAUGUCAAACACAAGGGAACUGAUCUGCUUAUUGUUUCCCUUUAUGUUGAUGAUCUCUUGGUGACAGGAAACAAUGUGCCACUGGUUGAAAAGUUUAAGAAGAAAAUGAUGCAAGUCUUUGAGAUGACAGACCUAGGACUAAUGACAUACUUUCUAGGGAUGGAAAUCAAGCAAGGUUGCAAUGAAAUCUUUAUCUGCCAAAANNNNNNNNNNNNNNNNNNNNNNNNNNNNNNNNNNNNNNNNNNNNNNNNNNNNNNNNNNNNNNNNNNNNNNNNNNNNNNNNNNNNNNNNNNNNNNNNNNNNNNNNNNNNNNNNNNNNNNNNNNNNNNNNNNNNNNNNNNNNNNNNNNNNNNNNNNNNNNNNNNNNNNNNNNNNNNNNNNNNNNNNNNNNNNNNNNNNNNNNNNNNNNNNNNNNNNNNNNNNNNNNNNNNNNNNNNNNNNNUGUCGAGUAUGGGGUCAAAUUCAAAAAGUGUGAGAAUUUCAAGUUGUAUGGAUUCUCAGAUAGUGAUUUGGCCGGAUCCACUGAUGACAUAAAAAGUACAUCAGGAUAUUGCUUCAGUCUGGGAUUGGGCAUUUUCUCUUGGUGUUAUAAGAAGCAGGAAACUAUGGCACAGUCCACGACUGAGGCUGAAUUCAUUGCAGCAACAACAACAGUAAAUCAAACCUUAUGGCUGAGAAAAAUAUUUUCUGAUUUGCAUAUGGAACAAAAGGUUAAUACUGAGAUUCAUGUUGAUAAUCAAGCUGCAAUAGCUGUUUUACAUAAUUCAGUGUUUCACGGGAAGACUAAGAACUUCAACAUUAAGCUUUUUUUUCUUGAGGGAUGUGCAGAAAAAAGGAGAAGUGAUUCUUGUUCAUUGCAAAUCCAAAGAUCAGCUUGCAGAUGCAUUUACGAAAUCCCUUCCUGUCAGCAAGUUUAAGUUCCUAAGGCAGCAACUUGGAAUUUGCAACUCCUAAUGCAGGGAAGAGUAUUAUUAGUUGCUUUAGGACUGCAGUAUUUAUUUAUUUUAUUUCCUAUAUUUCUUUUUUAAGUUAUUAGGAGGUAGUUAGCAUGGUUAGCACCAUGACUUUGAAGUAGGGCCAUUAUCUAUUUCAGUUUUUUUAAAAAGAACACUUUAUGUAACUACUCUUUGGCCGAAAGUAAAUCUCUCUGUACAAGUUUCUCUCUCUCAAUGAUCUUCUUCAUUCUCCUGCUUCUUUUCUGUAGCAAUCUAGAUAUCGUUUGUAUAGUGUUAUGUGCGAUUUGUCUAUUUAAAACUAACAGAGGUCAGCUUGACUGCAAUGAUUCAGAAGGUGUUCUCCUGCAUUGGAAUAGCUGAUUACACUGUGAAACUCCUGAGAAGGAACAUUAUACAGAGUCUGGCCUGGACACUAUCGGAUCUGGAGAUAAGACUACUGAAGUGCUUGGUGAGGCAGGAUCAGUUACAUUAGGGCUGGGCAUAUUUUGGUCUAAACUGAAAAAACCAAAAAACCAAACCAAAAUUCAAUUUUGGUUUCCGUUUUUCGGAUCAGAUUCGAUUUGUAAUUUUUAAAAUUCAAUUUUUCGGUUCGGUUUUUGUUUUUUUUAAAAAAAAAUCGCUUAAAUCAAAAAACCAAAAUUUUAUACAUAAAUAAAUAAUAUAUAUUUUAUUAUNNNNNNNNNNNNNNNNNNNNNNNNNNNNNNNNNNNNNNNNNNNNNNNNNNNNNNNNNNNNNNNNNNNNNNNNNNNNNNNNNNNNNNNNNNNNNNNNNNNNNNNNNNNNNNNNNNNNNNNNNNNNNNNNNNNNNNNNNNNNNNNNNNNNNNNNNNNNNNNNNNNNNNNNNNNNNNNNNNNNNNNNNNNNNNNNNNNNNNNNNNNNNNNNNNNNNNNNNNNNNNNNNNNNNNNNNNNNNNNNNNNNNNNNNNNNNNNNNNNNNNNNNNNNNNNNNNNNNNNNNNNNNNNNNNNNNNNNNNNNNNNNNNNNNNNNNNNNNNNNNNNNNNNNNNNNNNNNNNNNNNNNNNNNNNNNNNNNNNNNNNNNNNNNNNNNNNNNNNNNNNNNNNNNNNNNNNNNNNNNNNNNNNNNNNNNNNNNNNNNNNNNNNNNNNNNNNNNNNNNNNNNNNNNNNNNNNNNNNNNNNNNNNNNNNNNNNNNNGCUUGAAACCCUCCAAGGCCAACCUCUCACAUCUACGGACUGGGGCAUCCGUGCCCCUUCUCAUCACGUGGCCAAACCAUCUCAACCUCACUUCCCGCAACUUAUCCUCCACCGAAACCACUCCCACCUUCUCCUGAAUAGUCUCAUUCCUGACCCUGUCCACCUUCGUAAAUCCACACAUCCAACGCAACAUUCUCAUUUCCGCAACCUUUAACUUUUGGAUGUGAGAAUUCUUAACAGGCCAACACUCCGCCCCAUAUAACAUGGCCGACCGGACCACAGCUUUAUAGAAUUUACCUUUAAUCUUAAGAGGCACCUUCUUAUCGCAUAAAAUUCCCGAGGCAAGCCUCUAUAAUAUUAAUUGGAGAGAUUGAUGAUGAGAUUGUUUGCAAAAAUUAUUUUUUAAAAAAAAAAUCAAUUUUAAAUGUCCAGACAUGACAAAAAAGAGGUCACUACUUUAAUUUUUAAAACCGAAAUAAAAAUCCGAAAUAACCGAACCGAAUUUGUAGAAAUCGAACCGAACUGAAUUUAUUUUGGUUUGGUUACGGUUGUCAUUUUUGUCAAUCCGAAAAUCAAAAAAUUGAACCUAUAUUAUACUAUCAAACCGAACAAACAAAAUGCCCACCCCUAGUUACAUACCUCACAUUCAGUAGCGGUCGCAGCAGCGGAUCCCCCAGAUCAACCCUUAAUAUCUAGGCAUGCAAAUAAUGUUUCUUUGUGGGUUCAUGAGGUUUAGUAGUAGUAUCAGGGUUUGGUAUUUAAAUUCUGUGGUAAGUCCGGGAUGAAAUGAACUGUCUCUACUGAGUUAAUGAACCUCGUAGCAUUAUACUAACCUUUUUAUGGGGGACUAUAUAAAAUAUCAUCAUUUAUGAAUAUGUUUGUACUCCAUGUUCUUCUGAAUGUGUUUUACGCUUUGAACAUUCACCUGUUUUACAAAAUAUUAUUGAAUUGCAAACUAUUUGGGAGGACUAUAUAUUUCUUUUGCUCAACAAAUCUUAGUUUUUGUUGUUCAAUAUUUCUCACAUUAGAAGAAAGUAAGAAAGAGACACCAGAAAGUUGCUAUAGAAACAAAGGCCCAUUGACUUGAAAACUCAUACCUUUCUCGGCCUUUUGGCUAAGAUCAAGUGUAGUAUCUGUUCUUAUUAGUUUAAUAUCUGAUAUAUGGGCCAUUGGUCCACACGAUAUUAACUCUAUUUUUUGAGGGGGAAGGCUCAUCAAGGUAGCUUUCUACCUGGGCCUUCGUGUGUCGCCUAAGCAUCACACUACUGCUAUGCAGUGGCGGACCCAGGAUUUAAAGAUUGUGAAAAUUAAAAAGCUGAAGAAAGUAAAAAAAUUUCUCAACGAGGUUCAAACCCGGGAUGCUUUUUCCAACGGAGAACCCUAAGAUCAAUCUAAAUGCCAAUGCACCCAACCAACUUUUAUUUUUGUGGGUGCUUUUAUAUCUUUUAUAUUUAUUUAUGUAUUUUAUAUGUAAUUAUACGUAUUCCGCGUUGAGUUUACUGGGUGCCGGAGCACCCCAAAAAACCAUAUAGGUUCGCCCCUGCUGCUAUGGCCUGGCACACCCUACCAAUCCUAGUUCAAUGUAUGAGCCGUCUUUGACUUAGGCCCAGUGCUUUGCAAAAAGUUUUGAGUUCUUCAUACUAUUUACUCCUACUGAUUUAACACACAGUGUAGCCAUUUUACUUGAACAGUAAAGGCAAAGAGAUAUUGCUGAAAAUGCAAACUCCAUAUUGAUAUUGCUGAAACUUUGACCAAAUUUAGUUCAAUGUUUCAGAAGUGUGUUGGUUUUGCCCAGUACCCUAUGUGUUGCCACUUGUAAUAUUCAUACCCUCUUCCUCCUCUGUGUGUGAGAGAUACCGGUGGUGUCCGUGCACCUCAACUAUUUCAUCGAUUUAUUGGACACCUACCACCUCUCACAUACUGAAUAAUUGUGACCACCAAGUCUUCCACCCAUGGAAAGAAAUCACAAAACCCCAGUUUCACAUUAUUUUCACCCAUUUUAUUGAUAGCUAGACACUGCUGGAUGAUAGCUAGAAUAUUACUUUAGAAUGUGCACCUUAAUUCAGCCGUAACUGCAAGGCUCUGAUAUCAACCAAAUCAAAAUUCUGCCUAACCCUUCAUAGUUUGUGCUCGCAAAAUUCUCCACUAUAGCUAGAGGGAGGUUGGGAAGAAGGUUAUGUUUUGAGUUUAUAUUAUGUCUGGAUGGAGCUAAAUAUCCUCUUUGCUUGAAAUUUAUAUCGUGCAAAACGAGCAAAAAUGAUUUAUUUUCCCCAAAUAUAUAAACUGUUGGAUCCCUAACGUGAAAAAAGCAAAUAUAUUGAAAAUAUUUUGAAUAUUAAAUCUAACAACUAGAAUUGGUCCCGGCGAAGACCUCUCUCUUUUGUUUGAGCAAAGGGCACUAACCUGAAAGAGGAAAUGGAGAUUUUUCUCGAUGUGACGGAGCUAUAUCAGUAGUUUAUCUGGGAUGAAUUCCUAAGUACUUUUCUUAUUAAUGAUAAUGAAGAUAUGCCAAGGGAAACUCAGGCCAACCAAUGUCGCAGAGCUGCCCGAGAAGGACCAGUCAAUCCAUUGUAGUGCCCUGGCGCACCCCACCAAAUAUAGUUUAAUCAGUUAGCAGUUUAUUUGCCCUGAUCUUUAUGGGUUACUACUUAUAUUUGCAAGCUUGCAAUAAACCUUUCCUUAAACAAACUACAUUAAGUUAUGCAAAUGCAAUAAACCUUUCCUUAAACAAACCUUUCAGAUUUUUCUUUUGAUGAUACGUCAGUGAUGAAACCUUCACCAGUUAGUCCUGAAGCUGUGAACCUUCUACCAAUCUGCCAAUUUUUGGCAUCAGUUAUUUCAUCUUUCUUCAUCAGUUAUUGCUGUGUCAAUAACCUUGGCCCAUAAAUGAGUUUAAUCUCCCAAUAGAGUAAGUAAAGUGGCUUGGAGCCUUGGAAUCGAAGUAGAGUAGACAGUAACAUUCUCUCUGCCCCCUCUUCGAUAAGUGUGUGUGAGAGAGACAACGGUGGUGGCCGUGCAUCUCAACUAUUUCAUCAAUAAUCAUCAGACACCUACCACCUGUCCACUCUCACGUAUAUAACUGUGUCCACCAAGACUUGGACAAUGCACAACUAUUUCAUCAAAACAUCAGACACCUACCACCUCAUACAUGAAAAACUGUGUCCAAGACUCUGGACAAAGGGUAAGAAACUGUUGAUCUCUUUUGUUUCUACAGGAUUCUGAACCUCAUUUUCACAUAAUUUUAACCGAUUGCCAGACACAUCUUGAUGUUAUCUAGAUAUUGCUCCAAAAAAAAUGCAAUACUUUUGGAGGGUCCAAAAUGCACGUGCCAUCAUUGUUGCUGGCUUGUAGAUAUUGGAUUCCUGAAAUACAUCUGAAGAACUGUUCUCUAACAGCUUGUUUGAUAAGGAGAAAAAUACUAUUUCUUAGUCUUUUAUAUUCAAAGAGAAUCGAAUAUACAUUACACUGAUAUUUUUUUUCCAUCUCCAAACAGAAAGCUAUGGAGAGUAAUGAGUGAUUUUCCCACAUUGACAACUAAUAGAGAAGAGGAGCGAAAGCUGUAGUAUUUGUAAUGGGCUGAGCUAACUAGCGUACAUACUUACUUGGACGGGGUCAAUGGGUGAUCAAUAAGACCCAUGGCCUAGGCUUGUGACCACCAUUGCACUUUGGAGGGGUGCCUGCCUAAGGUCGGCCCAAGUGGUCGAGCCUGAUACAAGAAAGACAAGGAACAUAUGAAAACGCACUCCAAAAACAAUCCACUAGUUCAAGAACCGAGGACCCUUUUGAAGACCACUCUCGGAUUCGACAAAUACAACAAGAAUACAAGAAACAAGGGUGUAUUUGACACCAAAUCAGCCAACAAACAAGGGUGUAUUUGACACCAAAUCAGCCACCACAAACUAACAAGAGAUUAACAAGACAACAAGAUGAAGAACAAGAUGAGCAAUAACACAAUGGAAACAACAAUACACGUUUUUGACUAGAACAACAACAAAGAGUACAAGAAAUGUAAAGAUAGGUAGUGAGACAUAUAUUAUUACUAGACCUAAGAACAAGGUUGUGUAUUAAACACCUAAACUCUUAGAAACAUGGAAUAAGAACACCUACACUCUUCGUGGACACAAGAGGGACCUCAAUCCUUCAAGCACCCAACGUUCCAAGCCAUGAAUCCAACACGAGUGAUUCCACACUCAAGUUGAAACCUAGUUUCGAUUUUGCCUCAAAGGAGAGAGGCUUUGGUAUUUCAAAAGUCAUACAAGACUUACAAAUAUCAUGAAUAAUCUAAGACUAAAUGACCUAAAAUGUUCUAUUUAUAGUAGGUUACAAAAAUAAUGUGAAAUGUCCAAAAGACCCCUUAGUCAAAUCCUUCACUUUGGGCACUCUUGGAGUGUAGUUUGUGGACUGUUUUGGAGCCUAUUUAGGCCUUCCUUUGCACUUUACUUGUACGCUCUAAGUCUCGGGUUUAAUACAUCUCACAUAUGUCCAUCCUCGUGGGCGUACUUAUAUUAUCCUCCCCUUCUUGAAAAGGAUUCGACCUCGAAUCCGUAUCUUGCAAAAUCAAGAGAAGACAAACAAGCACACAUCCUUAUGACAAGAGGUGUUAGGGUUAGCAAUAAUAACAUAUCAACAUGUCAUGCCGAGGCGGAACAAACUUAAAGCAUAUCCACGGGUCCUUUGUUUUAAGCAUGAAAAGAUUAGUACAAAUGUGACAAAGGAAGUGGAUUGGAUAAGCAUCAAGAAAAAAGGACAAUAGGCCGAGAGUCAUCGUUCUCACCCUAAGAUGGUACCAGGAUCAAAUGGUAGAAGCAACCAAGGACUUAUGUCUCUCCCACUCUCACUCUCCCCUAGGAUGUCAUCCUCAAAGUUAAGCAUACCCUUUUUAUCACAAUUGGAAAUAUCAUGAACAAAAAGAGGUUUGAGAAAGGUGUUCCACAACUCAACUUCAAAUAAAGGAUUCUCAUGCAUGCGCUUACUACAAGUUUCAAAAUCUCCACUAGGCAUAUGUCCAACAUAAGAAACACAUAGAGAAGGAAUCGAUGGAAUUUCUAAACACGUAUCACCUUCUCUUUCAAAAGAAUACUCCUCACAUACAUACAAACCAUCAUGGGCAUCCCAAGGAUCAUAAUCAAAACCAUCUUCACAAUGACAAUCACAAUUUGGGUUUUCUAAACAUUCAAGCAAAUCAAGAUCAUUUUCACCCGGUUGAUCAUUUUGCUCACCCUCACUAAUUGUUGGCAACUCACAUACCAACGUAGAACUCACCUUGGUUUUCACAAGGGUCAACUAGUGUGUGAAUACUCUCGUCACUUGGUAAUGGAACCGUAGUCAAGUUAUAAGUUCUAGCACUAGAUGGACACAAAUCAUUCUCACAAGGAGAAUCAAUUUCGUCAUCUAAAGGAUCAACUAGUGCUUGCGUGCCUACAACAAGAAUUUGGUACUCAUGCGGCCUAAAAAUAUCAAGAGUAUCACAAAGGGAAGACUCAAGAACCUCUACUCUAGUCAAAGUCGCAACUACACCCACUUGGCUCCUACUAGCCACAACACAACAUUCUAAGUUCAUACGAGUGUAGGGGAUAGAGUUUUUACCUCGUAGCUCACAUGAGCUAUGGUCUUCCUCUUGACGUGUGUUCAGGAAGCCCACUUGCUCCCUUUGACAUACCAUAUGAUCCAACCUUUCAUUUGCCAUAGCUAGGUCUCAGGACAUAGUGUCAAGGUAGGCCAAAAUGGCAUUGGUGGCAUUAUUUUCCAUGGGUUGAGAGGUUGAAGCCGCAGGUUCCCUUGUAAUUGUACCUAAAGAAGAAAAGAACAAGACUACAAAACAAAACAUAAGUUAUUUUGAAACAACCUCACCAGACUCUCACACACUUGAUCGUCGCACGCUUGGAUUCACAAAUGUUGAAAGCCGGCUUGUACUUCGUGAGUGAUUGAGGGAUGAGUCUAUCUUUGCUCGAAAUAGAUUUUUUGUUUGAGUUGACUCAAAAAAAAUUAUUUAUGGAAUUGAACCAACAAGAUACAACGAAUUCACAAAAGAUAAAAACACACAACAAACGCUAAACACGAAUUAACGAACACCAAGACUAACUAACAAUCUAGUAGAUGAGUACUAGUUUUCCACUUAGUAGUGGAACCAACGAAAUUGAAACUAAGGAACAACAAAAGGAAACUAUGAAAUCUGAAAUUUGAGCUUAAAUAUGUUAUGUGAACAGUAAAUGAUGAUGUGGCAGCCACGUAUUGGUUGCGGUUCUUUAACAAUUUUUAUUUUCCAAAGUUGAAAGUCUUGGUCAAUUUUUCAAUUUGGGAAUUGGUGGAAUUGGUUAAGGAGGGAAAAAUAAAUCUUGGAAUCCUCUUUCAAUUUUCAAAAAAAGAAGACUUGACUUGUUUUGUUCUCUCUCCUCAAAACAUGACACUUAAUUCAUGGAAAAUUGUUGGUAAGUGGUUGUUAAAGUCUUUGGUGGUUGAGGAGUCUUUCAAGACUAACAAACUUUACACCUUUCUCCUCCAAACUUUUAGAUCUAACAUCCACUUUUCUUUCAAUAAAGGAUUAAGAUUGGUGAAGAACACCAAGAACACAAACUUUUGAAUCUUGGAGUCUAAGGUUCAAGUUGGUCUCACACUUCAAUCAACACUUUCUCAAGUUCCACCUUUCAACAACAACUUCAAUAAAAGGUUAUUAGGACACCAAAUUAUAACAACAUCCACAUACAAUCUUAAGAACAACAAGGCGAAACCACACGGCCAAAAACAGUGCACCACAACAAUGUUCAACAAUAAUGGGCCAAGUUUAUGUUCACAACAACAACAUCAAAAUACAAGCUCAAAUCAAGAUAUAGACUGAAUGUGUUAGUGAGGAACAAAACUAACACUUAGAUACAACAAAUAAAAGUAAAAAUGUCGGCCAAGACACAACAAAAACCUAAUUUUCGGCUAAGAACACAAAAUGGACAGAUUGCUCUCUUUUCUGGAAUUUGCAGUUUUCAACUUUUUUUUCAACUCUCAAGCCCAAGAUUGAUCUUCUUAGAACAAAAUAAAAUAUGGAUUUGAUACCAAAUGAUACAAUAAAGACAAGUAACACACGAAAACACACUCCAAAAAAUCCACUAGUUCAAAAACCGAGGACCCUUUUAAAGACCACUCUCGGAUUCGACAAAUACAACAAGAAUACAAGAAACAAGGGUGUAUUUGACACCAAAUCAGCCACCACAAACUAAAAAGAGAUUAAAAAGUAACAAUAUGAAGAACAAGAUGAUCAAUAAUACAAUGGAAACAACAAUAUACAUUUUUGACUAGAACAACAACAAAGAGUACAAGAAAUGUAAAGAUAGGUAGUAAGACAUAUAUUACAACAAGACCUAAGAACUAGGGUGUGUAUUAAACACCUAAACCUUUAUACACAUGUAAUAAGAAUACCUACACUCUUCAUGGACAAAAUAGGGACCUCAAUCCUUCAAGCACCCAACGUUCCUAGCAAUGAAUCCAACACGAGUGAUUCCACACUCAAGUUGAAACCUAGUUUUGAUUUUGCCUCAAAGGAGAGAGGACUUGGUGUUUCCAAAGUCAUACAAGACUUACAAAUAUCAUGAAUAAUCUAAGACUAAAUGACCUAACAUGUUCUAUUUAUAGUAGGUUACAAAAAUAGUGUGAAAUGUCCAAAAGACCCAAUCCUUCACUUUGGGCACCCUUGGAGUGUAGUUUCUGGACUGUUUUGGAGCCUAUUUAGGCCUUCCUUUGCACUUCACUUGUACGCUCCAAGUCUCAGGUUCAAUACAUCUCACAUACGUCCAUCCUCGUGGUCGUACUUGUAUCAAAGCCUAUGUCAUAAUUUGUGGUAGAGGGGUCCUGCGUUCGCGUGGCCCCUGCCCAAUUCAAAGUAAAUUUUUUUAGGAAAAAUUACCUAAAUAAACAACAUAAGUUUCUAAACUUCUAAAAAUCCUCCCACUUCUAAAAAAUUACUUAAAUUCCAACAUUUCGUAUUGUUUGCUAAAUUAGAGAUACAAGUUAACCCUAUUCCUCUAUUUCCACUAUUUCCACUAUACAAGUUAAUCCUAGGUUUUAAGCCCAAAAAAAUUAAAAAUUAACAAACACAUUAGUACUAAGACGACACCAAAAGUAAAAAGCAUCAUUUCACAAAAGUAUAAAAUGAUACAUUUGAUCCUAUUACUCUAUCUCCACUAUUAAUUCACAGGUAAAACUAUAUCAUCUAAAUAUAAUAUAAAUCAAAUUUCAUCUUGAGUCUCUCUGAAGUAAUAUUUCAUCAUCCCCUUAGGUGUCGUUUGGUUUGAAAAUGGUUAUCCCGGGAUAACUAAUACCAGAAUUAGUUAUCCCGGGAUUACUCGGGAUAACUUAUCCCACCAUGUAUAUGGGAUAAGUUAUCCCGGGACUAAGGGGAAAAUGGUGGGAUAAGUUAUCCUGGGUUAGAUUAGUCCCUCCAACCAAACAAAGGAAAAUGUGUUCUUUUAUUUUAUCCCGGCAUAAUUAGUUAUCCCGGGAUAACCAAAUCUGUGAAGUAAUGAACCUCUUAGAAGCAAUAUGCUUCGUCUUGGAAAAAAAUUGGGACUAUGAGUUACUAAUGGAACUUGUAAACCAUUUCCGUCUGGCUACCAAAAAACAAUGCGGAGAGAAGUGAAAGCUCUUAUAAAUCUUGUAAUCUUAACCGGGACAUUUUAGUAUUUUCUUGAAUCAUUUUAUAUAUACUUUUGGCUCUGACAUUGAUUAUCUUCUAUUAGUUCGUUCCUAACUUUAUGCAAAAUGAUUAUCUUUACAAAAUAUUUAUUGAAUUACAGACACUAUUUGGGAGGAAUAUAUUUUUGCCUUUGCUCCUUUUGUUAUGUUCUUUAGUUUUAUGGUGUUCACUUCUCCCACGCUAGAAGAAAGCAAGAAGCAGACAGCAGAAAGUUGCUACAAAAACAAAGGCCCAUUUCCAUGAAAAAGCAUACAUUUCUCAGCCUUUUGGUCAAGAUCAAGUGUAGUAUCUGUUCUUAUCAGCUUAAAAUCUGAUUGUGGGCCAUUGGUUCACAUGAUAUUAACUCUAUUUUUUGAGGGGGAAGGCUUGUCAAGGUAGAUUGCCGCCUGGGCCUUCAUCCGUCGCCUAAGCGUUGCAUUAUUGUUUGGCCUGGCAUACCCCACCAAAUCUGUUAGAAUAUGAGAUUUUUCUAGAUAGUCUUUUGUUUAAUAGUUUCUUUUAAAUAUUAUGUUUAGUUUUUUCUUAGAAAAUAAAUGGUAGUCCUUAUUUUGAGAAGUGUGUCUUAUAAGAUACUAUGUAAGGUGUGUCUUGUAAGAAUUAUGUAGCUAUAAGUGUAGUCUUUUGUAAGAUGUUGGUAUGUAUGUAUGAAUGAAUGAUACGUACUGCUGAACUUUAUAUUUUCCUUUCUCUCCAGUUCCAAAUUCUAACAGUGGUAUCAAGAGCCAUUCUUCUUGAGGGAUCUGUGAUGGCAUAGAGCCGAACAACAGUAAUAAUGGCAUCCAACAGCUUCUUGGGUGCAGGCCUUCCUAUGUUUAGAGGAGAAAAUUAUCACAUAUGUGUGAUCAGGGGCGGCUCUACCUUGUAAAAAAUAGGCGGCCACCUUAGGCCUCCAAAUUUGAGGGGCUCAUUUUUUAUAAUUAUAUAUAUAGAUUUAAAAAAAAAUUGAAUAUAUUUAUAGUAAAAAUAAUUUUUUUAUAUAAAAGAAAAAAAUUAUUAGAAGAAGUUUAUAUAUCUAGAGUAUUAUGUCUCAAGAAAGAUUAAAUGCAUUGAUUAUAUUAUUACUUAAAAAGAAUAAUUAGAAAAAAUUGAUUAUAUAAUUUUGAAAAUAGAGUUAAUUAAAAGAAAGUUAUUUUUUAAAAAAAAUUCAAGGCUUCUGUUUUAUUUUCGUCUUAGGCCACAAAUAUGCUUGAGCCGCCCCGGUGGUUGAUAAAGAUGAAGGCUUAUCUCAAAGCUCUUAGUCUAUGGAAACAGUUGAAAGUGAAAAUGACUCCCCUCCACUGAACCGAAUUCAACUAUUGCACAAAUGAAGAAUUAUGAAGAUGCAAAGUCCAAGAAACCAAAGGCUCUUACUUGUCUUCAUUCAGCACUUUCAAAUGUGAUUUUCACAAGAAUAAUGGCUUGUAAAACACCUAAAGAAGUAUGGGAGAAGCUAAAAGAGGAGUUUUGAUACGGGACAAAUAGUCAUCUUAUCUUUUGAUGACAUCUUUGGAGGCCAACACAAAGAGGCUCAAGACUUGGUCAUCUCGAGGAUACGAGAACAUGCAUGGAGGACCCAUUUUGAGCCUACCAUUGAGCCUAACAUACAUCAAGGUCGGGAGUAGAAUAUUGUUUGGAGCAUUGAAGAUGUGAGGAAUCACGGCUUGGACCCUUAAUGGCUCACGGUUUUAGAGUCAUCUUCAUUGAGGACAUUUUAGUCACUUCACUUUGCCCAAAAUGCACUCCAUGGCCGCCCCUAUCAUUAAGGGUAGUGUAGUCAUUUUGUCUUCUUUUGUAAUACACUAUAAAAAGGACAUUUUAGGUCUUCUCUUAUUAGUUAUAGAAUGAUGAAAAUAUGAGACAUUGAAAAUCCCCUGUCUUGAGAGUAGACCACCUUAGUGUAGUUCUUAGCUAGGGCUUGGAUUAGCCAUUGUAGUUUAGGGCUUGGAAAAGACAAUAUUGUUCUUUGCUUGGAAACAGUGAAUCUUUAGAUGAGUUGAUUCCGUUGGCGGUCACCAUAAGAGUGUGGUGUUGUUGUUACAUUCAUUAAAGAUUUUUGAGUUUAAUAUACUCUUUAGUUCCUAAUCUUUGUAGUAAUCUAUGUCUCACUAUCUAUCUUUACCUUUCUUGCAAUUAUGUUAGUAUUUGUAUCUUGUAGUCAUUUGUUCUUGUUGAAUCCAAAUCUUGUGUGUAUUGUGUUCAUCUUGUUCUUGUUGUAUUUUUCCUAUUUUGGUAUUAAAACAUGUUGUAACUCAUGAUGCUUGUGUUGUUGUUGUUGGCUGAAACUAGCACUCAAAGGGGUCCUCGGGUUGCUCUCAAUGCAUAUGUGGACUAUUUUGUGUAGUUUUUGUGCCUUUCAUGGUCUUUCUCGUAUCAUUUGGUAUCAGAGCUAAGGCUGAUUUUUCUCCAACAAUACCAAUCUUGGGAUCGGUUAGUUGAAAUUUUUUAAAAAAAAUGUUCUAAGUGUUAUGUUUGGCCAAAAUUUGUGUCUAGAUCUAAGCGUGUUUUUGUUGUUUUAGUUGUUUCAAGUGUUGGUUUUCUUUCUCUCUAACACUUAUUGAGUCUAAAAACAAGUUCUUGAACUAUUAACAAGUUGUUGUUGAAGGUUGUGGAUGACUAGUGUUGUUGUUGUUCUUAUUGUUCUUCAUUUGUGUUGAAGAAGUAGGUUCAAAAGGUGUUAUUUGAUCUUGAAACAAUAAAGGGAAGAGUGAGACUUUUGUUUGUCAUGAAAACAUUAUCAAGAAAUCACCAAAGUUGUAAAAGAACAAAAGGCAUCCCAAAAGUCUAGGUACUAUAAAAGAGUAAGACCACUUUUCUAGGUAGGCCAAAAGAGGAAAGGGACAAGACUCCCAAAAAGCUUGUCUUGCCAAAAAAGUGCAAGUUGGUGACAAGAUUUUGACUUGAAAAGAGAGUCUAAAACCUUGUAAACCUAUACACAUAGCUGAAACUUCUCUUCUAGGGUGUGAAAUUGAACAAUUAAAGUCUUGGAACAAUUUUCUUCAACUUCAACAUGAUUUCAACGGCCAAUAGUCGAGUGCCACAUCAUCAUAAGCUCAAGAAUUAGAAUUCUUAGUUUUUUUCGUUUGUUUCCAUUAGUUUCUAUUUUCUUGAUUCUAGAAUUAAUUAACAACUAGUAAUUACCUACUUAGUUAUAUAUUAAUUGUUGAAUCCAUUUCUUUCGUAUCUUUGAUAUUUGUGUGCUUUUAUCGUUUCUAACUCAUAGUAACUUCUUUGUUUCAAGUUUGUAAGUAAAUUUUGUUUUUGUGUCUUGAGUCGAUGAACAAGAAUCCAUUCCAGCCGCCAAGUAGAAUUGACAUCCUAUUGACUACCGGAGUAUAAGGAACUUUCAAUAUUUGCCGCUCCAAUUGUGAGAAUCACAAAGGUGAGUGUAUACGAGUGUUGGUGAGGAGCUUUUACUACUAGUCUUGUUUGUUCAUUGUGUAGGUACAAAGGUGAUAUAAAGAGAACAUGUCUUCGCUAGUCGAGGAUUAUUGUGACUACAACAUGGGAGACUCUGAUUGUAAUGAGGAGUUUUAUGGCUACAAGUUGAGGGAGAUUGUGGAGGCUAUGAAAAUAGUCAGAUCAAAACUUGGGUAGAUUUGAGGGACAUGGUUUUAAGGGAGAAAAUGAAGGGAAUAAAGUACCUAGAGCUUAUGGUAAAUUUAGAGGUGAUGUAGGACCGCGUGAUAGUUCUUAUGAUGACAUUGGGGAACGUGAGGAGUCUUACACUUCCCACUCCGAACCUAGAUUUGGUGUUAGGUAUAACCCUUUCAUUUGCAAAGAUUAUGAGAGCUAUGAUGAGAGUACACGCGAGGAGUGUGAAAAUUCAUUUUCUUCACCUUUUAGUUCUUCUUAUCAAGAUAGACAUGGUGUAAAUGGUUAUCUUAACUAUAGUAGAUGUUGUCCCACUAGAAGAAGAGGAUAUGCAUCUCCAAAAUUGAUGGGUAAUCAUGUGCCUUAAUAUGUUGAUCCAAGAAGGAGUGUACACUCCAAAAAUGUAACCAUUUAUAGGAUACCGGGAUGCCUCAUUGUGUUAAAUGAUAGGUACUAUAGAAACUACAUCCUUCCAUCCAUGGUUGACUACUUGGAGUUAUUUCAAGAGCCUUUACUUGUUCCAUACUUCUUGGGUGGGUUUAAGGUUACCGAGAGGGUGAGGGUUUUCUUCUCCCAAUUUGAUUACUAUGAGGAGGUGUGGUGCGAUGUUUUUCAUAGGUCAUGUGAUCUUGGGUGCCGAUUGGUUUGCACAACAUAAAAUUCCAAAUAUGCAAAAUUGGCCUGAUGUUGUAAGAGACCAAUGGGGAAAUUGCCUCGUGACGUACAUUCUGCUUGGGCCAUAACAAAAAGUGCUCACCUACUCCAAUCCGAAUGAUAAUGAGAGAAAAAAUAUUAAGAGGAGUAAGGGUGUGAAAGGUGGUAAUCCAAGAGUGUAAAAAGGAGAGGUUGUGUGGAGCGAAGUGAGGGGAUUGCCACCAAACCGUGCUAACAAUGUUUGUCCUUCUAUUUCAAAGGACAUUUCUGUAGGUACCAACAUGGAAAGUGAAGGUGAUCAAGAACAAAGCAAAGCUUCUACCCAAGCUUGUGGAGGAACUUCACACUAUGACAAAGAGGAAUCUACUCAAGAUCUUUAAGGUAAAAUAACUAACUCUUACACUUUGGUGCUUGUGAAUGAUAAUUGUGUGGCUAGUAUCCCAUUGAGUAUGAGUUAUAGCUUAUUUACUUGCGAGUCUAAUAAUUCUUUUCCUCUUGUUUAUGAUGAACAUGUUGUGAGUGUGGAUAUACUAAUCAAUCCUACUAAUGACGAAAUUGAAUUUUCUUGUAAAAGCAAUAUAUGUCCACCUAGUGUUGAAGCCAAUAUGUUGAAUAAAAAUACAUCGUCUUGUGUAAUUGGUAUUGAUUAACUUAUGUGUGAAACUUGAAAUCUCUAAAUAGAUCAUGAUCUUUUAGAGAGUGAUGAAUGUGUUUGUUUCGAAUCUUCCCAUGAAAUAGAUCAUGCUCUCUUUAGGUAUAAUGUCUUGUUUGAAGAUGAUAUAAACACUCCUAAUAGGACCAGUGGUAAAAAUGAUCGUACAACUUGCCUUGGAAGCUAUAACCUAUAUGCUAACCCACUAUGGUGUGACAAUAUUUCUUCUAAAGAUGGAAAUCUCUUCUUGGAAGAUGAGAGUACUCUUAAGGGAAAGGAAUUCUUGGUCUUGGAAACUACUUCUCCUUCUACUUUGUGAAAGGAAUUCUUGGUCUUGGAAACUACUUCUCCUUCUACUUUGUGUGACUUUAUUAUUGAGAGUACUCAUGGUGAUGAUUGGAAAACUAGUAGUGAGUACUCACAUGAGGGCACCUUAGUAGAAUUUGACUUGAGUGAUACCUUUCUCUACUCUUUAUUUGCUUUGGAUGAUAUGUAUGCUAUUGUAGAGAGUAUAUUGUUUAGUUUGGGUGGAGAGCACGGAGAAAGGGAGUAUUGUCUAGACCCAUGUCUAUGGCCACUGUUUUCGUUUGACCCGGGUGCCAAAUAUAGAAAUGGUGAUGUUGGUGCACCCAACUUGUUGCUUUUUCCACAUGACAAAUAAAGUGUUACUCUUGGUGAAUCCCAUAACCAAAUCCUUCAUACAUCUUUUAUUGAGUUUUUAAUAUGUAUGAAUGAAUGAAAGCUACUGCUGAACUUUAUCUUUUCCUUUCUAUUCAGUUCUAAAUUCUAACAAAAUAUAGUUGAAUGUUUCUGCAGUAUGUUGUUUUUGAAUCCUAUGUACUUGUUUUAUUGGAAUUAUUAAUUGUGGUGUCCGUGCACCUCAACUAUUUCAUUGAAUCAUUGGAUGCCUACCACCUCUAAAGUACUCAGUAAUUGUGUCUACUAAGACUGGUACAUGGAAAGAAAUCACAAAACCGGUCUCACAUGAUUAUCACCCAUUUCAUUGAUCUCUAGACACCUUUGGAUGCUAGCUAGAAUACUACUUUAGAAUGUCAGAGCCAAAAAUUUAGAGACUGAUUCUCUCACCCACAAAACUGCUACCCUUGAUCCCACCCAUUCUUAAGUUGGUUGAUGUACUUAACCUAAAAGUGAAGUUUGUGAAGUAUACUUAUGGUAGUUUCAUCUUUCCUGGGGCUCAACCAUAUCCACAUCACCAUUUCUCUAAAGAUGUGAGCGUGCUUGACAGCUAUUUCGGUAAAGUUUGGUGCAGGCAGCAAUGCAUAUUUGAUGGGUAGUGCUUAAAGGAACUAUUGCUGAACAGAGAAUGAGAAGAUCGAUCUUUAUUCAAAGGCUAAUGGAGAAUAAUAGGCGCUAAUACAACACCUAGUCCUAAAUGAAUACAACAACUAAUUACAAUCCUAAAGUUAUACAAUAACUAAUUAUAGCGUACAAUUAGAUAACUAUGAAAUAAUUACAAGUUAUUCUUGUAUAUCUCUUUUACGCCCCUGCAAGUUGGUAUUGAUGUCUACAAUGCCCAACUUGUGAAACAUACGACUAAAAAAAGCAUUUGGAAGUGGCUUGGUUAGGACAUCAGCAACCUGAUCAGCAGCAUGUAAGUGCUUGACUUCAACCUCUUUCUGUUGCACCUGGUCACGGACAAAGUGGAAAUCGAUGGCAAUAUGCUUCAUCUUACUAUGAAAGACAGGAUUCUCAUAGAUGUAGGUAGUUUAAAUAUUAUCACAUAGUAUGCGCGGGAUGCAAGCAAGUAAAAAAUGAUGCUCACGGAGUAGGUUAGUGAUCCAGUUGGUUUCUGCCAGAGCAGCAGCCACAGCUCGGUAUUUAGCUUCGGUGGAUGAUCGAGAGACAGAUCGCUACUUCUUGGAGGACCACGAGACUGGAGUAAUUCCAAGAUAUAUAACAUAGUUGUGGAAGUUUUGUCCAUAGAGUCACCAUCCCAACCAGAGUCAAAGUACACCAUAAGUCGAUUAUUAGUCUCACGAGUUAUUUGAUGACCAAAAGAGAAGGUAUGUUUGAGAUAUCGAAGCAAUCUCUUAACAACUUUCAAUAACAUGUUUUUGUAUUAACAACAGUGGAUUUGGUGGCCAUGUUUUUGCGUGAGGCAGUAGUUAGGGUUGGAGAGAAUAAAAAGACAAAAAUUGGGAUCAUAGAUUUAGAGCUCUGAUACCAUAACGGAACUACUGCUGAAUAGAGAAUGAGAAGAUCGAUCUUUAUUCAUAGGCUAAUGGAGAAUAUAUAGGCGCUCAUACAACACCUAGUCCUAAAGUAAUACAAUUACUAAUUACAAUCCUAAAGUUAUACAAUAACUAAUUACAGUUGUACAAGUAGAUAAGUAUGAAAUAAUUACAAGUUAUUCUCGUAUAUCUCCUUUAGUGUUGAUACACAACAGAACUGGCAUAUGCAUUCUUCUUCUGCUGAAUCUGUCGAUACCAAUUAUGUGAAUCCAGUUUAUACACUAGAAAUGUUCAUGACUAAUGUAACACCCCGAAUCUAGUACUCGGAACGCUACACGAUGCUCAUGACCUCGAAGGACCACAAGCUAACCUAUAAAUAAUAUUUGUACCUAUAUACUGAUAAUAUACUGUACAAUAUGGAAACAUGAACUGAAAGGCGAUAAGGUUCAAAACUUUAACAUAGGAUCUAAUAAAUCAUAACAUAUGGAUGGGGUAUGAAAUACCCAAAACAACUGAAAUAACUAACUGAACAUGAUAGUCUAGAAAGCCUCUAACUGACUGAACGGUCUUAAUAAGGAGUUAAUGGGAUAUGUCUCGAACUAACUCCAACUAAUAAAUAAAUUAAUGAGAUAAUAAAGAAUGAUUAUGUCCUCAAAAGAUGAGGACUCACUUCUAGCUCUGACUGCUAAGACUGGAAUCUACUGAUGUUCUGGAGCUCGUGUCUCUGAACCUAUGGUAUAAGACACCAUAGCGCAAAUAUGUCAAUACUUUGAAUGUGAGGUAGGUUGAAUGCAUGGGGUUCAUAUGCAUGAACAAUACUGGAUAAUUGACUAAUAUGAACAUGAGAGAAUACAUGCAUGCAUACAUAGUAACUAUAUCUAAAAUUGUGAUAACAUGAGUUUACUGAUAACUAACAUGACUAAUGACUGAGUUCUGAUAACUGAUAACAUGAGUGAUUGUAUCAGACAGCCUUGAAUCUAAUGGAAGUAGAUGAGUUCCGUACUAUAUCUGAGUUGACUAUAUCUGAUAGUCUUGAAUUUUGUAACAUAAAACUGUGGGAAGUAGUCAUCUAACUUAAAUGCCCCAAAUGACACAUUAUAGCUGAAUUGGGGUCCAAUCUGUGCCAUGAUUGGAAGGGUGUCAAUACCUCACCACUGGUAAGGACAAGAUAUGAGUGACCCUCAACUAGCAGGUUACUCUAAUGAGAAUGGUGGGAACCCUUGACUAGCAGGUUAAGCCAUUUCAUCUACCCUCAACUAGCAAGUAUGAUGUCUUAACCUACACUGGCUACGUAGUUGUAGAGCACAAGGAUUGCUUCUAAGAAUCACACUCUCUAAUGGCAGGUGAGUUCCCAUCCUUGGGUUUACUCGGUGAUAAUUUCUACCUAUAAUACCCCGAUUUACUAAACCAGAACACUACACGGUGCUUAUGACCCCAAAGGACCAUAAGCUAACCGAUGACUAAUAACUGUACAUGUAUACGGUAUAAAAUACUGAAUAAUACGAAACAUGCACUAAAAGGACAUAAGGUUCAAUACUGAACAUAACAUGGAUGAUAUAACAUCUGUGGGGUAAUACAAUACCCAAAACAAAACUGUACACACUGAAGUCUGAUACAUAAUAGUCUGCGAAAGCCUUUACUGUCUGAAUAAUCUGAAUAAGGAGUUGAUAGGACAUGUCCCCAACUAACUCCAACUAAUAACUAAUCAAUGAAAUAGUGGAGAAAUAAUUGUGUCCUCGAAUGAUAAGGACUCACUUUUAUUCUGACUGCUGAGACUGGAAUCUACUACUGAUCUGGAACUCGUGUCUUUGAACCUAUGGUUUAACAUAAAAAGAAAGCACCAUAGCACAAAUGUGUUAGUACAAUGGAAUGUACUGAGUAGACAUGUGAGGUAGGCUAAGGUUUAGCAUGUAUGAAUAAUUCUAGAUCACUAUCUAACAUGAAUACGAGAAUGCAUACAUAAAUACGUAACUAUGACUAACACUGUGAUAUCCUGAUUACUGAAUCUGAAUACUGAUGACAUGACAUACUAAUAACUGAUAUAAUUGAUAGCAUAAAUAUCAGUAUCUAAAUGUAACUGAUAACAUGGGUGACUGUAACUGACAGUCCUGAAUUAGAUAGAACUAUCUGAGUUGACUGAAUCUAACAGUCUUCAAUCUAAAAAACUAUCUGAGUUCUUUUACUGAGACUGGUACUGAAACUGUGGGAGGUGGUAUUUAAAUGACAUGUCCCUGAUACGCCAUUAUGGCUGAGUUGGGGUCCAAUCUAUAACCCCAAUUGGAAAGGUAUCAAUACCGCACCACUGGUAAAGACAAGUUGCAGGCGACCCUUAUCUGAUAGUGUCCCCAAAAGAGAAUAGUAGGGCUCUUAUAUGAUAGUUCUUAUACACCUCAGCAACCCUCAUCGGACAGUGUUGAUGUCCCAACCUAUGCUAUAUACAUAGUUCUGGAAUGCAACAAAAACUUCUAAGGACCACACCCUCAUCUGAUAGUGUGUAUCCCCAUCCUUGGGUUCACUGGUGCUAAUUCCUACUCCCAUAUGAAUGGACAUUGAACAUGAUUUACUGAACUAAACAUGAGCUAAGUUACUAAGUUUCGUUGACUAAUGAAAUACUACUGAUAUCUGACAACUGACUGAGUCAUGAGAUCACGAAGAUUUUUCCUGAGUCAUAAGACUAUAUGAAGUCUAAGGAUUCAUAGCUUGACUGAGAGUAUCAUGAAAAUAUGACAUGGCUUUAGGUAUAGAGCUAAUGUUUCGGGAACAAGUACCCCCAGGACUCGAUGGAAGGUAACUGACAAAGCAUGACUUACUUGUAUACAUAAUAAUCACCAUAAUACAUUUACUGAAGCAUUUCAUCAAACAUGUGAUAGGCAUAAGCUUGUACGUAGAUGGGGAUUUCAUGAUAUCAUGCUAAUUAGACACUUUCCCUUUAUCUAGGAAUUCAACCAAACACAUAGUAGGCAUAGAAUGUGUAAACAAUAUCAUACAACAAUUAACUUUCGUGAUUCAAUUCCAAUUUAAUCAUUCAAGGGCUUAGUCCUAGGGUUUCAUGAAUCUAUACCGUUAUAAAUCAACCCAUAUGGAAUUUAACACUCAUUCAUGGAAUACAAUUCAAUUACUCAUUAUCAACAUGAACAAAAGCAGCCCAAACAUGAACUUCAUAAGAAAAUCCAUAACUUGAAUUUAGAAAAGGGAUUCUUGGGCUUCAUGGACGAAAGGAGUCCAUGAAUGAACACUAUGCAUACCUUAGUUCAUGAUUUUGUGAAGAUUGAUGGUGAAACCUUCUUGAAUUUGAAUCCCCAAUAGAAACCCUAGCUUGUUCUUGAGAGAAACUUGAGAGAAAAUAGUAUUUUUGGGUAAAGAAUAGCUAAAUCACGUGUUAUUGGGUUUAAAUAGGGGUAAGAAAUUGACCCUUUUAACUCUAAAAGCGUUAUUUAAUUUCAAUAAAAUUUUUCCAAACUAGGCCCCUGGCGCGACGUGGGGGAAAUCGCACUAAGACACUAGAAAAAGGACAAUUCUGAAUUUGAGUGCUGGUGCGAUGCGCCAUAAUUGCGGACACCUACUAAAAAUUUCCAAAUUCUAUUUCCUCUUGUGGUAUGGCGCGCCACUGAAUAAUAUGGCGUUGUUUUACGAUGGGAACUUGAAAUAGUCAUAACUUCUUACCCGGUUAUUUGAUUUAAGCGAAUAAUAUAUAGAUGGAAAGCUUAUUGAAUUUUACACAUGACAAAAAGUGAAAAUCUUGAAAAUUCCUCAUGGAAUAAUUAUCCUCCACUUUAGAAGAGAAUACUAAGAAUUCUUGGGACGAAAUUUGCUAGAAAUCUUUAGGUUAUUACAAUAUCUCUCCCUUGAGAAAAUUCAUCCUCGAAUGAGAUUGACUGAGAGGGGAAACAAUAAGAUGAACAUUAACUAAACAUGAAUAACUGGAACAUGAUCUCAUGACUGACAACCUGAACAUAACAUACUGAACAUACAUAUCUGAUGUAUGUGUAACUGAUUCAUAAAUGCAUGACUGAAUGUUCCGAGGAACUAAGUUUCUUACAAUGAGAAUGCAUUUUUGAUGCAUAAUUAUAUAACUGAGCUGAUAUAUAAAUGCAUCACUGAAUAUGCAAUGGUACUUGAUACCAAGUUUAUACUGGGAACAUGAAACUGAAUACCAAGUUCAUGAUGAACACUGAUCAUGAAACUGAGUAAGCUUAAGGAGAACUAUUACCUUUAGCUUGAUCUAAGCUGGCGGAGAAAAGGUGAGGAUACUUAGUAUGCAAGUCUGCUUCUUUAACAAGAGGGACUUCUUUGUUCCUCAAUCUACGAGUCUGAUAGUCUAAGAUUUUGAUUGGAAUCUCUUCAUAAGAGAGACUAUUCUAAAUAUCCAUGCUCUGAAUAAGGACUAUGACUGGUGGGUCACCUAUACACUUUUUGAGCAAAGAGACAUGGAAGACUGGAUGAACUGAGGCUAGAUAUGAAGGCAAUUUGAGCUCAUAAGCUACCUUGCCGAAACGACUGAGAAUCUUAAAGGGAACAACAUAUUGGGGACUGAUCUUUCCCUUCUGGCUGAAUCUCUUCACUUCCUUCAUGGGAGAGAUCUUUAGAUAGACAUGAUCACCAAACUCAAACUCAAGAUAUUUUCUAUUAACAUCUACAUAAGACUUAUGUUAGCUCUGAGCAGCCCCGAGUCUUUCUCUGAUUAACUGGACUUUUUCUAAGGCGUCAAAUACAAAUCCAGGACCUAUGACUGAGGCCUCACUAACUUCAAACCAACCAAUUGGAGAUCUAUAUCUCUUACCAUAGAGAGCUUCGAAUGGAUCUAUCUGAAUACUAGAAUAAUAGCUGUUGUUGUGUGCAAACUCAAUCAAAGGCAAGUGGUCAUCCCAACUUCCCUUGAAAUCAAUUGCACAUGCCUUAGCAUAUCUUCUAAAGUUUGAAUGGUCCUUUCUGCUUGGCCAUCUAUCUGAGGAUGAAAGACUGUACUAAGAUGAACUUGGGUACCGAGACCUUUUUGGAAUGCUUUCCAGAGAUAAGAGGUGAACUGGGUACCUCUAUCUGAGAUAAUGGACAACGAAACACUGUGCAAUUUGACCAAAUCCUUGAUAUAGAGUUAAGAGUAAUCCUUGGCUGAAUAAGAGGUAUGAACUGGAAGAAAAUAAGCUGAUUUGGUCAUUUUAUCUACAAUAACCCAGACUGAAUCAUGUUGAUGACGAGUUCGAGGAAAACCUGCCAUGAAGUCCAUGUUCACAACUUCCUACUUCCAAGUAGUAAUACUAAACUCCUGCAUGGACCCACUAGGCUUCUGAUGCUCUAUCUUAACUUGCUAACAUAUCGAGUACUUAGCCACAAACUCUGCAAUGUCUUUCUUCAUCCCACUCCACCAAUAGAUUUUUCACAAGUCGUGGUACAUCUUUGUGGCCCCUAGAUGAAUAGAGUAGCGCGCAUCAUGUGCUUCUGCAAGAAUUCACAGCCUCAAGUCGUCUAUACCUGGAACAUAGAGACGACCCUGAAAACACAAAACACCAUCUCCCCCUUGGGAGAAAACCACUACUUUCUGAUCUUGAACUGACUCUUUCAACUUGACAAGGCUGGAAUCUCUAUCUUUAUUUUCUUUCACCCGAAAACUAGAGAUAAUUCUGAACUACUUUGAACACAUACACCACUCUUUGAAGAAUUGACUAAGCGAAUGCCUAUUCUGGCAAGCUAAUGGAAUUAUUGAGCUAACUUCUUCUUACUAUCCUCCACAUGAGAAACACUACCCAUGGAUAGUCUACUAAGAGCUUCGACCACUACGUUGGCCUUACCCGAAUUAUAGAAAACACUCAUGUCGUAGUCUUUUAAGAGAUCUAACCACCUUAUCUAAUGAAGAUUGAGAUUUUUUUGAGAAAAGACAUACUGAAGACUCUUGUGAUCUUUAAAGACAUCUAUAUGAACUCCAUAGAGAUAAUUCCUCUAAAUCUUCAAGGCAAAGACUACGGCUGCUAACUCAAGAUCAUGAGUAGGAUAAUUUCUCUCAUGGGGUUUAAGUUGUCUGGAGGCGUAGGCUAUGACCUUACCAUGCUGCAUGAGGACACAACCUAAACCUACUCUGGAUGCAUCACAAUACACCACGAACCAUUUGAACCAUCUGGUAGAGCUAAGACUGGGGCUGAGGUAAGUCGAGUCUUUAACUCCUGAAAACUCUUCUCACAAGGGUUUGACCACUAAAACUUGAUUUUUUUUGAGUCAAUCUAGACAUAGUGGAUGAAAUAGAUAAAAAUCCUUCAACAAACCGUCUGUAAUAGCCAGCCAAACCCAAGAAACUCCUUAUAUCUGAUGGAGAGACAGGUCUUGUCCAGUUUCUUACUGCUUUAGUCUUUUGAGGAUCAACUCUAAUGCCUUCACUAGAAAUAAUGUGACCAAGGAAUGCUACUGACCUUAGCCAAAAUUCGCACUUACUGAAUUUAGCGAAUAGCUGAUGAUCUCUGAGAGUCUGAAGUACUAUUCUAAGAUGGUCUGCAUGAUCGCGCUCAGUGAGGGAAUAGACCAGAAUAUCAUCUAUGAAGACUAUGAUGAACAUAUCCAAUUACUUCUUGAAAACGCGGUUCAUCAAGUCCAUGAAAUCUGCUGGGGAAUUGGUAAGACCAAAUGAUAUGACUAAGAAUUCAAAGUGACCAUACCGAGUACAAAAAGCUAUUUUUGGAACGUCACUUUCUCUAACUCUGAGAUGAUGAUAGUCGAAUCUGAGGUCUAUCUUAGAGAAAUAGCUGGCACCCUAAAGUUGGUCAAACAAAUCAUUGAUUCUAGAAAGAGAAUACUUAUUCUUGACCAUGACCUUAUUGAGUUGGCGGUAGUCUAUACACAUUCUAAGAGAACCGUCUUUCUUGCGCACGAAUAAUUCUGGAGCGCCUCACGGGAAAUGCUGGGCCUGAUGAAUCCCUUAUCUCAGUUCUUUGAGUUAUACUGGUUCCAUUCUAUAUGGUAUAAUAGAGAUAGGAUGAGUAUCUGGAAAAAGAUCAAUGUCGAAGUCAAUUUCCCUUUCAGGAGAAAUCCCUGGAAGAUCUUUGGGAAAGACAUCUAAAUAUUCAUUCACUACUGGGACUGAUUCAAGGCUGGGAGUUUUGGAACCAGUGUCCUUAACUCAAACAAAAUGAUAGGCAUAUCCUUUAGAUAUCAUUUUCCUUGCCUGAAGGUAGGAAACAAGCUGACCCCUGAAAGCGGAUACACUGUUCAUUUAGAAACUGAAACUAGACUAUUCUAUUUCUAAAAAAAAAAAAGGAAUGAAGCCAACCAUGCUGAGAAUGAAAUCAAAAUUAGUCAUCUCUAAUUUGACUAAAUCUGCUGAAGUGACUUUCUAAAAUAUGAUAACUAGGCAGUUCCUGUAUACCCACUGGGCUAUGAUGGUUUUUCCCACUGGGGUAGAGACUGAGAAGGGAUCUACUAGAAUUUCAGGACUGAUUCCAAAAUCAACUACUAUAUAGGGAGUAACAAAAGACAAAGAAGCUCCUGGAUCUAGCAAAGCAUAAAUAUGCACAUGAAAGAUGUGUAACAUACCAGUAACUAUAUUAGGAGAAUUUUCCUGAUCUUGUUGGGUCUGAAGAGCAUAUAGUCUAUUUGGCAUUUACCCGCUAAUACCACUGGUGGUGGCACCCUACUGAUUCGGGCGACCAGACUAAGCUGAAGUGCGAUGAAUUUGAUAACCUGAUUAAGGGCAGUCUUUGACUCUAUGGCCUAGCUUGCCUCAACCGAAACAAACAUCGCUGCCAGAUUUGCGAGCACCUUUGUAGUUCUUACCACAAGUCUAACAAAGGAGAUUAGUUUGGGCAUUUCUGACACUACCCUAAGGCUUAGAGCCUGGCACUCUAUCUCUGAACUUAGGAGCUGGAGCACUGGCUGAAGAAGGAUCUAGAACUGAUGACUUAGGAUGAAACUGAGAACAGUUUUCUCCUUCUAGUUUAGGCUGACUAAAAUUGAAGCUACCUAUCCUAGCUUUCUUAUUCUGCUUUUCCCUCUGCUUAAUCUUCUGGUCCUCUAUCUGCUGAGCAUGGGUCAUAAGUCUGGCUAAAGUUAUAUCAUAAUUUAGCAUGGCGGAUUUGCACUCAUUAACCAUGCUAUCAUUUACCCCUGAAGCAAACUUACUUAUCUUGGCUCUACCGUCUACAACCACAUGAGGAGCAUAUAUGGCUAAUUGAGUAAAAUUUAGAGAAUACUGUUUCAACGUCAUAUUUCCCUGCCUGAGUUUGAUGAAUUCUACCACCUUAGCCUCUCAAAGAUAUUAGGGAUGUUGAGGAAUGAAUCUAUCUAAGAAUCCAGUGACAAACUCCUCCCACUCUAUAGGACCUACAUCAUCUAACUUUCUGACUUCCACUGUUUGAACCAAGUAUGAGCCACAUAUUGGAACUGGUAUGCGGCUAACUCAGCACUCUCAACAGUAGUCACCCCCAUGAUGCGUUUCACUUUCUGAACUUGAUCAAUGAAUUCCUGAGGGUCUUCAUCUACUUUAGACCCAUGGAAGGACGGAGGAUUCAUUUAGGUGAAGCCUCGAAUCCUAGCUGCAGUUGAGGUGACCACUGGGUUGGCUAAAACAAUAGCUGGUCACUCACUAUGGGAAGUUACUGACUAAGCAAGAGUGGUAAAUGCAGUCUUUAAAUCCGCAUUAGAAAUAUGAUCACCCAAAGGUUCUUCGGGUUGAGGGGUUGAUUGAUUUCUUCUCUUAGGAGGCAUAUUCUAAAAUAAAUAGAAAAAAAAUAUUAGACUGAGAGAUUGACUUGUGAUUAUACUCAUUGGCACGACAUGAAUACUGAAAAAAGGGAAACUGUUCCAAAACAUCUCAUAACCUCUUGCACAUAAAUGUGGCGCGCAACACACCCAUGUACAAGACUCUACUAGAUGCGGCUUUCAGACUUCCUAGGACGCUAUUGAAACUUAGGAUUUGAUACCAAGUUUGUAACACCCCGAUAUGAUGAACCGGAAUUCUACACGGUGCUCAUGACACCAAAGGACCACAAGCUAACCCAUGACUGAUAUUUGUACCUGUAUACUGCAUAAAAUACUGAAUAAUGAGAAAACAUGAACUAAAAGGCCAUAAGGUUCAAUAAUGAACAUAACAUAGAUGAUAUAACAUUCUUGGGUUAAUACAAUACCCAAAACAAAAUUGUAAACACUAAAAUCUCAAACAUAGUAGUCUACAUCUAGUCUGAAAGCCGUUACUAUCAUAAUAGUAUGAAUAAGGAGUUGAUGGGACAUGUCCCUGACUAACUCCAACUAAUAACUAAUCAAUGAAAUAAUGGAGAAAUAAUCAUGUCCUUGAAGGAUGAGGACUUACUUCUAUUCUGACUGCUGAGACUGGAAUCUACUGCUGAUCUGGAACUCGUGUCUCUGAACCUAUGGUGUAACAUAAAAAGAAAGCACCAUAGCGCAAAUGCAUCAAUACAAUGGAAUAUACUGAGUAUACAUGUGAGUUAGGCUAAUGCAAGGGUUAACAUACAUGAAUAAUUCUAGCUGAUUGUCUAACAUGAAUGCAAGAAUGCAUACAUAAAUAUGUAACUGUAACUGACACUGUGAUAUUAUGAUUACUAAAUCUGAAUACUGAUGACAUGACAUACUAAUAAAUGAUAUAACUGAUAGCAUAAAUAGUUAUAUCUAAAUGUAAAUGAUAACAAUGGUAACUGUAUCUGACAAGACUGAAUCUGAUGGAACUAUCUGAGUUCCUUACUGUAUCUGAGUCAACUGUAUCUGACAGUCCUAAAUUUGAAGAACUAUCUGAGUUCUUUUACUGAGACUGGUAUUGAAACUGUGGGAGGUAGCAUUUAACCGACAUGCCCCUGAUACGCCAUUAUGGCUGAGUUGGGGUCCAAUCUAUAACCCCAAUUAGAAGGGUGUCAAUACCACGCCACUGGUAAGGACAAGCUGUGGGCGACCCUUAUCUGAUAGUGUCCUCAAAAGAGAAUAGUGGGGCCCUUAUCUGACACUACUUAUCCACCUCAUCAGCCCUUAUCGGAUAGUGUUAAUGUCUCAACCUAUACUGGCUACAUAGUUCUGAAAUGCAAGGAUGACUUCUAAGGAUCACACCCUCAUCUAAUAUUGUGUGUCCCCAUCAUUGGGUUCACUCGGUGCUAAUUCCUACUCCUACCUGAAUGGACACUGAACAUGAUUUACUAAACUGAACAUGAGCUAAGUUACUACGUUUUGUUGACUGACGGAAUACUACUGAUAUCUGACAACUGACUGAGUCAUGAGAUCAUGAAAAUUUUUCCUGAGUCAUAAGACUAUCUGAAGUCUAAGGAUUCAUAGCUUGACUAAGAGUAUCGUGAAAACAUGACAUGGAUAUAGGUACAUAUCUAAUGUUUUGGGUACAACUACCCCCAGGACUCUAUGAAAGGAAAUUGACAAAGCAUGACUUACUUUAAUACGUAAUAAUCAUCAUAAAAUAUUUACUGAAGUAUUUCAUCAAACAUGUGAUAGGCAUAAGCUUGUACUUAUAUGGGGAUUUCAUGAUAUCAUGCUAAUUACACUUUCCCUUAAUCUAGGCAUUCAACCAAACACAUAGUAGGCAUAGAAUUUGUAAACAACAUCAUUCAACAAUUAACUAUCGUGAUUCAAUUCUAAUUUAAUCAUUCAAGGGUUUAGUUCUAGGGUUUCAUGAAACUAUACCGUUACAAAUCAACCCAUAUGGAAUUUAACACUCAUUCAUGGAAUACAAUUUAAUUACUCAUUAUUAACAUGAACAAAAGCAUCCCAAUCAUGAACUUCAUAAGAAAAUCCAUAACUUAAAUUUGUAAAAGGGAUUCUUGGGCUUCAUGGACGAAAGGAGUCCAUGAAUGAACACUAUGCAUACCUUAGUUCAUUAUUUUGGGGAGAUUGACGGUGAAACCUUCUUGAAUUUGAAUCCCCAAUGGAAACCCUAGCUUGUUCUUUAAAGAAACUUGAGAGAAAAUAGAAUAUUUUGGGUGAAGAAUAGCUAAAUCACGUGAUAUUGGGUUUAAAUAGGGGUAGGAAAUUGACCCUUUUAACCCUGGACGCGUCAUUUAAUUUCAAUAAAAUUUUUCCGAACAGGGCCCUGGCGCGACGCGAGGGAAAUCGAGUUGAGACACUGCAAAAAGGACAAUUCUAAAUUUGAGUGUUGCCACGACGCGCCAUAAUUGUGGACACCUACUGAGAAUUGCCAAAUUCUAUUUCCUCUUGUAGCGUGGUGCGCCAUGGACUAAUAUGGCGCUAUUUUACGAUGGGAACUUGAAAUAGUAACAAUUCUUACCCAUUUAUCGGAUUUAAGUGAAUCAUGUAUUGAUGGAAAGCUUAUUGAAUUUUACACAUGAUAAAAAGUGAAAAUCUUGAAAAUUCCUCAUGGAAUAAUUAUCCUUCACUUUAGAAGCUAAUACUAGGCAUUCUUGGGACGAAAUUCACUAAAAAUCUUUGGGGUAUUACAAUAUCUCCCCCUUGAGAACAUUCGUCCUCGAAUGAGACUGACUGAGAGGGGAAAAAAUAAGCUGAACAUAAAUAACUGGAACAUGAUCACAUGACUGACAAGCUGAACAUAACAUAUUGAACAUGCAUAUCUGAUGCAUGUGUAACUGAUUCAUGAAUGCAUGACUGAAUGUUCCGAGGAACUAAGUUUCUCUUAAUCAGAAUGCAUUUCUAAUGCAUAAUUAUAUAACUGAGCUGAUAUAUGAAUGCAUGACUUAAUAUGUAAUGGUACUUGAUACCAAGUUUAUACUGGGAACAUAAACACGAAACGGAAUACCACGUUCGUGAUGAACACUGAUCAUGAAAUUGAGUAAUCUUAAGGAGAACUCCUAUCUUGAUGUUGAUUUGAGUUAGUAGAGAAGAGGUGAGGAUACUUGGUAUCUCUCCUUCCCAAGUAGCUCCCUCGACGGACUGAUUUCGCCAAAGAACUUUAACUAGAGGGACUUCUUUGUUCCUCAAUCUAUAUACUUCUUGAGCUAAGAAACAUGGGAGACUGGAUGAAAUGAGGCUAGAUCUGAAGGAAAAUCGAGCUCAUAAGCUACCUUGCCAAAAUGACUGAGAAUCUUGAAGGGAACGAUAUAUCGGGGAUUUAGAUUUCCCUUCUUGCCGAAUCUCUCCACUCCCUUCAUGGGAGACAUCUUUAGAUAGACAUGAUCACCAACCUCAAACUCGAGUUCUCUUCUACAAACAUCUGCAUAAGACUUUUGUCGGCUCUAAGUAGCCCGGAGUCUUUUUCUGAUUGACUGGACUUUUUCUAAGGUGUCGAAUACUAAGUCAGGACAUAUGACUGAGGCCUUACUAACUUCGAACUAACCAAUUAGAGAUCUAAAUCUCCUACCAUAGAGAGCUUCGAAUGGAGCCAUAUGAAUACUGGAAUGAUAGUUGUUGCUGUAUGUAAACUCAAUCAAAGACAAGUGGUCAUCCCAACUUCCCUUGAAAUCAAUUGCACAUGCCCUUAGACUAUCUUCUAAAGUCUGAAUGGUCCUUUUUGCUUGACCAUCUGUCUGAGGAUGGAAGGCUGUACUGAGAUGAACUUGGGUACUGAGACCCUUUUGGAACAUUUUCUAGAGAUAAGAAGUGAACUAGGUAUUUCUAUCUGAGAUAAUGGACAACAGAACAUCGUGGAAUCUGACCAACUCCUUGAUAUAGAGUUUGGCAUAAUCCUUGGCUGAAUAAGAGGUAUGAACUGGAAGAAAAUGAGCUGAUUUGGUCAUUCUUCCUCCAAUGACCCAGACUAAAUUAUGUUGAUGACGAUUUCAAGGCAAAGCCAUCAUGAAGUCCAUGUUCACAACUUUCCACUUCCAAGUAGGAAUAAUGAACUCCUGCAUGGACCCACUAGGCUUCUGAUGCUCUAUCUUAACUUGCUAACAUAUAGAGCACUUAGUCUGCUGAAGUGAUUUUCUGAAAUAUCCUUACCAAGCAAUUCCUAUAUACUCGCUGGGCUAUUAUGGUUUUGCCCACUGGGAUAGAGACUGAGAAGGGCUCUGCUAGAAUUUUAGGACUAAUUCCAAAAUCAACUGCUAUACAGGGAGUAACAAAAGACAAAGAAGCUCCUGGAUCUAGCAAAGUGUAAACAUGCAUAUGAAAGAUCUGUAACAUACCAGUAACUACAUCAGGAGAAUUUUUCUGAUCUUGUCGAGGCUGAAGAACAUAUAGUAUAUUUAGGCAUUGUCGGCUAGUAGCACUAGUGGUGGCACCCUACUAAUUCGAGCAACCAAACUGAGCUGAGGGUUUUGUCCUAGGGUUUCAUGAAUCUAUACCAUUACAAAUCAACCCAUAUGGAAUUUAACACUCAUUCAUGGAAUACAAUUCAAUUACUCAUUAUCAACAUGAACAAAAGCAACCCAAUCAUGAACUUCAUAAGAAAAUCCAUAACUUGAAUUUAGAAAAGGGAUUCUUGGGCUUGAUGGACGAACGGAGUCCAUGAAUGGACACUAUGCAUACCUUAGUUCAUGAUUUCAUGAAGAUUAACGGUGAAACCUUCUUGAAUUUGAAUCCCCAAUAGAAACCCUAUCUUGUUCUUGAGAGAAACUUGAGAGAAAAUAGUAUAUUUUUGGUAAAGAAUAGCUAAAUCAUAUGUUAUUGGGUUUAAAUAGGGAUAGGAAAUUGACCUUUUUAAACCUGGACACGUCAUUUAAUUUUAGUAAAAUUUUCCCAAACUGGGCCUGGCGCGACGCGGGGGAAAUCGCAUUGAGAUACUACAAAAAGGACAAUUCUGAAUUUAAGUGCUGGCACGACGCGCCAUAAUCGCGGUCACCUACUGAAAAUUUCCAAAUGCCAUUUCCUCUUAUGGAGCGGCGGUUCCACUAACUAAUAUAGCGCUAUUUUACGAUGGGAACUUGAAAUAGUCAUAACUUCUUACCCGGUUAUCAGAUUUAAGCGAAUCAUAUAUUGAUGAAAAGUUUAUUGAAUUUUCCACAUGAAAAAAAGUGAAAAUCUUGAAAAUUCCUCAUGGAAUAAUUAUUCUUCACUUUAGAAGCUAAUACUAGGCAUUCUUAGGAUGAAAUUUGCUAGAAAUCUUUGGGGUAUUACACUACUCCAAUAUGAAUAGACACUGAACAUGAUUAACUGAUAUGAUUAUGGACUAAGUUUACGGAAUUCUAUUAACUAGUGGAAUACUACUGAUAUCUGACAACUGACUGAGUUCGUGAGAUUACUGAGGUUACUGAAUUUCUGAGCUUUCCUGAGUCACAUGACUGACUGAGUUCAAUGGAUCAUGGCUUGACUGAGGAUAUCGUGAAAACAUGACACUGACUCUAGGCAUACAACUAAAUUGUCGAGUACAAGUACCCCAUAGAACUCGAUGGAAAGAAACUGAUAAAGCAUGACUUUCUUGAAUACAUGACCAACAUCGCAAUCCAUUAUUCAUUUAUUGAGGCAAUUCAUCAAACAUGUGAUAUGCAUAAGCUUGUACAUAAAUGGGGAUUUCAUAAGAUCAUACUAGUUGGGCAUUUUUUCCUUCACAUAGGCAUUUAAUCAAACACAUGUUAGGCAUAGUAUAUGUAGACAACAUUAUAUAACAAAUAAACAUUAUGAAUCAACUCUAAUUUCAUCAUCCAAGGGUCUAAUCAUAGGUCCAUAUGAAUCUACCAUUAUACUAAUCAAUUCCACAUAAAAUUCAUUACUCAACAUAGAUUAGAAUUCAAUUAUUCAUUAUAAACAUGAACAAAAGCAGCGCAACAUGAAAUUCAUAAGGAAAUUCAUACAAUUGAACUUUGAAAAAAGAUUAUUGGGCUUUAUGGACGAAAGGAGUCCAUGAAUGAACACUAUGCAUACCUGGGUUGAGUUUUUUGAAGUUCUUGAACUUGAAGAAUUUGAAUGUCUUAGUUUUUAAAGGAGAUUUAGAUUUUAUUCUUGGGGAUUAAUCUUAGAGAGAAAACCCUAAUUUUAUUGUUGUAGGGAUAAUGAAUUUUUAAGCUUUGGUCAUAUAUAACUAGGUAUAUAAACGGGUGGUAAAACACUAAAAAAACCCUUUAAAAAUGAAUUUAAAAUAACUAAACGGAACAUGCGACGGUCCUUCGCUGGGUCGAUGGUCAAUCGGACUGACCGUCGCACUGGGACCAGAACUGGAACUUACUGCCUUGGUGAGACAGUAGGGUACUAUGGUCGGUCUCUGGGUCGAUGGUCCUUCGGUCCUGACCAUCGCUUCAAGGGAAAAUAGGGCCUCACUGUUUCCCUUGCAAUGGCUUGAGCGUCGGUCCAUCGCUAGUCCGACAGUCCUUUGGCCUAGCCUGUCAAUCCAGGGAAGAAUGUAGUCACACUACCUCGCUGUGACGAUCAUGAGCGAUGGUCCAUCGCUAGUCCGAUGAUCUAUCGGCCUCACCGUCGUACCUGGGCAAUUUUACUGUCUUCUGUAUUUUGGCCAUAACUUUCUCUUCCAAUGUUGAAUUUUGAUGAAAUUGGUAUCGAUGGAAUGCUUAUUCAAUUUCCCACGUGAAAAAAAAAGUGAAAAUUUUAAAAAUACCAUGUGUACAAAAGUGGAUUCAUCUUUCAAAGAAAGUUUCUAAUAUUCUUGGGACAAUUUCAAGCUAGGAAAAAGUACGAGGUAUUACAAUAUCUCCCCCUUGAGAACAUUCAUCCUCGAAUGAGACUGAGAGAGGGGGAAAGUAUAUAAACUGACGUACAUACUUAACAUGACUGGAUGGAACAUGAUUUCAUAAAUGACAUGACUGAUAACUGAAUAUAUCAUACAGAUCAUGCAUAUCUGACGCAUAUGUAACUAAUUCAUGAAUGCAUGACUGGGUGUUCUGAUGAACUAAGUUUCUCACAAUGAGAAUACAUGUCUGAUGCAUAAUUAUAUAAAUAAUAUGAUAAAUAAAUACAUGACUGAAUAUGCAAUGGUACUUGGUACGAAGUUUGUGAUGAACACUGAACAUGAAACUGAGUAAUCUUAAAGAGAACUAUUACCUUGAGCUUGAUCUUAGUUGGCGGAGAAGAGGUGAAGAUACUUGGUACGCAUGUCCGCUUCUGCUUCCCAAGUAUCUCCCUCGACGGACUAAUUUUGCCAAAGAACCUUAACUAGAGGGACUUCUUUAUUCAUCAAUCUACGAGUUUGAUAGUCUAGGAUUUUGACCAAAAUCUCUUCAUAAGAGAGGCUGUUCUGAACAUCUAUGCUCUGAACAGGGACUACAACUGCUGGGUCACCUAUGAACUUCUUGAGCAAGGAGACAUGGAAGACUGGAUGAACUGAAGCUAUAUUUGAAGGCAAUUCAUAAUCUACCUUGUUAAAGCGACUGAGAAUCUUAAAGUGACCGAUAUAUUGGGGACUAAGCUUUCCCUUCUUGCCGAACCUCUUUACUCCCUUCAUGGAAGAUAUCUUUAGAUAGACAUGAUCACUAAUCUCGAACUCGAGAUCCUUUCUACGAACAUCUGCAUAAGACUUCUGUCGGCUCUGAGCAGCCCGGAGUCUUUGUUUGAUCAAUUGGACUUUCUCUAAGGCAUCAAAUACAAAGUCAGCCCCUUACUAACUUCGAACCAACCAAUUGGAGAUCUACAUCUCCUACCGUAGAGAUCUUUGAAUAGAGCCAUAUGAAUACUGAAAUGAUAGUUGCUGUUGUAUGCAAAUUCAAUCAAAGUCAAGUGGUCAUCCCAACUUCCCUUGAUAUCAAUUACACAUGCACGCAGCAUAUCUUCUAAAGUCUAAAUGGUCCUUUCUGGCUGACUUUCUGUUUGAGGAUGAAAGGUUUUACUGAGAUGAACUUGGGUACCAAGAUUCUUUUGGAAUGCUUUCCAGAAAUGAGAGGUGAACUGGGUACCUUUGUCUGAGAUAAUAGAUAACAAAACACCAUGCAAUUUGACCAACUCUCUAAUGUAGAGUUUGGCAUAAUCCUUGGCUAAAUAAGAGGUAUGAACUGGAAGAAAAUACGCUGAUUUGGUCAUCCUGUCUACAAUGACCCAAACCGAAUCAUGUUGACGAUGAGUUUGAGGUAAACCCAUCACGAAGUCCAUGUUCACUUCUUUCCACUUCCAAGUAGCAAUACUGAACUCCUACAUGGACCAACUAGGCUUCUAAUGCUCUAUCUUAACCUGUUGACAUGUAGAGCACUUAGCCACAAACUAUGCAACGUCUCUCUUCAUCCCACUCCACCAAUAGAUUUCCCAUAAAUCAUGGUACAUCUUUGUGGCCCCUGGAUGAAUAGAGUAGCGUGCACCAUGCGCUUCUGCAAGAAUUCGCUGCCUUCAGUCAUCUACAACUGGAAUACACAAAUGACCCUAACAACGCAGAAAACCAUCUCCCCCUUAGGAGAAAACCUCUACUUACUGAUCCUUGACUGACUCUUUUAACUUGACAAGGCUAGGAUCCCUAUCUUACUUUAUUUCACCUUAGAAACUAGAGAUGAUUCUGAACUACUCUAAACCCAUUAAUCACCUUUCUUUGUAUCGACUAAGCAAAAGCCUAGUCAUGCAAGCUGAUGGACUUCCUGGGCUAAAUUCUUCUUACUAUCCUCGACAUGAGCAACGCUACCCAUAGAUAGUCUACUGAGAGUGUCGUCCACUACGUUGGCCUUUCCCUGAUGAUAAAGGACACUCAUGUCAUAAUCUUUCAAAAGCUCUAACCACCUUCUCUGACAAAGAUUGAGAUCUUUUUGAGAAAAGACAUAUUGAAGGCUCUUAUGAUCCGUGAACACAUCUACAUGAACACCGUUUAGAUAAUGCCUCCAAAUCUUCAAGGAAAAUACUACGACGGCAAACUCAAGAUCAUGAGUAGGAUAAUUCUUCUUAUGGGGCUUAAGCUGUCUGGAAGUGUAGGCUAUGACCUUACCAUGCUAUAUGAGGACACAACCCAAACCUACUUUGGAUGCAUCAGAAUACACUAAGAACCCAUCUGAACCAUCUAGAAGAGCUAGAACUAGAGGUAAGGUGAGUCGAGUCUUCAACUCAUGAAAAAUCUUCUCACAAGGAUCUGACCACUAAAACUUUACUUUCUUCUGAGUCAAUCUGUACAUAGGGGAUGCAAUAUAAUAAAAUCCCUCAACAAACCAUCUAUAAUAGCCAACCAAACCAAAGAAACUCCUAAUAUCUGAUGGAGAGAUAGGGUGAGUCCAGUUUCUUACUGCUUCAGUCUCUUGAGGAUCUACUCUAAUGCCAUCACUGAAAAUGAUAUAGCCAAGGAAUGCUACUGACCUUAGCCAAAGUUCUCACUUACUAAAUUUGGCGAAUAGCUGAUGAUCUCUGAGAUUCUGAAUUACUGUUCUGAGAUGGACUUCAUGAUCUCGCUUACUGCGGUAAUAGACCAGAAUAUCAUCUAUGAAGACUAUAACAAACAUGUCCAAGUACUGCUUGAAGACAUGGUUCAUCAAGUCCAUGAAAUCUGUUGGGUCAUUGGUGAGACCAAAGGACAUGACUAGGAAUUCAAAGUGACCAUACAGAGUAUGAAAAGCUAUUUUUGAAAUGUCACAUUCUCAGACUCUGAGCUGAUGAUAGCUGGAUCUGAGGUCUAUCUUAAAGAAAUAGCUAGCACCCUGAAGUUGGUCAAACAAGUCAUUGAUUCUGGGAAAAGGAUACUUGUUCUUAAUCGUGACUUUAUUGAGCUAACAGUAAUCAAUACACAUUUUGAGAGAACCAUCUUUCUUACGCAUGAAUAAAAAUGGUACACCCCACGGGGACACACUGGGUCUGAUGAAUCCCUUAUCUAAGAUAUCCUUCAACUGCUCUUUCAAUUCUCUGAGUUUUGUUGGAGCCAUUAUGUAUGUCAGAAUAGAUAUAUGCUGAGUAUCUGGAAGAAGAUCAAUGCCAAAGUCUAUUUCCCUUUCGGGAGGAAUUCCUGGAAGAUCUUUAGGAAAGACAUCUGAAUAUUCAUUCAUGACUAAGACUGAUUCAAGACUGGGAGUUUCAAAACUAGUGUCCUUAACUCUAACAAGAUGAUACACACAUCAUUUAGAUAUCAUUUUCCAUGCCCGAAGGUACAAAAUAAGAUGACCUCUAAAAGCGGAUACACUACCCUUCUACUCUAGGAUGAGUUCAUUCGAAAACUGAAAUUGGACUAUUUUGUUUCUACAGUUGACUGUGGCAUAACAGGAAUAAAGACAAUCCAAGCUGAGAUAGACAUCAAAAUUAGUCAUCUCUAAUUUGACUAAGUUUGCUGAAGUGACUUUCUAAAGUAUCAUCACCGGGCAGUUCAUGUAUACUCGCCCUAUGAUGGUUUUACCUACUGGGGUAGAAACUGAAAAAGGCUCUGCUAAAAUUUUGGGACUGACUCCGAAAUCAACUGCUAUAUAGGGAGUAACAAAAGACAAAAAAGCACCUAAAUCUAGCAAAGAGUAAACAUGCAUAUGAAAGAUCUGUAAUGAACCAGUAACCACAUCAAGAGAAUUUUCCUGAUCUUACCGGGACUGGAGAGCAUAGAGUCUAUUUGGGCAUUACCUACUAGUAGCACUGGAGGUGGCACCCUGCUGAUUUGGGCAAUCGGACUGAGCUGAGGAAUAAUUCUGAUGACCCUGUGGACCCAACUGCGGACAAUCUCUAACUCUGUGGCCAUACCCGAAAUAGAUAUCACUGCUAGCUCUGUAAGUACCCUGAUGGUUCUUUUCACAAGUCUGACAAAGGGGAUAGAUAUGAGCACUGCUAACACUGCCCUGAGACUUAGAACCUAGUGCUCUAUCUCUGUUGCCAUCUCUGAAUUUUGGUUCUGAAGAACUAGAUAACGAAGGAGCUGGAACUGAGGACUUAGGAUGAAAUUGAGAAUGGUUUCCUCCUUCUGACUUGGGCUGAGCAAAGUUGAAACUACCUGUCCUUGCUCUUUUAUUCUGCUUCUCGCUUAUCUUAAUCUUUUGCUCCUCUAUCUACUGAGCGUGAGUCAUAAGCCUAGAUAAAGUUAUGUCAUUAUUCAGCAUGGCAGAUCUGCACUCAUUAACCAUGCUAUCAUUCACCCCUAAAAUGAACUUACUCAUCUUGGCCCUACUAUCUACAUCCAUAUAAGGGGCAUAUCUAGCCAAUUGAGUAAAAUUAAGAGAAUACUCUUUCACCAUCAUGUUUCCCUACCUGAGGUUGAUGAAUUCUAACACCUUAGAUUCUCUAAGAUCUAGGGGAAAGCUUAUUCAAUUUCCCACAUGACAAAAAGUGAAAAUCUUAAAAAUACCAUGUGUACACAAGUGGAUUCAUCUUUCAAAGAAAGCUUCUAACAUUCUUGGGACAAUUUCAAGCUAGGAAAAAGUACGGGGUAUUACAACUAACUUGGACAAUAAUAAGGCAUCCGUAUUUUUAAGACUCAAUCUAGCACUAUUGCUGAGAUGACUGAAGUUUCAGACAUUCGGAAGAUUCUUCCAGAACCUGAUAUAUGUGAUUUUGACUUUGACAACCAUCUCCACAAUUCCCAUAGCACUCGAUGAUGGAUUCAUAUAUGCUAGUUUUGAAGUAGUAGGUUGUAAUUUCAGAAAGGUCAACUUGACUACAAUGAUUGAGAGGGUAUUCUCCUACAUCAGAACCGUUGAUUACACUGUGACGCUUCUGAGAAGGAACUUUAUACUGAGUCUGGCCUAGACAUUAUCUAAUCUGAAAAAAAUACUACUGAAGUGUUUGGUGAGGGAGGAUCAAUUACAUACCACACAUUUAGUAGCAGUGGCAACUAUGGAUCCCCCAAACCAACCCUGGCUUGGGGUCUUCCUUCUCGAAUUGUUCUCUCAAGUGAGUUGAUUAUCGGAAUGCUUGAUCCGCCAGUAAUGAUAGAUGAUCAACAAGUCAAGCAAGGAUUUCCCGUAUAAGGAACUAAUAUACCGCUUCUGUAAGUUAUAGUUCCGUAUAUCUAGGUGUGUAAAUAAUGUUUCUUUGUAGGUUCAUGAGGUCUAGUAGUAGUAUCAGCAUUUGGUAUUUAAGUUCUGUGGUAUGUCCGGGAUAAAAUGAACUGUCUAUUCUAAGUUAAUAAACCUCGUAGCAUUAUACUAAUGUUUCUGCGAGAGAGUGUUAAGAUUAGUUCCUCAAAAGUUGUAGAUUAGCUGUACCAGCUGCUGUAAUUCAAAAUAUAGCAUUAAAGUAGGAUUUGAAUUUAGCGAAAUAAGGCUGCAAUCUUGCAGAAUCGGAUUUAUUACAUUUGCUGAUCUUUAGGACAUAAUUAUUAGAGAUAAUGGUAGCUUAUUUUACUCCUUUUAUUGAGCUUUUUCAGUUAUGAUCUUAUGUAUAAAUGUGGCAGUGAUCAAUGAAACUUUAUUAUGCUUUCUGCUCUUUCUUUUCUUUGAUAAAGUUUUGUUUUUUUCUUUCCAACAGAUUGGAAUCAAGAGCAUAUCAAUAUCGAGGACCUAUGAGAAGAGAGUGAAUAAAAACACAAGUUCUUUCUAUAUAACCUUUCUUUAUACUAUUAUCUUAAAUAGUUUAUAGAAAAUGAAUUCCAAAACAAGUUUUCUAACUCCACCUGUCUUCAACGGUGAGAAAUCAAGCUUGAGCAAUAAAAAUGAUGGUUCAUCUCGAAGCACUGGAUCUAUGGGAAGCAGUAGAGGAGGACUAUGAAGUAUCUCCUCUUGGAGCUAAUCCAACAGUGAAUCAGAUGAAACAUCAAAAGGAGAGAAAAAUAAGGAAAGCCAAAGCAUGCCUUCUCUGUAGUAUCUCCUUCAAUUCUUACCAAAAUUAUGCAAAUGAAGUCCGCUGUAGAAAUUUGGGAGUAUCUCAAAAAGGAAUAUCAAGAAAAUGAAAGAAUACAGAAUAUGCAAGUGAUGAAUCUAAUUUAGGAAUUUGAAAUAAAGAGAAUGAAAGAAUCAGAAACUAUAAAAGAUUAUGCUGAUCAGCUACUCGACUUAGCCAACAAGGUGAGAUUGUUUAGUAAGGAUUUUACUGAUGAAAAAAUUGUUCAAAAAAUUCUUGUCACACUUCUUGAGAAAUAUGAAACCACAAUCUCUUCAUUAGAGAAUUCUAAGUAUUUGUUAAGCAUUACCUUGGCAGAACUUGUUAAAGCUUUGCAGGAAUUAGAGCAAAGGAGAAUAAUCAGGAAAGAAGGUUCUAUUCAAGGUGAUUUUCAAGAUAAAUCACAUAAUGACUCAUACAAGGGAAACAUUUACUGAUGAAAGAAUUGUUCAAAAAAUUCUUGUCACACUUCUUGAGAAAUAUGAAACCACAAUCUCUUCAUUAGAGAAUUCUAAGUAUCUGUUAAGCAUUACCUUGGCAGAACUUGUUAAAGCUUUGCAGGAAUUAGAGCAAAGGAGAAUAAUCAGGAAAGAAGGUUCUAUUGAAGGUGAUUUUCAAGAUAAAUCACAUAAUGACUCAUACAAGGGAAACAUUUACUGAUGAAAGAAUUGUUCAAAAAAUUCUUGUCACACUUCUUGAGAAAUAUGAAACCACAAUAUCUUCAUUAGAGAAUUCUAAGUAUCUGUUAAGCAUUACCUUGGCAGAACUUGUUAAAGCUUUGCAGGAAUUAGAGCAAAGGAGAAUAAUCAGGAAAGAAGGUUCUAUUGAAGGUGAUUUUCAAGAUAAAUCACAUAAUGACUCAUACAAGGGAAACAAAAAUAACCAGAAGGUAAUGCAAGGCAAUAAUUACAAUAAUCAGGGUGGAAAUCCGCCCUGCCCUCAUUGCAAAAAGACAAAUCACUCUCAACAAAAAUAUUGGUGGAGGCCAUAUGUCAAGUACAACAAAUAUGGUCAACUGUUCCAUGUGGAGAGGGUAUGCAAGUCACAAAUACAACAAGAAGAAGCCAAGGCUGCUGUAAAUCAAUAUGAAGAAGAGCAAUUGUUUGUAGCAACUUGUUUUGCCAGCAAAAACACUUCUGAAAAUUGGAUGAUUGAUAGUGGAUGUACAAAUCAUAUGACCAGUGAUCAAGAUCUCUUUAAAAGACUAGAUAGAUCUAUUAUUUUCAAAGAAGAAAUUGGAAAUGGAGAAUAUCUUGAUGCAAAAGGCAAAGGAACAGUUGCAAUUCAAAGUUCUAAAGUUUGAAACUUUAAACUAAUGUUUUCUUUGUUUCUAAUCUUGAUCAAAACCUCUUAAGUAUUGGACAACUACUUUAAAAUGGUUUCAAAGUAUUGUUUGAAGAAAAAACAUGAUGUUCAAUGUCAAUGAGAGGAAGGAGUUUUUUCUUGAAUAUAUUGGACAAGGAGCAAGCAACAGUUGUCAGGUUGGAAAAUGAUUUCGAAUUAUGGCACAAAAGAGUCAAACAUUACCAUCAUGAUGUCAUACUCUUCAUGAAAGAAAAUCAACUAGCAGAAGGUCUCCCAAGCCUUGAGAAAAAUCUGCCUGCAUGUGAAACUUGUCGUUAUGGGAAGCAAACAAGGAUUUCUUUUUAGAAUUCAUCAUGGAGGCCAAAGAAUAAGCUGCAACCUGUUCACACAGAUAUAGGAGGACCUGUAAAAACACCAUCUUUAAAGGGUAGUAAGUUAUAUUGCCUUUAUCAAUGAUUGUUCCAUAUAUUCUUGGAUUUGUUUUCUUGAAUUUUAAAUCUGAGGUCGUUGAUGUAUUCUGGAAAUUUAAAUCUUUUGUGGAAAAUCAGAGUGGUUGCAGAAUAACAGAUAAUGGAACCAAAUAUACUUCAAAAAAGUUCAACAACUUUUCUAAUGAAGCAGGAAUCGAGUAUCAGCUAAUGACACCCUAUACUCCUCAACAAAACAGAGUAGUGGAAAGGAAAAAUAGGACUCUAAUGGAGAUGACAAGGUGUUUGCUCCAUGAGAAGGAGCUGCCAAAGAAAUCUUGGGCUGAAGCUUCCAAUACCGUAGUAUUUCUGCUAAAUAGAUUGCCAACUAAGGCUCUACAAAAGAAGACACCAUUUGAGCCUUGGUUUGGUUACAAACCUUUUCUAACAAAUCUGAAAAUAUUUGGUUGUCUUUGUUUUUCUUAGGCACCUCAAGUUACUGUUUUAGUUUUGGUUCUGGAAUAUUCUCUUGGUGUUGAAAAACAAUAAGACGUUGUGGCUCAAUCUACAAUUGAAGCAGAAUAAAUUGCAACUGCUUUAUCUGUGAAUCAAGCCCUUUGGAUUCGAAAGGUGCUGGAAGAUUUGUACAUAGAACAAAAGAAAAGUACCAAAAUCUUUGUGGAUAAUGAAGCUGCAAUUUCAAUUGCAAAUAAUCCUAUUUCUCAUGGAAACACAAAACAUUUCAAGAUCAAGUUUUAUUUCUUGAGGGAGGUGCAAAAGAAUGGAGACAUAAACAUGGUGCACUGCAGAACUGAUUUUCAGAAUGCUGAUAUUUUAACUAAGUCUCUACCUAGAGUAAGAUUCAAGUUUCUCAUAGAAAGACUUGAUGUUACUACUCUUGAGUCAAGGAGAAGUGAUAAGAUUAGUGCCUCAAAAGCCAUAGAUUAGUUGUACCAACUCUGUAAUUGAAAAUACAGCAUUAAAGUAGGAUUUAAAUUUAGCUAAAUAAGGAUAGAAUCUUGCAUAAUCAGAUUUAUUGCAUUAGUUGAUCUUUAGGCCAUAAUUAAAAGAGAUAAUGGUAGCUUAUUUUACUCAUUUUAUUGAGUUUUUUCAGUUAUGAUCUUAUGUAUAAAUAUGGCAGUGAUCAAUGAAACUUUAUCAUGCUUUAUGCUCUUUCUUUUCUUUCUUAAAGAUCUAUUUUUCUUUUCAACAGGGAGUAUAUAAAAUAUUGUCAUUCGUGAAUAUGUUUGUACUUUAUAUUCUUCUGACAGUGUUUUACUCUUUGAACAUUCCCUUGCUUUACUAAAUAUUAAUUGAAUUGCAGACUAUUUGGGAGGACUAUCUAUUGCUUUUGCUCAACAGAUCUUAGUUUUUGUUGUUCAAUAUGUCCCAUAUCAGAAGAAAUUAAGAACGAGACACCAGAAAGUUGAUACAAAAACAAAGGCCCAUUAACUUGAAAACUCAUACCUUUCUCGGCUUUUUGGCUAAGAUCAAGUGUAGUAUCUGUUCUUAUCAUUUUAAUAUCUGAUAUGUGGACCAUUGGACCACAUGAUACUAACUCUAUUUUUAGAGGGGGAAGGGUCAUCAAGGUAGCUUGCUAUGUGGGCCUUCGCACGUCGCCUAAGCGCUGCACUACUGGUUUGGCCAGGUGCACCCCACCAAUCCUAAUUUAAUGUUUGAGCAGUCUUUGACUUAGGCCCGGUGCUUUACAAAUAAGUUUUGAGUUCCGAUGCAUUGCAAAUAAGUUGUAAGUUCUUCAUAUUAUUUACUGAUACUGAUUUAACAAAUAGUGUAGUCAUUUUAGUUGAACAGUUAAUGCAAAGAGAUAUUUGCACACUAAAAUGAAAAAAAGUAAAUGUGGGCGUAAAGUCAAUCCUGAAAAUGAAAACUCCAUAUUGCUGAAGCUUUGACAAAAUUUGGUUUUGCCUAGUACCUUAUGUGUUUCCACUUGUAAUAUUCAUACCCCCUUCCUCCUCUGUGUGUGAGAGAUACCGGUGGUGUUCGUGCCCUCAACUAUUUCAUCUACUUAUCGGACACCUACCACCUCUCACAUAAUGAAUAAUUGUGUUCACCAAG